rnacentral:lncRNA from 1 species
AGAUCAAUCCCAAGAAUCUAGGGAUUUAUUGGUGGUUUGCUAUAGGUGCAAACCUAGGGCUCCAAAAUGGAGUUUUUGUAAAAAUGUGAGAUUGAUCUCAUUUGAAGCCUUGGAAACCCUAUUGAUAGGUCACAAAACGCGGGGGCGAAGUCGGUUUUGGCAUUUGGCGAGCCGGCGUGAAGUUCUCGGCAAAAUAGGGCCGGGUUAACAUUGAUUUGGGCAAGGGAAGGCUAAAGCCUUUUCGUAAAGUACGCCGAGGAGCAUUUCUAAAGCCUCUACAUCGAUAAAAGGUGGGGGGUGCCAUCCCGAAGCUUUCGAACUCCUUUCUAUGUCUUAGAUUUGCAUUUAAUCUCAUCUCUUCAUGUUGCAUUGUAGGAUUGCAUAGUAGCUCCAUUCCUUAUGCUUUCUAAAUGAUAACCUAGUGUACUUGGAACGCUUGGUAACUUAGAUAGGUGAGGAUUGGGUCGGAACGUGGAUCCUAUGAUGUGAAAGAAAAGAGAUGAACCCGAUGGGGGUAUUGAUGACAUAGAGAGUAGUGUUUAGUGUAAAAGAACACACGUGUGGCAUCCAAAAGUUACAUGAUGACAAGUGGCAUUAAUGUAGUGUAUAUGACACUAGAGGUUUGAGAACCUAGGGAUAGGUGGAUCCCUUAGAAAAUGCCUUGUGAACAAUGAAUUUAGAAAAAAGCUAAAUAGCAUUGCAUGAAUGUCGGGAACAAAGGAUCCCGCGAGAGAUGUUGACUCUAGUUGUAGAGUGCUUCCUCACUUGGAGAGGACUUGAUUGGGUUGUGACCCUAGUUGUAGAGUGUCCUCACUUGGAGAGAAUAGAUCUAGCUCACAGUCUGCGUUUAGGAUGGUAUAGCCAUCCAAUCCCCACAUGGAGGGGAUUGUCGUCGAGUACUCCGGAGUGUCGCGCGACUAGGACCACUUGGAGGUCCGGACCACAUGGAGGUCCGCAGACGGUCCCGGGCUUGGGUGCACUUGGAGCUCCCUCCCCACUUUGGGAUUGGAAGGUGAGUCAUUGGCGAGCCCUAGGGCCUCGUCACAGUUUUGGUAAAUGGAAAGUUAAAGGUUUAAAAAUGUCAUUGAACAUUACUAUUCGAACAUGGAUCGAAUUUGUUAGCAUGGUAGCAAACCUUUAUUAUAUGAUGCAUGCAUUCAUAUUCAUGAUUAUGGGCAUAGUAGCAUAGUUUUCCUACUAUCGCAUUUACAGCUUUCAGAUAUCUAUCUAUCUAUCUAUCUCUCUGUUGUUGCUUGUGCCCACUUGGACCUAGUGGGGAGAUCGGCAGAGUCGGCGGCCGAGCCCACUGGGAACUAUGGAAGAUAGUUCUCACCCCACUCUAUUUUCAGUGGUAGGUACAGGGUUGUCGAGAGAGGACCGCGGCAAGGGCAUCGCGCCCAAUCAGUGAGACCGUGGUAGCAUAGUAGCUUUCCUUUUUUGCAUUAGUACACCUAUGUAUUUGAGAGAUGCAUUGUAGGUGAGGAUUUGGAGAGCUAUGUAUUUUGAGAGCCAUCGCGAUACAUACUCGCCGUGCGAGAUUGGGCGCCGAAGUGGAUUGCGGUGGGCUAGGCUCAUCCCUAGAGUGGAGAUGUUGACUACUACGGGGCCAUUAGGCACGGCACCGGCCAGACAGCCUACGGGUGGGUCUUCAGGCCAGACAGCCUUCGGGCGGGUCUUACAAGAUUUAAACUUUAAGUAGUUAACAUGCCAAGUGGAUAUUGAUAGAAUAGUAAACAAUGACAUUGUACUAUUUAGCUUGUGGGGUAUUAUGUUAGUUACACUCAUGUAUUUACAUGUUACAGUAGCUUCAUUACUUAUGAAAAUUCAUGCUAAGUAGAGACAUCGUGUGGUAGCAAGUUUACAUGUUUAUUUACAUGUCGUUCAUAUCGUUUUUAUUUGUUUACUUACCUAUUUAGCUCUUUUGGGCCUAGUGGUGCUUUUCAUUGAAGUCAGUAAUUGCCCACUGGAAACUAUUAAUUAAUAGUUCUCACGCCCCCUGUUUUAUGGUUUUAUUUCAGAGCCUUCAGCACCGGCAGAGGCACGGGAUCGCGGCAAGGGUGUCGCCUUGCUAGAUAGUGGGGAGCUACUUGCUCUUAGGUGGUUUACUCUUUCUUUUGUUAUAAUAGAGAGAGAGAGAUUUUUGUACCAUGUAUAGAGACCACCUAUGUACUCGUUUAUCACUUGUUUUGGGUCAUCUUUUGUACCACUUUAUGGUUUUAUUAGUUGUUGUUGGAUCUUUUAUUCGCUUUCCUUGUUAUAGAUUCUAGUUGUACUAUGCUCUGAUACUCCUAGACGUUCUCCUUUUAUUGCUUUAUUUAUCGUUUUAUUGUAGAUGCCUUAUAUGUUUUAGACAUAUGGCGGGUCUGGGCACCCGCCGGGCGGGCUUCCGCUGGGUCCCGGGGCGUGACACUGGUAGAGCCAGUGCCGAUGCAGUCAAGGUGCCGGUGUCGAACCCCUCGGGCACUCGGUCCGGAAGUGGCCCUCCUGGCCACACAAAAAACAUGUAACACACUGGACCUUUGCAAAUUGCGAGGUUCGAGUGUUCGAGCUGUGUGCUGAGCAAUUCCAGAUUUUCUGGUGGGUCGAUGACAGUGUUCCGACCUAUGGCUCGCAUCCCGAGAAGUGAGGUUUAAAGCCGAGCACGAAAACCCGAAAAAUCGGAUUUUUGGGUAGCUCUCGGGUUGCCUUCGGAGGGCUGUGUACCGGUACGGGAGUGAUGGCUGUACCGGUACAGCCAUCGACUUUGGCCGAUUCUCAGCCAACCCGAGGCUCGGGCUGGGCGUUUUCGUAGGAGGUGUUCCGGUACGCGGGCCCGUGUACCGGUACGCAGUGCAGAUUCUGAGCAGUUUGAACUGCAGGGGGGUUUUCGCAAUUAUGGCGUCUCUAUUAGUACCCCCACGCCCUAGGGGUCUUCCCUGAGCUUGACACCAGCAAGGAGAAGGGUAAGGGAGCCCUCCACACUCUUCCAUUCCCUUUACUUGUUUUUGCUUGGAUUUUUAUGGGAUUAAGCUCUCUUUUGCUUGAUUAGAGACUUCCUCACCUCGAUUGAAGCUUGGAGCUUGGCUUUGGAGCCUUGUUGGGGGGAGACCCUUGGACUUGGAGAGUUUAGAGCUUAGAUUGAAGCUUCUAAGAGGUAAUCUACUUGCUCUCUCCCUCUAGAUAUGAAUUUUAUUGAUGGAUUCAAGAUCAAACCCUAGAAAUGGAAAUUUAGGGUUUAUUUGGGCAUUUUGCAUCUAGGGCUUUUGGAGCUAGAUUGAUUGGAUUAGAACCUUCCUUGGGCUUGGAUUGGAAGGAUUCUAGCCCUCCUUUGGAACUUGGGAGCGGAUUUCUACUCUUGGGGUGAGUUUUGGCCCUUUUUGCUUCUAGGUUAAUGUUUGAUCCUAUAGCAUGAUCGUAAUGCCCGUGUAUCUUAUCGCUCAAUACUUUUAGGGUAUUUUGAGACUCGGGGACAACUUGGUUCGGCAAAACGAGGCACUACGCGACGGUUCGGUGGGUUUGACCUAGCCACACAAUGAGAAAUUCUCAUUUGUGAUUAAUUAAGUAUCGUUAAUUGAAAAAGCAUGCAUAUUCUUGUUAUAUGUAUUUAAUAUGAAUUUUAGAAUGCUUAACAUGCAUACAUUAUGUAUAGUGAAAUUUUAGACCCCUAUGUGGUGGAGUGCAUGCAUGUGAGACUUAGCAAUCUAGUUAUGAUUGGGAACCAUGAUUCCGAUUAUGGAAAUGAACCUUGCUUUCAUGCAUUUAACCUAUAUGCCAAUUGUGACAUUAGAAAUUUUUAGAAGCCUAGAGAGGGCUUGAGGACUUGGACUAUUUGAGAAUUGGGUCAAUGUCAUAAAGAGGCAUUGGGCCCGGGUCAUGGUAAUCUUUGGUAUUAAUGUUUUAAUUGAGACAUAGAACCAGAAUUGGGCUUGAUCUGUUGAGUCGCUUAAGUGUCAUAAAGAGGCACUAAGCAAGUGAGGGUUGGGACAUCACUUAGAGACAUUGGGCUAGAUCCUUGGGAUGCUAGUGACCUUGCCAUGUUAGAGACAUGUGGAUAGAGUAUUUGAGACAGUGACCUUGCUUGUUUGCCAUUUGUGCUCAUUCGCACAUGCUUGUGUGGGUCGCUCCCUACAAGCCGGCACUCCGGAGUUAGCCUACGCGACUUAUGUUCGCUCGUGCGGUAUCGAGAAGCCUACGGGGUCGAGUGGGACAGACACAUUCCAAGAGUAGGGAUGUCGGGCUACCACAGACACUUAGGCGGCACAAGCUGGACUACCUUGGGUAGGUCCUUAAUUGGGAAUGGAAAACGACAUGGUGUCGAGUGGGUUUUAAUCACUACUAGAUAGGCUUAGUAGUUGGAUUAUUUGAUAUGCUCAUGACAUAGCAUCGGGACAUAUAGUAUACUUGCUUGUUUUAAUUAUUCUAUCGUAGUAUACUUGGUUGUUUUGAUAGAGCUUAUUUCCUAUGCAUUGACAUACUGCAUCGAGAUGCUUACUUGUCGGUUACGAUUGGGACUUAAUAGUCAUGCUUUGGACAUACUUACCAUGAUAGAGUAGAUGUACUAUACUUUGACAUCCUGUUUACUUGAGAUAUAGUGGUUUAGCACUUCAAUUAUGCUUUCGUAUUGCUAUUACUAUUACUCUUAUUAUUGCUUCUAGUACUUACCCUUUUCUUUUGGGGCCUAGUGGUGCAAUGGGCUACGGUCAGUAAUUGCCCACUGGGAACUAUAAAUUAUAGUUCUCACGCCCUCUUUUUCUCGAUGUUUUUCAGAGCCUUCCACGCAGGGUGAGGCCAGGGAUCGCGGGAAGGGAGUUGCUUCGAGCUAGCUUCCUUCGAGAACGAGUUGCUAGGUGGUCCACCUCUCGAUUUAUGUUUUAUUUUGCGAGAGGUUGAGAGUUUUACCAGUGUACUAGAGACCACCAUUUUUGUACUUUUGAGACAGAUUGUGUACUACUUAUGGUUUCUUUCCUUGUCUAGUUACACUUCUUUUACUCUGGUUUAGAUGAUAGAACUGUAUUCGCUCUGAUAUCACUAGUUGUUAUCAUUCUAUUUGUUCUAUUUCUUGCUUUUACUUCCGCUUGUAUUGUAGACGCCUUAUAUGUGUAGACAUAUGGCGGGUCUGGGCACACUACCGGGAGGGCCCCUGCCGGUCCCGAGGCGUGACAAAACACCUCCCUCCCCGCUGUGGGCACUGCGGUGGAAUAUGGGGGCCACCACAGAUCACACACUGGGGAGGUCGGUAUCGAUCAGAUCCUCCUCGCUGUGCUGCCGAGCCGCGCCCACGCUGCUUGCUCCUAGGGUGCUUCGGCGGCCUCCUAAAGUGCGUCUGACUCGCACCCUCAGCCGCGGGCCUAUUGCCCCUUACUCUUGUCCAUGCCUUCUCUCCGCUCUUGCACAUCUGCCGCGCUGCUCUCCACAAUGAGCGCGCGAUUCACCACCUCCCGGUAGGUUUGGAGGUUAGAGGAUUGCACAAACCGGAAGAUAGACGGUCGCAAUCCUCGCUCGAAGAUGCGGGCCUUGUCCUCGUCGUCCCGCACAAUGAAAGGCAAGCAGUGUAGAAGCCGAGAAAACUCCCUCUCAAACUCAGCUACGGUCCGGUCUCCCUGGCGCAAGUUGCACAAGUCCUGCUCCAUCUUCCUCUUGACACUGUCAGGGAAGUAGUGCGGCAAAAGAAGCUCCUUGAACUUCUUCCAAGAGAUAGCCGCCAAGUCCGUGCUGGGGUUCUCCUGAAUGUCCAACCACCAGUGGUAGGCCUCGCCGUCCAAGUGGUGUGUGCCGAGCCAAACUCGAUCCCUCUCCUCCACGAAGGUGUCACGGAAUAGCUUCUCAAUGUGCAUUAACCACUUCUCCACGAUCCAGUGGUCGACCUUCUCUCCGUCGAAAAUCCAGGGACUGCACCUCCUGAACUCAUUGAGGCGAUCCAUGAGCCGGUCCCGCUCUGCUCCCUCAACUAAUGCGGGAAAAAGUGCCCCCGCCCGAGGCACCUGAGCUGGUGGUGCCACGACAACCUCCUCCCGAGGUGCGACCGCAGGUGUCGUCCGAGAUGUGUCGUGGACGGGGGACGACCCCCUAGGUGCGACCACAUCCACAGGCGCGGGUGGUGUAGGAAUCUGAGCCUCCCAAACCACCGCAUGCUGCAGUAAAAGGUCCUCCAGGCGCUUCAUCCACGCCUCCUGUCGCGCGCUGCCUCUGUCUGCUGUCGCGCCGCCUCCACCUGCUGAGUCACCAAGUCGGUGAGGGCCGUAAGCUGGCUCCUCAACUCACGGACCUCGCCGGAUCCGGAGGUAGCGGAGGUCUCGACCUUCUCAAGGUGUGCCGCAUUAUCCGCUCCAGCAGAUUGAGAGCGUGUUAUCAGCAUUUCACUACAACAUCAUAAAAGCGCAAGUUAAUAAAACCCACGCUAUCGAAUCCCCGCUCAAGUAGAUAAUACCCAAAUCAUGCGAAAGUAAGGAAGUGUCCUUCACUACUAACUCCCGAUGUUACGUUGUCAGCCGCCAACGUAACCCUCCGCGAAGUUAGAAGCCAUACACUUCGAUUAAACUCCAACUUUUUAGAGUUAUAUUAAAACCCAAUCGUGAUACUUUCGCUUACAAGUCAAAUAGACCUCGUCUCUCACGAGCCUAUUUCCUAUAGUCCAACCGGCCUAAGGUUUGCUAGGUCCACUAAGACUCAACCCUAGGCUCUGAUACCAAAAUAAUCUGUCACGCCCCGGGACCCAGCGGAAGCCCACCCGGCAUGUGUCCAGACCCGCCAUAUGUUUAAAACAUAUAAGGCGUCUACAAUAAAACGGUAAAUAAAGCAAUGAUAAAAGAACAUUUAGGAGUAUCAGAGCAAAGUGCAACUAGAUUCUACAAUAGAGAAAUAAACAAAAGGCUAAAAUCCACUAAGAAAGGACCAUACAGUAGUACAACGAAACCCAAAUACAAGUGCUAAGAGUAAAACAAUGGUUCUCUCUAUACAUAGGAACAAAACUCUCCCUCACCAAAACACAAAAGAGAGUAAACCACUGUAACAUACCGGAUUUUAAUUUAAAAGUAAAAAUAAAUAAAGAUAGUGUGAGAUACUAUUUUUAUUGGAUUUAGAGAAAUAAAAUAUAAGUCGGAGACGACUUGUGCUGAAAUCGGAACGAAAACAGAAGAUAUCUGUACCUGAGCUGCUAAACUGAAAUUAAAUUGUGUAUUGUCGAGGGGACUAUUGUGUAACAAAAGGAGUUGUCUUCUUCCUCCCUCUCCCACAGCCGAACACACCACACACCACACACGCACACAUAGUGAGGAGAGAGAAACUCCCCUUUCUCUCUCUAGAUAUCUCCCUCAUCUCUCUAGAUCUCUCUCUAAAAAUUUGAGGGUUGGUGAAGAGAAAGCUUGGGAACUCGUUGGGAGCAUCGGAUCGGGCCUUCGUGCGCCCGGUUGAGCGGCGUGCCUCCGUCUCGACGUUCACGUUUUGGUAAGCUUUUGGGAUUUGGCUUAAUCCUUAUUGCUUAGUAUUCCAGUAGCCUCUAAUGUGUUGUUAGCAUGUUAAAUCUAUUUAAUUUGGGUUAUUUGGAGCAUGUGUAGAGGCAAGGUUUAAAAUGGUGAAUUUCUAGGGUUUAAAUUAUAUGCUAUAGAAUUGGAUUUAGAGGAACCCUUAGAUGCUAAAUGGAUGACUAUUGCAUGAAUUAAGAGGUUAUGUGAUGAUUUCUUACAAUAGUGCAUCUUAGGGCUCAAAAAUAGAGUUUUGCUUUGUGUUUGGGUUUGAUCUAAAUUAACCAUAUACAAACCUAAUUGCUAGGUAUACGAACGCGUUGGCGAAGUCGGUUCGGCGAUUCGUCGAGCCGGUGCGAAGAUAUUGAAGAAACAGACGUUUCGGCUUCGUUUCCGCCUAGAGGGCCGAGACGACGUCCAUAAAUCACAAGAAUGGAUCCGGAGCAUCGUGGCAUCAAGUUAUAGACCUUAAAUUUUCGGAUUGUGGAUUGGUGGCCGUUUGGUGGCCGUUUGGUGGUCGAGUGUGAGUUCGAGCAGAACCGGGCGGCGGGUGCCGCGGGAGGCCGAUUGCAAAUGACUACAAGCAAUCGGAACGCGAUAACAGGUGGAUUGUGCUUUACCGAAGUGAUUAGAUCACUUCCAUGUCAAAGUGAAGUGUGGUUCAUAAUUGAUGCAUAUAGUGGUAGUUAAUUGUGGACAUGAAUGCAUGUGAUUGAUACUAGUUGAAAACAUAAGAUAUAUACUACAUGUAUUGACUACCAUUGGAGAACUAAAGGAUAGAUGCAUGUUGACAUAUUGUUAGUAUAUGUUAGAGGUAAUAUGCAUGUUAACAUUAUGGAAAUAUGCUAGUUGGUAUAUAUAUAUAGACAUAUUGUGGAAUAUGAUAAAUGGAAUAUGCAUGUUGACAUUGUGGAGUAUGCUAGAUGAAAUUAUCCAUGUUGGCAAGUUGUAAAAUGUGCUAAAAGGUAUAUGCAUGUGCAAUUGUGACAUUGUGGCAUUUGACAUAACAAUGAGAACUUAGAAACAAAGUGACAUGUUGACAUAAAUGUAGAUAGUGGCAUUGAUGAGUCUUGAAUACUAGUGUUACAAUAGUGACAUCAAUGGGACAAGAAUGCUAGAUUACAAGUGUGGCAUUAAUGAGCACUUAGUGUGGCAUGAAAAUGAGUAUAAAGAACAAGUGAUGAACUUGAACAAGUAAAUGACAUAGAAGAGUGGCAUUUGGAACUAGUGUAGUAGGACACUUGGGACAUUAUUGUUGAGCUUGGUAUUUAUCCCGGUUUGAUUACCACUAGUUGGUAGGGUAUCCCCGGGCUAGAGGAUUGGAUCAUACUCACAUAGUCUAUUCUUAGCUUGGCGGGGGUCGCUCCCCUCAAGCAGUGCACUCCGGAGUUGUCAUACGAGGGGCUAACGUACUUGCCCAUGGACUAACGUACUUGUCCAGCAGACGGUCCCUCGGGUGGUUCGAGUCCUCCGAUUUAGAGGGAUUUGGUUAGUGAGGUUUGGAACCCGGCGGGAGGAAGCUAAGGGCCCGACGGGUUAGCCAUCAGAUUGAGUAAUAAAAUUGGCAAGUUGUUGGUUGAGACGAAACCUACGGGUUAGCCAAAAGGACCCAGAAUUGAAAAGUGGAUCUUGUAUUCAUCAUGAAUUUACUCAAGACCGAGUCGAGUGGCAUAGUUGGCUAAGGUAAGUGUAACCUUUGGAAAGAAUGAUAAAUGAGUAAAGUGUGGUUAAGAAUAAAGAGUAAAGAAUGGCAAGUGAUAAAGAAUUGCUAAUAAUAUAAAGAAUGGUAAAUGAUAGAGAGUAGAAUCAAUUAAUCUACUUGCAUGAGUUGCAUGAUUUGCAUAUUGCAUAUUGUGAGGUAUGAACAUGAUAAUUGUUAGUUGCAUAAAUUAUAUAUCUGUAGAUAUUUGUUGGACUAAUAUGUUGCAGUGCCUCAUUUGGACCUGGUGGGUUGAGCUUUUUCCUUGGGUGGCCGUACCCACUGGAAACUAUGGACAAUAGUUCUCACCCCCGUAUUGUUUUUGGGGGUAGAGGUUCGCACGUGAGCGGUGCGGCGGGCCGAGGCGAGGGCGUAGCUCCAUAGUUAGCGCCCUACCACCGAGACCAGAGAUAGCGGUACCCUGAGUCAGCUACUUAGGGAUUGUAAGAAAGAAAAGAACCAAGUUGUAAUAAUUAUGUUAAAGUUGGAUUGUAUGUGGAAGUUAAAAAGAGUUAAAAGAGUAUGAAAAGUGUAAUAUGUGAUGUAAAAUGUAAUAUGUGAGUUGAAUGCAUGUAAUAACUUAGUUGUUUAUGUUUUCGAUACUUUCCUUAUGAAAUCUAUGCUUGUAUGUUGUUCCUGGUUGGAAUCUCGCGCAUUGUAUGGAUUGUGAUGCCUUGGAUGUACAGGGGAGACUCUGUCCGCGGUACAGGAAAAAUCCUGUCCGUUCGAUGGUCUGUUGGCGUACCCGAAACCCACCAAAUAGGCGGGCUCGGGGCGUGACAACCACCUAGGAGCAAAAGCAAGCUCCGCUAUCUAGCUACGCGACCCCUUUGCCGCAAUCCUGUGCCUCCACCGAUGCUGAAGGCUCUGAAAGAAAACCAUAAAACAGGGAGCGUGAGAACUAUUAAAUAAUAGUUCCCAGUGGGCAAUUACUGACUUCAGUGAAAAGCGCCACCAGGCCCGAAAUCUAAGCAGGUAAGUGCGAAUAAAUAAGCAAUAUGAAUAACAAGUAUUUAAACAUGAAUACUUACUAUACCAUGAUGUCUCUACUUAGCAUGAAUUUGCAUAAGUAUGAUGCUAUUCUAACAUGUAUAUGCAUGAAUAUACAACCAACAUGAUAAUCCCAAUGUAAUCAAUAAGAUGUCAUUGUUUACUAUUCUAAUCAAUGUCCACUUGGCAUGUUAUAUCACUAGAAUCCCAAUCCUGUAGGACCUACCCGUAGGUAGUCCGGCCUGCACCGUGCCUAAUGGCCCGGUGGUAGUCAACAUCCCCACUCUAGGAAUGAGCCUCCCCCACGGCAUCCCAUUUCGGCGCCCAAUCCUGCACGGGCGAGCAUGUGUCGCGAUGGCUAUCUCCGGAGUGCCGGCUUGUGGGGAGUGACCCUCACAAGCAUGUGCGAAUGAACACAAUGGCAAGCAAGCGUAAAAGUCCGUCUCAAGUCCCAAGUCAUCAUGUCUAAAAUAUGGAAUGUAGCGAACGUCUCAAUGGCCUAUCACUAUGUCAUCAUGUCUAAAACAUGGAAUAUAGUCGAUGUCACAAUGGCCUAUCACUAUGUCUCUACGUUACAGUUUAACAGUUUACUAGUUCGGUGCCCCUUUAUGGCACUUUUGUUCACUUUGUCCAAACAUGAGUUAGGAGUUCAAGAGUACACAAUGCUAGUUCUUUUCAUCAUAUGAGACAUGUUUCCAAUCCACAAGAAAGAAUACUACUCACAUGCAUGUAUAAUCCACAUAAGGCUCUACUAUAUAGAGUUGAAUUUUCAUGAUACAUAACGCAUGCAUUUUAAGAAUUCUAAAUUCAUAUAAAUCCCAUCUAGCAUGAAUAUGCAUGCGAUACGAGGAAACGAAAACUUUUAACCACUUAGGAGAAGAUUUCUCCUAUUCCAAUGAAGCCAAACCCACCGUGACUCUCGCAACCCUUCGUUCAAGCCGACGAAGGUGAUCACUACUCUCCUAGUACCCUAAAGGUAAGAAAAAGAGAGGUACACGAACGUUACAAACAACCCAUUGCUCAAACAUUAAGCAACUCAAGAAAAAUGGUGAAAACUCACCGAAUGCGAAGAAACCUCGAUCUCCAAAAGGGAGUUAAAGGCCCUCUAAUCCAACCUAAAUAAAGAUUCUAAACCAAUCAAUUUGGUUCCAAAAGCCUCAAAUCCAAAAUCCCCAAAAUAAACCCUAAUUUCCAAUUCUAGGGUUUCAUUUAGUAGAAUCUACCAAAACAAUAAUCAAAGAGGGGAUUAAGCCUACCAACCUCAAAUGAAGCUCCCAACAAGGCUUCAAGUCCUCCAAGGUUGAAGAUCUUCCUCCAAAAGAGCUCUAACAAAAGCUUCAAGCUUCUUCCAUGGUGGAAUCCCAAUAAGAAGCAAGAAAAAGUAAAGAGGAGGAGAUCAAAACUAGCUAAAACCCAUCAAAAAUGGAGAAGAAAUCAAUGGGGAGAGUGCUCACCUUGUUCUCCACUGGUUAGGGCUCAAAAGAGCUCUCUAAGAUGGCUGGGGUGGUAUAUAUAGAGUUGCAACAAUUGCAAAAACAACCCCCAACAAAAACAGCCCUCACUGCCAAGUGUACCAGUAUACGGGAAAGUGUACCGGUACAAACCCAGUGUACACGCGAACCCGAGGCUCGGGUUGGCAGAAAAUCCCAUUUGUACCGGUACAAACAUCAAGGUGUAACCGGUACACUUUCUAUACCGGUACAACCAUCAAGAUGUACCGGUACACAGCCCAGCAAACUGCAACCCGAGAGCAGCCUAAGUCCAUCCCUUUGGUGACCUUAGCGCUACUUUAAAUGCUUCAAUUCUCGGAAUAUGAGCCAUAGGUCGGAACACUGUCAACGACCCUCCAGAAUAUCUGGAAAAACUCGGAACACUGAUCAAACACUCGAACCUCGCAAUUUGCAAAGGUCCAGUGUGUUACACUAUCUCAUGCAUCAGCUCAAAUAACUAUAAUAAAUAUAUAAUAUAAUUCAAUCAUACAAAGACUGACUCAACUUUUCGGUCAAGUCUGCGCUAGCUUGUCCCAACCACUAGCAUUGCCAAGGUUGAGGCCCGCUGCAAGAGGCUACUAUCUGUCUGUCUACAUGUUUGGUCUAUGCCAAUGCUACAUCUUUGAAGGGUGUAAUAUACCGAGAAUUCAGGAAAUAAAUAUCGAACUUUAGUCAAAUUGACCAAAGUGCGAGGACGGUACACUUCGGAAAGUCCGAAGGUGUUAAAAUGAUCAAAAGUGCGUUAUGAGAGGUUUUUGAGAGCUAGAGAAUCAAAAAUCUGCAAACUGCAGUUUUGAGCUCUUGGGGACCGGUCCGUGAAGGAGAGACCUGUGCACGAAUGCGUGAAAACUGAGAAAGCUGAAAAAUCGGCUAAGUCCCUGAGAUUAGGCUCUCGGGAACCGGUCCCUACUGGAGAGACCGGUCCCCAAGAGACCGGUCCCCCCAAAGAGAGACCGGUCGCAUUGCGCGGGAGCCCUGGCUGCCCUCAGGGAGGAGCUUCGUGAACCGGUCCCUGGUCGGGGAGACCGGUCCCCGCACACGAAAUCUGCCCAGUUUGGGCUGUUUAAUAAAAUGGAAGUUGAGGGGUUUAUUUGCAAUUAUGCAACCGAAUAGUUAUGUAGAGGGCAAUGAGGGCUUUUUCUCUCAUUUCUCACCCUCUCACACUCUCUCCUCUCUUUCUCUCUCUAGAAGACAAGAAGAGGAAGAGGAAGAAGAAGACAAAGUAAAGGAAGAAGAAGAAGAAGAAGGAGAAGGAGUAGAAGAAGACCAAGGAGUGGGGCAUCCCCAUCUUCUUCCUCUCUAGUGCUAGAAAGGAAAGCUUUGAGGUAAGCUUUGGUCCUUCUUAUAAUAAAACCCUAGAAAUGGUUUUGAUGGAACCCUUAGAGUAUUUGAAGCUUUUUCUUGCUUCUUUUUUAGAUCAAACCAUGGAAAUGGAGUGUAUAGUGAUGCUUAGAGGUGAGCUUCAACCUCCUCUCAUGGUGGAACCCUAAAUAGGGUUUUGAUUUGUCUAAGAAUGGUUUUAUGGACUUCCUAGUGUAGAGUGAAGCUUCUUUUACUUCCUAAUGAGAUCAAACCCUAGGUUUGAUAUAUGCUAUGGAGCUAGGGCACCCAAAUUGGGGCUUUUGCUCGUGAUGUUUCUAAAGUGCAAUUGACCCUCUAGAAACCUAAUUGGGGGUAUUUCCGACACGUUGGUGCGCUCGGAUUAACGUUACGAAAAGCCGAUGUAAAGUUAUGGCCAAAUAAGCCUAAUUUGGCUUCGUUAACUCGCAGGUAGCGAACCGGGUGUCUAAAAAAUCCUAAGAAAAUCAUCGGAGCACCUUUGAGAACCUACGAGGUGGGUGGUGCUAUCCAAACUCGUUGAACUUCCUUCUAUGCCUAAUGUGUCAUUCAAUUGAGCAUGUGUUGUAUACAUUGUUACAUGCAUUAUAGGGUAGAUGUGAUGAUAUACAUGUGAAUGUUGCAUGAUGUCAGUACACGUGCUAUUUGAUAUGUUUGAGAGCAAAUUAACCCUAUAUGUAUGCAUGAGAUGUAAUGUGAGCACCCAAUGAGUGGAAAGAACAAAGUGACACAAUGAGACAUAGAUCGAGUGGCAUUCGAUAAUGUAAAAUAAUGUGACACUAGAGUUAGUGUGUGGCAUUAAAGAGAAAUGUGAUGCAAUGAUAAUGAUUAGAGGCAAGUAAAGAAAAUGAAAGUGGCAUAAAGAACGAGUAAAGUUAGAGAGCAAUGAUUGCUAGAGUUAGCAAAAUAAAGUGAUGUAAAGGACACUAGAGUUAGUGUAAAGACAAUGAUUGAAUUAUAUAUAUAUCCUUAGAGUUAAGGAUUGAUCACACUUGCUAUGAGUUCCGUGCUCGAGGGCGGUCGCUCCCCCUCGGGCGAUGCGCUCCGGAGUUUUGCAUCAAGGGUUGGAGUAAACCCAAGGACGGUCUUAGCGGGAGGAAGCUGAGGGCCCGCGAUGAUGGACUUAAUGUGGGCAAGUUAAUGUGGCGAAACCCCCGGGUUAGCCAUGAGAUUAAAGAACAAAGAACAAAGCUUAAAGAACAAAGAGUAAAGAACAGGAACUUGCAUACUUGCAUGAUUUACGUUGAGCAUAUUUCCUGUUUUAUUGUUCAGGCAUAUUAGCAUCAUGAUUAUAGUUUGGUUACUAUUCUGCUUAUCCUUUCUAUUAUGCCUGAGUUAGUCCUAGUGGGAAAGUCGGUGAUGUUUGGGCUGAACCCACUGGGAACUUUGUUGUAGUUCUCACCCCACUAUUCCACAGAGCCGGGACCGAGCGAGCCGGCGAGCGACCGCAGUAAAGGUAUCGCACCUUAGUCAGAGGCCACCCGAGUUGGGUUACUUACAUUUUGUUAGUAGUUUACCCCUUUUAUCAUCUUUGUAUUUGAUGAUUUAAGAUGCUAAUGUAUAAAACAAAGAUGGAAAAGAAUGUAAUGUUUAUUUUGAGCAAAUGCGAUGUGAAAAGAAAUGAUGCGAAGACUAUGUAAAGAAUUGUGAAUGAAAGUGAUAGAUACUUGUAUGUGAUCAAAAAGAAUCAUAGUACUAGUUGAAUGCUUAGUUUCCUAUCUUUCACUCAUGGCUAUUGCUUACCCUUGUGUAAACCGUUUGUGUAUGUUUCCGCUAGUGCACUUCUUGUUUGGAAUUGUACAUGUGAUGAGCCUUGGGCGGACAGGAGAAACUCUGUCCGUUCGGCGUCUGUUUGACGUGCUCGGGCCGACCCAAAUUAGUAUCGGUCCCGGGGCGUGACAAAGGGUCACCUUGAAGGGCGUGAACCCUAUACAACAUACUAUUAAGCUCAAUGUGGCUCUACAGGCUAUAAUCAAUAUAAUGAUCAAACAAAUCACCAUAGAUACCCUAUCACUGUGCCUCAAACAUGAUAUACUAUCCCACUGCUCUUAAUACAAUAAUACUGUCGCAAUGUUUUCAGCAUAAUCAUAAAAUGUCCACUGACUAACUUAUCACAAUGCUCAUAAUAUCUAACAACAUAAUUAUAGUCAUUUAGUAAAAAAUGAUAGUAGGAACCCAAAAUCUAAAGAUAACUCAACCUAUUGUCUAUAUAGUCUCUCCUAGAAUCACAAUCGCAUAUAUACUAACAUGUACUAUAAUUUAAAACUCGUAUAUCCACAUACCAACAUGCACCGUAGAGAUUAAAUAAUAAAUAUAUCAUGUAGGUCACCCAACCGUGAAAUAUCAAAUAUCUAUACACAUAUCAUACUGUCAAAAUACCAUAACAUAGCACUCAUAAUCGUACAUACAUGUUCUCUUGCUAUUAGCAUCCUGACCACAUAAUUGAACGACCUCGUAUGUCAACAAUUAGACGACCUCAUAUGUCAAUAAUCAAACGAACCCCACAAUCCAUAAAUUGCCAUGACCAAAAUACAACAUCAUGCACCAUAAUUUAUCAUGCUCAACAAAUAUCCACAUUUGAUUGCUAACAUAGUGAUACCAUAGAGAAGUUUAUUACUCCAACAACAAGCAUGCAACAUAAUAGAUAUAAACAGUAAUAUGUAAUUUUCGACAACACGAAACCUACCUCAAGCGCUAAUCCUAGGAAAACAAUUAAUGGACAACAUAUCACAAGGUGCUCUACUACAGUCUCAUUGUCCAUAUAGCAGCCACAGCAUGCAAAAUUCGCUCGAAAAUUUCCACAAUAAAAUUUGACAAAAUCUGAUCCCUAAAUCACGUAGGGCUGGUAAUCCAGCUCGCCAUUCGCGAGUCAGCUCGUGUUCGGCUCGAAAUGAGCUCAAGACUGACUCUAUCAUUUAGUAAACGAGCCGAACACCAGCUAAAUUUUUCAGCUCAUUCAAUAAACAAGUCAAACACGAGGUAGGAUCAGCUCGCUCGUAUUCGGCUCAAUAACAGCUUGAUUACAUUUAUUUUAUAUUAAUAUCAUUUAUAGAUAUAUAUUAUAUAUAUAUAAAUAUAUAAUUAUAUUUGUAUAUAAAUAAAUAAUACAAAUUAUUAAUUUUGAAUUUUUAGUCCAACUUAAAAACAAAGCCCAUCUUAUUUAUAAAGAGGCCCACUUAUAUUUAGAAUUUCAACCGUUGGAUCAAAAUCUAGAAGAUAAUGGGGGUGUUUGGCCUAGCUUCUCAGAAGUCAUUCUGAGCCCAAAAUCACUUUUGAGCUCAGUAGAGCAUUUGGGAACGACAGACGAAAAUCUGAUUCUGCUUCUCAGAAUUAGAAAACUGAUUUUGAAGGCUUCAUAAUCAGAAACAGAAAAACGCUGCUUCUCCAAAAUUGAUUCUGAUUUUGGACUCAAACUUCAAAUUUUUAUUUUUAUUUUAGAUUCAAACUAUAAAUUUAACAUUAAAUUUAAAUUCAUAUUUGAAUUUUUAAAUCUCAACAUUUCAAAUUCAAAAUUUAAAAUUUAGAUUUUAAAUUUUAAAUUUAAGUUUCAAAUCUCAAAUUUUAAAUUUUAAAUUUUAAAUUCAAAAUUUUAAAUUUUAAAUUUAAGAUAAAAUUGAAAUUUUGACAUUGCAGAUUUUAAAACUAAAAUUUAAAAUUUGGAAACUUUAAAAUUUAAAAUUACAAGUUUUAAUUUUCAAAUCACAAAAUUCAAAUUUAAAUAUCAAUUUUAAAUUUCAAAAUUUUAAAUUUUAAAAUGUAAAUUUGAAUUUUACUUUUAAAUUUCACAAUUUUAAAUUUAAAUUUUAAAUUUUGAAUUUUAAUAUUUAAAUUUUGAAUUUUAAAAUUUUGAAUUUUGAAUUUUGAAUUUUAAGUUUUAAAUUUUAAAUUUUGAAUUUGAAAAGUUUCAAAUCUCAAAUUUUAAAUUUUAAAUUCAAAAUUUAAAAUUUUAAAUUUAAGAUAAAAUUUAAAUUUUGACAUUUCAGAUUUUAAUACUUAAAUUUAAAAAUUUGAAAUUUUAAAAUUUGAAAUUAUAAAUUUUAAUUUUCAAAUUACAAAAUUCAAAUUUUAAAUCUUAAUUUUAAAUUUCAAAAUUUUAAAUUUUAAAUUUUAAACUUUAAAUUUUAAAUUAUAAGUUUUAAAUUUUAAAUUUUAAAAUGUAGAUUUUGAUUUUACUUUUAAAUUUUGAAAUUUAAAUUUUGAAAUUUCAAAAUUUAAAUUUUAAAUUUUAAAUUUUUAAUUCAAAUUUCAAAUCUUAACUUUAAAUUUGAAAUUCAAAAUUUAAAUUUAGAUUGGAAAAUUGAAAAUUUAAAUUUAAUUUAAAAAUUCAAAUUUUAAAUUUGAAAUUUCAUUUAUUUUUGUACAAAUUUGAAAUUUAAAAUUUUAAUUUAAAUUCCAAUUUUAAAUUAUUUUAAAACAAAAUUUAGUAAAAAUAUUAUAUAUACAAGCAUCAAAAAUUUUUACUAAACAGGUUUAGAAAAUUAUUUUAGAAAAAUUACUUUUUAUCUAAAUUCAACCAAAUGCUUUUCAGUUUUUCACCAAAAUUAAUUUUUCAAACCAAAAUUACUUAUGCAGAAAUCACUUUUACAGAAGUUAGGCCAAAGAGGCCCAAUAUUCUAUCAACUUUUAACUUUCCCUCUUCCUAACUUUCCCUCUUCCUAACCCCUUUUCCUAACCCUAGUUUCUUUUUCCCUUUUCUUUUCACACUUUACACACGCAGCCGGUUCUUUCUUUCUCUAUGUCUACGCCCAAAGACACCUCCGGCAGCGCUCUUCCUACUUCGCCGUUCGCACACUCCCGGCGGUGCAUUCUUCACUGUUCGCAUAUCCCGAUGGAACUUGAGCAGCAGCGCUUUCAGCAGGUUCGUUCUUCGUCUUUCAUUGAUCUUCAUCUUUUUUCUUUUUUUUUUCUCCCCUUUUUCUUAUGGUUUUUUGAGCAGAAUGUGAGGGAUUGUCUUUAUCGUAUCGGAUUGGCGCGAAAUCCACUGAAGGAUCAAAUGGCAACUAAGAAAGGGGGGGGGUGUGAAUUAGUUGAGAACUAAAAACUCAAGUAAAAUUAAAUUAAGAUAAAAAUUGCACAACCAAAUAAAAGAAAAAAAUCAAACUCAGAUAACACAGAUGAUUUAUCCUAGUUCGGCCUUUCUGCCUACUUCAGUCCGAUCCUUCUUCUCCUUGAGAUACCGAUUUCACUAUCACUUGGCCUUUUGAACAGGGCAAGACCAAAGCCGCUUACAAUCACACAAAACUUCUUUUACAACCUCUCAAUGAAGCUCACAAUUACAAAUCAAUGAACAAUUAGGACUUAGAGAAUUUUUCUGAAGUUGUAUCACAAACAACAUCCAAGCCCCCCUUUAAAUACACUAGCCAUCAUUUCAAAAAUGGAACAAAUUAUGAUUAAAUCAUAAUUGAUUUUAAUUUGAAUUUUAACUAUUAAUCCUUUUAAAUUAAUACUACAAAUGAAAACUUUUUGAAUUCAUUCCACAUUUGUAAAAGCUUUUGAAAUAAUACCAUACAUAUAAAAUUCAUGCCAUAAUAAAAUCAAUUUUGAAUUUAUACCAUAUCUCUUUCAUACCAUAUUAAAAUAAUGGCUAAUUUAACAUUAAGUUUCAAUCAAAUCCAAAAGAUGAAUUGGUCAACUUGACUAGGUUGACCGGCUCAUAUCUGAUAAAUUGUAAAGAAGUCCUCCAGAUUAUUGUUGUGGCAUUUGCAUCCAAUUUGGUACAAUUUGAUCUUGUCCGGACCAAUUUGAACAAUUUGAUUGAAUGGUUACCUUUGAUCAAAUCCGGUUCAGCUUGAGCCACUUUAAAUUCAAUUACAAUCAGAAAUUGCUAAAUAACAAAUUAAAUCCAAAAUUUGUUUGUUAUCAUCAAAAUUUAUUAUUCGUUAAAAUCCAACAUCCACCACCGCUCAACUUCCUCCCCGUCGAGCACAAUAUUUUUGUGAGUAAGGUAGCGUUGAAUAAUCCAGCCAACGAGCCGAAAACGAGCUAGCUCGAAUAAAUUGCGAGCUGAUCACGAGCUAGACUUUUCGAGCUCGUCAUCAUGAGCCGACCUUGAACACUUUCGAGCCGAUCUCGAGCUGGCUCCGGCUCGCUCGAGUUCGGCUCGUUGACAGCCCUAGCUCCAUGUUGGUUAUUUGAUUUUUGCAACUCCUUUUUCUGUAAUCACUAAGGUUUAGAUGUUGGACAUAAAUUUAUUUUUUUUCAAUCUCGAAUUGCAAUUUGUAAAUUGUAAAUUCAUAGUUGUGAUAUCAAACAUGUUUUGAUCUUAUUUUGGUAUGCAAUAAUGAAAUGACCUUCCUGAUUGGUGAGACCCCUCGCUUUAGAUUACAAAGUAUUAUUCUUCAUGUUAGGGCUUUUUUAGCAAAAUUUGCAUAAAAUUGAUCUUCGUCUUGUUAUCGUCGAUCUGUUUUGAAUUGGCCUUCUCUUAGGUUGACGGAUAUUUCAUGAAUUAAGUUUUUACACUCCACCUGCUUGACUAGCAUUUGUUUUCAUCUUAGCUUCUGAUUCCUUCAUAGGACAAAGGUUAACAAUCAGAAUAUUAGUGAUGUAAUUACUAGUUGUAUGUAUUGGGUUUAAUACAAAUUACUAUUUAAAAGAGAAAUCAAGUUUCCUUUCGGAAAGAAAGUAGAAGGGAAAACAGCAGCAUUCAAUUUUCUAUUCUCCAUAUUGGCUGAUUUCACGUGUUCCUGAUGAAUUAACUUGUUCCCUUCUGAGUUGUCUCGCUACUGAGUUGUCUCCUUUUUCCUUUCUCUGAUAAUACUUUUGCAGGAUUUUCUUAUAAGCCUAAAAGAGAUGGUUGCUGUGCGGGCAAAGAAUGUAGGCUUUAGUGAUCUUGCUGAAAAGUUUGAUGUGAGAAUGCUUCGAGCUCUUUGUAUGUGUCACUGAAUUCCCCUAUUUGAGGCAAAGACUGCAAAUUUUUGUCACUUUUUUCUCAAUUUCAUGGUAUACUGAAAAAUAUAUCUGUUAUAAUUAGGAUGUGUUUGUUACAUUAGAAAUUGUAGUCAAUUAUCUAACUUGCAAAUUAAAAAAUUCCGUUGAUUUAAGAUUGUUUUCUCUGUAUCUCAUUAAACCUCUGUUGUAGCUAUACUUCUUUUCUAGCUGAAUUGUUUUGUGUCCUCUUGUCUUGGUCAAUCUCAAUUAAUCUUCCUAUUUUUUCGCUGGUUGUUCAUGAAUAUACACUUCAGUAAUGGAUUAUCUGCUUAAUACUAAUCAUUUUCUCCAUUUGGCAUAGUACAGUGAUAAACUGAAGUUGAGGUUAUACCAUUAGCAACAUGUAUAUAGCAAAAAGAUGCCUAAAAACAUUCAUUUUUGAGGUUUCCCAGUUUUUAUUUUUCUCUUUCUAUAUCUGGUUAUAAAGAUCUUGAUUUGCUUGAAAAUUGGAUAAAAUGGAGUAUACUUUUGGCUGGAGUGGUUUAUCUGGUGUCUUCUCUUAGACACACUAAAAUUACCUAACAGAUUCUUUUUGGUUCAAAUUAUCAUGAUUUUUCUCUGACGGGAGUGGACAUCUAAUUUUCACUUUAUUCCGCUCGUAACUCUUGUUACAAAUUCAUUCUGAUCUAACAGGAAAUUUCCAAUUGGCGAUCUAUGUUACUAAUUUAUUCUGGUCCUUUUUUUUGUGGAAAAUGGUUGCAAGUUUCCAAAUCAUGUUUCAAAUUCUAGACAUUCUGGUUGCAAUCUAUUCAUUUCGUUUCGAAACAAAUAUCUUUGAUGUUUCUCUUGUACUAAAAUCGUUGUAUGUAUUGUGACUCGCCUGUAUUGUAGCUUGUUUAGUCCAAUAACUUCUCAGGGAUUAUUUUGUUGGAAAAUUUCAAGGGGCGACUGAAAAGCGCCUCGACUGACCCAAAGUUGGUUGAGAUGCUAGCAUCAUUAGGUGGCAGUAGUCUGGCUCCACCUGAUCAGGAGAGCAGUUCUUGCUCUGAGCUUUCUAUCAAUGAUAUUUCAAUGCCAAGUUUUAUCACACCGAGACGAAAGAGGAUGCAGGAUGGGUAAGCACUAUGUCAUGCAUGCGUUUGUACUUAGUUUCUCAACCACGCAAUGGUAAAACAUUUGUACUUUGUUCCUAGGCAUCCAGAUUAGUUUCUUCAAUUAUAUAAUUGUAAAAACAUGUGUCCUUUUGUUUCUAGGCAUGUAGAAACCUACUAAAAUGAUCGAACCCUAGCACUUGGUGCAUCUUUAGCUAUACAAUUGUGUACAGUUUAUUGUGUUCCUUUGCCCUUUUAGGCGGAAUUUCACGGCCAUAUAGUAACAUUCCAGCCUGUCGAAAUUAUGUUCAUACGUUCUUUAUUUCUUGCUGCAUUCAGAUUUUUACUUGGAAUAUUUGUGAAGACUUCAAUUUUUUUUUUUUAACUAUUUAACUCGAGAGUGUUUUAUUAUAUCUUCUUCAAAAGCUCUUUUCAUUUCCAAACAUAAGGUUUGAAUGAAGCUUUGCUUUUGUCUGCAGAUUACGUGGAGAGAGUGUCCAAGGAAGUUGCAAGAAACAGAAAACAGAGAAGAACAUAUAAUAAUCAGCAUGAUUCUUCAUCUACUACAAUUUUACAUGUUCCCGCCGGUAAAAAUCAUUUUUGCCCCUGGUUUUACCCAUGAUCUCUUUGACGGGAUGCUGAGUUUCUUUUCCCUUGUUUCUUUCCUUCUACAUCAUUUAUUUAUGGGUAAACUUCAAAAACCACCCAUAUUGUUUCACACUUUCUCAUUUUAGUACCAUAUGGUUUAGAGUGUCUCAAGUUAGUGUCCUGUGGUUUUAUUUUUAUCUUUUCGUCAGCUUCUCCGUUAAUAUUUUGUUAAAUUAUAUGCAAAAAACUUCAGAUACCCCAUCUAGGUUUAUCGAAUAUUCACUUUAGUACCUCUUUAGUUUUAAGUUUGUCAUUGAUUUGACAAAAAAAAAAAAUUAGUAGAAUCGAUAAUAAAAAGAUAAAAAUGAAACUACAAGACACUAAAUCCACAGGGUAUUAAAGUGAGAAAGUGUGAAACUACAAGAGUUGUAUUUGAAGUUUCCCUUUAUUUAUUAGUCUGAUAACAUGCUUCACGCAUAAUGUAAUUGCUAACUAUUUAGUAGUUUAAGAGCUAACACCUAACCUUUGAACUAUAUAUGUAAACCUUUCAUUUUUACUCAAAUAUGAAAAUCUUAACAGUAAAGACAUGGAUUGAUUUUACUCAAAUUAUUAUGUAUAUCUUUUAUUUUCUUUUGGACAUAUUUGCAGCUUUAUUGUCAGAUAGCUAUCUGAACCAUAGGCAUAAUUAAAGUUUAUGAAGAUACUGAGAUGAAGACUACAGGUUUUAAAUUUUGCAUAAAAAAUCUAUUAGUUUUGAGCUUUUGCAAAAGUAGGCCGUCUUUUUGAAUUUUGCAGAUUCGGGCCGAAUUUUCAGAAGGAUGACCAAACUACCCCUCUUUCAAAAUGCAUAAAAAUUAUAUGCUUUAAAUGCCUAGAAAAAUACAACUGCUAAGCCAUUAAGUGUAAAAUUUCUUGAAAAUGACAACUGCUAAGCCAUAGUUACGUAUACGAUUCUCGUGAAAUGAGAAUCCUCACUCAAGACAAUAUCUGUAUAAGUAGUGCAACAUAUGCAUUGUUGAUACACAUUUUGCAUGAUUUUUAUACUAAAUUACGUAUAGUUUAGUAUAUUACUGUCACGCCCCGCGACCAACCGCUAAUUUGGACCGAGUCGCGGCGCCGCCGACAGACCGCCGAACGGACCGGGAAUUCCGCUGUACGCGGACAGAGCCUCCCCAGUACGUCCAAGGCGUCGCAGUCCAAACAAUCAACGAAUGUUCCAACUAGGAACGGAUAUCAAUCCAGAUUGCAUAAGGAAGUAUCAAAUAACAUAAACUACUUGCUAUUACAAGCAUUCAUUUUACAACCACUUUUUACAUCACAGUUUCAGUUUACAUUUUACUUCCAAAUUACAAUCUCAUUAAUACAUCAUUUAAUUUACAAUUCUUAUACAUUUAGAAUUCUUUGCCUUCUAGUCCCCUAAGCUAGACUGCCUCAGGGUACUGCUACCUCGGUCUCUGUGGUAGGGCGCUAUCUACGGAGCUACGCCCUCACCUCGCGCCGCCGUGCCGCACACGAACGACCUGAAAAUCCCAAAACAACGUGGGGUGAGAACCAACUCCAUGGUUCCCACUGGGUACGGCCAUCCAAGGAAAAAGCUCGACCGAUAGGUCCGAGGAGGCACUGCAACAUGUUAGUUCAACAAUAUACAACAGAUAUAUAUAUUCAAUUGAAAUACAUGCCAUGCCUCAAGAUAUGCGAUAUGGAAGUCAUGCAACACUAUGCAACAUCUAGUAGAUCAUUUGAUUCUACGCUUUACUUAGCUACUCUUAGCUCAUAUCUUUACUCUAAGGUUUUUAUUACCUUAGGAUCUCAACUCGGUCCACUGGCUUCUAAGGUCUCUACUACCUUAGCUCAAGCCUCUAAUCUCUAGCUCAUAAGGGUUCCUCUACCCUAACGAAGCUAACCACACGACUCGGCGUCGAGUCAAUCAUCCGCGGAUAGCCCGCGCACUGGCUGCUCAUCAGCCUACCGCCCUCUCUGUCUCAGCCCCCUAGCGGCGAAGUCGUCGCACACGCUAAGCUCGGCUCAAGUCGCACGACUUGACCAUCUGGCGACGAUCACGUUGCUCUUACCCAGCGUGAGCUCGAGUCACGACACACCGUCUGGCGGUGAACGGAUCGCACCACACCCAACAACGGUACAUGUCAGACUCAGCCACCUGGAGGCACCCGUACCGUACUUAUCCAGCAUGGAUUCAGUCUGCUCUGGCGGUCUGAUCCUCAAAUGGCUUAACCAUCCUGGCGGUGAAAUCGUCGCACAAACGCCACGGCAAUGGCUCAAGGCCCGGGCGGUGAUCUCCAUGUGAUCGCCCCAAUCCUCCCUCGGUACCAAGCUCGGCGGCGAAGUCGUCACACAAACGCCCUAGCUUCUACCAGGGUCAUCACAAGUCAUGGGAUUCCGGAAUCCACUUUCCACAGGUCAAGGGUCCAUAGCCAACCCUAUACUUUCGACCUAGCUCAUCCUAGUGGCUAUACCACUAUACUCAUCAACCUAGGUUCCAACACUCUAGGUUCUAUGUCCAUGUCACUUAACCUAGAUAUACUUGCUAGGUUCUUGUCAUCUUUGCCUAGAUGUUCACUUCUAGGUUUACUAGUUCGACCUAGGUUUACUAUUACUAGGUUCGAUGCCACAAACCUAGAUUGUUCAACUCUAGGUUCACUUAUUUAACCUAUGUUCUUUAACACUAGGUUAGAUGCCACUCGAUCUACCUGACAACCUAGUUGUCCAAUCAUCUCGGCUCACGCUAGAGUUAUCAUCUAGCUCAUAUGCAUGUUUUACUUGAACUAGCAUUAUUUAUGUGUCAUGCUCACUAUGCUUUCUACUUAGCAUGGUCAUCUAUGCAUUAUUGUUACCAUGCAUUCUCUAUUUAGCCUUUACUCUAUGCAUAUUUAUUAAUGCACCAUUUAAUCUUGUCUACAUGCAUAUGCAUCAACAUGAGAUUAUAUUGCUAAGACAUAAAGGGCGACCUAGUCGCUUCGGUAAGCACAACCCACCUUAGAUAGCUUUUCGAUUGCUUGUCGACACUUGCAAUCGGCCUCCCGCGGCACUCGGCACCCGUUUGGGCCCGACCUCACAGUUGCUCCCCACGAGCGCGCCGCUUCGCCGUUUCAAGUGCUAGCGAUCUUUGCCUUGCCGCUACGGUGCUCGGGACCCGAUCUCACGAUUUAUGGACGUUGCCUCGGCCUCCCAGGCGGAAAUGGAGCUCCGAGUGCCCGUUUCUUCAAUGUCUUUGCAACGGCUUGUCGAAUUGCCGAACCGACUUCACCAACGUGUUUCGUUACCUACCAAUUAGGUUUCCGAGGGGUCAAAUGAGAUCAAACUCAUCUAUUUACAAAAACCCUCUUUGGAUGCCCUAGAAUGCCAUUUCUAGCAAAUCCACCAAAUCGAUCUAUGAUUUGGGUAUAGUCCAUCAAAAUAGCAUGCUAGGGCUCCAAACAAACUAACUUUAGAGAUCAAAACCCUAUCCCUAAAGAUCUACCAUGAGAGGGCUCCAAGCUUACCUCUCCAAGAGCUCCAUGGAAGAAGAAGAUGAAGAUGAAGAUGAGGAAGAGGAUCUCCUCCUUGGUCCUCUUCUUCUUUUCCUUUCCUUUCUCUUUUUCUUCUUCUCUUCUCUUUUCUCUUUUCCUUUCCUUCUUUUCCUCCCUUGCACGAUCGGAGAGAGGGAGAGGCAGUGAGGGAGUGAGAGAGGGAGAGAAAUACAUCUCUCUAAUAACCCCUCUCAUAUUGUAACAAAAUGUUAUUAGGUCCCUCCACUUUUCAUCUCUUACACAGCCCUUACUGGGCGUUCUGCGCGCUGAGGGACCGGUCCCCGAGAGCUCUCCCCGGUAUCACGCGUUCGGGAACCAGUCUCUCCCCGAGAGACCGGUCCUCGGGAGACCGGUUCCUCUCGAAGAGACCAGUCCCCGAGAGCUCAUCUCGCGGGACUUAGCCAAUUUUGGCUCUUCUCACUAAUGUCGCAGGCUGGGACCGGUCCCUCCCCUGCCAGGGACCGGUUGCAUCAGCAACCCCGCAGCCUUCAGCUGAUGGGACCGGUCUCUCACCUCCAGAGACCGGUCCCCGAGAGCAACCUCAGCCCAAAAAUGCAGAUUGCAUUAUUUGCUCUCGCGGACUCCGUUCCAAUGCACUUCUUGGGUUUCGUGCAUCCUAGGCUUUUCCAAAGCCUAUCCAUUCGACCCUUAGUCGAUCCUGGACAAAAUGAAACUCUCGGAUUUCGAGAACUCACAUUGUUACAUUCUCCCCUCCUUAAAAAGAGUUUCAUCCGCGAAACUCACUCAUUUCUAACCCCUUUUUUUUUUCCUCGACACACUUCUCGAGUACACAUUUUAUAGUAUGUUAUAAUAUAUUAUACUAUUUUCGCGUAAUAUAUUAAACUGUACGUAAUUUAGUGUAAAAAUUAUGCAAAAUGUGUUUUAACAAUGUAUAUGUUGCACUACUCAUAUAGAUAUUAUACUAUUUGGAAGAGCAUGUUGCACUAUUUGAGAGAAUGUUGCACUCUUUUAUCUUAUUAAUUAUAUUUUAUUAUUUUUAUUUUGUUUUGAAUGAUGAUUUUCGUUUCAUGUAAUUAUGACUUAGCAGUUGUCAUUUUCAAAAAAUUUUAUACUUAAUGGCUUAGCAGUUGUAUAUUUCUAGACAUUUAAAGCAUAUAAUUUUUAUACAUUUUGAAAGAGGGAUAGUUUGGUCAUCAUUCUGAAAAUUCGGACCGAAUCUGCAAAAUUCAAAAAGACGGCUUAUUUUUGCAAAAGUUCAAAACUAAUAGAUUUUUUUAUGCAAAUUGGCCUUCUUUUAUUCAUCAAACAAAGAAAAAGGCAGAAGUGUAAUUUGUCGUAAUUGCUGGAAUUGAAGCCACGGAUUUUAAUUGAUUACUAUCAUCCUCGUGAACCAUGGAUGAAUAUCUUAUGUAGGUGGCAUUUUAGCUGCAGGUUUGGCAUUUUGCUAUGUUUAGUACUUCAUUCGCAUCUUCCAUUAAUUGUAGCAGAUGUUGACACUGCAUCUGCUUCCACAUUGCUAGUUUGCGUGUAUCCGUAUCGUUGUUUCUGUUUUCUGUCGUUGUUUGAUGCAUGUCAUGUAGAGAGAAAAUAUCUAGCUAGUUCGUUAGCAGCUUAAAAGUGUCUUCAGAAUUUCCUUUAUGUAUGUUAUCUAGACUCUGCCAUGUUGGGAACAUCUUAAACUCAUACAAUCAGGGAGCAAUCUUUGGACUGUUGUUGUCUGAACGUGACAAAAGAAAAGGAUGGAAAAUUUACUAUUAAUGCCCUUGUUCAGCCUCUGAAGCAUCACAAAUUUAAAGAGCCAAAGAAGUUUAGCAACUUAUGGAGUAUACUGAAGUUCUUCUUCGUAGGACUUCGCCACACACUACACUCCACAGAGUUUAUUUUUACACACCCAGCUAGCUUUGGCAUCUGAUUACAUGUGAUAGACACCAUGGCCUUGCUACGUGCUCAGAAGAUAGCGAUGUUUUAGGUGGAGGGUUUAACGACUCAAAGGCGACUCAAGUCGCUAAACCCUUCCUCUCGAGCAAACAUUACUCUCUAGUUUUAUUCUAUUCGACCUGAUUCUCGUGAACUAACUAAAGGGCCCUCUAAGUGGACUCAAUCUAGGGUUACAGUUUUCCUUAAUUUAUAGUUGACAACUUAUAUUUUGACGGAACUGUUGUUCUCUGGAUGACUCUCAUGUCCUGGUGCGAGCAAGCCGGACAUGAUUUUCGUCUUCAUUGCGGUGCUCAAACGAAUAGCUGCUUGCUCUGGAAUUAGCUGCAAAUUUGUAGAAUGAUGAGUACUAACCUGCAAAAUGGCAGACCCAAAAUAAGAGUCGUGCUACCCAUACACCCCAUUUAGAGUUGUAGAUCCUACAACUCCUUGAUCCAACGGCUGAUAUAAACUUGGUUUAAAAAAAAAAAAAANNNNNNNNNNNNNNNNNNNNNNNNNNNNNNNNNNNNNNNNNNNNNNNNNNNNNNNNNNNNNNNNNNNNNNNNNNNNNNNNNNNNNNNNNNNNNNNNNNNNNNNNNNNNNNNNNNNNNNNNNNNNNNNNNNNNNNNNNNNNNNNNNNNNNNNNNNNNNNNNNNNNNNNNNNNNNNNNNNNNNNNNNNNNNNNNNNNNNNNNNNNNNNNNNNNNNNNNNNNNNNNNNNNNNNNNNNNNNNNNNNNNNNNNNNNNNNNNNACUAUCAUGUAUAUGAUGUUUUACUUUCACUUGAUCAACUAUAUGUCAGUGUUGAUUAACAUGCCUAAUCAAAUGUAUGCCAAUGUCCAUUUACAUGCAUAAUCAAUGUCCAUAAUGCUCCAUAGAGUAAACUAUGCUUUUUAAUGUUAUUCUAGCAAUGCAUACAUACUAGUCCAUAAGAAUAUAGGUUCACUACCACUAAGGUUACCAAUGUCACAAUGUUCCACAAAAUGUCCAACUACUAAGUAUGCAUCAAUUAGUAGUAUGCAUCAAUUAGUAGUGUAAGGUAACAAACCACAUGUAUGAACACCUUCUAUGUAUGCAUCAACUACGAUGAUGUACAUUGUCAAGUUAAGUCUUAAUACCCAAAUUACAGGGAACGUACACGUGGUAAUGUCUCGGCUCGUGCCGUGCCUUAGUGGUCCCGUGGGGGUCAUCAUUUUUCCCGCAAGAAAAGAGACUCUGCUUACGGCAUCCCACUUUGGCGCCCAAUCCCGCACGGGCGAUCUAUAGUCGCAAGGCUAAACUCCGGAGUGCCUGUUUGUAGGAAGCGACUCUCACAAGCAUGUGCGGAUGAGCACAAGGGUAAGAAAGCGUAAUCAUAGCAUAGGGUCCACAAUUUGGAAUGCUCAAACAUCAUGUCUAAAAUAUGGAAUUGUCACUCAUCGACUCAACGGUCGGAUUCUAGAUCAUUCAUGUCAUGUUUACAACUACUUGGCUGGUAUGUCUCUACCGACCUAUAUAUUGCCUAAAGCAUGCAUAGUUCAUAUGACAAUAUCCUACCUAGGAUAGUUCACUAUUGUAUUCAAAUCUCCAACAAGGUCAUGACAUGCAGAUACAACAAAUUUUCACAAGAAACAUGUAUAAUACCACAUGCAAGAGAACUAUAAAAUGUCCGCAAUUAUCACAAUGCAUGUUAUGCACAUGUCUUUCCACUAACAUCCCUACUACAUGGAGUAGAAAUAUUAUGAUGCAAUUAUUUAGAUUUCGCUAGUAUUACNAAUUAUCACAAUGCAUGUUAUGCACAUGUCUUUCCACUAACAUCCCUACUACAUGGAGUAGAAAUAUUAUGAUGCAAUUAUUUAGAUUUCGCUAGUAUUACGUGCAAUCAUCUCUAUUAGGGCUCGCCUCAAGGGCUAUACAUUCUCAUUUUCCUCAUGGCUAAAACACGGAAUAUAACUAUCGAACCCUAGGUUAAUUGUAAUGUCACAAUGGCAAAUACUAGUCGUUUUUCUAAUUUAAUGCAUCAAGUUACCAUUUCACAUGUUUAGUUCUAGUUGUCCAACUAGGCUAAAUAUCAAGUUUAGCUUCAUGAUGACCUUAUCAUGUCCUAUGUCCCAAUGUCACUACUACCUUGUCUACUACAAGUAUAAUGUUAUCAUGCAAGUAAUGUUAAUUUUCAAUCACCUUAUCUAUAACAAGUGUACUAUCGUCAUCAUGUAAGUAAUGCUACUUUCCAAUUCAUUCACUAGGUACCCCCUAAUGGGUCAUAACAUUAUUCAUACUCUAACAUGCUUUCAAUGGUUGCAUGAGAGAGGAAACCUCAACUAUUGUCAUUUAGUGCCCAAAUCCACAUGUAUGCCUCUACCACCUAGAGCAUAAUUUUUCACUAUACAUAACAUGUAUAUAUUAUAUUCUCAUAAAUUCUAGCAUAUCACAAUGACCAUGAAAAAGCAUCUAUUUAAGUCCUAACACCAAAAGAAAGACGUAGGGGGAGUUCACCUAUUUCGGUGAGGUCAAACCCACCGGAAGCACUUCGAACGAAGUUAUCCCCCAAGCUUCUAGCACCCUAAGAGAAAUUCUAAAGGGUUAAAAGCCACAAAACGACCGCUUCAAAAAUUACACAUACAAAAGUGUAAAAAUAUCUUGGGUCAAGAAGAACUUGAUCAAAGCCCAAAUCGAAGCUAGAAAGCUUCAAAUCCAACCUAUAAGAGUGUUCUACACCCAUCAAUUCCAACUGAAAAGCCUCAAAUUAAGAAACCCCAAAUAAAACCCUAGAUUUUUAUUUCUAGGUUUUCAUCUCAAAAACUCUACCAAAACUAGAUCUAAAGAGUAGAUCUAAGAUACUAACCUCUCAAUAAGCUCCAAUGCAAGCUUGGAAUGAGCUAAGGUUGAAAAUUGGUCCUUUAGAAAGCUCCUCUCCUCAAACCAAGGCUUCUCCAAAGGUGGAAAUCCAACAUGAAGCAAAGAGGAGGGAGAAAGAGAGAUCAAAUCAAGCAAAAACCAAGAAAAAAUGGAAGAAAAACCAAGGGAGAGGAGUUCCACGUGGCUCUCCACGGUUUAGGGCUCAAAAGAGCCAUCCAAGAGGCUGUGGGGGGUUAAAUAGAGAUGUAACAAUCUCAAAAAGACCCUCCAAUAAUGGGCAGUCUGCAACUGCACUGCGUACCGGUACCACGAAAAUGAGUACCGGUACCGGCCAGCAGAACGCACAAACCCGAGCCUUGGGUUGGCGAACAAAUGCACUGGGUACCGGUACCAACUCGAUGCAGUACCGGUACUCUGCACUGUAGAAGCAAACCCGAGAGCUGCCCAACUUUCUCAUUUUUGGACUUUGGCGCUAAGUUUUAAACCUCGAUUCUCGGGAUGCGAGUCAUAGGUCGAAACACUGUCUACGACCCUCCAGAACACCUAGAAAAACUCAGAACACAGAUCAAACACUCGAACCUCGCAAUUUACUAAAGUUCAGUGUGUUACAAUACUAUUAAGUAAAUAUUGAAAAACUAGGGGGGCCAAAGCUAUCUAUGUUCCACCAAAAAAAAACUUUGAAGGACCAUUAAGCAAAUAUUAAAAAUUUGAGGGGGGCUAUGGCCACCUUGGGCCUCCAUAUCGCUCCGUCCCUGGCCAAGUGUAUUCUAUCCCUUUCUGGAAUGUACAGAUUCUCAAAGAGCUUCUCCAAUGCUCUUACCCAAGUCUCCUCUACCCAAGUCUCUACUCUACGACCAUUGAACUCGAGUGGAUCAAAUUUUCUAAACUCAGCCAAUCUCGCAUGUGCCCUCUCCAGUUCUCUUUGACAUCUUCUUCAAUCUUUUUCUUAACUCUCUCUAAAGAGUUUAUAUAAUUCAAUCUAUUGACUUUCGCUAUAAAUUACGUCUCUUUCAUUCUAUAUCCUAGGGGUUUGUUCAGCCUAGAGUUUUCCAUACCAAAUAUCCUAAGCUCUAAUACCAACUUAAUCUAUCAUGCUCCGGAUACAACGGAAGCCUAAUACAUUACUAUAAAUAACAAAUUUCUCAUCUAUAACAGGAAGGACAAGGAUAGGGGCUGAUAUCAAUCUAUUUUUCAAUUCUUUAAAACUUCUUUGGCAAUUUUCACUCCAAAUAUAUGUACUUAAUUUUCUUUUCAAGACAAUUGAGUGAGGGGUGUGGAAAGUAUAAUACCUGAGAUUUUUGACUUUAAAAUUUGAAUUUGAGUUUUGAAUUUGAAUUUGUUUAUAUAUAUAUAUAUAUAUAUAUAUAUAUAUAUACAACUUAAUAUGUGUGUGUGUGUGUGUAUGUGGAGGUGGAGAGAGACGACUUUUGUCGCGAAUCGACAAUUGAUCCUAGCAAAACAAAAUCGCAGAUUUGAUGGUCUGUCUGUGCCGAAAGUGCUGGCGUGAUCUGUUAAAAAAUUUGACAAGUCGAUCGUCCGAAAUUACACGUUGUUUGAGGAAGGGUCGAUAUUGCAUAUUGGAUUUUAUUUGUGAAAGAUCCAAUAUUUUAUGUAUCGAAUCGCAAGAAAUCGCUUGUGGAAGUGCGUUUGCGCGAAUUACACAUGCCUUGAAGCCCUAAUUUGGGUUGGACCGAGAUCCUCCCAGCGCCGCCGCCGCCGCUCGCCGCCACUUGCCAAAGUGAGCACCACACCCCUCUUAUCCCCCGCACUUACCCCUGGGCCGCGCACGAGCCGCCGUGCCGCCGGCAGCCGGCCGGAGCUAGAUGCUCUAUUAGCUCGAAAUAGGGUGGUUUUACCACUGAUCACUAUUCCAACCAUCCGGGAACCCCCCGUGUAAUAUGUCGAUUUUUCGACUACGCGGCUAAUCUCUAUCAAAUUGGUCCGAAUAAUGCUAAAAUGAAAUUGGUUCAUUCCCGAGCUUAAUUGGUAGCUUGGGCAUAGUGUUUAGCAUGUUUUGGAAGUAAUUAGAAGAGUUCUAAGUGGAAUAGAAGUGUGAAACAGGCUGCCAAAGUAGCUGCUGCCAGAAUUCUGCUGGAGCAGAAUUUGUACUGGGUACCUCAGCCAGUACCGGUACCAGCUGAGGUACUCAGCUAGACUGCAAUGCAAUUUUGGGUUUUUGAGGGGGUAAGUUGCAAAUUUUUGCUCUUAUCUCUUCAGCCCUGAUCUCCUACAGAUGCCCACGUAUCCAGCCCUCUCUCUCUUCUUUCUUUUCAUUUCUUUCUUCUUUCUUUUUCUCUCUAGGCUGGUUGAGGCUUUGUGAAUUGAUGCGGGCAGAGUUGGAAAUUUUUGGGCUUGUGAAGCUGUCGAACAGUAAGGUUCAGCUGAGGAAGCGUGGAAACCUCAGGUAAGGAGCUGUUUAUUAGCUAGGACUUGGACUAGAUACUGUAUGAGAGGUUUUAAGUGAUUAAAGAUGGUAGUAGUAUGUAGAAAACCUUGAGUACAUGCUGAAAACAGCAUGCAUACAUGUAUAGAUAUGUAUGUGUACAGCUCAUUAGGGAUUGUAGGGUAAAAUCUGAAAUGAGUUAACUUUGAAUCCUGGUUUGAAUGACUUCCUUUGCUAUAUCAAGAUGUGGAAUAAAGGAUUUUUAAGUGUUUGCAACUUGUAUUAGUAUAUAGAAGCAAUAUGAUUACCGCGAAUGAUGGAUCGUUUCGACUCUGUGUGGAUUAUCACGAGCUGAACAGAGUCACGAUUAAGAAUAAGUACCCACUUCCCCGAAUCGAUGACUUGUUUGAUCAGUUGCAGGGGUCGUGUGUGUACUCGAAGAUAGAUUUGCAGUCCGGCUACCACCAAUUGAAGAUUAAGCCGGAGGAUGUGCAAAAGACCGCGUUUCGCACGCGGUAUGGACACUACGAAUUCACGGUCAUGCCAUUUGGACUCACAAAUGCUCCAGCGGCAUUUAUGGAUUUGAUGAACCGUGUCUUCAGGAAAUACUUGGAUCGAUUUGUAGUGGUCUUUAUAGACGACAUAUUGAUCUAUUCUCGCAAUGACGAGGAUCAUGCCGAGCAUUUGAGAUUGGUGCUUCACGUCCUUCGGGAGGAGAAGCUAUAUGCUAAGCUAAAGAAAUGUGACUUCUGGCUCAGAGAGGUCGCAUUUCUAGGGCAUGUAAUUUUCAAGGGCGGAGUUUCUGUAGACCCGAGAAAAGUUGAGGCAAUCAAGGAUUGGCCUCACCCGACGAAUGUCAUGGAGGUCCGAAGCUUCGUGGGCUUAGCGGGCUAUUAUAGACGGUUCGUGGAGGGUUUCUUGAAGAUCGUGAUUCCACUUACCCGUCUGACUCAAAAGGGCACCAAGUUAGUGUGGAGCGAAGAGUGUGACCGGAGUUUUAAAGAGUUGAAGGAAAGAUUAACUUCGACUCCGGUGCUCGCUCUACCGGUGCAGGGCGAAGAUUUCGUAGUCUACAGCGAUGCCUCCUAUAUGGGUUUGGGGUGUGUAUUGAUGCAAAACGGGAAGGUAAUUGCCUAUGCAUCUCGUCAGCUGAAGAGCUAUGAAAAGAAUUACCCCAUUCACGAUUUGGAGCUAGCAGCGAUAAUCUUCGCCUUGAAGCUAUGGAGGCACUACUUGUACGGUGCCCAUUGUGAGAUUUAUACCGACUACAAGAGUCUAAAGUAUCUGUUCACACAGAAAGAGCUCAAUAUGCGACAGCGGCGGUGGUUAGAACUGUUAAAGGAUUAUGACGUUGAUAUCCUUUACCACCCGGAAAAAGCGAAUGUGGUCGCGGAUGCACUGAGCAGGAAGUCGGCGAAAAAUCUUGCCAUGUGCGUGACAAAUCAGACGCCUUUGUGGCUAGAUAUGGAGCGAAUGAACCUUGAGGUGGUUGCUCUCGAGAUUCCGGCUCAGUUGAUGGCCCUCGUCGUCCAACCGACCUUGUUGGAGAGGAUCAAAGAUCUGCAAUCUGCGGACUCGAGUCUCCAAAAGAUGCGGCAUAACAUCGAGGAAGGACGAGGCGGCAAUUUCAGUAUAGACGUCGCGGGUGCACUUCGAUUUCGGAACCGAUGGUGUGUACCCGAGAAUAAAGAGCUUCGUGAAUUGAUCUUGCAAGAAGCUCAUCGGUCGCCUUAUUGCGAUCACCCGGGCGGCACCAAGAUGUAUCAUGAGUUGAAAGCACUCUAUUGGUGGCCGAGAAUGAAGAACGAUAUUGGGCGCUUUGUGGCUAAGUGCUUGACUUGUGUCACGCCCCGGGAACCAGCGGAAGCCCGCCCGGCGCGUGCACAGACCCGCCAUAUGUCUAAAACAUACAAGGCGUCUAAAUAACAACGAUAAAUAAGCAAUAAAUAAAGAACAUCUAGAAGUAUCAGAGCAAUGUAUAUCUAGAUUUCUACAAUAAAGGGAUGGAGCAAAAAACAAUAUCCACUAAAUAAAAUCAUAAGCAGUACAAAAGGUGUAACACACUGGACCUUUGCAAAUUACGAGGUUCGAAUGUUUGGAUGUAUUUCGAGCUUUUCCACAUUUGGUGGAGAGUUGUAGAAUGUUUUCCGACCUAAAAAGUUCGAAAAUCGAGAUUCUGGAUAAGUCCUGAGAGUUUUUACUCUCGGGGACCGGUCCCUGGAAGGAGAGACCGGUCCCCCAGUGAGAAGUGUUGAGGCAGCCUGAGGCAACCGGUCCCUGGCAGGCGAGACCGGUCCCCGAGCGCGUCUUCGCAGUGAGAGACCGGUCCCGCGCAGGGAGAGACCGGUUCCCGAACGCUGGUUUUUCGGGUUCGCAGCGAGAGACCGGUCCCUGCUGGGGAGAGACCGGUCCCUCUGGGCGAAAACUGCCCAGACUGGGCUGUGGUAAUAUUGGAUUUUUGGAGGGCCUAGCUGGAUUUUGUUACAAUAGAGGGUCUAUAUGAUCCCUCCACUCUCUCCUCUCCCCAUUUCUCUUCUCUCAACCCUCUCUACACCCUUGAUAGAGAAGAAGAAGAAGAAGGAGAAGAAGAAGAAGGAGGGAAGGAGAAGAAGUUUGGAGCUACUAGUGGACUUGGGGCAUCUUCCUCACCUUCUCGUCUUCCUUGGUACUUGAAGGCUUGGACUUGGAGCUUGCAAAGAGGGAGAUCUUCACCCUUGGAGCUUGGAUUGGAGCUUCUAAGGAGGUUUGUUACUCAUUUCCCUCCUCUAGAUCUUGUUUUGAUAGUUUUUGUAGAUGAAACCCUAGAAAUGAGAUUUAGGGUUGAUUUUGGGGCUUUUUGAUCUAGGGCUUUUGAGGCUAGAUUAAUUGGUUUAGAACCUUCCUUGGGCUUGGAUUGGAAGGGUUCUAGCUCUCUUUUGGAGCUUUCGAAGAGAUUUCUUCUCUUGAGGUGAGUUUUGGCCCUUUUUGCUUCUAGGUUAAUGUUUGAUCUUACGGUUGGUCGUAAUGCCCUCGUAUCUCUUCGCUGAUUACUUUUAGGAAGUUUUGAGACUUGGGGACAACUUUGUUCGGCGAAACGAGGCCCUACGCGACGGUUCGGUGGGUUUGACCUAGCCACACAAUGAGAAAUUCUCAUUUGUGCUUAUUUAAGUAUCGUUAAAUGAAAAAGCAUGCAUAUUCUUGUUAUAUGUAUUUAUUGUGAAUUUUAGAAUGCUUAAAAGGCCUAUGUUGUAUAUGAUGAAAUUUUGGACCUCUAUGGAGUAGAGAGUAGCUUGGUAAGCCUAUGGUUGCAUUUAGCGUUCUAUAUGCAGAGACUUGGUUUCAUGCUUCUAUAGUGUACAUGAGCUUUGAUUCAUGCAUUUAAACUUAAGUUUACUUGUGACAUGAAAGAUGAUGAAAUUGCCAUAUAGAGGUAUUGGAACUAGAAUGUACGUGAUCUAGAGCUAAUGUCAUCAAGCGGCAUUGAGCUCGGGACAUGUGAGAACCUAGUGGAUAGGGCCAUUGAGGGAUUUGGAAUACAUGUUGAACAUCAAAUUGUCUAAGUGUCAUCAAGGGGCACUAGGCGAAGCAAAUAUUGAGAAUUCACAUUAUGCCUUAAACUAGAUCUUCGGGAUGUUAGUGACUAUACCAUGUUAGAGACAUGAGAAUUGGAUACUUGAGACUUGGACUUUGCUUGCUUGCCGUUUGUGCUCAUUCACACAUGCUUGUGAGGGUCGCUCCCUACAAGCCGGCACUCCGGAGUUAGCCUACGCGACUUUUGUUCGCUCGUGCGGUAUCGAGACGCCUACGGGGUCGAGUGGGACAGACACAUUCCAUGGGUAGGAAUGUCGGGCUACCACAGGCACUUAGGCGGCACAAGCCGGACUACCUUGGGUAGAUCCUUAAUUGGAAAUGAAAAUCGACACGGUUUGAGAAUGAAUGAUCACUACUAGAUAGGCUUAUUAGUUGGAUUACAUUUACAUGCUUUUAGCAUAGUGUGAGACAUGUAGUAUACUUGGUUGCCAUGAUAGAACUUCUACAUCAUGCAUUGACAAAGGUUAACAACAUUAAACUAGUGCCAUUGGACUUAAUUGUAAUGAUAGAUAGAUGUACAUUUUGGUUGACAUCAUGCUUACUUGAGACACAGUAGACUAGCAUUUCAAUUAUGCUUUCUUUCAGCAGUUUAUUUACAUGCUCCUUAUCGCUUAUUAUUAUUAUCGUUGCUUACCCUUAUUUUUGGGGCCUAGUGGAGCAUGAGCUGAGGUCAGUAAUUGCCCACUGGGAACUAUAAAUUAUAGUUCUCACGCCCUCUUUUUCUCGAUGUUUUUCAGAGCCUUCCACUCAGGGUGAGGCCAGGGACCGCGGGAAGGGAGUUGCUUCGAGCUAGCUUCCUUCGAGGACGGUUCGCUAGGUGGUCUACCUCUCGUCGUAUUUUGUUUUGGAGAGGUUGAGAGUUUUACCAGUGUACUAGAGACCACCAUUUUUGUAUUAGAGGCUGAUACUGUAUAACUUAUGUUUACUUUUAUGUUUUAGUUACGUUCUUUUACUAUUGGUGUAGAUGUUAGAACUUUACUCGCUCUGAUAUCAUUAGUUGCUAGUUAUUUCACUUUUUUUAUUUGUUCCAUCUCUUGCUUUUACUUCUGCUUUUCUUGUAGACGCCUUAUAUGUGUAGGCAUAUGGCGGGUCUGGGCACGCUACCGGGAGGGCCUCCGCCGGUCCCGGGGCGUGACAAAAGGUAUCCCAAAACAAGUGCUAAACUGAAUACAUGGGUGGUCUCUCUAUACAUGGUACCCAAAACACUCUCUUACCAAAAACCAAAGAGAGAGAAAACCACCUAAGAGCAAAACGCCUCUCCGCUAGCUAGCUAGCUACGCGACCCCUUUGCCGCGAUCCCUUGCCUCCGCCGGUGCCGAAGGCUCUGAAAGAGAACAUAAAAAAACAGGGCAUGAGAACUAUUAAAAAUAGUUCCCAGUGGGCAAUUACUGACUUCAGUGAAGUGUGCCACUAGGCACAAAAGCUACGAAGCAAGGUCAGUACGAGUAUAAACCAAAGCGAUAAAUGCGAUAAGUAAAUAACCAAACAGUAUACUUGCUACAACAUGAAAUCUCUACUUAGCAUGAUUUGCAUAAGUAAUAAACUAUUCUAACAAGAAUGUGCCCAAGCAUACUAGUAUGAUGUCCAAAAGCCAAAUAGUAAAGAUGUCAAUAUUUACUAUUCUAAUCGAUGUCCACACGUCACGACGACUACUCGAAGUCCAAUCUAAAGAGACCCGCCCGAAGGCUGUCUUGGCCCUGAGACCCACCCGUAGGCUGUUUGACCAAUGCCGAGCCUAAUGGCCCCGUGGUAGUCAACAUCCCCACCCUAGGGAUGAGCCUGGCCCACGGCAAUCCACUUCGGCGCCCAGUCCCGCACGGCGAACAAGUAUCGCGAUGGCCAUCUCCGGAGUGCCGGCUUGUAUGGAGCGACCCUCAUAAGCAUGUGCGAAUGAGCACAAAUGGCAAGUAGUACAAGAUCCAUCUCAAGUAUUAAGUCCUCAUGUCCACAAACAUGGAAUAAAUCAUAUAUCUCAUAGGCCUAUCUCUAUGUCAUCAUGUCUAAGAACAUGGAAAUGUAGAUGUCAAUGGCCUAUCACUAUGUCCCAAUAUAGUAGUUUCACCGUUCACUAUAUCAAGUGCCCCUUUAUGACACUUUUGAUUUCAAAGUCCAAACAUGAGUUUAAUGUGUAAGAAUAUAUGUUUCAAGUCCUCUUCAUCACGAGAGACCUAUUCCCAACAUGCUCGAUAAGCUACGAUCUGAUAUACAUGCUCAAUAUACCAGGUUCCCCCCUGUUACAUGAGGUCGUUUUUCAUGAUACAUAGCAUAUGUAUACUAAGCAUUCUAAAAUUCACAUAAAUCAUAUUUAGCAUGGAUAUGAAGUUAUUUCGACGAUACGACAAGUAUACAAAACAUAGGGGCCAUUUUGCCCCGAUUUCAUGAAGCCAAACCCACCGAACUUCACGAAGCUCUUCGUUUCGCCGAACGGAGGUGUCCACUAGUCUCCUAGCACCCUAAAGAUGUAGGAACAAGAGUCAAACGAACGUUACGAACAACCGUAAGGUUGGUCUUUAACUAUCUCAAGCUAGGGUUGGGAAAAACUCACCUCAAUGAAGAAAUCCUCUCUUAAGCUCCAAAUGGGAGUUAGAGUUCUUCAAAUCCAACCUAAAGGAAGGUUCUAAAUCCAUCAAUGAGGUCUCAAAGUCCCCAAAUCAAAAAUCCCCAAAAAUAAACCCUAAAUCCCAAAAUCUAGGGUUUCAUCUAGUUUAAAGCUUCAAAACUAGGAUCUAGAGGAAAGGGACUAGCCACAUACCUCUAAGAUGCUCCAAACCAAGUCCAAGAUGCUCUAGGGUUGGAGUUUGAUCCUCUCUCAAGCUCCAACAACAAGCUCCAAGCCUCCAAAGGUGAGAAAAGAGAGAAAGGGUUGGUGCUCCAAGCUCCCUCAAGCAAGCUCCUCCUCUUCUUCUUCUUCUUCUCCUCCUUCUUCUUCUCUCUCUAGAGAGUGUGAGAGGGUGAGAAGUGAGGAAAAGAGAGGAGAGAAAUGAUCUCUAGACCAUUAGAAGUAACAAAAUCCACUCAAGCCCCUAAAAAAUCCAAUAUUACAUCAGCCCGGACUGGGCAGUUUUCGCCCAGCGAGACCGGUCUCACGCUGCCUGGGACCGGUCCCACGCCGCGAACCCGAAAAACCAACAUUCGGGAACCGGUUGCCCCGGCCCGAGACCGGUUGCUUUGCCAUGGGAGACCGAUCUCUCCCACCUGAGACCGGUCCCCGAGAGUGAAAACUCUCAGGACCUCCAAAACUCAGAUUUUUCGAGCUUUUUAGGUCGGAACACCUUCCACGACCUUCCACCAAGUGUGGAAAAGCUCGGAACCCAAGUCUAACACUCGAACCUUGCAAUUUACACAGGUCUAGUGUGUUACAACUUACCAACAAGUGAAGGCCGAGCGUCGAUUUCUAGCCUAAAGCUACAAAGCCUACCCAUCCCCGUGUGGAAAUGGGAGGAAAUAUCGAUGGACUUUGUGGUCGGCUUGCCUCGCUCAACGGGCGGCCACAAUGCAAUUUGGGUUAUUGUGGACCGAUUGAUGAAAUCGGCUCACUUCUUGCCGAUCCACACCACAUGGGCGGGCGACAAGUUGGCACAGGUAUAUCUUGACGAGAUAGUGAGGUUGCACGGGGUGCCGAAGUCGAUCGUGCCGGAUCAUGACCCCCGAUUCACUUCACAUUUCUGGAAGAGCCUGCAGGAAGUUCUUGGUACAUGGCUCGACUUCAGUACUGCAUUUCAUCCUCAGACAGAUGGGCAAAUAGAGAGAACCAUCCAAACUCUGGAGGAUAUAUUGCGAGUGUGUGUCAUCGACUGCAAAGGGAGUUGGUGUGAUCAUUUGCCGAUGUCCGAGUUCGCCUACAACAACAGUUAUCAUGCUAAUGUAGAGAUGGCACCGUUUGAGGCUCUUUACGGGCGGAAGUGUCGAUCUCCUAUACACUGAGCGAUGUAGGUGAGCGUGCUGAGUUCGGCCCCGAUGUGUUGUGAUAAGCGGAGGAGAAAGUCCGCCUGGCUCGCAAGAGAUUGCUCACGGCGCAGUCGAGACAGAAAAACUAUGUAGAUAGACGCCGUUGAGAUAUAGAGUAUGCGGUGGGCGAUCGCGUAUUCUUUAAGGUUUCACCGAUGCGGGGUGUGAAGCGGUUUGGAGUGCGGGAAAAGUUGAGUCCCCGGUACAUUGGACCUUAUGAAAUAUUAGAGCGAGUUGGCACGGUGGCUUAUCGACUCGCUUUGCCACUGAAGCUCGCAGAUGUACACAAUGUGUUCCAUGUCUCAAAUCUUCGUAAGUAUAUUCACGACCCCGAGCAUGCAAUGCUUUACGAGCCGCCGGAACUUCAAGAAGACUUGAGCUAUGAAGAGUUUCCGGUGCGGAUUAUCGCACGAGAGGUGCGAAAGUUGAGAAAUCGCGAGAUUCCCUAUGUGAAAGUCCAGUGAAGCAAUCACGACGAUCGCGAAGCCACCUGGGAACUCGAGGAUAUGAUGAGAAAGCAUCAUCCUCACUUGUUUCAGGAAUAAGGUAUGAGAACUGAGUUUAAAAUUAAGUUGAAUCAGUUUCGAGGACGAAACUCCUUUUAAGGAGGGGAGGAUGUAAGGAAGUGAAUUCUCAAAAUGCGAGGGUUGCACUUCAUCCAGGAUCGACUACUUGUCGAGUGGGUUGACUUCGAAAAGGCCGGAGUGGCAUGGAACCCAAAAAGUGCAUUGAGAUAGAGUCCACGAGAGCAAUAGUGCAAAAUCUGCACUGGGCAGAUUCUGCUCCGGGGGACUGGUCCCUGGUGGGAGAGACCGGUCCCCGAAGCUGGUGGUUGCCGGGAUGCCUGGAGCAACCGGUCUCUGGAUUGAGGGAACUGGUCCCCGAACACGACACCAGCGAGAAAAGCAGAAAUUUGGCUAAGUCCUGAAAAUCCAGCUCUCGGGGACCGGUCUCUCAGGCAAGGACCGGUCUCCUAGGGACCGGUCUCUCGGGUUGAGACCGGUUCCCGAACGCGUGCACUCGGGGGAAGCUCUCGGGGACUGGUCCCAGAGGGGAGAGACCAGUCCCUCCGCCCGCGAACAGCCCAGUGAGGGCAGUGCACAGGGUGGAAAAGUGAGGGAUUUUAUUGCAUUUGUUACAUUAGAAGGGGUGUAUAGAAGGGGCUGAGCCCUCUCCCCUCUCUCUCACUUGCACCCUCACUCUCUCUUUCACUCAUCUCUCUUUCUCUCUCUAGAAGGAAAAGAAGGAGAAGAAAAAAGAGGAGAAGAAGAGGAAAAAGAAGAAGAAGAUAAGGAAGGAGAAGAAGAAUGAGAUCAAAGAGGAACUUUUGGACAUCUCCCUCUUCCUCCCCUCUUCUCUUUGGUGUAGCUCAAGAGAUAAGCUACCAAACCCUAGCUUGUAAACUUAGGGUUUUUGUAUUUCUAGCUUUAGAAAUGGGUCAAAUGGACCUUAAGUAAGCUUCAAAGUAGAUCAAUCCGAGAAAUCUAGGGUUUGAUUGAGUGGUUUGCUAUAGGUGCAAACCUAGGGCUCCAAAUUGGAGUUUUUGGUAAAGUAUGAGAUUGAUCACAUUUGAGGCUUUGUAAACCAAAUUGUUAGGUAACUAAACGCGGGGGCGAAGUCGGAUUUUCGAUUUUUCAAGCGGGUCAGGUCCUGUCCGUUCGGCGUCCGCUUGCCGCGCCCGAACUGCGCCAAAUUGGUAGCGUUUUCGGGGCGGGGCGUGACAGGAAUCCUGCAGGGACAGCACAUAUGCAUGUGUUUCUACCUAUGAAUGAUUAGUAGUGGGGGAAAUUAUAUAUGCUUGUUCUUGGUUUAGAGGUUGCAUAUUAAUGUUCUAAAAAGGAUUGAGCUACAGAUUUUCAUGUUAGAGCUCUUAGAACCAUGAAAAAGCUUGGAAAACUUGAUGUUGGCAGCAUACAAGUAUAUGUAUGUAUAUAUAUGUACUUGUGAAUUGUAUGUUAAGAAGGAAUAAAACCUAGGUUCAAUUGACUUUAAAUUCUGAAUUAGCAUGAUUCUAAUUACUAUAUUAAGGGUUGAUGUUUACUACCUAAAGGGGGGUUAAUUAUGAGUUGUUCUGUUUUCUAAAACCAUAAACUGCCAUAGGGAACUUAAUAGAAGACUAUAUGUACGUAUAGUGACACUAUAUAUAUAUAUAUGGAACUUGGGGUUAAAUGCAAAGUUUGAAAAGAUGUGAAUAUGACUUAAGUUUAAUCCCUUUUAUUCCUCAUUGAAGAAAGGUUUGACGUGCUCGGAAGCCUAAGUUGGUAUUUCGACGGACCUACGGCGCGCUAGUUAAGAGACGCUUCGUUCUAGUUCGUAUACAUCAAGUCACGAGGACUUGAUACUUGUGAGCUCCGAGAUAUUGGCUUUAGUAUUUCGGCAUCCCUACAGGUGGGUGGUGCUAUCCGAAAUCUUUGAAUCCCUUAUUAUGUCUAUGUCGCCUCAUUGAUCAUAUUUAUAUAUGAAUUGCUUUGUAUUCAUACAUUAUAGGAAAAUUGUCACUAUACAGUUAGUAACUGAAUAAUUGAAUUCCUGUCAAUGUUAAGAACAUAUGGAUAAUAGAAUAUGGACAUAGAACCCUAUGAAUGUGUGAAUUUACUGUGGACUAUGAUAAUAGUAAAUUUGGUGACAUCACGACUAGAGAAUUCGUUAGCAUCGAGAGUGGAAUUGUAAAACUAGCAUAAAGAGCUAGUUAGAGUUAAAGUGUGGCAUUGUCAUUCAUUGGACCCUCUAAAUGAGGAUCAGAUCAUACUCACAUUAGUCUAAUGCUCGAGGAAGGUCGCUCCUCCUUGGGCGAUGAGCUUCGGAGUGGUCAUCAAAUGGAUUAGGAGCUAGCAUCUCCCAAGUAGACGGUCCUGUUCGGAUGUAGCUUGCGUCUCCCCGAUAGUAGGGAUUUGGUUGGUGAGUUAUUGUUAACCAAAUGGUUAACCAGCUUGAUUGGGUAAUGAUUAUUAAUAGCAUGCAUACAUCAAUUUCCUAUGUUAUCUACUGUUUCUUUCAGCUUUGUACAUGCAUUGUAGUAGUUACAUGUUAUAGCUGGUUACUAUCUAUUCUUUCUUCUUGUCUAUAUAUGCCCGAAUAGACCUAGUGGGUGAGUCGGCGAGGUUGGCGGCCGAACCCACUGAAAACUAUUAGUAGUUCUCACACCACUAAUCAUGUAGAUCCUAGCGCGAGCGGAGCGGUCGAGGAUCGCGGCAAGAGCCCGGCAUCUUAGCUAGUGAACUCCAGAGUAUAGUUAUACACCCAUUUUGGUUUCAUGUUGUAUAUAUUUGAUGUUAAAGAAACAUGUAAAAGAAUGUAUAAAUGAGCAUGUAAAUAACUAAAUGUUGUAGUUAUUCAUGUUUAUAGUUUGGUUUAAAGUUUUCAAACAUACAGUGAAUGCAUGUUUAGCUAGCUUACUUGCACUCGUUCUUGUUGCUUGCCCUCGUGCAAGCCAUGUAUAUUGAAAUGUUAUCUUGGGAGUUGUUUAUUUUUUUAUACAUGUACUAUGUUGUUGUUGAGCCUUGGGCGGACAAGGGAGGUGCUGUCUGUUCGGCGUCUGUGUACGGGCCCGGAUCGACCAAAUUGGUGAUAGCGGGACGUGACACCCUGGCUCUCUGGAAGGUGAGCAAGGUGACCUUGAGUUGUCGCUGAUCACUAUAGUUAUCUCGGUUUCUGUCGGAGAAUCAUCAGUUUGCUAUUUUUGCAUUGUCGCUCUCAAGGCCUUAUAUAUUUGCUGUAAUCUUGGCCCCGGAGAGCUCCUCGGCUAUUUUUCUUGCCCUAGACAAUGAGCACAGGCUUCGCUACAUUGAGACCUAUCCACUGGUGCCCUUAGUUGGUCUCGGAGACGCGUGGUGUUCUCUAUCGGCCCUAGUGAUUGUGUAUUUUAGCUUAUAUUGUGAUAUAUCUCUUGCUUAGGGGCCUCCUUGGAAUUUUAACAGCAGAGGCUGUUUUGGGCAGCGUGAUGCCACUUGAUGUGACCCUCUGGACUAGUUGUCCGAGCUUCCGAUGCCCUCGCUGAAUCAAAUUUAAUUUUUGAAGCAUUUUCCGACAAAAUCAUCAGCGAAACGCGGUGACCAUUGUGGGCCCCACUUGUUAGUAGUGUUAUCACCCCAGGUUUGUCGUGGAGCCUCAUUGGCUGGUUACAUUCGCUAUCUUGAGUUUCUGAAGACAACGAGUGAGCGACGGAGGGUUUCAAUGCCAAAAACAACAUUUUCGAAAAUUCGGAAUGGCAUUAAGUACAUUGUGGUGUAUUUGUAUUUCUUGGGCUUGUGUUUGUUGUUUGAACAUGAAAGUUGGUGCGUUUCGAUACAGCGGGUGACUAGAUUUGUACUAUGGUUCCUUUCGAAACACUCUGUGGCAAUCGAAAGUGUUUCGGUGGACUUUUUGGAACUCUCGACAGUUCUGAGGUUGUGGGUUUAGUGUUUUGAAGUCGACUUAGGGGAUCUUGACUUGGUGGAUCUUUCGGUCUAGUUGAUGUCCCAACAUGCCUUGAGCAUUAGACGCUGCGACGAUGAUAGGUUGGUGCUUCGAUCCGGAGUUGAUACAGUGGUUUUAGCUUGGUGAUGUUCUUCCCUCACUCUUUGUUGUUGUUUUGCAUACUAUUGAUUAGCAUUUACUACUAGACUUCUGAUUUAUUUACUCUACUUCUACUCAUUCACAUAUUUGUAGUAAAGAGGUGUUUGGUUGUUGCAUGAUCUUUAUCUGAGAGACCUGUUUGGUUGGUGUUGAUUGGUUCGUUGAUCUAGUGAUCUAGUUUGGACAGGUGUUGUUUAUUGACAUACUCUUGGCUAUUUGCCGUCUUGAUUGACUAUUGAGUAUUUCGCGUUGAUCGUCGCAGCUUAGGUAGCAUAUCACGUACACCAAUGGUUUGGUCACCGUGUGGGUGUUCUUUUUCAAAAAAGUGGUCAUUACUUUGACCCGUUGGCCCUUGCAAGGUGCUAGCUGGUGUAAUAUACCGAACUUUUAUAGUCAUGAAGUUUCGAUGGAUGUUAGAAGCUAAUGGAAUUGUUCCAGUGAAGAUCGGGAACGUACGAGUGUUUUCGAUAUGCGUUGGGCGUGGAAACGGAACUCGAAAAGCUAUGAUUGGACUUUGCCCGGAAUCCAGCAAAGCGUGGAUGAAAUAAUGGUCUAAAUGCGCUGAAAAUGUGUUUUGGGCGUCUCGGUGUGAUAUGUGAUAAAUCGGAGGACCCGGGAGCGAAAACGAGCGAAAACGGACCAAAGGCUAAAAUUGCUGAAGUUGCUGAUUUUCGGGUUGUCUGGACCUACGGGGUCCGGACCCUGGCUUCAAGGUCCGAACCUCGAGAGUGAGAAAUGCCCAGUGAAGGCUGAUGGCAGUUUGGUAAUUAAGGGGAGGUUGACUUAUAAAAGGAAGCUUCUCCUUCCUUCUUCUUCUUCUUCCCAGCCAAACACCAACACACACACAUAGUGGUAGAGAGAGAGACUCUAUCUCUAGAUUUUUUCCUUCUCUCUCUAGAUCUCUUUCCCAAAAUUGGAGGCUUGGUGGAGAAGGAGCUUGGGAACGCAUUGGGAGCAACGGUUCGAGUCUUUGUGCACCCGGUGGAGCGGCGUGCUUUCGACUCGGCGUUCGCAUUUUGGUAAGAGUUUAGGAUUUGGUUAAAUCUUUCAUGAAUGAUAUUCUAGUAGUUUCUAGAAUAUUCUAAGUAUGUUACUCCAUAUGUUUUUGGGGUAUAUGAGGGAUAUAUGAAAGCUAGGGCUUGAAAUGGGGUUUUGGGAUUUUUAGGGUUUUGAUCUAAUUGAACCCUAUUAUCCUCUAAUUGAAGGUUAGAGAUGAGCCCUUGAAGACCCUAGGUUGCGGAUUGGCCAGCGUUCGAUGAUCAAUUUCAAGUUCAAGCCGAACCGAACAACGAGUGCCGCGGGAGCCCGAUUGCAAGUGUCGACAAGCAAUCGGAGAGCCUUACGAGGUGGGUUGUGCUCCACCGAAGCGAUUAGGUCGCUUCCAUGCCAAAGUGAAGUGUGUUUCGUUAUCGAUGCAUGUAGUGGUAGUUAAUUGCCAAGUAAAAGAAUGCAUAAGAUAAAGUGACUGCAUGAGCUAAAUGCUAAAUGAAUGUAUAAGAUAUAUGCUAAUAAUGAAUGCUGAUAGAGAUGCUAAUUGUGAAUGAACAUGCAUGAUAAAGAAACUAAUUGUGAUAUAUUGACUACCAUUUCGAUAAGAACAUAGAUAUGUGCAAGAGAUGCUAGAGAAUACAUGCAUGUUGAUAUCUUGUGAACAUAUGCUAGAUUCAUAUGAAGGUUGAACUUGAGUCGACGAACUCUAAGUAUAGUAGAGAACUCGACAAGUGUGGUGUCACAACCCGCGACCACCCGCCUAUUUGGCCGAGUCGCGACGCCGCCGACAAACCGCCGAACGGACAGGGUUUCCCCUGUACACGGACAAAGUCUCCCCUGUACAUUCAAGGCGUCGCAACCUGUACAAUACAAAGAGUUCCAACCAGGAACAGUAUUCAAGCAAGGAUUACAUAAGGAAGUAUCGAAAACAUAAACACCUAGAUCACAUUCAUUCAUUUUUACAUCACAUUUUUCUUUUUUAUAUUUAACUUCCAAAUUACAAUCUAGAUAUUACAAUUUACACAACUUGCUUCUUUUCAUUCUUCUCAUCCCUAAGCAAAGCCGACUCAGGGUAUUGCUAUCUCUGGUCUCGGUGGUAGGGCGCUAACUACGGAGCUACGCCCUCGCCUUGCGCCACCGCGCCGCUCACGUGCGACCUGUAACACCCCAAAACAACGUGGGGUGAGAACCAACUCCAUGGUUCCCAGUGGGUACAGCGACCCAAGGGAAAAGCUCGAUCAAUAUGUCCAAGGGAGGCGCUGCAACAUGUUAGUCCAAUAGAUAUCCACAAAUAAUAUUUAUGCAAAUAUUAAAUACAUGUUCAUGCCUCACAAAUGCAAUAUGUAAAUCAUGCAAGUAGAUUUAUUGAUUCUACUCUCUAUUAUUUACCAUUCUUUAUAUUAUUAGCAAUCCUUUAUUACUUAGUCAUUCUUUACUUUUAGUCAUUCUUUAUUCUUAACCACACGAUGGUCCUUUGCCAAUGCUCUUCUAAGGUCACUCUUACCUUAGCCAACUAUGCCAAUUAUCAUGAUCAAGACCCAAUCCUCUCGGCUAACCCGUAGGUUUCGCCUCAAAUCUCUGCUAUCGGGGAGAUACCCGCUACAACCCGACGGGACCGUUCUUUGGGAAGAUACUCGCUACAACCUAGUGAACCAACACUUACCAACCCAAAUCCCUACUAUCGGGGAGAAUUCCGCUACAACCCGACGGGACCGUACUCUGAGGAGAUACCAGCUACAAUCCAGUGAACCAAAACUACCAACCCAAAUCCCUACUAUCGGGGAGAUACCCGCUACAACCCGACGGGACCGUCCUCUGGGGAGAUACCCGCUACAACCCAGUGAUGACAACUUCGGAGCUCAUCGCCCGAGAGGGAGCUACCACCCUCGAGCAAGGACUAACAGGUGAGUAUGAUCUAUGAUCAAAUCCAUAAUCUUGAGGAUGUCAAGUUCAAUCCAUUCCUUAACUAUAAGGAUGCCAUGUCACAUACGUCAUUUUCUUGCAUUCUUUACUUUCAUGAUGCCACACACACAAAGUGUUUUUUUAACUCUUAUUAUGCCUUCAUUGUCUUUUUAAUGCCAUACACACACUAAGGCUGCGUUUGGUUCAGGUAUAUGUAAGAACUGCUUGUUCCAGGGAUAGGUACAAGUUCAGGUAUAAGCAGGAACUAGACCAAUUUUACGUUUGGAUGAAAAUUGAGUUGUUCCUAGGAAUAAGAUAAAUAGCGUUUGGAUGGUUAAAUUGGAACAAAAGGAAUAAAAGUUAUAAUUUGAAAUUAACAUUAUAUUAUCUAAUNUCCUUUGCCAAUGCUCUUCUACGGUCACGCUUACCUUAGCCAACUAUGCCAAUUAUCAUGAUCAAGACCCAAUCCUCUCGGCUAACCCGUAGGUUUCGCCUCAAAUCCCUGCUAUCGGGGAGAUACCCGCUACAACCCGACGGGACCGUACUCUGGGGAGAUAUCCGCUACAACCCAGUGAACCAAAACUCACCAACCCAAAUCCCUACUAUCGAGGAGAUACCCGGUACAACCCAACGGGACCGUCCUCUGGGGAGAUACCCGCUACAACCCAAUGAUGACAACUCCGGAGCUCAUCGCCCGAGGGGGAGCUACCACCCUCGAGCAAGGACUAACAGGUGAGUAUGAUCCAUGAUCAAAUCCAUAAUCUUGAGGAUGUCAAGUUUAAUCCAUUCCUUAACUAUAAGGAUGCCAUGUCACAUACGUCAUUUUCUUGCAUUCUUCACUUUCAUGAUGCCACACACACUAAGUGUUUUUUAAACUCUUAUUAUGCCUUCAUUGUCUUUUUAAUGCCAUACACACACUAAGUGUUCGUACUUUCCAAUGUCAAGUUCUUUACUCUAUUUGAAUUAUCGUCCCAAAUGCACAUUCAUAUGAAUCUACCAUAUUCUCACAUUAUGUCAACAUACAAGUGUUCUUCAACAUUUCCUACACAUGUUUGCAUUCUUAUCAAAAUAGUAAUCAUUAUACAUUUGGCACAUAACUCAUACAUUCUUUAUUAGUAUAUAUCUAUGCAUUCAUUUCUAAAACAUACAUUGUCAUUCAAGAUAGUCAGUACUUAGCAUCUCAUGCUUUCUUUAACCUCUACCAUAUGCAUUCUUAAUUAACAUAAAUCUCAUUAUUUAUUUCAUUUCAUUGGUAGGUAAUCUCAACUACAUAAUAUGUUUCAAGCAUUCAUAUUAUCAUGUAAGCUUACCAAUAAAACUAUAUGCAUCAAUGAUAAACAUUUAUCUUAGACAUACAGGCGACCUAGUCGCUUCGGUAAACACAACCCACCUGUUAUCGCAUUCCGAUUGCUUGUCGACACUUGCAAUCGGCCUCCCGCGGCACCCGUAACCCGGUUCGGCCCGGACUCUCGCGCGACAACCCGAACGGCCUCCAAUCCACGAUCCGGAAAUUAAAGGUCUUCGGUUAUGCGCCACGGUGUUUCAAAUCCGUUUUCAUGAUUUUACGACGUCGCCUCGGCCCUCCCGGCGGAAACGAAGCCUAACGUCCGUUUCUUUAAUAACUUCGCAACGGCUCGACGGAUUGCCGAAUUGACUUCCCCAACGCGUUCGUUUACCUAGCAAUUAGGUUUACGGAUGGUCAAAUGAGAUCAAACCCUACAAUUUUACAAAACUCCAUUUUGGAGCCCUAGGUUACAACUAUGCAAGAAAUCAUCAUUUUGGAACCUGAUUCAAGCAUUAAUCUUCUAAUUAGCAUCUAAGAAUGCUACUAAAUCCAUCUUUAGAGCUUAAAUGCAAAACCCUAGAGUUCUACCAUUAUAAACCUAGCCUCUACACAUGCUUCAAUUAACCCAAAUUAAAUGGAUUUAACAUGCUAAUCAACCCAUUAGAGGCUAUUAGAACACUAGGAAUUAAGGAUUAAGCCAAAUCCCAAGAGCUUACCCAAAUGUGAACACUGCGACGAAAACAAGCCGCUCCAACGGGCGCACGAAAGCUCGAUCCGUCGCCUCCAACGCGUUCGCAAGCUCGUUCUCUGCCAAUGCCGCGAAUUUGGGAGAGGGAUCUAGAGAGAUGAGAGAGAUAUUUAGAGAGAAGUGGAGCUUUCUCUCUCCCUCACCAUGGUCGCAUGGUGCUUGGAUGGUGGCCGGCUGUGUGGAGAAGAAAAGAAGCCAAUGCUUCUUAUAAUUACACCCCAAAUACUAUUCACAUUCAGGCUGUUUAGCAGUUAGGUCCCGACGGAGCCCUUCUGAUUGUCCGUUUGAGCUCAAAUUUGACAGGCAUGUUCGGUUUUACUUAACUUAACAAAGUAGUGAUCACUCUUCCAGUUUCGACCCCGUUUGGUUACCGAAAGCUGUACCGAAUUGUAAUCUUUAACAGAUAGCUGUGGGAUUUUAUUUUCUACCUUCCGGGUGUCAGAAUGGCAUGAAACUUUAAACCUAGCCUCAUAAAAAUAAUUCUGACAUCUCCGCCAAUUUUUAUAAUUUUCUGAGACUGCGCAUUUUCUGCUAAUUUAUCUGUCCCGUUUCCAACAGAAAAUUCUAAAUCUUCUGUUUUAAUUCCGAUUUCGGCACAAGUCACUUAUGACUUAUGUGUUACUUCUCUAAAUCCAAUAAAAAUAAUUUUUCACACUAUUUUUAUUUAUUUUUUUAUUUUAAUACCAAAAUCUGGUAUGUUACAUUCUCCACCUCUUAAAAAGAACUUCGUCCGCGAAAUUCAAACCACGCCUCAAUUUAACUCCUUGAGCAAUUGAGGAUACCAACUCAUUCUCACACUCCAGAGCGGCUUUAUACCAUCGUGGUUCCCGAAGCGUCUCAUACUGAAGGACGUCGGUUCAAUCCUCGACACAUUUGCAAAGUGUGAUACAAAAAUGCAUCACGGGUCUUGCAAGUCACAGUGGCAGCGCAAGUUGGUGCUCGACGACUCUACGCGCUCCCACGCCACUCGCCAUUCGUUAUGCAAAGAACUCUUCUUUGCAUUCAUCUUUUCUUUAGGAAUUACAUGCCGACUCGAUUACCGACAUUGCUUAGAAGCAAUAUCACCGGUGCAUCGCUUCACUGUGAGAGCUCCAAUCUCAACCGAAUCUUGCUCUACUACGAGAUGGCACACUCCGGCACAUCUCAAUCCUCAAGAGAGCUUUACGUCAUUUCUCGCGUGGCUAUCCAAUACUCAAGUGUCUCAAUGAGACCACUUACUUUCUGUUUUCAUUGCCAUGACCAACCAAUUCGUUCUUACAACGAAUUAAUACGAGCCCUCUGUUCGCUAAUACAAGCCAAACUCAUCCACAGAGUUAUCGGCCAUAACGCUUACUUUGGUUUUCAUAAGUGGACCGAAGGCCACCGAUUCUACGUAGGCCUACCGCCUAUCCCGUCUCCAUACCCGUACCGUCUCUCGCUCUCAAGCGCAGACCCAAUCAUAAUCGGGCGAAAUUCUCAUUUAGGAAUUCGCACACACUCCAAUCAGGAGCAACCAGGAGCCCAAACCACUAUAAAUCCUCGGGUUGGGUCACAACCGAACUCUCGGUAUAUCCUCGAUCUCAAAAUCCAACACGUGGCACUCCACGCUCCCGGGUCUAAGCUCGGACUACCGCCCUGACCAAAACUCCGCCCUACCAGUAGGUACCGGGCCGCUGUCUCUCACAGCUGACUGCGCCUACCCGAAGGGCCCAGGCUCCACAGUCCACCAGUGGUCCAGGCACGGGUCGUCCCCAAGCAUUACCCGUCGUCGUCGUCCUACACGACAUACUCUAUCGAGUCACGCGUACCACUCUCGGCUCCUAAGCACCUAGUGCGAGCCACCAACCCUACAAGUGAUCCAUGGCCCGCUUCACACUUGGCAAUGCUAAAGUGCUAUUGCCAACACACUCACUCGGUUGAAUCAAUCCGCACUCUAUGAGUACCUAUACUCGAACGUCAUACGCCUCUAUAGCGCUUCACACUAAGUCAAGCAUCAGGCAACCAUGCCUAUGCACGCUGAUCGCACGAGCACUACUCACCCACCUGAAUUCGAGGUACCACUAGGCCUCACAUGCCCGUAUUCGGCAACUAAUCGGCCAUUCUCUCAACAGUGAUCUCACUUUCACUGUUCGAUCUACCGGAACGAUAUCUUUACUACUCGGGCUACUUGGGUAUUCUCAAGCAUCUUGGCUCAACUCUCGCAAUCUCCUAUCCAUUGCCUUGAGAGUCGGUCAACCAUCUCCACAUUUACCCCGAGUCUCAUCAUUCGGUUAUCACUAGCAACUUGCUAGUGCCAUCUAGCUCUUUACUUGCACCGGUAGGUGCUACACCUUCACCGCAUAAGCAUACUCGGGCAUUUACACUUACCCGUCCACUUGGUCCCUACUACUCUGACGUAUCAACGGUAGUAAGUGACCGCAUGAUAAAUGCAUGCAAGGUUCCUCGACCAGGGUCGCGUACUCAUGGCCACUCAGUGCCCACCGCGAACCCUCCGGUCGCCACAUUCUCAUCACUCACUCUCCAGACCGUGCUGUAGGUGACGUGCCCACAAGCUGUCUCGGAGAAGAAGAGGCCAUCGCCAACGUCAAGGCUUGGCUCACGCCCACACGAAUGCAUAUCUCAUCACGCAGCACACCCCGCCGCGCCUAGUGAGAACUCUUGCAGUCCCGUAUCUUGGAGAAGUUAACGAAGACACCUCCAAGGUUCGGGAUUGCAAUUGCACUCGAGAAUGUACACUGCCCAAAUUGGGCAAAUCUCGCGGUGGGGGACCGGUCUCUCCGACCUAAGACCGGUCUCCGAGAGCUCCACCCGCGGACUGCGCAGCUUGCGCAUGAUGCAACCGGUCUCACCUGGUGCAACCGGUCUCGAGAGACCGGUCUUUCCCUGUUGGGACCGGUCUCCGAGAGCUGGUCUUCUAGGACUUAGCCGAUUUUCCACUCUGCUCGAUGCCUACGCACACGGAGACCGGUCUCUACCUCUUGGGACCGGUCUCCGAGAGCUAAAAACCUGCAGUUUGGCAGAUUUUGAUUCCCACGCUCUCGAAGAUACCCAAAUAAUGCACUUUUGCAUUAUUUGACGCCUUCGGCCUUUCCGAAACGUACCAACCUCGCACUCUGGUCAAUUUGACCAAGGUUCGAUAUUUAUUUACCGUGUUUUCGGUACGUUACAUUCUCUCCUUCUACAAGGAGUUUCGUUCUCAUUACCCCGCACUAUGUCUGGGAUGCAACUUCUGACACGGGAGAAUUUUCGCUCGUAUUCCCUCACGGCGCGGUCUACCUGCCGCAGCUUCGAGAACCUUUCCUGAAGCUUUUUUUUCCAUCAUCAGAUGAGUAAGCGAAGAAUACUUAUUCCCGAAACUCAUUCCAAACCAUAGGAAGGAGACCAGGCAGUCGAUCCCACUCGACGCUUGUCCACCACACCUUCGCCGACUGUUUGCACGCAACGCAGGGCUAGGUGUACCUUGGCCCACUUAACAGUGCACAGAUCCCCUAAAGGGAGUCUCCAUGAAGUCGAUCCACAACUCCACGAUCAACGGAUUUGCGUCCUCUUGGCAGCCAUCUGCUGACACUACACUAAUUUGGCUCAUUACCCCGCCACUCACACGAGAGUGGCCAACGGCUCGCGAAGUCCCAAGUCUCCGCUUGUUUCGGAUUGCUUAGGGACAACUUGUCCCAUCCCGCGUCGAUCUAAACGAAGAUCGCCUACGCGGCGCUAUCGCUUCCUAAAACGCGGCAACUUCAUUAAUCCUCGACCUUCUAGGUCGAACACGAGACACUUAAUACCGACUCAAAUAGGGCGAAAGUCACGCAAGGGCGCCUAUUCUCAUCACUCGGUUUCAUGUUGUCGUACGCCAACAUGAACAACCUUGGCUGAGAAUAAACCACACCUCGAGUCUACCUCUAAUAUCCGUCUUAGAGGUUUACAACACAACCCAAUCCAUUAUCCUUUCGCCACAAGUCAUAAGUCCUCGUCUCUCACGAGCCUUAUUCUCCUAUGGUUUGCUAUCCUAGGGUCUCUGUCACGCCCGGGUACCAGCGGAAGCAUAUCCGGUCGCGCGCACAGACCGCCGUGUACACCACAACUCAAGUAUACACAAGGCGUCUACAAACCACAUAGUAAAAGCAUAUAAUUCUAACUAGGUAAUCAGAGCAAGACUUAUAAGUUUAAACUUAUACAAUCCAAACCUUAAAACAGGAAAUAAGAACAAAGUACCGUCUACAAAAACUUAAUAUACAUUUCUGUACUACACUAUAUAAACUGCUGGAGGUGAUCUAGUACACGUCCAAAAAGGCUCUAGCUAGUCGCUGACCCAUCGCCAGAAACCCUAGCCUUUCCCGCUGUGGAAGGCUCUGUAAAAACAACAACAAAGAGGGCGUGAGAACUAUUAAACAAUAGUUCCCAGUGGGUAAGCCGCCGAGAGUGGCGAAGUACACCACUAGGUCAACUGUGGCAUGAGUAGAUAGCAAUAAAUAAGCGGGUAAAUGCAGAUAAUUAUGCAACAGAUAUGGAAGUAAACUACUCAUGCUAUUUGCUCAACCAUAAAUAAAUAACAAUAGAUUGCAGGUAUCAGUUAUCAUGAUAGAUUCUAUCAAUCAUAUUACUUGACAAUUUAACCAAACAUAUAUCAGAAUGUAUGCAAGAUAAUUCACUUUACUAAAAUUACAGAUGAUAUCAUGUAAUUACCUUGUUCCAUAGCAAGAAAGAGACAUAAUGUCAUUCAUUAUGUUGCUAACCAAUCAUGAUGUCAACUUCUAGGUUAUUCAUCGCUAGGCUCACUUUAGAUGUCAACUUUCUAGUAUGUUCAUCAAUAAGUUCACUUAACCAAAGACAUAAAGUAACUGUACUACUAUGUCCAGCUAAGGUUAAAGUACUUGACAUAACCCAAUUUCCAACAGACUUACACAAGGUAAGUUCAAGCCGCGCCGUGCCUAAUGGCCCCGUGGUAGUCAACAUCCCCACUCGAGGAAUGAGCCUCCCCCACGGCAUUCCAUUUCGGCGCUCACUUUGUACAUUUGCGAGCAUCUGUCGCUAAGCUGUUCGGGAGUGCUGGCUUGGGAGGGAGCGACCCCGCAAGCGUGUGCGAACGCGCACAAUGGUAUGCAAACCGUAGUCCAUAGUACCAAUCUCACAACAGCAUCAUGUCCCUGACAUGGUGUCUCAACUCGAGCCACUCCGGAACGCGGGGCUUGGGGGGGCGCGACCCCCGCAAGCAUGUACGAAAGAGCAUAAUGGCAUGCUAGCUAUAGUCCAGGGUACAAAUAUCUCAACGACAUCAUGUCUCUGACAUGGAAUCUCAACUCGACCCAAGGUCGGCACUGUAGUACCCAAUCAUAAGUCACUAUCAACAACUUGUUGAUAUGAUUCUACCAAUAACUAGUAUAACUUGACAAGUUAAGGCUUUACAUCACACUCGUGACUCUAUCAGGCUAUACCUGGUCAGUGAUUCACAACCUCUCACUACUCCUUACACAUAAGGAAAGUGGUUUGCUAAUGUUCUGUUCAAAGACUCAUGGCACAUAUCCUGUAGUUCAAUAUAAAUCUCUACUUGACUAUACAAGUAUGUUAUCAUAUCCAAAUCUAGUUAUCUACUAGAUUAUAUUCAGUUGUAUAACAUUCAAGUUAUGCCAUCUUAUGAGGUUCUAGUUACUUACUUGAACAUAUAUCAUAAUACAAGUCUAUCAUGUGAAAGCAUGAGCGAUAACUACUCUUCACGUGAUCUCUAUGCCAUUCCUUCUACAAUUAGAAAUGCAUAUGCAAUCAAAGGUCUUUACCUGAUCUAUCAGAGUAUAGCAAUCAUACUUGCUAUAUAACAGUGCAUAGCCCAAUCCUAAAUACAUCAAUCUAACACUGCAUAUGCAAGCUACUAGUAUCAUGAACACGUAGUACUUUAACAACAUGUAACCAUAUAGAGUGAACAAGUCACGAAUCUUUCAUUACUGUUUAUCAUAUCCGAUAUGAUCUACACAUCAAUGCAUGUCGCAUGAACUAUACAUAUAUGCACAUGAAUAAGGAAUAACUUCAACUCAGAUGUCAAAGGAGACAUAGAGAAAAUUCACCCAUUUCGGGAAGGUCCGACCCACCUAUCCCCAAGCUCAAUCCAGCCAAUAGAAGUCCCGAACUCAGCUCAGCGGAGCCCCAACUCUGCUGAAAACAAAACACGGAAGGCGCAUCAAACUACGACCGAAAUGUCCAAUUUCGGCACACAUUGUACGUAGUACAAAGUAAUAACUUAAAUUCCUGUUUGGGCUCAGUUCAAUACCUCAAGUUUAGAAGCCAAAAGCUCUCACAUCACAGCCGACGAUAAUCCGAAGGUCAAUCGCAAGCUCGCUGCGAACAAUCGCCACAACGGCAUCAAUAUAGUCGAAUUCUUGCAAUUUCAGUUUUCUAACUGAAAUCCUUGCUUACCUCAGGUUAGAGUACCUUCUAAACCAGCCUCCUAGGUCACCAAAAUUGCCUAAUAAAUCGGAAACCUGCUGUGAACAAACAAGUCCAAACUGCAUAAAGUUACACAAUUAAUCCUCGUUUGGUUCCGAAAUCGAGUCAAUAGUCAACUAAUUACCUUGGCUAAGCCUCAAGCCAGCUUUUCCCUGAUUUAGACAGAGGAAUAAUAGCAAAAUAACUCCUCUUUAGCUGUUGGAAUUGCCCUCUAACUCAGCUGGGAGCAACAAGACCAAAACCACUCAAAAUCCGACACUAAACGUCCAAUUAGAGGAGGUUUAAGCUAUAUACCUUUCAACAGCUGCAACUCAGCUCUUUCUGGGGUUAAGAUCCCAGAAAAGUCAAUAAAUAUCCUCCUCCCCACGUUCUAAAAGCUUUCCUUGACUCUCCGAACCAGCGAGCAACGAGUGCGGCGCGAAAACGGCGCGAAUCGGCGGCUUUUCUCUAGAGAGAGAAAAACCCUAGAGAGAGAGAAAGAGAGAAGGUGAAAGAAGCUUCUCUGAACUCAAGCNCUUGUGAACGUUGACAUUGAUUUGUUCGAUAUUUACACUCUCGGGGCAAAAUUGAACAAUAUAAUUAAGUUUUACACUUUGUUUGAUUGAAUAAGAAAAAGAACUCGUUGCAAAGUUAUAAUGUUAGGUCGUAACCGAGUAGUCUAAUAUUUUUCCGGUUUUGGUUCUUGUGAAUGCGAACAUCGUUUCGUUCCACUAUUACACUCACGGGGCAUAAUAGAACAAAAUAAUUAGCUUUUACUUUUUGUUCGAUUGAAUAAGAAAAAGCACUCGUUGCAAAGUUAUACUGUCACGACCCGCGACCACUCGCCAAUUUGGCCGGGUCGCGGCGCCGCCGACAGACCGCCGAACGGACAGGGUUUCUCCUGUACACGGACAGAGUCUCCUCUGUACAUUCAAGGAGUCGCAACCUGUACAAUACAAAGAGUUCCAACCAGGAACAGUAUUCAAGCAAGGAUUGCAUAAGGGAGUAUCGAAAACAUAAACACCUAGAUCACAUUCAUUCAUUUUUACAUCACAUUUUCCUUUUUUACAUUUAACUUUCAAAUUACAAUCUAGAUAUUACAAUUUAUACAACUUGCUUCUUUUCGUUCUUUUCAUCCCUAAGUGAAGCCGACUCAGGGUACCGCUAUCUCUGGUCUCGGUGGUAGGGCGUUAACUAUGGAGCUACGCCCUCGCCUCGCGCCGCCGCGCCGCUCACGUGUGAACCUGUAGCACCCCAAAACAACGUGGGGUGAGAACUAUAUAAAUAUAGUUCCCAGUGGGUACGGCCACCCAAGGAAAAAGCUCGAUUAAUAUGUCCAAGGGAGGCGCUGCAACAUGUUAGUCCAAUAGAUAUCCACAAAUAAUAUUUAUGCAAAUAUUAAAUACAUGUUCAUGCCUCACAAAUGCAAUAUGUAAAUCAUGCAAGUAGAUUUAUUGAUUCUACUCUCUAUUAUUUACCAUUCUUUAUAUUAUUAGCAAUCCUUUAUUACUUAGUCAUUCUUUACUUUUAGUCAUUCUUUAUUCUUAACCACACGAUGGUCCUUUGCCAAUGCUCUUCUAAGGUCACUCUUACCUUAGCCAACUAUGCCAAUUAUCAUGAUCAAGACCCAAUCCUCUCGGCUAACCCGUAGGUUUCGCCUCAAAUCUCUGCUAUCGGGGAGAUACCCGCUACAACCCGACGGGACCGUACUCUGAGGAGAUACCAGCUACAAUCCAGUGAACCAAAACUACCAACCCAAAUCCCUACUAUCGGGGAGAUACCCGCUACAACCCGACGGGACCGUCCUCUGGGGAGAUACCCGCUACAACCCAGUGAUGACAACUUCGGAGCUCAUCGCCCGAGAGGGAGCUACCACCCUCGAGCAAGGACUAACAGGUGAGUAUGAUCUAUGAUCAAAUCCAUAAUCUUGAGGAUGUCAAGUUCAAUCCAUUCCUUAACUAUAAGGAUGCCAUGUCACAUACGUCAUUUUCUUGCAUUCUUUACUUUCAUGAUGCCACACACACAAAGUGUUUUUUUAACUCUUAUUAUGCCUUCAUUGUCUUUUUAAUGCCAUACACACACUAAGGCUGCGUUUGGUUCAGGUAUAUGUAAGAACUGCUUGUUCCAGGGAUAGGUACAAGUUCAGGUAUAAGCAGGAACUAGACCAAUUUUACGUUUGGAUGAAAAUUGAGUUGUUCCUAGGAAUAAGAUAAAUAGCGUUUGGAUGGUUAAAUUGGAACAAAAGGAAUAAAAGUUAUAAUUUGAAAUUAACAUUAUAUUAUCUAAUUAAUUAAUAUCAAAAUAUUACUUAAAAAUAAAUAAUAAAUAAAUUAUUAAUAAAUAAUUAUAAAUAAUAAUAAUUAUUAAUUAUUAAUUAUUAAUUAUUAUCAUUAAUUAAUUAUUAUUAAUUAUUUAUAAUUAUUUAUAAGUAAUAAAUUAAUUAAUUAUUAAUAAAUUAUUAAUAAUUAUUACUUAAUUAAUUAAUUAUUAAUAACUAUUAAUAAUUAUUUAUAAGUAAUAAAUUAAUUAAAAAUAAUUAUCUAAUUAUUAAUAAUUAAUUAUAAAUCAUUAUUAAUAAAUAAUAAUAAUUAUUUAAUUAUUAAUUAUUAAUAAUAAAUUACUAAUAAUAUCGAUUAUCUAAUUAAUAAGAAUAAUUAUUUUAUUAUUAAUUAUUAAUUAAAUAAUAAUAUUAAUAAUUAAUUAUAAGUAAUAAAUUAAUUAAUAAUAAUUAUCUAAUUAUUAAUAAUUAAUUAUAAAUAAUAAAUUAAUAAUAAUAUCGAUUAUCUAUUUCUUAAGAAUAAUAAUUAUUAAUAAUUAUUAUUUAAUUAAUAAUUAUUAAUAAAUAAUAAUUAUUAAAUUAAUAAUUAUUAUUAUCUAAUUAUAAAUAAUUAAUUAUAAUUAAUUAUUUGUUUAUUUAUUUUAUUAUUUAAGCAAUAGAUAAUAAUUCAAAUAUAUUAAUUAGAUUAAUUAAUAAUUUACUAUCAUUAAAAUUUAAAUUUAUAUUUAAUUAACCUUGUUCUCAUUCGGGAACAAGCCUGUUCCAGAAAAAAGGUGGAACAGCAGUUCCAGCUAGUUCUAGUCUUAUACCAGCUAGUUCCAGAAACCCAGGAACUACUGUUCUCGGUUACCAAACGCUGCGUUUGGGAACAAAGGGGGGAACAAGGGCUUAUUCUCCCUCUUGUUCCCGAACCAAACACUAUAAGUGUUCGUACUUUCCAAUGUCAAGUUCUUUACUCUAUUUAAAUUAUCGUCCCAAAUGCACAUUCAUAUGAAUCUACCAUAUUCUCACAUUAUGUCAACAUACAAGUGUUCUUCAACAUUUCCUACACAUGUUUGCAUUCUUAUCAAAAUAGUAAUCAUUAUACAUUUGGCACAUAACUCAUACAUUCUUUAUUAGUAUAUAUCUAUACAUUCAUUUCUAAAACAUACAUUGUCAUUCAAGAUAGUCAGUACUUAGCAUCUCAUGCUUUUUUUAACCUCUACCAUAUGCAUUCUUAAUUAACAUAAAUCUCAUUAUUCAUUUCAUUUCAUUGGUAGGUAAUCUCAACUACAUAAUAUGUUUCAAGCAUUCAUAUUAUCAUGUAAGCCUACCAAUACAACUAUAUGCAUCAAUGAUAAACAUUUAUCUUAGACAUACAGGCAACCUAGUCGCUUCGGUAAACACAACCCACCUGUUAUCGCAUUCCGAUUGCUUGUCGACACUUGCAAUCGGCCUCCCGCGGCACCCGUAACCCGGUUCGGCCCGGACUCUCGCGCGACAACCCGAACGGCCUCCAAUCCACGAUCCGGAAAUUAAAGGUCUUCGGUUAUGCGCCACGGUGUUUCAAAUCCGUUUUCAUGAUUUUACGACGUCGCCUCGGCCCUCCCGGCGGAAACGAAGCCUAACGUCCGUUUCUUUAAUAACUUCGCAACGGCUCGACGGACUGCCGAAUCGACUUCCCCAACGCGUUCGUUUACCUAGCAAUUAGGUUUACGGAUGGUCAAAUGAGAUCAAACCCUACAAUUUUACAAAACUCCAUUUUGGAGCCCUAGGUUACAACUAUGCAAGAAAUCAUCAUUUUGGAACCUGAUUCAAGCAUUAAUCUUCUAAUUAGCAUCUAAGAAUGCUACUAAAUCCAUCUUUAGAGCUUAAAUGCAAAACCCUAGAGUUCUACCAUUAUAAACCUAGCCUCUACACAUGCUUCAAUUAACCCAAAUUAAAUGAAUUUAACAUGCUAAUCAACCCAUUAGAGGCUAUUAGAACACUAGGAAUUAAGGAUUAAGCCAAAUCCCAAGAGCUUACCCAAAUGUGAACACUGCGACGAAAACAAGCCGCUCCAACGGGCGCACGAAAGCUCGAUCCAUCGCCUCCAACGCGUUCGCAAGCUCGUUCUCUGCCAAUGCCGCGAAUUUGGGAGAGGGAUCUAGAGAGAUGAGAGAGAUAUUUAGAGAGAAGUGGAGCUUUCUCUCUCCCUCACCAUGGUCGCAUGGUGCUUGGAUGGUGGCCGGCUGUGUGGAGAAGAAAAGAAGCCAAUGCUUCUUAUAAUUACACCCCAAACACUAUUCACAUUCAGGCUGUUUAGCAGUUAGGUCCCGACAGAGCCCUUCUGAUUGUCCGUUUGAGCUCAAAUUUGACAGACAUGUUUGGUUUUACUUAACUUAACAAAGUAGCGAUCACUCUUCCAGUUUCGACCUUGUUUGGUCACCGAAAGCUGUACUGAACUGUAAUCUUUAAUAGAUAGCUGUGGGAUUUUAUUUUCCACCUUCCGGGUGUCAGAAUGGCAUGAAACUUUAAAUUUAGCCUCAUAAAAAUAAUUCUGACAUCUCCGCCAAUUUUCAUAAUUUUCUGAGACUGCACAUUUUCUGCUAAUUUAUCUGUCCUGUUUCCAAUAGAAAAUUUUAAAUUUUCUAUUUUAAGGCACAAGUCACUUAUGACUUAUGUUUUACUUCUCUAAAUCCAAUAAAAAUAGUUUUUCACACUAUUUUUAUUUAUUUUUUUUAUUUUAAUACCAAAAUCUGGUAUGUUACAUGUGGCAUGUAAAGAAUCCUAAGUGUGGAUAACUAGGAUAACAAGAAUCAUGAGUGGCAUUGAAUCUAGUGUCAUUGAACAUAGGUGAAUCAUGAGUGGCAUUAAACCUAGUGUUAUUGAACAUAGGUUGAGAAUUGAACCUAGAGUCGAGUGGACCUAGGAUGGAAAGGACAUUGGACCUAGUGUUGAGUAAACCUAGGUUAUGAGUUGUUAUGGAUCAUGGCAGUAGAGUGACCACUAGGAUAUGUAUAGCCAAACCUAAAGACGGUGAUGACAUAGGGUAAAACCAACCCUUGAGAUAUGAAAGUGUAAUAUACCGGAUUUUUUUUAAUAUAAAAGUAGAUGUAAAUAAAAAUAGUGUAAAAUACUAUUUUUAUUGGAUUUAGAGAAGUAAAAUAUAAGUCGAAAAUGACUUGUGCUGAAAUCGGAACUAAAACAGAAGAUUUAGAAUUUUCUGUGAGAAACGGGUCUGAUAUUUUAGCAGAAAAUGUACAGUGUCAGAAAAUUAUGAAAACUGGAGAAUAUAUCAGAAUUACUUUUAUGAGGCUACAUUUAAAGUUUCAUGUCAUUAUGACACCCGGAAGGUGAAAAAUAAAAUCCGAUUGUUAUCUGCUAGAGAUUACAGUUCGGUGAGCUUUCGGUGAUAAAAAAUGGUCCAAAUUUAAAUUUUAAGAUAUUUUUUUAUCCUUAUUAAUGUUAAUCGAGCCUGAUUGCCAAAUUUGAGCGUAAACGGAGGCUCCGGCGAUAGGUUUCAGAUUCUGAAUUGGGAACCGUAUUAUAGAAAGAAAUUUCGACUUUUGUGGAGGGGUAAGUUGUAAUUUUUUUCUGAUCUUAUCUACAACCUAGCCCUCCACUAGCUGCUUGCGUACAGGGAGGUAUUUCUCUCCUUCUAUCUCUUUCUUUUGUCUCUUUCUCUCUCUCUCUCUCUCUCUAAUCGUGUGAAGUAGAAUGAUGGAGAUGUUGGUGAAGUAGUGUGUGGAGCUAAGAAGGAUUUCAGCAGCAGGUUAUUUUGGUGGAGUAGAGAAAUUUGAGGUAAGUUGUGUUAAAGAUAUGCCUUCUUUUUUGGUUUGGUUCAUACACCGGAUUUAUGGAAAAAUAAAAAGGAUCUCAUAAGGAUUUAUUUUUGGUGGAUCCUAAUUUAAAUUGGAAUCCUAGAUAGACUAGGAUUGGUUUCCAUAUAAUACUCUAUAUUCAAUAAUCAUAUUGAAUUAGAGUAGGAUUGAGCCAAAUCCCUCUCUAUAUAUACAUGCAUAUGCAUGUACGGCUUGGUGAGGCGUGUGGUUAAAUUAAUUAGCAUUCACAGUCCGGCUAAUUAAUACACGGUGUCUCCUGUGGCCAUACGGGCGGAAGAGGCUGAGGAAGAGGCUUAAUUAAUUAGCCAUCGUGGACCGUACGGCUUCGGGUGCAUAGAAGCAAAUUAAUUAGCAUAAGGUGUAUUGGCUAAUUAAUUAACAUAGCACCAUCCGUACGGCAUAAGAAGGCUGCACCUUUGCAUGCGACGUCGGAUCGGAGUCGGCAGCAGGAGCGACGGUUCUCGACCAAUUGCCUGAGCGGUUCGGAUUCUUCGAAGCAACGGCAUAAAGGAAUUUGGUUAGAGUUUCUAUACUUCUCUAAUUUUGGUCUUCUCGGUUUUACGAAAAGCAUUUUCUGGUAUUUUCUUGGAGUUUUCGUUGGAACAAGAAAAUGUGGAAUUCACUAUAAGGUUCUUGGUUUUUUUAUCCGAAGAAGACAUAAGGUGUAAGCUUGUACUUCUAUUUCUUCAUAUAGUGGAAUACAUCUCUCUCGCUCUUCCCGUGGACGUAGGCAAUUGCCGAACCACGUAAAUCUUGGUUUCUUCUUUCUGCAUUUAUUUCUUUUACCGUUCGGUCGAUUUUCUCUAUUUUUCGUGCAUCUUUGUUGGUAGCACAUGACGGACGAUCCAUCCGGUUCCCAACAAGUUGAUGAUGCCUUUUUGGUUAGAGAUUAUCUUAAUUACCUUAGAAAGAGAUUAAGCCUUGGUUUCUUAGGUGCUAGAAGUGUAGCUGCCAUAGAAACCUAAGGAAGAAGCUUUGAAUGGAGUUGAAAGAUUGGAGGAAUUAAAGUUCUCGGCUGAGAGGAAAGUUCUUUGAGCAGAAAAUUUGGCCCGUUGGAGAGGAAAACUUGAGGUAAGAUGGCUGUGAUUUCUUGCUUAGAAUUGUGCUACUUACCCUAGAAAGGUUUGGAUAACAGAUGUUUUAUAGUUACUAUAACUUAUAUUACUAUGUGAACGUAGAAAUGAUGUUAUAAGCAGCUUGUGUAUAUAAGUUUGGGUUGAAGUAAAACUUGGGCUGUACUUGUCAGAAUUUAUGUUGCUUAACCUAAAGGAGAAAUUAGGUUAGAGUUUCUUAGGUUCUAAGCUGAAAUUGCCAUGAAAGCAAUCUAAAUUAAGCUAAUUGUUGUAUGUAUAUAUGUGAAAUAAGUAACCUGAGAUAAGUGGAUUUUAAUUCUUGAUUAGAGUUAUAGUAUUUACUUUAUAAAAGGAUUUCUUAAUUGCUAGAGUUUGAAGCCGCCAUGAAACCUAGAGAACAAACCCUAUGUUAUGCGUAAAAUGUCGGAUUUUCGACUACGCGGCUAAUUGUGAUCAAAUUGAUCAAAAUAAUGAGAAAAAGGAAAUUGGGUUGCUUCCGAGCUUAAUUGGUAGCUUUGGCAUAGCGUUUAGUACGUUUUGGAAGUGUUUGGAUGGACUCGGAAAGAACUAGAUGUGCAAAAGGGGCUGAAAACUGCUGCUGUCGGCUAUUGUUUAGUGCAGGGACUGAUUUGUAAACUGUUGGACUACAAUGCAGUUUUAGUCUUUUGAGGGGUUAAGAGGGCUUUAAAACAGGGUUUUUGUUGUGGGAGCUGAAAGCAACCGGUGGAACAUCGAAUUAAGGUAAAUUUGAUUAAAGAUUCAGUUAAUUACCUUUGGAGAAUAGUUAACUUGGAGUUCUAUAUAGUGUAUAAGUUGUGGAAAUGUGAAAAUUGCAUUGUGAAUCUUGUGUAGAUAAACUGAUUAGAGAAAAACUAGGGGGAAUUAAAUGUAUUCCCUGGUUUCGAUGACUUCCUUUGUUGUAUAGGAGGGUUAAACCAAGAGUUUCUAAGUAGUUGUAAAUUGUAGUAGUGUAGAAAAGCUGUAAAGAAGUAAAUUAUCAAAAUACGAGAGUUUGACUUUGUCCUGGAUCGACUAUUUGUCGAAUGGGAUGGCUUCGAAGAAGCCCAAGAUGUUAAAACGGGCCAAAGCGCGUUAACAUGGGGUCUACGAGAGCUUGGAGGCAAAAAUCUGCAAAUUGCAUAUUUUCAGCUCCAGGAGACCGGUCCCAAGUGGGGCAGACCGAUCUCCGCGCGCGCAGGUAGCCCAAACCGAGAGGGGGCAGCUCUUGGGUUUCAGCCUCCACGCAGAGGCAGACCGGUCCCAAGGGGGCAGACCGGUCUCGGAAGACCGGUUUCACCGGAGGGAGACCGGUUGCUACGCGCGUGAGCCCUGCCAGCCGAGAAGGCAGCUCUCGGAGACUUGUCCCAAGCAGCAUGAGACCGGUCUCCCAGGCCGCGAACAGCCCAGUGAGGGCGGUGCACAGGAUGAAACGUUGAGGGGCUAAAGUGAAUUUUGUUACAUUAGAAGGGUAUGUAGGCCCUCUCCCCCUCUCACUCUCUCUCAUUCCCAUCUCUCUCUCUCUCUCUCAUUCUCUUGCUCUAUCUCUCUAGAAGGAAAAGAAAGAGAAGACCUAGGAGAGGAAGAAGAAGGAAAAGAGAGGAGAAAAAGAAAAAAGAAAGAAAGGAGAAGAAGAAGGAGAGCAAAGAGGAGGACUUGGACCUCUCCCUCUCCCUCUCCCUCUUUUUUUCUCUUUGGAGCUAGCACAAGAGGUAAGCCCUAACCCUAGCUUUUGUAAACUUAGGGUUUUUGGGUUUUGAGCUUAGAAAUGGGUCAAAUGGACCCUUAGCAAGCUUCCAAAUAGAUCAAUCCUAAACUCUAGGGUUUUGAAAGAGAGGUUUGCUAUAGGUGCAAACCUAAGGCUCCAAAUUGGGGUCUUUGAUAAAUGAGGAGAUUGAUCUCAUUUGGUGGCUUGUAAACCUAAUUGGCGGGUGUCUAAACGCGUUGGGGAAGUCGGAAUUUCGAUUCGUCGAACGGAUAAAAACAUAUGAGCAAAAUGAUGUUGAUUAUGCUUCGUUUCGACCUAGGAGGCCGAGACUUCGAGGAAGCAAGUGCCGUGGAUCAUCCUUAGGACCUCUACGACGAAAGUAGCGAACGCGAGGUGGGGGGGUGUCAUCCCGAAGCUACCGAACCCUUUUCUAUGUCUUAGAACUAUUAGAAAUUUCAUCUCUUGCAUGUUGCAUUGUAGGGUUGCAUCGUAGUACCUUUCCUUAUGCUUUUCAAUGUUAACCUAGUGUAUAUGGAAUACUUGGUGAAAAAUGAAUAGGUAAGGAUUGGGUCGGAACAUGGAUCCUAUAGUGCUAAAAGAAAGAGAUGACUCGAGGUUAUGUGUUGACAUAGAAAAUGACAUGGUAUGUUUAAAGAACAUAGAUCGAGUGGCAUUGUAUGUUUAAAGAACAUAGAUCGAGUGGCAUUGUAUGUUUAAAGAACAUAGAUCAAGUAGCAUUGUAUGUUUAAAGAACAUAGAUCGAGUGGCAUUGACAUAGUGUACUUGACACUAGAGGUCGUGGACAUAGGGAUAGGUGAAUCCCUUAGAAAAUACCUUGUGAACAAUGAAUUUAAUUGAGCUAAAUACUGUUGCAUGUGUAUCGGAAUAGAGUUCCGAAAUAUUGUUAGCCCUAGUUUGUAGGGUAUCUUCACUUGGAGAGGAUAGAUCUACCUCACAGUCUACUACUUUGGGAUGGUAUAGCCAUUCAUAUCCUCACAUAGAGAGGAUGGUCGUCGAGUACUCCGGAGUGUCAGGCGAUAGGGACCACAUGGAGGUCCGUAGACAACCCCGGGUUUUGUGAGCACAUGGAGCUCCUCACCCAACGGGGGGUGUGCGUGAGGCGUAGGCAAACCCAAGGGUUGUGCCAUGGAUUGGGUAAAUGUAAAGUUAAUGUGUCAUCGAACAUUAUUAUCGCAUUGAACAUUGUAUAUCGAACAUGGAUCGAUUUGGUAGCAUGAUAGUAUCCUUUUACUAUGUGAUGCAUGCAUUCAUAUCUACAUGAUCAUGGGCAUAGUAGCAUAGUUUACUUUAUGCUUUUACUGCUUUGAAAUAUCAAUCUAUUUCGUUGUUGCUUAUGCCCACUUGGACCUAGUGGAGAGAUCGGCAGAGUCGGCGGCCGAGCCCACUGGGAACUAUGGAAGAUAGUUCUCACCCCACUAUAUUUUCAGUGGUAGGUACAGGUUUGCCAGGCGAGGACCGCGGCAAGGGCAUCGUGCCCGACCAGUGAGUUCGUGGUAGAUAGUAGCUUUCCUUUUUGCAUUUAGUACACCUAUGUAUUUAUGAAAGAGACUCAUGUAGGUGAGGUUGGAGAGCUAUGUAUUCGAUGAACAUGUGCCUAUUUUGAGGAAAUGAUGUAAAUGUUAAAGAUUGCAAAUUAUUGUAAUAGCUAGUAAAGUAUUCUCUUUAUUUUCACUUGUAUUUACUUGUGGAUUACUUGCUCUUUUGUUGUAGUUGGCACUAUUUGUGCCCAAGCGAUCAUAUAUGUUGAAUUUAGUUUUCCUGGGUAAAUUCUUGUAUAUGAUCAGGUUUGAGCCUUGGGCGGACAGGGGAGGUUCUAUCCGUUCGGCAUCCGCUUGCCGCGCCCGAAACGCGCCAAAUUGGUAGUGUUUUCGGGGCGGGGCGUGACAGAAGCAUUGAGAUUAGGUUGAAAUCAACAUGAAUGUACAUAUUGAUAUAGAUGUAUGUGCAUAGUGUUAGAAGUAGAAACCAGAACUUGGUUGAUCCUAUACCGUGUUUAAUUAUGUUAGUAUAUUCAGUCCAGGAAAGAGUUUAAACUAUAGAUUUUGAUUAUUAAGCCCAAAUGCUGAAAACUCGAUAUAGAACUAGUUUAUACUAUAGAUGUGUGUGUAUAUGUAUAUAUACAUAUAGAUGUAUAUGUGCCUAGUGUUAAGAUGGAAAAACUGAAUUAAGAGAGGUUGAAAUUAUGAAUUAGGAUGACUUAAUUACUGCAUAGAGAAGUUAAGCUAUGCCUAAUGCAGUUUAUAGAGUCAGAAUGAUAAUAUGUAACCUAUGGUAAGCUAUAGGUGAUAUAGUGGAUAUGUGACUUAUGAAUUAAAGUAAAACCUGUGGCAGAGCUUGUGAUGUUAACUAUUAAGAUUGAUGGUUACUACCCUAAAGAGAGUUAAUUAUGAGUUGUUUUAACUUCUGUAUCCGAACUGCCAUAGGGAAUUUAAUAGAAGAUUAUAUGUAUAGAGGUAUUGGCACUAUUCAUAUAUAUAUAUAUAUAUAUAUAUAUAUAUACUAUAUAUAUAUAUAUACUAUAUAUAUAUAUAUACUAUAUAUAUAUAUAUACUAUAUAUACAUUCAUAGAAGAAUAAAAGAUAUUAUAUUUAAGUACAUUCUUAUUUUUACAAAUUCCAUUUAACUUUAACAUAUAUAUAUAUAUAUAUAUAUAUAUAUAUAUGUUAAAGUUGAAAUGCGAAGUUUGUAAAAAUAAGAAUGUGACUUAAAUAUAAUAUCUUUUAUUCUUCUAUGAAUGAAGGUUAAACGUGCUCAGAAGCUUAGAUUGGUAUUCCGACGGUCCUACGGCGCACUAAUUACGAUAGACGUCGUUCUAGCUUUAUUCGCAUCAAGUCACGAGGACUUGAUAGUUGUGAGCUCCAAGACAUUGGUUCUAGUCUUCGGCAUCCCUACAGGUGGGUGGUGCUAUCCGAAAUCUUCGAAUCCCUCUUUAUGUCUAUGUUACCUUGUUGAGCAUAUCUGUAUAUGAAUCAUAUAAUAUUCAUGCAUUAUAGGGUAAUUGGCAUUGUGUAGUUAUGAAAUGAACAAUUGGACAAAUUUUAUUGUUCAGAACAUGUGAACCAUAGAGUGUGGACAUAUAACCCUAUGAAUGUGUGAAUUUAUUGUGGACCAUGACAAUAGUAAAUUUGGUGACAUUAUGACUAGAGAAUUGGUUAGCUUCAAGAUUGGAAUUGUAAAACUAGCAUAAAGAGCUAGUUAGAGUUAAAGUGUGGCAUUGUCAAUGUAUCCUCUAAGCGAGGAUUAGAUCAUACUCACAUAGUCUGUUCUUAGCUUGGCGGUGGUCGCUCCACCCAAGCAGUGCACUCCGGAGUUGUCAUACAAUGGGCUAACGUACUUGCCCAUGGACUAACGUACUUGUCGAGCAGACGGUCCCGUCGGGUUAGUAGCGAAAUUCUCCCCAAUAUUAGAGAUUUUUUGGUAAGUUAUAGUUGACCAAAUGGUUAACCAGUUUGAUUGGAUAAUAAUGAUUAACAACAUGCAUGCAUCAAUUUCAUAUGUUAAUUACUGUUUAUUUUAGCUUGUACAGGCAUUGUAGUAGUUACAUGUAUAGCUGGUUACUAUUUACUCUCUUUUCUUACCUACAUAUGCCUGAAUAGACCUAGUGGGUGAGUCAACGAGGUCGGCGGCCGAACCCACUGGGAACUUCCAGUAGUUCUCACCCCACUAACCAUACAGAUUCUAGCUGAGCGGGUUGGUUAAGGAUCGUGACUUGGACAGCGCUCCAUAGAUAGUGGACAUCCAUUGAGUAUAGUAUACCUUGUACAUUUCAUCUAUUUAUAGUUGAUGAAAGCAAAUGUAAAUUAUUCAAUUGAGAGAUGGUAAUUGUAUAUCUAUUGAAGAAUGUACGUAUGUGAUCAAAUGAUAAGCUUUGUAUUUGAUUUAAAGUAAUCAAGAUACAAUCUAUGAAUGUUUUAGUUAGUUUACUUUCACUUGUGUUUGUUGCUUGCCCUUGUGCAAGCCAUGUAUAUUGAAAUUUUUUCUGAGCAUUUUUUUUAUACAUGUAGCUGUAAUUGUUGAGCCUUGGGCGGACAAGGAAGGUGCUGUCCGUUUGGCGUCUGUGCACGGGUCCGGAUCGACCAAAUUGGCGAUAGCGGGACGUGACAGAAAGUGGAUUCCGGAAUCCCGGCUGCGAGUGCAGCGGCUGCAAGUGCAGUGUAUGAGACUUGCAACUAAGUGCAAGUGAAUCAUAAGUGCGGGUAUGUGUGGUUCUCCUUGUCCGACAGUGAUUCAACAGGUAUGUGUGGUUUUCUUCGCCCGGUAAAAGAGAAUAUUGAGCGCUACGGUGCGUGUGGCAUAUUCCCCUCCCACCGGAAAGAUUCCUGACCACCGGUGUGCACAGUUCUUCGCGACCCGUUGGAAGAUGUGGUUUGUGGAUUGAAGGCUGAGGUGUAUGUGAGAGUUCCUUCAUCUCGAGCCUGACAGAGCGCAGAUUAUCUGCGGAUGAUUGACUCAAGAGCGUGUCGAGUGGCAUAGUUGACUAAGGUAAAAGUAACUUUAGGAAAAGAGUGGCAAUGAGCAUAGUGUGGCUAAGGUAAAAUAACCUUAGGAAAGAAUGAGAACGACUAGUAAUAAAAAAUGUCAAAGAAUAAAGAAUUGCAAGUAGUAAAGAAUGGCUAGUAAUAAAGAAUUACAAAUAAUAAAGAAUGACAAAUGAUAGAGGGUAGAAUCAAGUGAUCUACUAGCAUGAGUUGCAUGAUUCGCAUAUAGCAUGUUGUGAGGCAUACGCAUGUAUUUUAAGUACUUGCAUAUAUUAUCUAUGGAUAUCUGUUGUCCUAACAUGUUGCAGUGCCUUCUUUGAACCUGGUGGGUCGAGCUCUUCCCUUGGGUGGCCGUACCCACUGGGAAUUAUCCGUAUAGUUCUCACCCCACGUUGUUUUGGGGGAUUUCAGGUUCACACGCGAGUAGUGUGGCAGCACGAGGAAAUGGCGUACCUCAGUAGAUAGCGCCCUACCACCGAGAUCAGAGAUAGCAGUACCCUGAGUUAGCUUAACUUAGGGAUGUAAAAAUAAAAGCGAAGAACCAAGUUGUAAUAAGUUGUAAUAAUCUUGUUAAAGCUAGAUUGUAUUUGGAAGUUAAAAGGAAGUAAGAAUGUAGUAUGUGAGUUGAAUGUUUGUAAUAGUUAGCAAAUAUAUUUUUGAUACCUUCCUUAUGAAAUUCUUGUUUGAAUGCUGUUCCUGGUUGGAACCUCGCGCAUUGUAUGGAUUGAGACGCCUUGGACGUAUAGGGGAGACUCUGUCCGUUCAGCGGUCUGUCGGCAUGCCUGAACCCGACCAAAUAGGCGGGGUUUGGGGCGUGACAGCUGUGGUUUUGUGCCGGUGGGUGAGCAUACUGUGGCACUACCUGUGGUCUUCAGACCUAUAUGGCGAGGUGUUUCGAUAUCAAUUUCAUACAGUUGAUGCAUUGUCUAUUGUUUACAGUAGCGGUAGGUGAUUAUUGUUGGUCUUAUCUAAAUUUCUUUAUUCGCUAUUGUACAUGAUUAUCUAUCUAUCUCAGUUGUUUUUCUCUUGCUAGUGAGUAUAUUUGCUCUCGUCGGCUUGUGGUGUCCACUGGGAGACCGUUGUUGGUUUCUCGCCCCCCCCAGGUGAUGUUGGUGGUAGGAGUCGGGACGGUGUGUGAGGUGUGGUAGAUAACAAGCUCUAGAGGUCCUGAUAUAUCUGCAUUGAUUAUAGUUAUCUCGAUUUGACCAUUUCCUUUAUGGUUAAUAAAUUAAAAAUUGUGGUUCAGUUAUCUGUGUGUUUGAUUGUCAAUCCAUGAAUAAUCUAUGCUGUGGAUGAUCUUUUAAUUACAUGUAUUUGAAAUAGUAAUUCUUUUGGGAUUCCCGGUGAUAUGUUACUUCGGUUUUAUCAUAUGUGGUUUUCUAUCCCUCGAGGUAUUCAGUAUUUUCGAAAAAUGAGUUUCCAUGUGGGAGACUGUUUUCAAAUGAUUUUACGAUUUUAUCGAUUCUUAGAAUUUCAAAAAAAAUAAGUUUCCAGGUGGAAAACAUUUGUAAAUGAUAGUGUUGAUUGUUGUGGUAAUGUGCAUUUGCAUCAUCCUUUGCUUUGCCUAAGGAGUGUUUGGAGCAUGCAUCAUCGCAAGGAUUGCUAGCUGAUUGAUUAUUGUAAGCAUCUAUAUUGUGAAUGCUGUUUGUGUGUGUAAGGAAGUGAAUUCUCGAAAUACGAGAGUUGAACUUUGUUUAGAAUCGACUGAUUAUCGAUUUGGUACACUUCGGAAAGGCCGAAGGCGUCAAAAAUCCAAAAAGUGCAUUGGUAAGGGCCUCGGAGAGCAAGAUGUGAAAAUCUACAACUUUGCAGAUUUUGCUCUCGGGGACCGGUCCCUGGUGGGAGGGACCGAUUCCCGCAAGCAGUGUGUGCGGCAGAAAACUCUGCGCACAGAGUUUACUAUCGGGGACCGGUCCCUGAUGGGACAGACCGGUCCCCGUACACGUAGAAAGGGAGGCAGAGUCCUCUACCCGCGAGAGUUGCUCUCGGGGAUCGGUCCUUCUAGGGACAGACCGAUUCCCGUGUGUAACAUACCAGAUUUUGGUAUUAAAAUAAAAAUAAAUAAAAAUAGUGUGAAAAACUAUUUUUAUUGGAUUUAGAGAAGUAAAACAUAAGUCAGAAGUGACUUGUGCUGAAAUUGGAAUUAAAACAGAAGAUUUAAAAUUUUCUGUUGAAAACAGGACAGAUAAAUUAGCAGAAAAUGCACAGUCUCAGAAAAUUAUGAAAAUUGGCGGAGAUGUCAGAAAUAUUUUUAUGAGGCUAGAUUUAAAGUUUCAUGUCAUUCUGACACCCGGAAGGUGAAAAAUAAAAUCCCACAGCUAUCUGUUAAAGAUUACAGUUCGGUACAGCUUUCGGUGACCAAACGGGAUCGAAACUGGAAGAGUGAUCGCUACUUUGUUAAGUUAAGUAAAACUGAACGUGCCUGUCAAAUUUGAGCUCAAACGGACAUCCAAAAGGGCUCCGUCAGGACCUAACUGCUAAACAGCCUGGAAUGAAUAGUGUUUGGGGUGUAAUUAAAUAGAAGCAACUUGCUUCUUCUCCCUCAACCAACCAGCCGACCACCCCCCCCCCCAACCGUGCGGCCAUGGUGAGGGAGAGAGAGAGCUCCACUUCUCUCUAAAUAUCUCUCUCAUCUCUCUAGAUCUCUCUCUCAAAUUCGCGGCGUUGGCGGAGAUGUUUGCGAACGCGUUGGAGGCGACGGAUCGAGCUUUCGUGCGCCCGUUGGAAUGGCGUGCUUUCGUCGCGGCGCUCACAUUGUGGUAAACUUUAGGGAUUUGGCUUAAUCCUUAGCUUUAAGUGUUCUAAUAGCCUCUAAUGAGCAUUGUUAGCAUGUUAAAUCCAUUUAAUUUUGGUUAAUUGAAGCAUGUGUAGAGGCUAGGUUUUUAAUGGUAUAUCUUUAGAGCUUCGAUUAUAUGCUUUAAGAAUGAAUUUAGAGAAAUUCUAGGAUGCUAAAUAGAUGGUUAAUGCAUGAUUCAUGAAGUUAAAUGAUGGAUUUUGCUAUACUUGCAUCUAGGGCUCCAAUUUUGGGGUUUUUGUAAAUAGUAGGGUUUGAUCUCAUUUGACCCUCCGUAAACCUAAUUGCUAGGUAAACGAACGCGUUGGCGAAGUCCGUUCUGCGAUCCGUCGAGCCGUUGCGAAGUUAUUAAAGAAACGGACGUUAGGCUUCAUUUUCGCCUAGAGGGCCGAGGUGACGUCAAAAAAAUCAUGAAAAUGGAUUUGAAGGACCGUGGCGCAUAACCGAAGACCUUUAAUUUUCGGAUCAUAGAUUGGAGGCCGUUCGGGUUGUCGUGCAAGAGUCCAGGCCGAACCGGGUUACGGGUGCCGCGGGAGCCCGAUUGCAAGUGUCGACAAGCAAUCGGAAUGUGAUAACAGGUGGGUUGUGUUUACCGAAGCGACUAGGUCGCCUUUAUGUCUAAGAGAAUUAUGAAGUUAUAUUGAUGCAUAUAGUUGCUAAAAGAAUGCAUGUGAUAACGUAAUGUAAAAGAUAAGCAAAUGCUUGAGAUGGUUGCUAUGUAAUAAUUAUCAUAGAAUGCAUGCUAAGUAUGUCAUGAUAAAAUGCUAGAGGCAAGUAUGUGAUUAAUGUUAGUUGGAUGUAUGUCAUAGAAAUGCUAAAGCAAGAAUACUAAAGUAUACAUGAUAAGCCUGAUGAAGUCAUAACAAAUGCAAGCAUGAGGUUAAUGCUUAGAAUAUAGAUGAUGACAUAUUGUGAAGUAACAUAUUGUGGAUUAUAUUAAAUAGAAACAUAUACAUGUUGAUAUGUGUGGACAAUCUAUAUAUAUUAGAUCGAGUGGCAUUAAACCUAGUGUCUUGAACAUAGGUUGAACAAGUAUAGUGUGAACCUAGUGUCAUGAAUCUAGCAAACACUUAUGGCAUUUGAGUAAAUAUAUUUUGUAUCAUUCAUGCAUGAUAGGGCUAUACAUGUGAACCUUGGUUGCUUUCAAUGACAUGUUCUAACGUAGUUGAACAUAGAGAACGGUAGAACCAUAAUGGACAUGUAUGUUAGGCCUAUUAUUGUGUGAAUGUGAGAGUUGGACUUGGACAUUAGCAAACCAAGGUGACAUUGACAAUAGAGACGUUGAUUGGUAUAAAGAACACAGUUGUUAAACAUAGUUUAACCAAGAGUGGCAUUGUGUCAAGAAUGACCAAGAAAGUGGCAAGAAUAAAUAGGUAGAAACCUAUCAUGAGAAAGACAUUGUGGCUAGUGGCUAAGUAUCCUCAAGUUGAGGAUUGGAUCGACACUCACGAUAAGUCUUGGCUUGAGGGAGGAAGCUCCCCCUCAAGCGGUGUGUUUCCGGAAACAGUCACCACGGGGAUAGUGGCCCCGAAGGACGGUCCCUAGGGGAGGUUCGAGGCCCCCUGUUAUGACGGGAUUUUGGGUUGUGAGUUUUUGGGGUUAACAAGUGUUAACCGGUAAGAUUGGGUAAAAGCCAUAGAUUGGGUAUUCCUGUCGAGUGGAUUUUGGGGGCUGAGGUGUAUGUGAGAUGUCCAUUAGCUCGAGCCCGGUUAUAUGCGGUAUUCCGCAGUUGAUUGACUCAAGACCGAGUCGGGUGGCAUAGAUGGUUAGGGUAAAAAUAACUUUAGAAAAGAAUCACCAAUGAGCAAAGUGUGACAAGAAAAUAGAGUAAAGAUUGGCUAAUGAAUAAGAAUAGCUAAUAAAGUAAAGAACGGCUACAAGUAAAGAAUUUACAAGUAGUAAAGAUUGGAUAACGAUAAAGAAUGGUAAUGAUAGAGAGUAAAAAUCCUUUUACCUACUUGCAUGAGCUACAGAAUUUGCAGAAUGUUCAUAUUGCAUAUUGUGAAGCACAACAUGUAUUUCAAUAUUUGUAUAUAUAUAUAUCGGUUGGACUAACAUGUUGCAAUGCUUCCUUGGACCUAUCGGUGGAGCUUUUCCCUUGGGUGGCUGUACCCACUGGGAACCAUGGAGUUGGUUCUCACCCCACGUUGUUUUGGGGUGUUACAAGUUCGCACGUGAGCGGUGCGGCGGCGCAGGCGAGGGCGUAGCUCCAUAGUUAGUGCCCUACCACCGAGACCAGAGAUAGCGGUACCCUGAGUCGGCUUACUUAGGGAUGUAAGAAAAUAAAAAGAAUCAAGUUGUAAUAAUUAUGUAAAAUGAUUGUAUUUGGAAGUUGUAAAUCAAAUUGUAAUUGGGAUGUAAAACUAUGAAUGUGAAUGCAUGUAAUAAUAUAGGAUGUGUUUAUAUUGUUUGAUACCUUCCUUAUGCAAUCAGUGUGUGAAUACUGUUCCUGUUUGGAACCAUUUGUAUUGUACAAGUUGUUGAGCCUUGAAUGUAUAGUGGAGACUCUGUCCGCAGUACAGGAAAAACCCUGUCCAUUCGGCGGUCUGUCGGCGGCGCCGCGACCCGGCCAAAUAGGCGGGUGGUCGCGGGUCGUGACAGAUAAGAUGGUAUUAGAGCAUAAAGAGAACAUAAAAAGAAUAAUAGAAAUGGUUUAGUUGGACGUAGGAGACCCUAGGAUUGUAAACCAUAGGAGAUUAAGGCUCGCGAGAGACGAGGACUUGUGACUUUUGGCGAAAGGUUAAUUGAUUGGGUUGUGUCAUAAACCUCUAUAACGGAUAUUAGAGGUAGAUUCAAGGUGUGGCUUAUUCUCAACCGAGGGUGUUCAUGUUGGACGCGUACAACAUGAAACCGAGUGAUGAGAAUAGACGCCCUUUCGUGACUUUCGCCCGAUUUGAGUCGGUAUUAGUUGUCUCGUAUUCGACCCGGAGGGUCGAGGAUCUAUCAAGUGUCGCGUUUUAGGAAGCGAUAGCGCCGCGUAGGCGAUCUUCGUUUAGAUCGAUGCGGGAUGGGACAAGUUGUCCCUAAGCAAUCCGAAACAAGCGGAGACUUGGGACUUCGCGAGCAGUUGGCCACUCUCGUGUGAGUGGCGGGGUAGUGAGCCAAAUUAGUGCAGUGUCAGCAGAAGGCUGCCAUAUGCCAAAAGGACGCGAAUCCGUUGAUCGUGGAGUUGUGGAUCGACUCCAUGGAGACUCCCUUUGGGGAUCUGUGCACUGUUAAGUGGGCCAAGGUACACCUAGCCCUGCGUUGCGUGCAAACAGUCGGCGAAGGUGUGGUGCACAGGCGUCGAGUCGGAUCGACUGCCUGGUCUCCUUCCUAUGGUUUGGAAUGAGUUUCGGGGAUCAGUAUUCUCCGCUUACUCAUCUGAUGAUGGAAAAGAAAGCUUCAGGAAAGGUUCCCGAAGCUGCGGCAGGUAGACCAUGCCGUGAGGGAAUACGAGCGGGAAUUCUCCCGUGUCGGGAGUUGCAUCUCGGACAUAGUGCGGGAUAAUGAGAACGAAACUCCUUGCAAAAAGGGAGAAUGUAACGUACCGAAAACACGGUAAAUAAAUGUCGAACCUUGGUCAAAUUGACCAGAGUGCGAGGUUGGUCCAUUUCGGAAAGGCCGAAGGUGUCAAAUGAUGCAAAAGUGCAUUAUUUGGGGAUCUUCGAGAGCGAACGAGUCAAUCUGCCAAAACUGCAGGUUCUAUGCUCUCGGAGACCGGUCCCAUGUGGGUGAGGCCAGUUUCCCAAUGCGCAGGCAGCAACCCGAGAGGAGGUGUUGGCUCGGUCUGGGAAAAUCAGCUCUCGGAGCCCGGUCCCAACAGGUCGAGACCGGUCUCCAGGGACCGGUUGCACCAGGUGAGACCGGUUGCAUCAUGCGCAAGCUGCGCAGUCCGCGGGUGGAGCUCUCAGAGACCGGUCUUAGGUCGGAGAGACCGGUCCCCCACCGUGAGAUUUGCCCAGUUUGGGGCAGUGCACAUUCUCGAGUGCUGUUGCAUUCCCGAGCCUCAGAGGUUUUCUUUGUUGACUUCUUCAAGAUACGAGAAUUGCAGAAGUUUUCGUCAGGCGCGGUGGGGUGCGCUGCGCGAUGAGAUAUGCACUCGUGUGGACGGUUACUGGGCCGUGACGUUGGCGACGGCCUUUUCUUCUCUGAGACGGCUUGUGGGCGUGUCACCUACAGUACGGUCUGGAGAGUGAGUUAUGAGAAUGUGGCGAACGAAGGGUUGGCGGUGGGCACUGAGUGGCCAUGAGUACGCGACCCUGGUCGAGGAACCUUGCAUGCAUUUAUCAUGCGGUCACUUACUACCGUUGAUACGUCAGAGCAGUAGGAACUAAGUGGACGGGUAAGUGUAAAUACCUGAGUAGCCCGAGUAGUAAGGAUAGCGUUCCGGUAGAUCGAACAGUGAAAGUAAGAUCACUGUUGAGAGAAUAGCUGAUUAGUUGCCGAGUACGGGCAUGUGAGGCCUUGUGGUACCUCGAAUUGAGGUAGGAGAGUAGUGCUCGUGGGAUCAACGUGCAUAGGCAUGGUUGCCUGAUGCUUGACUCAAUGUGGGACGCUAUAGAGACGUGUAGAGCGCUCGAGUGUGGAUACUCGUAGAGUGCGAUUUCGAUUCAGCCGGGAGAGUGAGUUGGCAGUAGCACUUUAGCAUUGCUAAAUGUGAAGCGGACCAUGGAUCACUUGUAGGGCUGGUGGCUCGCACUAGGUGCUUAGGAGCCGAGAGUGGUACGCGUGACUCGAUACAGUAUGUCGUGUAGGACGACGACGACGGGUAGUGCUUGCGGACGACCCGUGCCUGGACCACAUGUGGACUGUGGAGCCUGGGCCCUUCGAGCAGGCGCAGUCAGCUGUGAGAGACAGCGGCCCGGUACCUACUGGUAGGAAGGAAUUUUGGUCAGGGCUGUAGUCCGAGCUUAGACCCGGAGCAUGGAGUGCCACGUGUUGGAUUUUGAGAUCGAGGAUAUACCGAGAGUUCAGUUGUGACCCAACCCAAGGAUUUAUAGUGGUUUGGGGUCCUGGUUGCUCCUGAUUGGAGUGUGUACGAAUUCCUAAAUGAGAAUUUCGCCCGAUUAUGAUUGGGUCUGCGCUUGAGAGCGAGAGACGGUACGGGUAUCGAGACACGAUAGGCGGCGGGCCUACAUAGGAUCGGUGGCCUUCGGUCUACUUAUGAAGACCAAAGUGAGCGUUAUGGUCGAUAACUCUGUGGAUGAGUUUGGCUUGUAUUAGCGAACAGAGGGCUCGUAUGAAUUCGUUGUAAGAACGAAUUGGUUGGUCAUGGCAAUGAAAACAGAAAGUAAGUGGUCUCUUUGAGAUACUUGAGUAUUGGAUAGCCACGCGAGAAAUGACGUAAAGCUUUCUUGAGGAUUGAGAUGUGCCGGAGUGUGCCAUGUCGUAGUAGAGCAAGAUUCGGUUGAGAUUGGAGCUCUCACAGUGAAGCGAUGCACCGGUGAUAUUGCUUCUAAGCAAUGUCGAUAACUGAGUCGGAAUGAAAUUCCUAAAGGAAAGGUGAAUGCAAAGAAGAGUUCUUUGUGUAACGAAUGGCGAGUGGCGUUGGAGCGCGUAGAGUCGUCGAGUACCGACUUGCGCUGCCACUAUGACUUGUAAGACCUGUGAUGCACUUUUGUAUCACGCUUUGCAAGUGACUUUAGGAUUAAACCCACGUCCUUCAGUAUGAGCCGCUUCUUGAACCACGAUUGUGUGAAGCCGCUUUGGAGUGGGAGAAUGAGUUGGGGCCCUCGAUUGCUCAAGGAGCUAAAUUGAGGCGUGGUUUGAAUUUCGCGGACGAAAUUCUUUUUAAGGGGUGGAGAAUGUAACAUACCAGAUUUUGGUAUUAAAGUAUAAAUAAAUAAAAAUAGUGUGAAAAACUAUUUUUAUUGAAUUUAGAGAAGUAAAACAUAAGUCAGAAGUGGCUUGUGCCGAAAUCGGAAUUAAAACAGAAGAUUUAGAAUUUUCUGUUGGAAACGGGAUAGAUAAAUUAGCAGAAAAUGCACAGUCUCAGAAAAUUAUGAAAAUUGGCGGAGAUGUCAGAAAUAUUUUUAUGAGGCUAGAUUUAAAGUUUCAUGUCAUUCUGACACUUAGAAGGUGGAAAAUAAAAUCCCACAGCUAUCUGUUAAAGAUUACAGUUCGGUACAGCUUUCGGUGACCAAACGGGGUCGAAACUGGAAGAGUGAUCGCUACUUUGUUAAGUUAAGUAAAAUCGAACGUGCCUGUCAAAUUUGAGCUCAAACGGACAUCCAGAAGGGCUCCGUCGGGACCGAACUGCUAAACAGCCUGGAAUGAAUAGUGUUUAGGGUGUAAUUAAAUAGAAGCAACUUGCUUCUUCUCCCUCAACCGACCAGCCGACCACCCCCCCCAACCGUGCGACCAUGGUGAGGGAGAGAGAGAGCUCCACUUCUCUCUAAAUAUCUCUCUUAUUUCUCUAGAUCUCUCUCUCAAAUUCGCGGCGUUGGCGGAGAAGAGGCUUGCGAACGCGUUGGAGGCGACGAAUCGAGCUUUCGUGCGCCCGUUGGAGCGGCGUGCUUUCGUCGCGGCGCUCACAUUGUGGUAAGCUUUAGGGAUUUGGCUUAAUCCUUAGCUUUAAGUGUUCUAAUAGCCUCUAAUGAGUAUUGUUAGCAUGUUAAAUCCAUUUUAUUUGGGUUAAUUGAAGCAUGUGUAGAGGCUAAGUUCUUAAUGGUAUAUCUUUAGAGGUUUGAUUAUAUGCUCUAAGAAUGGAUUUAGAGGAAUUCUAGGAUGCUAAAUAGAUGGUUAAUGCAUGAUUCAUGAAGUAAAAUGAUGGAUUUUGCUAUACUUGCAUCUAGGGCUCCAAUUUUGGGAUUUUUGUAAAUAGUAGGGUUUGAUCUCAUUUGACCCUUCGUAAACCUAAUUGCUAGGUAAACGAACGCGUUGGCAAAGUCGGUUCGGCGAUCCGUCGAGCCGUUGCGAAGUUAUUAAAGAAACGGACGUUAGGCUUCGUUUUCGCCUAGAGGGCUGAGGCGACGUCAAAAAAAUCAUGAAAAUGGAUUUGAAGCACCGUGGCGCAUAAUCGAAGAACUUUAAUUUUCGGAUCGUGGAUUGAAGGCCGUUCGGGUUGUCGCGCGAGAGUCCGGGCCAACCGGGUUACGGGUGCCGCGGGAGCCCGAUUGCAAGUGCCGACAAGCAAUCGGAAUGCGAUAACAGGUGGGUUGUGUUUACCGAAGCGACUAGGUCGCCUUUAUGUCUAAGAGAAUUAUGAAGUUAUAUUGAUGCAUAUAGUUGCUAAAAGAAUGCAUGUGAUAACGUAAUGUAAAAGAUAAGCAAAUGCUUGAGAUGGUUGCUAUGUAAUAAUUAUCAUAGAAUGCAUGCUAAGUAUGUCAUGAUAAAAUGCUAGAGGCAAGCAUGUGAUUAAUGUUAGUUGGAUGUAUGUCAUAGAAAUGCUAAAGCAAGAAUACUAAAGUAUACAUGAUAAGCAUGAUGAAGUCAUAACAAAUGCAAGCAUGAGGUUAAUGCUAAGAAUAUAGAUGAUGACAUAUUGUGAAGUAACAUAUUGUGGAUUAUGUUAAAUAGAAACAUAUACAUGUUGAUAUGUGUGGACAAUCUAUAUAUAUUAGAUCGAGUGGCAUUAAACCUAGUGUCUUGAACAUAGGUUGAACAAGUAUAGUGUGAACCUAGUGUCAUGAAUCUAGCAAACACUUAUGGCAUUUGAGUAAAUAUAUUUUGUAUCAUUCAUGUGUGAUAGGGCUAUGUACAUGUGAACCUUGGUUGCUUUCAAUGACAUGUUCUAACGUAGUUGAACAUAGAGAACGGUAGAACCAUAAUGGACAUGUAUGUUAGGCCUAUUAUUGUGUGAAUGUAAGAGUUGGACUUGGACAUUAGCGAACCAAGGUGACAUUGACAAUAGAGACGUUGAUUGGUAUAAAGAACACAGUUGUUAAAUAUAGUUUAACCAAGAGUGGCAUUGUGUCAAGAAUGACCUAGAAAGUGGCAAGAAUAAAUAGGUAGAAACCUAUCAUGACAAAGACAUUGUGGCUAGUGGCUAAGUAUCCUCAAGUUGAGGAUUGGAUCGACACUCACGAUAAGUCUUGGCUUGAGGGAGGUAGCUCCCCCUCAAGCGGUGUGUUUCCGGAAACAGUCACCACGGGGAUAGUGGCCCCGAAGGACGGUCCCUAGGGGAGGUUCGAGGCCCCCUGUUAUGACGGGAUUUUGGGUUGUGAGUUUUUGGGGUUAACAAGUGUUAACCGGUAAGAUUGGGUAAAAGCCAUAGAUUGGGUAUUCCUGUCGAGUGGAUUUUGGGGGCUGAGGUGUAUGUGAGAUGUCCAUUAGCUCGAGCCCGGUUAUAUGCGGUAUUCCGCAGUUGAUUGACUCAAGACCGAGUCGGGUGGCAUAGAUGGUUAGGGUAAAAAUAACCUUAGAAAAGAAUCACCAAUGAGCAAAGUGUGACAAGAAAAUAGAGUAAAGAUUGGCUAAUGAAUAAGAAUAGAUAAUAAAGUAAAGAACGGCUACAAGUAAAGAAUUUACAAGUAGUAAAGAUUGGAUAACGAUAAAGAAUGGUAAUGAUAGAGAGUAAAAAUCCUUUUACCUACUUGCAUGAGCUACAUAAUUUGCAGAAUGUUCAUAUUGCAUAUUGUGAAGCACAACAUGUAUUUCAAUAUUUGUAUAUAUAUAUCGGUUGGACUAACAUGUUGCAAUGCUUCCUUGGACCUAUCGGUCGAGCUUUUCCCUUGGGUGGCCGUACCCACUAGGAACCAUGGAGUUGGUUCUCACCCCACGUUGUUUUGGGGUGUUACAGGUUCGCACGUGAGUGGCGCGGCGGCGCGAGGCGAGGGCGUAGCUCCAUAGUUAGCGCCCUACCACCGAGACCAGAGAUAGCGGUACCCUGAGUCGACUUACUUAGGGAUUUAAGAAAAUGAAAAGAAUCAAUAGUAAUAAUUAUGUAAAAUGAUUGUAUUUGGAAGUUGUAAAUCAAGUUGUAAUUGGGAUGUAAAACUAUGAAUGUGAAUGCAUGUAAUAACAUAGGAUGUGUUUAUGUUGUUUGAUACCUUCCUUAUGCAAUCAGUGUAUGAAUACUGUUCCUGUUUGGAACCAUUUGUAUUGUACAGGUUGUUGAGCCUUUAAUGUACAGGGGAGACUCUGUCCGCAGUACAGGGGAAACCCUGUCCAUUCGGUGGUCUGUUGGCGGUGCCGCGACCCGGCCAAAUAGGCGGGUGGUCGCGGGUCGUGACACCGUGCCUGAAAACUUGCAGUCUGGGCAGGGCAAGAGAGGCAAAGUGGGGGGGUGUAAUAGCAAUUGGAGCACUUAUGAAGGGGUAUAGAGGGGAAAUGAGCCAUCUCCUCCUCAUUUCUCUCCCAACACACUCACUCUCUCUCUCUCUAAACUCUCUCCCUCUCUCUUUAGAAGGUGAAGAAGGAGGAGAUUUUGGUGGAGGAGCAAGCAAGGAGAAGGCCUAGCAUCAUCUUCUUCCUCCUCUCCACCAUUGGAGCUAGCACCUUAAGGUAAGCUCAAAGAGCUUUCAUGGUAGAACCCUAUAGUUGGAUUUUUAUCCUCUAGAAAUGGUUUUAUUGGAACCCUAGCUUCUCUACUAGGUGGGUUAUGCAUGAAUCUAGAGCUUCAUUGAGGGAUUCUUGCUAGUUGUAAACCUAGGGCUCCAAAUUGGGGUUUUUGGAAAUAGAGGGUUUUGAUCUAAAUUGAUCGUGUAUUAACCUAAUUGCUAGUUGUUUAAACGCGUUGACGAAGACGGUUCGUCGAUUCGUCGAGCGGGUGCGAAGAUAUCGCCGAAACGAGUGUUCGUGGGUUUGUAUUGACCCGAGGAGUUGAAGCGGCGACCGAAGAUCGCGAAAUCGAGUACCUAGCCUCGCAACAUUACCCAAAGGUGGGGGGUGUCAUCCCGAAGCAACCGGGCUUCUCCCUAUGUCUAAGUACUUAUGUGUCGAUCAUAUUCCAUAUGUGAAUCUCAUGCAUGAUAGGGUGUUUAGAUGUUACAUUUACUAUUCUUACAUUCUCCCUUAUAAUGCGGCAUAGUAGGCUUGGCAUGUGCACUUAGGGUGCAUGAGAAUGAGUUGUGGUGACAUAGAACUCUAUAGAGAUAAGUUAAAUAGAAACUUGAUCUUGCAUUGAUGAAUAUGAUGAUAUAUGACCAGUGUAGUCGAGACAUUGCAUCAUGACGAGUGGCAUGUGAACUAAGUAAACAACUUGACGAGUGGCAUUAGAGCUUAGUGUUAAAAGAAUACUUGUGUCAUGAUGACCCUAGUGGCAGGGUAUCCUCAGUGGACGAGGAUUGGAUUAUACUCACAUGGUCUGUUCAGCGCUUGUGGCGGUCGCUCCGCACAGGUAGUGCACUCCGGAGUUGGCACGUGAAAGAUUGGGAUAGCCUAUGUAGGGUCCCAAGGGAUAGCUUAUGUGGGGUCCCGCAGACAGUCCCUUGGGUGGUUCGAGUCCCCCAUUAAAGACAGAUUUGAGAUGUGAAUCGUGGGCACGCCUAUGGGCCAGCCAGAGGAUUCGAUAAUAAACUCAAGAGAAUUGUGCAAUUUGAGCAUACUGAGCAUAGUAGAGUUGCAUUCAUGCUUGAUAGAGUUAUAGUAGCAUGUUAGUGUUUACAUGGCUAUGUUGGUUACUCUUGUUUCUCAAGGCAUAGUAGAAUAGUGCAAUUCUUUCAAUAUGCAUCAUUUACAGCUUUACAUAUCUAUCUAUCUAUCUGUCUAUUCCUGCUUAGACCUAGUGGGGAGAUCGGCGGAGUCGGCGGCCGAACUCAUUGGGAACUAUGGACAAUAGUUCUCACCCCACUUUGUUGCAUGGCCGAGUUCGAGUACUCCCGGCGAGGACCGCGGUAAGGGCAUCGCGCCCUAGUUUAGUAGCAGCUCUCCUAUGCAUUAGAGUACCUAUGUACCUUGGGAUAUUGGUGUAUUAAGUAGGGAGUUACAUGUAUUUUGGGAUUAUACUAGUUACCAGAAACUUGUAUAUAUUCAUUUUGGAAGUUACAAAUGUAAACCGAUGUAAAUGAAUGGUUGAAUGGAUGUAAUAAAUAGAUGUAUCUCUCUUUGUUCACUUGUAUCAUUACUUAUGUCUUGCUCUUACUUUGUUAGCACUUGUGGUGCUUCGCAUUUGAUCAUGUAUGUUUAUUAAGCAUGUUCCUGGAAGCUUGAUUGUACUUGAUCAUGUUGUUGAGCCUGGGGCGGACAGGGGAGGUGCUGUCUGUCCGGCAUAUGCUCGACGCGCCCGAACCGAACCAAAUGUGUAGCGAUCUCGAGGCGUGACAGUGUGACCGAAUAAUAGUGUUGCAACACUUACGUAGUAGUACGCCGUGCAAAUAUAGGGAAGACUCUAUCUGGGUAGACAAGAAAAAAUUUGGAUUUGUGGCGGGUCUGUUCUGUCUCGUGGCAAGUUGUAUUUCAAAAAACAAAUUGAGGCAUUUUUCACUUGCUUUACUUUCGAACUGGAUUUUUCUUUGAAAAAGCUUUACAAAAUAGGCCCCGGGGCAUGACAGAAAGCUUUGCAAAACCUUCUACAAAUCGAUGAUAAUAACCAGCCAACACUAGAAAACUCUGCAACUCAGAAACACAUAACACUGUAGAUAUAUAAUCAUAAUCACACUAAUCCUUGAAAUAGUAUAACAUCUUUGGCCACUCCAAACCUCAAAACACUAUACAGGUGGUCCAAUACUACACACGCAAAAAUAGUAGAAAAUGGUAAUUAUCCAUGAUUCCCUUGCCUCAAUCAGUCGUUGGUGCUGAACGCUCUGUAAUAAAAUAUUGAUAAAAAAGGUCUAAGAACUAUAAGCAAGUCCCUAGCGGGUAUGGUCGACAAUGCCGCCGGUCUACAUGCACUACUAGAAAUAGUAAAUAACUGUGCAGUAUAAAUGAAUAGGUAAUAAUAUGAACAAUUGCUGAAAAUAAUUACUGCUAUCCUACCUCUAUAAUAUAACUAAAAACGGUAAAUUUUGUAUUUCAUGCAUCAAUUAGAUACUGAAUAAAAUAAUGCAGUAAUGCCCAAUCAUAGUGACCGACUCAACAGUCAGAUCUAGCCUGCGCCGCCUCGUGCCCAGCACCCACCUAUAGUGGUAUGUUAUCACACAGGCUACUGUCUGGCCCAUGCUAUAAUAAUACUUCAUAGCCUGACCACUGGAGUGGCGCUUACAGGAUGCUAUCCCAACCGAGUAUAGUAUCACUAUCAAGUUCAAAAUGGUAUGCAGGCUAUAGUCAAAUACGCUGAUCAAAUAUAUCAUGAUGAUACUUUUAUAGUAUCCCGAAUACACUUAUAGUCUCAAACUAUCUGCCGCUGUCUAUUGGUUUUUAGGGUAAUAUCACAUAAUACUAAUAAUGAAAAAAAUGCAUAUCUCAAUAUACUCUACAGGUAGGUGUCAAAAUAUCACUAUUAUCUCAAUUAUGUCAACAGUUCAUCUCAUAGACUAAAUAAUAUAAUCUAGAAAAGGGAUAAUUGCCUAUAUAUGAUGUAUUUUUGAAAGGAUGAGUUUUUGAAAGGGGAAGAUAUUUUUAACUUCGACGCAUGAACAGAGGGGGAGAUUUUUUUAACUUUGUUUAUUACUUACUUUGUUCGUUGGAGAGAGUAAUAUUUUUGCAGAUUUUUGAAGACGUUAAGACUCCUUGUGUCUAAGUCAUAGAGUUUGUUUAGGAGUUGCAAAAUUGUAAUUUUGUAUUUUCUUUGGAUCUUUCACGCGAGAAGUUCAUUGUUUUGGUGAUGGCAAUGAAUUUCGAUUUUUGACUUUUGGAGUGUUGAGUGUUGUGAGUAUUUUGAUGUAUUUUUGAGUUUUGUCACCAAAUUGCCAAAAGGGGAGAUUGUUACGGAUUUUAAGUCGACAUACUUCACGAAAUAUGCCAACUUAAAAUCCGUAACAAUCUCCCCCUUCGGCAAUUUCGUGACAAAACUCAAAAAUAUAUCAAAAUACUCAAACACUCAACUCUCCAAAAGUCAAAAAUCGAAAUUCAUUGCCAUCACCAAAACAAUGAACUUCUCGCGUGAAAGAUCCAAAGAAAAUACAAAAUUAUAAUUUUGCAACUCUAUUGUAAGUUUUGGGGGUGCCCAAGGAUCUAUCUAGAUUGUAUCUAACACCUAGAGGGGGGGUGAAUAGGUGUAAAAAUUGAAAAACCACAAAUCUCGAUGCGAUAAAAAAUAAAUGCGAAAAAUAAAAGGCACACCGAGAUUUACGUGGGAAAACUCUAACUCGGAGUUAAAAACCCACGGGACCAACAUGCGAUAACAAUCCACUAAGAAUAAAAGAUUACAAGGUGAUUUACCGAAUCCAUUGACUCAAACCUCUCUUUUAUCUCCUUUGGAUCUCGCGCACACCAACGGGUUGUCCACGCCCCACGUCCGACUCCACGAACGCUACGUCCCGAAUCCACGAAACGCCAACACUUCGAAUCCACGAAGCCUCGAACACGUCGAAUCCACGAGUGCACUCCGUCCGGAGCAAGAACAAUACGAUCGAUGAUGAUUUAUUGCUUAGAUUAUCAUUAAAGAACCGUAGAAGAUAUUUCUAAGCAAUAGUUGGAUCAAUUCGCCAUGAAGAACGAGAAAUUAGGGUUACACGAAUUAAACCGAUAGAAACUUGUUGUUGGAUAGAAGAAAGAAAGCACCUAACAAGUUUCUACGGUUUUGAAAAGAUAUUCUAUGCUUCACCGUUGAUUAGAAACACCUCUACAUCUUAUUUAUAGGUUUAGAAUACUUAGAGAUAGACUAGGAUUUGAAAACCUGAUUUUUAAAACCAAUUAUAAGACUUAGAUAGACUAGGAUUUGAAAACCUGAUUUUUAAAACCAAUUAGAAGACUUAGAUAGACUAGGAUUUUAAAAAAUACAAUUUUAAAAACUGACGACGUCCUUAGGGACCGGUCCUUUUGAGGAGACCGGUCUUUGGGAGACCGAACUCUCAAGUUGGAGACCGGUCCCUCGUUGCGUGCCUGAAAAUCCAAGCUUCGGGAACCGGUCUCUCAGCACAGGGACCGGUACCUUGCUGCGUGCCAGAAAACUGAAGCUUCGGGAACCGGUCUCUCAUCUCAGGGACCGGUUGCCUCAACUUGUCACACAACGAGGACCUUCAGGGACCAGUCUCUCAUUUCAGGGAUCGGUCUCUGAACACUGAAAAGUUCAGAUAUUAUAUUUUGAAACAAUCCUAAAUCUUCCAAACACUUUUAAAUGUUUAUAAAUCAUCAUCAACAGUAUUUAAACUUACCGAGCAUUGUGGAUCUGUGUUUUGAGUUCUCAAGUCUUUGAUCUUUAUCUUUUCUUCUCUAAACCUUCAAGACUCUGACAUACUUUAUGAAAUAUGCCAACUUAAAAUCCGUAACAAUUUCCCCCUUUGGUAAUUUCGUGACUGUAAGGGCUGAGAUUUUGACAGUGCAACUAAACUCUCUGUGGACGAUGUUUUAGUGUGUAAUUUAAUUACAUAAGCACUCAUCAAGUUUCAGGGGAAAAUGAGCUAGAAUGGAGAAGUUACGCGAUUAUUAGUUUUCACUUAAAGUGAAUAGUAACUCGGUUUUUCGGUGAAGCCACGGAGUAGAAUUUGCUUUUGGCGCGUAUUGGACUCCGAUCAAAGGACUCCAAUAGCUCGUUUCGACUGGUUCAGCUAUUCUGGAACUAAUGGCACUGACAGAAUUGGAUUCUGAUGCACGGUUUUCGAGAAAAGGGAGUUUUAUCAAAAAGCAGGUUUUCGCUCUUUGCUAUUCUUGCAUUAUGGAACCCCUCGUGAUCUAUGUAUGUGAUCUGGAGUUGAGUAAAGGCUGUUUCGGGUACCUACUAGUGGUAGGGAAGUCUAAUUCGAAUUCGAAUUUAAGGUUUAUUGGGUUUACACAAUUGUGCUACUGUGGUGUUUGGAUUUUUGGAGAAGAGGAUGGGUUUUGUCGCAAAUCGGCCACCAAGCUUGAUGAAACGAAAUUGUAGUUUUGAUGCUCUCGUUGUGCUGAACGCGAUGGUGCUGUCGGAUUGAAAAUCUGACGGAUGGAUCUCCUAAUAUCGCACGAUUAUCGAGGAAGGGUCACAAGUGGAGAAACGGUAUGUCCGCGAAAACUAUUAUAUUUUAUGUGUCGAUUCGCGCGAGAUUGGAAGUGGAGGUACGUAUUUACAAAACACAUGCGCUGGUUGGGACUUUGAUGAAAAUAUUCAAACAUGGAGGACUUUGGUGCAAAGUGGCAUAUGGUAUAUAAUAUGCCUCUAGGGUUUCUUUGCACAAAACCCUAGAUCCGGCCGACCGAAUCCUCCAGCUAUGCCCUAAAUAGCUUCAGCAGGUCCUUGCCCAACCCAUGCUCGCACCCUGGCCACCGGCAGGUGCUCCGGCCGUCGGAAAAUUGGAACCCGGCCACCCUUCAAGAUAUCUCUGUCCACCUUGCCUCCAUCUCGGCCAGGGAACAACUAAAACCCAUAGGACUCCCCCUCUGGCCGAGACCCGUCUCCAGCAGCAUCGCCGCCGGCCGCCGCCGCCCUUCGAGCAGCCGGCGCAACCUGGGAGAUCCGCGACCACCCACAGUUAGCCCUGACUGGGCACCGGUGAGGUUGUGGCCCGCGAGCCAUCACUGCCAUGGAACGGUCGCGCCGUCCUCCCACCACCUUCUGCGAUCUUCCGCUCGCCGCCUCUCGCCAUCCCCGUGGCUGCCGGCCGCCGGGAGAGCUCUCUGCGGCCGUCCAAAAUGCGUGCGGGCCAUGCAAGGGCCCGUACUAUUUCCGACUGCCACCGCCGCCCACCGUCGGGUGCCUCGCCCUCCCCUCGACCUCCCGCGACGGAUCGGCGUCGCCCCGACCUCCUCCGGCCGCCGCUGCGCCGCCGGGAAGCCUUGAACCCGAGAGCAUGUGAAUGGUUGGAUCUCAGCCACCGCGCCACCGGCCGCCGCCCGCCGCCGGCCAGCACCUGCCUUGGACUCCUCCGACCGGCCGCACCCGUACCCGGCCGAUGCGCCCGCCGCCGGCCGUGCCCUAGCUCCACCCUAUCCGGUAAACUAUUUUCAGCCUGUCUGCGCACUAGUUUUCUGUUUGGAUCACUGUUCCGGCGGCCCGGGGCUGUCCCGAUGCCUCCGGAGGUGAGCACAGUGAUCGUCAGUCAGUGCUGAUCACAAUGCUCACCUCACUUUGCGUCAGUGAGCUUCGGAUGAGUUAAUUAGAGGUGUUUUAGUUUCAGUGCGCGCUGUUUCGCUGAACUUCGUGUCGCUCGUGCGCUUCCCACAGUGGCCGAAAUUGCUCUGAAAGGUGAGCACGGCCUUCGGCACGCCGAGACCUGUCAGCGGGUGUCUCGGCUUGGCCGAAUGAUCCCUGGUUUACGAUGUCGAACUUGAUAAAACUCAUUUUUCUCAAAAACCGUGCAUCAGAAUCUAAUUCUGUCAGUGCCAUUGGUUCCAGAAUAGCUGAACUGUUCGAAACGAGCUAUUGGAGUCCUAUGAUCGGAGUCCAAUACGCGCCAGAAGCAAAUUCUACUCCGUGGCUUCACCGAAAAACCGGGUUAGUAUUCACUUCAAGUGAAAACUAAUAAUCGCAUAACUUCUCCAUUCUAGCUCAUUUUCUCCUGAAACUUGACGAGUGCUUAUGUAAUUAAAUUACACACAUAAACAUCAUUAACAGAGAGUUUAGUUGUACUGUCAAAAUCUCAGUCCUUACAUUAUCCCUCCCUUAAAAGAAGUUUCGUCCCCGAAACUUAACCACAUACCCAUCAUCAUCGAAUAAAACUUUGCUCCACCAAUGUGAUAUCACCCUGGGGUACUAAUCAGUCACAAUUUCCUUGAAUCUGGGCAAAUCAAUCUUCAAUUAAGGGGAGAAUAGAACUGCGGUUACAUUUGGAUGAGACUAACCCAAAAUCUUCGCACAAGCUGGUGUCUCAGUCGGGAGUAGUGGCGGUGUUCCUUUUGGAUAUUGAGUUGUGGGACGGUGUUCCCCAGGUGUUUCCACUCCUGUCAAGUGGGGCCUUGAAGGGCCAGGUGAUCUUCGGCUUAGGCGAGUGUUUUAACUGCCGACGCCCAGGCCACUCUUCCAACUAAGGGCACGAGAGCUACUGCGAGUGUCUCUACGGAGACGGUACAUAGACCAGUUACGGUCACGACUUCAGUGGGGCUACUAGGGUGUAGCCCAGGGUUUGGUUAGCGGUCGUUUAGGCGACUGCAUUGUUAGUGUUGCUUCCGCAGAUCUUUGGGUAGGGUUGUGAGCCUACAUCUCCUCCUUAAUUGCUGAUGAAUUUAGCGAUUUGGGUCUUUUGACCUUGAACUAGUUCUUUUGUCAAAUUGACGUGUACUAGAGUCGGAUUGACACAGUUUUGGUGUCAGGUUUCCGUUGAGGUAUACAACGUAUGUGGUUAUUCUAACACCUAAAUUGGUGUGUUGUGGGUUAGUUUGUAGUUGGUGAUAGGUUUCGUCUUGAUUUAAGAGACUCCAGGUUAUCGUUGGAAUUCUCGGAGCUUUGAUUAUGGUACGGUUGUGGUGCGGAAAUCGGUUAGAGGAACCGUUUCCUAAAGUCUCAGUUUGUGCGGUUCGUGGCUUAGUACCACUAACAGCUUUCGGAUGUUGAAAGUUAUAGGAUUCCCUGUGAGUCGAUUCAGGUUCGUUCUGAUUUCGAAUGUUGACUUGUAAAGUCAAUGUUUCGAUAGUAAUGGUUGUGAACUCUUGGUUCAGCGAAGAAGUAUCAAGUGGCUUGAUACUUUGACGUGUCGUGCUUCCAGCUUGUUGUUGGUAGUAGAUCUUCGGUAUUUCAUUUUCUUUUGAUAAGUACAUUGGCUGCAGACAAUGUACCGUCGAAAGUUUGGAUGAAAUACCUCUCCUAUUUGGGACUCAUGGAUUGGGUCGGUAUUUCCUUUCUCUAGGCUGUCUUGUUGGAAAAGCUAGAGUGAUGGUCAUCUCUGACCAUGUGACGAGCCUUGGGUUAUUCCCUGGCAGGUUUUGCGCAGUUGAUUUAUCGUCACUGCUGAUGAUUUUGACCCUUGUUCGAGUCUAGGUUAGCGUUGGUUUUAUUGUUGUGCCUUCCUCAGCUAAAAGGUUUGGUUAUUUAGUAGUCUCGGUCUGUUUGUCGAGAGGUUCGGAAUCUCAGUUGUUGAGUUACUUGAGCCUGGUUGUCGGCUAUGAUUGUCACCGUAUGUGAUAGCGUUUAGGGUUUGCGACUCGGCGUGUCGUGUAAACCCGGGAUUGGUAUGCUUGUCCGGUUAACUGGUGACAGGUGCGCCUGGGUCUCAAUGAGACAGGUAAUUGGGUGUUGCUGGGAACAUCGAUCGUUAGGGUCCCUUGUAGGACGGCAACGACAGGGUCUCGUAGAGACAGGUGUUGAGCAUCACCGAUGGUUGUUAUCGCAUGUGCGAUUGGCGACCUGUGCAUCAAAGGAUGGACUUGCAAAGAGCUUUUGGUGGUCUGUUGGUACCGGAUUAGGUUUGAGGAGACAAAAUUGUCUAGCUCAAUUGGUAUUGUCGGUUGGAUCUUUUGGUCAGGUGGAAAGUGAGGUCUUGGACCUAGGACUAUAGAUUGUCGCAGGUGACUUUCCGUUGAUGGAGGUUUUGGCAGUUUGUGUGGUUACUGGUGGGAAACUGUGGUCUCCAAGGUGAGAGUUUUGACUCAGAUCUUAGAACAACGUUUUGUGUUCGCUCGUGGUGAGCAGGUUGAUAUUGUUGGCUAGUCGGAGUGUAUCAUCGUGACCUACGAAACCACUCCAGACUUGUGGUGUUGUUCCGUGACUUUUCUACGUGAACAUUCGACGUAGUCGAGUCGGUUACUGCUAUGCAGACCAAGGUUGAGUGGACCUAAAGUUUCUGAGUGGUGAAUUAUUAUCUCAGAAUUGGUAAUUUGGGAUCAUAUAAUCCUGGUCGCGGGACUAUUUUUGUCCGCAGGUUAUAGGAUGGUGUUGAUCCCGAUAGGUCCCGAUCCAUAGAUUUUGGGUUAGUCUCAUCCAAAUGUAACCGCAAUUCUAUUCUCCCCUUAAUUGAAGAUUGAUUUGCCCAGAUUCAAGGAAAUUGUGAUUGAUUAGUACCCCAGGGUGAUAUCACAUUGGUGGAGCAAAGUUUUAUUCGAUGAUGAUGGGUACGUGGUUAAGUUUCGGGGACGAAACUUCUUUUAAGGGAGGGAUAAUGUAAGGACUGAGAUUUUGACAGUGCAACUAAACUCUAUGUUGACGAUGUUUAUGUGUGUAAUUUAAUUACAUAAGCACUCGUCAAGUUUCAGGGGAAAAUGAGCUAGAAUGGAGAAGUUACGCGAUUAUUAGUUUUCACUUAAAGUGAAUAGUAACCUGGUUUUUUGGUGAAGCCACGGAGUAGAAUUUGCUUCUGGUGCAUAUUGGACUCCGAUCAUAGGAUUCCAAUAGCUCGUUUCUACCGGUUCAGCUAUUCUGGAACCAAUGGCACUAACAGAAUUGGAUUUUGAUGCACGGUUUUCGAGAAAAGGGAGUUUUAUCAAAAAGCAGGUUUUCGCUCUUUGCUAUUCUUGCAUUAUGGAACCCCUCGUGAUCUAUGUAUGUGAUCUGGAGUUGAGUAAAGGCUGUUUUGGGUACCUACUAGUGGUAGGGAAGUCUAAUUCGAAUUCGAAUUUAAGGUUUAUUGGGUUUACACAAUUGUGCUAGUGUGGUGUUUGGAUUUUUGGAGAAGAGGUUGGGUUUUGUCGCAAAUCGGCAACCAAACUUGAUGAAACGAAAUUGUAGUUUUGAUGCUCUCGUCGUGUUGAACGCGAUGGUGUGGUCGGAUUGAAAAUCUGACGGACGGAUCUCCUAAUAUCGUACUAUUAUCGAGGAAGGGUCACAAGUGGAGAAACGGUAUAUCCGCGAAAACCAUUAUAUUUUAUGUGUCGAUUCGCGCAAGAUUGGAAGUGGAGGUACGUAUUUGCAAAACACAUGGAGGACUUUGGUGCAAAGUGGCAUAUGGUAUAUAAUAUGCCUCUAGGGUUUCUUUGCACGAAACCCUAGAUCCGGCCGACCUAAUCCUCCAGCUAUGCCCUAAAUAGCUUCAGUAGGUCCUUGCCCAACCCAUGCUCGCACCCCGGCCGCCGGCAGGUGCUCCGGCCGUCGGAAAACUGGAACCCGGCCACCUUUCAAGAUAUCUCUGUCCACCUUGCCUCCAUCUCGGCCAGGGAACAACUGAAACCCAUGGGACUCCCCCUCUGGCCGAGACCCGUCUCCAGCAGCAUCGCCGCCGGCCGCCGCCGCCUGGGAGAUCCGCGGCCACCCUCAGUUAGCCCUGACUAGGCACCCGUGAGGUUGUGGCCCGCAAGCCAUGGCCGCCAUGGAACGAUCGCGCCGUCCUCCCACCACCUUCUGCGAUCUUCCGCUCACCGCCUCUCGCCGUCCCGGCCAUCCCCUUGGCCGCCGGCCGCCGGGAGAGCUCCCUGCGGUCGUCCAAAACGCGUGCGGGCCAUGCAAGGGCCCGUACUGUUUCCGACUGCCACCGCCGCCCACCGUCGGGUGCCUCGCCCUCCCCUCGACCUCCGGCGAUGGAUCAGUGUCGCCCCUACCUCCUCCAGCCGCCGCCGCGCCGCCGGGAAGCCUUGAACCCGAGAGCAUGUGAAUGGUUGGAUCUCAGCCACCGCGCCACCGGCCACCGCCCGCCGGCACCUGCCCUGGACCCCUCCGACCGGCCGCACCCGUACCCGGCCGGUGUGCCUGCCACCGGCCAUGCCCUAGCUCCACCCUGUCCGGUAAACUAUUUUCAGCCUGUCUGCGCACUAGUUUCCUGUUUGGAUCACUGUUCCGGUGACCCAGGGCUGUCCCGAUGCCUCCGGAGGUGAGCAUAGUGAUCGUCAGUCAGUGCUGAUCACAAUGCUCACCUCACUUAGGGUCAGUGAGCUUCGGAUGAGUUAAUUAGAGGUGUUUUAGUUUCAGUGCGCGCUGUUUCGUUGAACUUUGUGUCGCUCGUGCGCUUCCGACAGUGGCCGAAAUUGCUCCGAAAGGUGAGCACGGCCUCCGGCACGCCGAGACCUAUCAGUGGGUGUCUCGGUUUGGCUGAAUGAUCCCUGGUUUACGAUGUCGGACCAUAAAAGUGCCGAAAUCACAUAAAAUAAUGUGAUUUCGGGUAAUCGAGAGGGCUUUUAUGUGUUUUGGGUUGUUGCGGCUGCUGUUGGCAGCAUGGGUGAGCAGUGGGUGACCUCUGGACUGAUUGUCCAAGGCUCCAAACCUUUGCGAAGAUCGAAAAUGCAUUUCCGGCGUGUUUUUCGGCGAAAUCCGCCGACGGAACGUGUGUUCGGUUCGAAAUUCUUCCGACGGUGUCUCGGGAUGAUUAUUAUGUCGCUGAACCUAGUUGGCUGGUCACCCGCGUCAUUUCGAGGGUUCGAAAAUGACGGGUGAGCGACGGUGGGUUCCCAUGUCGAAUUAGACACUUCCGGGAAUCCGGAUCGAAACGAUUAUCCGAUGAUAAUUGUUUCGACGUGAGGAGUUGUGUUUGCUGCCAUGAUGUACGAUUAUUUAUGUUUAGUGGUAGCGGGUGACUCGUAGUGAUAGUCGGUGCAUUCCGGGACAGUUCGUGGGUCCCGACGGAGUUCCGGUGUGAUUUUCGGGACUUCCGGCGAGUUACGGUAGUCGGUAUUGGGAAACCGAUCUCCGUGGAUUUGUUUGUGGGUUGUGGAUUUAGUGAUUAUUAGUUAUGGGUUAGGCACUAACCCGGUGGACCUUCCUUAGGUCCAGUUGACAUUCUUUUGCAGUCAGGAGACAGGCGCGACAUCCUUACAGGUGGGUACUUCGAUCCGACGUUGGUACAGUGGUGCACGCUCGGUGAUGGUUUCUUACCCUUGCUCUUUUGCUAUUAUCCAUGCAUAUACUAUAUGUUGAGCUUUGCACCUCUAUUGUUCCAUUAUACUCUACUCAUAUGUUUCUAUGCUUAGUAUCAUGUGUAGGAGUAGAGUAGUUUAUCGAUAUGUGAUACCUAUGACUUGGUUGGUCAGUUCUUGUAUCUCGUUUUUGUGACCUAUUCGGUCGUUUCCUUGACUUCUGUCAUUCGAUGACCAUUGAGGUCGGUGUACCCUGAGGGGUUGGAUUGUCAGCUAGUGGCCGACGGUAGUUCUGGAUUCUAUUAAUACACUCUGGUGACCUAUUCAUCGUUUCGUCAUGCAUAUAUGUUAGUUGACUUGAGUAGUCAGUACUUGUAUACCUUCGGUAGGAUAUUGAGUUGUUCCAUUCUAGUUGACCUGGUUGGUCGGUUCUCCUAUGUGGUAUCCGUGACCUGGUUGGUCGAUUCUUGUACUUCGUAUUAGUGACCUGGUUUGUCGAUUCUCGUACUUCGUGUCAGUGACCUGGUCGGUCGGUUCUUGCAUCUACAGUUUAGUUGACCCUUCAGCAGUAUUUGCAUACUUCUGAGAGGAUGUUGAGUUGGUCCAUCCUAGUUGACCUGCGUGGUCAGUUCUUGUUCUUCCUUACAGUUGAUGACCUAUACGGUCGAUGAGCCCUGUGGGCGGGAUUGUCGGCUGGUUGCCGAUGGUUGAUCAUUGAGCAUAUUGCAUUGAUCGCCUGAUACUCGUCGCAUUUCACGAACACCGGCAGUCUGAUCCACCGCAAGGGGUGUUCUUUUCCGGAAAAGUGAUUGCAGAUGCCAACCCGUGAGUCCUAGAGGGGUUAUAUGCAUGUUAGAGCGGCAGUGGUACUAUCGGGAGGUCUCCGGUGUGAACCUCCAGGGCACAGGCUUGAGGUUUGCGGUGCGGACUAAUAGAGCAGCAGAUUUCAGAUUGGGUAUAUUUGGACUUCUUGUCCGGUUGACGAAUAUAGCUAUAGUAGCGGUUGUUGUUUCUAUACCUUCAGUUCUUUCGUUACACUGUCUUGCUACUAUAGUUUUGUUGCAUGUAUACUUUCAGUUGUUCAUUACAGUAGCGGUAGUUGUACUUUUAUAUAUAUAUCUAUCUCUUUCGUUCAUUAUUGUUGCUACUGUAUUUAGUAUACCUGCUCAUGAUCUUAUAUUUCCACUGACCCGUAUUGUUGUUUAGCUCUUCCUGAUCCGGUGAGUACUUCUCGCCUUCAUCGGCUUGCGGUACCCACUGGGAGGGAAGACAUGUUUACAUGUUCUCACCUCUCCCACCAUUUUUGAGGUAUCGCGGACGGUGAGAGUUGCGACGAGACGUGAGACACGUUCGUAGUGGUCGCUAGAGCUUCCGACCCGGUUUGUUGGUUUAGUUCCUACCCUGUUUACUUUGUUAUUAAUAGCUUUAAUAUUUUUUGGUUCAGUUGGUUUAUGUUAGUUGAAUACAUGUGGUUUUAAAUGAACUAUAGAACUUGUGGGUUUUCUGAAAAGGAAAAAUGGUUUUCUACCCCUCGUGGUAACGUUUUUAAAAGAUAAAAGUUUUCGUGUAGGGAACAGUUUUUAAAAGAUUUUCUGUGGAUUUAUGUUUAGACAUUGAAUAUAAAUCUGUGAUGUGAAUGGUGAAUGUAUGAAUAUUUAGUUGUUUAUAUAUAUUCAUUUAGUUGUGGUUGUAUCCUGGUGUACAUGUUAUACUUCUUGUACUUGUGCAACGCCGUGCAAAUACAGGGGAGACUCUGUCCUAGUGAACAGUGGAUUCUCUGGAUUUGUGGCAGAUCUAGCAUACCCUGGGGUCAGGUUUUCAAAAAAAAAAAAAAAAAGACGCAUUUCCGCUGUUUUUCAAACUAAAAGGGACCCCGGUACGUGACAGUGACAAAACUCAAAAAUACAUCAAAAUACUCACAACACUCAACUCUUCAAAAGCCGAAAAUCGAAAUUCAUUGCCAUCACCAAAACAAUGAACUUCUCGUGUGAAAGAUCCAAAGAAAAUACAAAAUUACAAUUUUGCAACUCCUAAACAAACUCUAUGACUUAGGCACAAGGAGUCUUGAUGUCUUCAAAAAUCUGCAAAAAUAUUAUUCUUUCCAACGAACAAAGUUAGUAAUAAACAAAGUUAAAAAUAUCUCCCAUUUUGUUCAUGCGUCGAAGUUAAAAAUAUCUUCCCCUUUCAAAAACUCUGUAAUGGGCUGAAAUUUGAUUACAAGCUAAUUGUGAUCAAAGUGAUCACAAUAAUGCUAAAAUGGAAAUUAAGCAUUUCUAAACUUAAUUAGAGGUUUGAGAGCAGCAAUUCAAAUGUUUUGGAAGUGUGGGAAUAGACACGAAUGGAAUCGAAGUGGUUAAAGACCUCCAAUUGCCAUUGCUUCUCUUAUGCUGAAAUUUUAGUUAACUUAGUAAAAAAUGAUCAAGUUAAUGCAAAUUUGAGAAUUAAAUGUUAUCAAAUUAAUUUGGCAGCUUGGGAAGUUCAUUUGGUAUGUUUUGGAAGUGCUCGAAGUGAAUUGGAAGUGUCAGAAACCUCCAAUCACUGCUGCUAUCAAGUAAUGCUGAAAUUCCUAGUUAAUGUUGAUCAAAAUGAUCAACAUGAUGCCAAAUUGGAAAUUAAUUGCUUCCAAAUUAAUUUGACAACUUGUAGAGGUAUAUUAGUGUAAUUUGGAAGUGCUUGAGUGGACUUGAAGUGAGUUGGAUGGGCAAAAUAAGCUUCAAAGUGCUGCUGCAUCUAGUUGUUUAGUGCAGGGACUGAAUUCUAAGCUUCAGGGACUGAAAUGUAAAUCUGAAGGCUGCAAUGCCCUUUUGCUGAAAUUGAGGGUUAAGUUGCAAAUUUUCAUCUUUAUCACUUAAUCCCAGCUGAGUUGCAUGUGUGUACGUGUCCACUGCCCUUUUUCCAUCACUUCUUUCAUUCUUUUUCUUCUUCUUCUCUCUUUAGGCUGAUGGAAACCAAGAAAGAGUUGAGGAGUUUGAUGUUGGCAGCUUGGAGGACUUGUGGGCUGAGAAGAAGUCUGAACCAAGCUUAUAAUUUCUGAUGUUGAAGUUGUUGGGCAACCUGAAAUAGCACCUAAUUAAGGUAAUUGGUUCUAGUAACUGAUUAGUAUCAAGCUAAUUACCUUAGAAAGGAUGCUUACAUGGAAUCCUUGCUACUAGUGUUAGCUAUUCUGGAAUUUCAAGCCGAAUUCAUGUUGCUGCUGCUGUCGAAAUGAAGAGAGGGCCAAUUGAUGCAUGGAACAAGUUGAUUCAGCAUCAGGUUAGCGUAAGUUUAUUCCUUAUUGGAUCAUAGUCCAAUUAAUUGCUUUAAAAUGGAUCAAGUUAAGAACUAUGUGCUGAAAUUUCAGACUUGAAGCUGAAUUGUUGAGUUGUUGAAGCUAAGAUCACCCUGGUUGAAUACCUAAUUAAGGUAAACUGGUUCUAAUAUCUAAUUGUAGACAAGUUAGUUGCAUUAAAGAUGAUCCACAUAAGAGUAAUUGCUGCCAGGGUUUUGAUAUUGGACUGAUUGCAGCAAAGAACAAGUCUGGUUCAACCUUGAAGUGAAAGCUUGAGUAUUCUAUAGUGUCACCUAAAUAGCUUGGNUCGAGCUACAGAAAAUCUGAGAGAAGCUUGAAUCCUGGUAAAUGAUGCUAAAUACCUUAGUAGAAUAUGAUUACUUGUGUAGAAUUCAGGAUUAGUUAUUGCUGAAAACUGUGAAGCUCAAAUGCUGAAUUUCAGCAUUUGAGAUCCUGGAUGUUAAGGCUGAGAAGGAACCAGUUCAAUAGCAAAUCGAGAUAAAUUGCGCUUAGAACUCAAUUAGUUGUAAUUGAGAGAUGUUAAUUAAGAAUCUGAUGGAUAAUAAAGCUAAUAUAAAUGCAAAACUGUAUUGAUGAGUUCCUAUUUGGAACACUGUGAUUGUAACUUACACUAUACAUAAAUAUAUAGAUGUUUAUAUAUCUAUAUAUGUAAGUGGGAGUUAAGAUGCUAACUUGUAAAAUAUGAGAAUAAGGCUCUAGUUUAAUCUCUUUUAAUCCUUGAUAAAUGAAAGUUAAUCAUGCUCGAAAGUCUAAAUUGACUUUCCGACAGGUCGACGACACACUAGUUACGGUACAGACCGUUCUAGUUCUAUUUACACCGAGUCGCGAGAGCUAGUUGUCGACGCAUUUUGAGACGUGGAUUCUAGUUGUUUACAACACUACAGGUGGGUGGUACUAUCCGAAGUCUUUGAAUCACCUUUUAUGUCUAUGAUUAUUCAUUGAGCAUAAUUAUAUUUGUAGUCAUGUAUUAUAGGGUGUUCGGCAUUGUGCAAGUGAAAAUAUAAAUUCCUAUCAACAAUGAGAACUUGUGAACCUUAGAAUGUGGACAUAGAACCCUAUGAAUGCAUGGACUAUAACAAUAGUGAACUUGGUGACAUUCUAACUAGAGAAUUGGAUAGCAUUGAGAAAUAAAACAGUGAAACUAGCAAAAAGAGCUAGUUAGAGUUAAAGUGUGACAUGGCUAUUAUUGAAUCCUCUAAAGGAGGAUCAGAUCUUACUCACAUAGUCUGUUUUUAGCUUGGUGGUUGUCGCUCCCCCCAGGCAGUGCGCUCCGGAGUGGUCACUUGAUGGGUUAAAGAAUUUGCCCUUGAACUAAAGUAUCUGUUCUACAGACGGUCCCGUCGGGAGGCAGCUUAGGGCCCGCCAGGGAUUGAGUUAGUGAGUUACAGUUAACCAAAUGGUUAGCUAGAUUGAUUGAGUAUUGGUACAUUACAGCAUGCAUGCAUACUUACAGUUUUCAUGUAUCAUUUCUUUUAGCUUUGUACAGGCAUUGUAGUAGUUAUAUGUUAUAGUUGGUUACUAUCUGUUUACUUCUUUUGCCUACAUAUGCCUGAAUAGACCUAGUGGGUCAGUCGGCGAGGUCGGCGUCCGAACCUACUGGAAACUUUUAGUAGUUCUCACACCACUAACCACACAGGUUCCAGUGCGAGCGUUGUUGCCGAGGAUCACGGCAAGAGCCCUGCAGCCUAGCUAGUUGACACCAGAGUAUAGUAGUUUACCAUUUUGGUUUUAUGUUACACAUUUUAAUGUAAUGAAACUUGUAAAUGAAUAUAUAAACAGUAUGUAAAUAACUAAAUGUUCCAGUUAUGUAAAUUCAGUUUAAAGUUUUAAAUUACAGUGAAUUUCAUGUUUAGUUAGUUUACUAUCACUUGUGAUUGUUGCUUGCCCUUGUGCAAGCCAUGUAUAUUGAAAUGUUAUCCUGGGAAUUGUUUAUUUCUUUAUACAUGUACUCGUUGUUGUUGAGCCUUGGGCGGACAGAGGAGGUUCUGUCCGUUCGGCGUCUGUGUACGGGCUCGGAUCGACCAAAUUGGCGAUAGCGGGACGUGACAGAAAAAGUGGUAUCAGAGCAAGCGAUAGUAAAAGUCUAGGAUGACCUACGGGACUUAGGAUUGGAAACCUAGGAACCAGGAACGCGAGUGGCGUGAAUCUAAUGAUAGCGAAAGCCAAAUAAAUUGGGUUAGCUGUUAGUAAGUCUCUAAUGUUAAUUAGGGGCUGAUCCAGGUGAUAUUUGUACACAACUUAAGGAGUUAUGUUGGGUGGCCAACAACAUAAAGCCGAGGGUUGAGUAUAAAUAUGCUUGAUUGCUUUCGCCUGAUUGGUUUCGUUUUACUAAUGUGAAUGGUUUGUUUCAGGAGAAAUGCCACCGCGACGUGCGACGAGAUCCACUCCGGCAUCACCUUCUGAGGUGCCAGAGCAGUUUGGGUCUGGUGAGGUUCAGGAGUUGUGUGCUCAGGUGAGCGCGUUAGUCGGGGCUAUGCAGAGACAGGAGGAACAUAUAAAGAGUCUACAGGAUCAAAUGUCGCGACAGGCGACAACAGCAGCACCUGGGAGUCAGGAUGUACCUGUAUCUGAGGCGCCGAUGACCGUGCCUCCUGUUCCGCCGACUGUUCCUCCCAUGGUUUCUGGGCCUUCUGCUGUAGAUCCAGCCGUGGUAGAGGCCGAGCAAGUGCGAUUUGUAAAGGUACUAGAGGCAUUUAUGCGGUUUAAUCCGCCUAUGUUUGACGAAAAAGAAGCAGAUCUGUGGGUAUUGGAGACGUGGUUUACAGCGAUGGAGGCAUUAUUUGAGGACAUUUAUACCCUGGAAAGGGACAAGGUUCCGUUGGCAGCGCACUGUUUUGAGAAGGAUGCUCAGAUAUAGUGGCAAAAGGCCAAGAAGAAGCGGGCAUCAAACUUAUCACCGUUCACUUGGGAGGAGUUUCGAGAGCUGUUAUUUAUGGAGUACUUUCCUGACAGUGAUAAAGGGAAAAUGAAGAAAGACUUCCGUAAGUUGAGACAGGGAAACCGUUCGGUAUGGGAGUACGAACGAGAAUUUACUCAUUUGGUGAACUGUGUGCCUGGGAUGGUUCAUACAGAUCGAGAUCGAGCGGAGUGCUUUGAGCGGGGGUUGCGACCGGACAUAUUCAGGACAGUCAAUGCUCUAAAGUUAAAAACUUUUGAGGAAGUUUUAGAUCGAGCUCUUUGGGUUGAGCGCGAGAAUGCGAUUGCGCGUUAUGAACGCGAAUCGUUUGAAAGAGAACGAGAAAGAGAAAAAGAAAAGAAAAGGACUACUAGUGGUGCCGGGGGACAGUCGAGCUCUAAACGGCCCCCUCGGUAUCUACGUUCCCAGUCGAGGUAUUAGGGACCCCCGAGGUGUGUGAUUUGUGGCGGGAAUCAUCGACCGUCGGCUUGUUCACAGCAUGAGGGCAAGUGUUACAAGUGUGGGCAGCCGGGACAUAUGAUUCGUGAUUGCCCGAGGGGAGCAUCAUUUGCACCGUCGACAGCUUCAGUUCAGUCACGUGCGAGGCAGCGUGCGGGUCUCCCACCCGCUAUGUCAGCUGGGCGAACGUUUGUGCCGCGCCAGUACGAGCCACCCCGACCUGCACCGAGUACACGGAUUGAUGCACCACGACCUGCACCGAGUGGUCGUGUAUUUGCAGCUCAGACUGAGGAUCCUGCCGUGGUCGACGAUGUCGUGGCAGGUAUUGUUUUACUUUAUGGUAUUAGAUCUCGUGCAUUAUUUGACACUGGUGCAUCUCAUUCAUUUAUCAGUAGUUCAUUUGCUAAAACACAUGAUAUUGAGAUUUUGGAUAGACCAGAUGCCUGGUGGGUCUAUGCUCCUGAGCACACGUUUAGUGUUCACGAGGAGUGUACGGCAUGUCCAGUUCAGGUUGGAGAUUAGAUUAUGCCAGCUGAUUUGUUAGUGUUGAAGCAAAUGAAAGGUUUUGAUAUAAUCCUUGGGAUGGAUUGGCUUACAAAGUACUAUGCCACGAUUGACUGCGAAAGUAAGAUUAUUACUUUUCGUGAACCUGGGCAAAAAGAAGUUGUGUAUCGGGCGUGUAAGAGUUCGCUCUUUGCGUUAACAGUAUCGACGUCGAGAGCGAGAAAGUUGAUUAGUAGUGGAUGUGUGGCUUAUUUGGCAACAGUUAUGGAGACUCAGAAGGAACUUCCAGUACUUGGAGAUAUUCCAGUAGUUCGAGAGUUUCUUGAUGUGUUUCCUGCGGAGUUACCGGGAUUGCCGCCGGAUCGGGAAAUUGAGUUCGUUAUUGACUUGAUUCCCGGAACGGCACCAAUUUCGAAAGCUCCGUACAGAAUGGCACCUGCUGAGUUGAGAGAGUUGAAAGCUCAGUUACAGGAUUUGAUGGAUAAAGGCUUUGUGAAGCCUAGUGUAUCACCGUAGGGAGCUCCAGUUCUGUUUGUAAAGAAGAACGACGGAACGCUUCGACUUUGUGUUGAUUAUCGUGAACUGAAUAAGAUCACGAUCAAAAAUAAAUAUCCGUGGCCGCGAAUUGAUGAUCUAUUUGAUCAAUUGCAAGGAUCACGAGUAUAUUCGAAGAUUGAUCUCCAAUCAGGUUACCACCAAUUGAAGAUCAAACCAGAGGAUGUGCAUAAGAUAGCGUUUCGCACUCGUUAUAGUCAUUACGAGUUUACAGUGAUGCCGUUUGGACUGACCAAUGCCCCUGCAGCGUUCAUGGAUCUAAUGAAUAGGAUCUUUAAGCCGCUGUUGGAUCAGUGUGUGGUAGUAUUUAUAGAUGAUAUCCUGAUCUUUUCUCGAAGUAAUGAGGAGCACGAAGAACACUUGAGAACAGUGAUGCAAAUUCUUCGGGAGAAACAGUUAUAUGCCAAAUUGAAGAAAUGUGAAUUUUGGCUGCGAGAGGUCGCAUUUUUGGGGCAUGUGAUUUCUAAGGGUGGUGUUUCUGUUGACCCAAAGAAAGUGGAGGCAAUUAAAGAUUGGCCUCGCCCGACGACUGUUGCUGAGAUCCGCAGUUUUCUUGGAUUAGCGGGGUACUAUCGGCGGUUCGUGGAGGGAUUUGCAAAGAUUACUACUCCACUAACACGCCUUACACAUAAAGGAACUAAAUAUGUGUGGAGUGAAGAAUGUGAUCGCAGCUUUCGGGAGUUGAAAGAAAGGUUGACUUAGACUCCUAUUCUUGCCUUGCCGAUUACGGGGGAGAGUUUUGUGAUCUACAGUGACGCUUCCUACAGUGGACUUGGGUGUGUACUUAUGCAGGGUGGUCGAGUGAUUGCUUAUGCGUCUCGCCAGCUGAAGAACUAUGAAAAGAAUUAUCCUAUUCAUGAUUUGGAAUUGGCGGCGGUGAUCUUCGCACUGAAGUUGUGGAGACAUUACCUUUAUGGCGAGCAUUGUGAAAUCUAUACUGAUCACAAGAGCCUGAAGUAUUUAUUUACCCAAAAAGAGCUGAAUAUGCGACAACGCCGGUGGUUAGAAUUAUUGAAGGAUUAUGAUGUUAAUAUUCUAUACCACCCAGGAAAAGCGAAUGUAGUUGCAAAUGCACUGAGUAGGAAGUCUGUGGAGAACUUGGCUAUGGCGAUCACCCACCAACCGUCAUUGUGGAAGGAAAUGUGGCAGUUUGACCUUGAGGUAGUAGCUCCAGAGGUACCAGCUAUACUCGCCGCUCUAGUUAUUCAACCGACCUUGUUGGAACGGAUUAAAGAUCGGCAAUCUUUAGAUCCUAUCUCCAAAAGGUGCGGUAUGAAGUUGAGAGCGGACGUGGUGAUGAUUUUACAGUGGGAUCUGAUGGAGCACUUCAGUUUCGAAAUCGGUUGUGCGUGCCCAAAGACGAGGAGAUUCAGCGAGCUAUUUUGAAGGAGGCUCAUCAGUCACCUUAUAGUAUACAUCCAGGUGGCACUAAGAUGUACAAAGAUCUUAAAGUGCAUUAUUGGUGGCCUGGAAUGAAGAAAGAUAUUGGACAGUUUGUGGCGCAGUGCCUGACAUGUCAGCAAGUGAAAGCUGAGCGCAGAUUUCCCGCGGGAAAGUUACAGAGCUUGCCUAUUCCGGUCUGGAAGUGGGAGAACAAUUGCGAUAGAUUUCAUUGUUGGAUUACCUCGAUCACAGGCUGGACAUGAUACCAUUUGGGUGAUUGUUGAUCGGUUGACGAAAUCGGCACAUUUCUUACCGAUUCAUGCUACUUGGUCAGGGGACAAGUUAGCACAGGUGUUGUAAGAUAUCGAAAUUCGACGAAAACGGCUAACUUUGGCACAAUGGACCAAAGUGAGCGAUCGGAAGUUGGGACAAGUCCCAUUCGGUAUUCCAACGAGUUUGGAAGAGCUAAAAUGAGUUCCAAAGGUGUUGGAAUGGGUUUGACGUCGAUUGGCGCGAAGUGGAGCCGAAGCGAGGCUGAAAACAGCUUUCUGGAGCUGGUGUACCGGUACACGCAUGAUGGCUGUACCGGUACAGCCAUUGCUGCCAGGCUGCGCAGCCCUCGGGUUUGCUCUCGGGUUUGGCCGUUACGCAGGGCGCGUACCGGUACGCAAACCCGUGUACCGGUACACGAGCACGCAGCAGCGGGUUAAGUUGCAAAAUCUGAUAAAAGGAGGGCUUUUUAGCAUUUUGUUAUAAUAGAGGACUUAACCCUCAUGCCCUCAGCUCUCUCCUCUCUCACUCCCACAGCCCCUCUCUCUCUCUAGCUUUCUCUCUCUCUCUAACCGGUUGGGAGAAAAGAAGAAGAAGAAAAAGAGAAGGAAAAAGAGAGGAAGAAAAGGAAGGAGAAGAAGGCGAAGAAGGUUUUGAAGUCCUUCUUCAUCUCGUUUUUGGCCUAGGGCUUGCUUUGGAGCAAACCCUAGAGGUAAGCCUCAACCCCUUUCAUGGUAACUUGUGAUUUCUAGGGUUUGGAUGGUUUUUGUUGCUUUUGAUGGUUCAAAUGGAACCUAAUGAGCUUAGAGAACAUGGAUUUAGCUCACAUUGAAGCUAUAAUCCAUAACCUCUCAUGGAUCCCAACCCUAGGGUUAGAUUUUGGGGAUUUUAAAAAUGUGAGGGAUUGAACUCUUUUGAGGGGUUAGAAACCUAAUUCUUAUGCUUAUAAACGCGUAGGCGAAGACGGUUCGUCGAUCCGACGAGUGGGCGCGAAGAUAUCGCUAUUCGAUGCGCUAAAGGGUUAAAGUUAACCCAACGAAAAUUAAGCGGCGACAAGACUAGCACGAGAACGCGUCUCGGAGUGUUUGCGGCAUCACCCAAGGUGGGGGAGUGCCAUCCCGAAGUCAUCGGGCCACCUUCUAUGUCUAAGUUUUAAUUGAUCUAUUUGCAUAUUGUGCAUAAUACAUAUAGGGUUAGAAAAUGAUUAUUGUUGCUUAUACUUGCAUACUAUUAGUUCAAUAAAUAUAUAUAUUGCUUGGUUGGUUUAUGAUCUAGUAUGCAUGAUGGUUGCUUGAUGAAAAUCUAGACCCUAUAUGAGAUGAUUAAUGCUUAUGUUGCUAAAGAACUAGUAUGAUGAAACUAGUGUUGAUAAUGAGUCAAAUUGACGAGUGGCAUCUAGUUUAGAAAACUAUGACAAGUGGCAUCUAGUUAGAAAAACUAUGAUGAAUGACAUUGUUGAUGUUUCCUUGAGAUGAUCACAUUAGUGUAGUUGAGACACUAUGAGAUUGGGUACAAGUAUACAUUGAUUCCAUGAUGAUAUUACCCUAAAAAAGGGUUGUUGCUGUUGCUCGUGAGAUGAUCUUGCUCACAUUGCCUGUCUGCGCUUGGUGGGGUCGCUCCCCUCAAGUUGUGCGCUCCGGAGUUUGGUCACUAGAGAGGCAGCCGUCCGGUUCGAGGGCGGCGGGCGGACCGCCGAACGGACAGCACCUCCCCUGUCCGCCCAAGGCUAAACAAUGAGAUCAUGUACAACAAGUCCCCAGGAAAUCAACUUGAAUACAUACAUGAUCAUGCAACAACAGCGAGAGCACAAACAGUGCUGAACAAUACGAGAGCAAGCGUCACAAGUAGAAGACAUACAAGUGAAACAAAAGAGAGAUACUUAACUAUUCUAUUACAACCAUUCAGCUCGAUACAUUUAAUUACAACUUGCAUUCUUUUCCAAACUAUGAAUAUAAGCUUACAUUCUUCAAAAGAUAAACAUUAGUUUACAUUUAUCUCAAAAUACCUCACAUCCUAUACAUCAUCUACUCUCAAUACAUGUAUAGGGUAACUCUAAUGCAANUGAAAUGGUAAUAUGAUAGAAUUACAUAGAAACUGAUUGAUACUCCUAGCUGAUUUGGGAUUGGUUGCUAGGGUACUUGGAGUGCAUCGGAUACUUGUACUUACAAGUUCAACUAGAGUCGUUGAUUAUUGGUGGGUUGGACCUUCCCAAAAUGGGUGAAUUCCCUCUAUGUCUCCUUUGACAUUAUGAGUGAACAUAUUACAUGCUUAUGUGAACCUAUGUGUAUUUGAAGGAUUUGAGACAUGCAUCCAUGUGCAUACCAUAUCGGAUAUAAUAGCAUCUCUAUGCAAUAGAGAAAGAAUUAUGAAAUGGCCUAUUUCCCAUAGAUCAAUUGCUCUAUUCUCAUGUAUCCAUGUUAUUAGUAGCUUAUACGAACAAGAUAAGCAUGAUAUUAUUCAAGAGGGAGGAAUUGUAAAACCAGGAGUAAUAUUUAGCCCUACUGAACAACAAGGAAAUGAUGUACUUGAGAUGAAAGCAUGCAAUUCUAUGUUGUAGACAUAGUGCUUGAACUCUUAGUCUAUCCUAUAUAAUGAGGUUAUUAAUACAUUCAGGUGGAAUCAUGCAAGAGUAUAUUGGACAUUGUUUUACUUACUUGUGUUGACUAGUAUACUAUUGUUUUCAACUGAUCAAAUUAGCAUGAACUUUGUGUUUUGGAAUAUGAUCUAAUUAAGUGAUCAGAACUUGGCAUGAUGAUAUAAUAUGAAUGUACCUGGUUAAAUAUAAUAUAGUGAAAUGACUAGAAUAACCAUCAUGUAUACUAGUAAGAUCAAACCAAAGUAUUUGCAUGUGACUUAUUUACUCCAAGUGGUGAAGGGUUAAGUGGAACUUUAGAAUAUGUGCCAUGAGUCAUUUAAACCUAGAAUGAGUCAUUGAAUAUGACCUUAGUAAACCACUUUCCUUAUGUAUAGGGAGUAGUGAGAGGACUCUAUAUGAAUAUGCAUAGGUAUAGCCCAUCAUGAUAUUAAGUUUAUAAUUAUUCAGGUUAUACCAGCUAUUGGUCAAAGUAUGUCAACAAGUAGUUGAUAGUGACGUGUGGUUUGGGUACUACAGUGUCGACCUUGCGUUGAAUUGAGAUUCCAUGUUAGAGACAUGAUGAACUUGUGAUACUUGUGCUAUGGAUUAUAGCUUGCAUGCCAUUAUGCUCUUUCGCGCACGCUUGUGGGGAUCACGCCCCCCAAGCCAGCACUUCGGAGUAGCUUAGCGACAGAUUGCUCACUUAUGUACGAAGUGAGCGCCGAAGUGGAUUGCCGUGGGUAGUGUUAACUUCCACGGGGCCAUUAGGCACGACGCGGCUAUGACCUCACCCUGUGUAAGUUUAUUGUGAAUUGGGCCAUGAUGAGCCACUUUAACCUUAGAUGAACAUAGUAGUAAGAAUACUUUAUGUCAUGGGUCGAGUAAACUUAAUGAUGAACAAGCUAGAAAGUUAGCAUCCUAAUUAGUUAGUAGCAUAGUGAUAGUAUGGUUACACUGUUACCAGUGUAAGUACUAUCUAUAUAACAUCAUCAGUUAGUUCAAUGAUAAUGAGAAUCAUUGCAUAUAGCCUAGCAUAUGGGUAUUCAAAUUGUCAACUAACAUGAAUGAUAAAACUUAGCAUGCUAAACUAGUAUUCAACCUGUUGAUUUAUAUUUAUAUAUUUUCUGAGCAAAUGUCAUGAUUGAUUUAUUUCAAUACUUGUUACAGUAUGGUUACACUGUUACCAGUGUAAGUACUAUCUAUAUAACAUCAUCAGUUAGUUCAAUGAUAAUAAGAAUCAUUGCUUAUAGCCUAGCAUAUGGGUAUUCAAAUUGUCAACUAACAUGAAUGAUAAAACUUAGCAUGCUAAACUAGUAUUCAACCUGUUGAUUUAUAUUUAUAUAUUUUCUGAGCAAAUGUCAUGAUUGAUUUAUUUCAAUACUUGUUACACUUGCUUAAUUAUUGCUAUUUACUCAUGCCACAGUUGACCUAGUGGUGUAUUUCGCCACUCUCGGUGGCUUACCUACUGGGAACUAUUAUUUAAUAGUUCUCACACCAUCUUUGUUGUUGCUUUUACAGAGCCUUCCACAGCGGGAAAGGCUAGGGUUUCUGGCGAGGGGUCAACGGCUAGCUAGGAUCAUCUUGACGUUAAAUAGACAAACCUUUACCAGUUUAUGUAGUUUAGUUCAGUGAUGUAUAUUGAGAUCAUGUAAAUUGUAUUUUGUUUUUAUCUGUUGUAAUAAGAAUUUGGGUUGUAUAAGUUUAAACUCUUAGUUGUGCUCCUAUUACUUAGUUAAGUUAAGAUUUUGUUGUGUUACAUUACUCUCUUUGUUGACACCUGGUGGACAUCAUGUAGUUUAGUGUACACGGCGGGUUUGUGCACGUUGCUGCAAGCUUCCGUUGAAGACCAGGGCGUGACAACAUGAGUCGAGUUUCGCAUAUGCUUACGGAGAUUUGAUACAUGAAACACAUUAUGAACUCCCGCAAGCCUUGGUGGUAAUGCUAACUUGUAUGCCACCGCGCCGACGCGUUCCAAUAUUUCGAACGGUCCAACAUACCGGGGACUUAGUUUCCCACGGACUCCAAACCGUUUUACUCCACGCAUUGGCGACACCUUCAAAAAAAGAUGCGGUCUCCAACCGCAAACUCAAGAUCUUUUCUAAGCUUGUCGGCAUAGCUUUUUUGCCGAGAUUGCGCCAUCGCAAGUCGCUGGUGGGCAAGGAGAACUUUCUCUUCCGCCUCCCGCACUACAUCGGGGCCAAGAGCAACUCUCUCGCCCACAUUGCUACAUGGCACACAAAGAACCCUUCUUUGCAUCUACCAUUCGCUACCGAGCACAUGAAGGACUUAUCCCUCUACAACUCUGCUGAAUACCUCUUUCUUCGAGAUCAGGACUACCCCUUAUCCUCGUGGUGUGGAUCUAACAAGAAUGCAUCAACUGGCCGAAUGGUCCACCACCACUACACAAUAUGUACGUGUAGACCUCCUCGAUCCACUCAAGUGUGCACAAAGUGGCACUCUACCACUUUGGCUAUCCAAGAGUAUGCAUCCCCAUUUAUGACUCUUCUUUGCAUUCAUUAUCCCUUCAGGGAACACACUCCGAUUCUAUCACCGGCAUUGCUUAGAAGUAAUAACCCGGGUGCAUCGCUCCAUCGCGAGUGCUCCAAUCACAAUCGGACUCUUAGCUCUGCCGCGAGAUGGUCCACUUUGGCACAUCUGUACAUUCCAGUUCAUUUAAGAGCAUAGUCCCCAAAUCUCACGUGGCUUUCUACUAGCUCAAUGUCUCACAAAGAGCACUUCAUCUUUUUGAUACCAUAUGCCACGGUCAACAUCAAUCGCUCUCACAACGAGUUCACACGAACACUCCGUUCAUGAAUCCAAGCCAAUCUCACCGACAGAGUUGUCGGCCAAACCGCGCACCUUGGCUUCCACAGGUGGACCAAAGGUCACCAAUCCUACGUAGGCUUACCACCUAAACCCAUCUCAACUACGCACAGCAUCUCUCGUUUGCAAGCGUAGACCCAAUCAUCACUGGGCGAAAUUCUCACUUGGGAAUUCGUACACACUCCAACUAGGAGCAAACGAGACCCCAAACCACUAUAUAAUCUUCGAGUUGGGUCAUAACCGAACUCUCGGUACACUAUUGAUCACACGAUUCACACGUGGCACUCCACGCUCUCGGGUCUCAGCUCGGACUACCGCCCCGACCAUAAAUCUCUGCCUUACACGUAGGUACCGGGCCGCUGUCACUCACAGCUGACUGCGCCUGUCCAUAUGGCCCCAGGCUCCACAGUCCACAAAUGGUCCAAGCACGGAUCGUUCUCAAGCCAUACCCGCUAACGUCGUCUCUCACGACAUGCUCUACCAAGCAACACACAUCUCUAUCGGCUCCUAAGCAUCCAAGGCGAGCCACCAUGUCACGCCCCGGAGCUGCCAAUUUGGUCGGUUCGGGCACGCGAACAGACGCCGAAGGGACAGCACCUCCCUUGUCCGCCCAAGGCUCCAACAACAUGUAUAAUACAAGCAAUUCAAUACAAAUUAACGCAAUUAUAUAAGGUUUGCACGGGGCAAACAACAACUAUGACAAGUGAAAGCAUCGAAACUAACUAAACGUUCAACAUACAAGUCAUUUGAUUUCAUUUGAAUCAAACACAAGUAAAUUUAAAAUAUUACAUUCAUAUUCUUUUUCAUUCACAUUUACAUCACAAAGGCAUUCAACCCAAAAUAUGUUAUUUACAUCUUUUUCUUACAACUUUUUUGUUCAACAUACAAAAGUUGAUUACUAAAACAUAGGGUAUGCUUAUAAACUCCGAGGCCACUAACUCUGGCGCCAAACCCUUGCCUCGAUCCUCCGCCGCCUCGCUCGCUCAUGGAUCUGCAGGGUUAGUAGUGGUGUAAGAACUACAACGAAGUUCCCAGUGGGUUCGGCCGCCGACCGCGCCGACUCGCCCACUAGGUCUAUGCAGGCAUGUGUAAUUCAAGGAAUGAUAGAUUGCAAACCAACUAAUGCAAAACUAUUACAAUGCUUGCAAGAAAACUGUCAACAGAUAGAUAAUCAAAUACAUGAUAAAUAUGCAUGCAUAUUCUUUUCCUCAUUCAUUUUGGCCUUUACCCAAUUAUCCCGGGAUUCUCCUGGUUCACCCCAAACUCACAGUCCAUUCAUCUCGUCUACUGGGGGAGGCACAUGGCACUACCGCCCAAGGAAUCUUCGCCGGGGUACUUCCCCGUGGUGUCUACACUCCGGAGUAUACCGCUUGAGGAGGAGCUACCUCCCUCAAGCCGGAACCAAUGUGUGAGUACGAUCCAAUCCUCAAUUUGAGGGCGUAGCCAAACCUGUCUCAAUGCACAAAGCCUCAAUGCCAAGGAUAGGUCAUUACCAUAUCACAUUCCCACUAUACCUGAGCCACAAUGGUCCUGAUGCCAUUAUAGGUUAAACCUUGUUUAGCCGUUCUUAUUUUCGGUGCCAAUAUCGUCACUAAUGUCAAUGUCACCAUUGUUUACUAUGGUCAUAGUCUCUUUUUCAUACAUUCACAUACACAUAGGGUUUUUCGCAUUCAUAGUUCACAUGGUUCUAUAUCAAUUCAUAUGUUCUCUAGCAUACAAUUGAAUCUCAACCAAUCAUAUUCAUCACACUACCCUAUAUGCAUGAAUGCUAAUAUCAAUAUGCUCAAUAAUGGUAACAUAAACAUAGAAAAAAAUUCGGUGUUUCCGGAUAGCACCCCCCACCUCUUGGUGAUGCUAAGAUGCUGUAAUCCAAUUUUCCAUAAUUUUUAGACCUCUAUGCCGCUUGCUAUGGCAAAAUAAAGUUGAAACGGGCAUUUUUCCUCGAUAUCUUCGCGUACGCUCGUCGUAUUGCCGAACCGAGCGCGCCAACGCAUUCGUUAACCUACCCCGAAACCACUACCAAUUUGGCACGAUUCGGCCGUGGCGGCGGAUUGCCAAACGGACAGCACCUCCCCUGCCCGCCCAAGGCUCCACAACAAGAAUGUGUACAAGAAUUUACCCAGGAGAUUACAUUCUAAACAUAUACAUUCACAAGGGCACAAAUAGUGCCGACAAUACAAAGAGCAAGAAUCCAUAAGAUAAAAUAUGUGAAAUAAAGAGAAUACUUUACUAACUAUUACAUUAGUUUCAUCAUUUUCAUUUACAUCAUUUUCAUCCAAAAUGAAUACAUUUCUUUCAUCUCAAAAUGCAUAGCUCUCCAAGUCCUCACCUAAAAUGAAUCUCUCUCAAUACAUAGGUGUACUAAUGCAAAAGGAAAAGCUACUAAACUACCACGGUCUCACUGAUCGGGCGCGAUGCCCUUGCCGCGGUCCUCCCUCGGCAGCCCUGUACCUACCAUUGAAAAUAGAGUGGGGUGAGAACUAUCUUCCAUAGUUCCCAGUGGGCUCGGCCGCCGACUCUGCCGAUCUCCCCAAUAGGUCCAAGUGGGCAUAAGUAACAACAGAUAGAUAGAUAGAUAUGUAUCUGAAAGCUGUAAAUGCGAUAGUAGGAAAACUAUGCUACUAUGCCCAUAAUCAUGAAUAUGAAUGCAUGCAUCAUAUAAUAAAGGUUUGCUACCAUGCUAACAAAUUCGAUCCAUGUUCGAAUAGCAAUGUUCAAUGACAUUAUUAAACCUUUAACCUUUCCAUUUACCCAAUCUGUGGCGAGGCCCUAGGGCUCGCCUAUAACUCACCCUUCAAUCCCAAAGUGGGGAGGGAGCUCCAUGUGCACCCAAGCCCGGGACCGUCUGCGGACCUCCAUGUGGUCCGGACCUCCAAGUGGUCCUAGUCGCUCAACACUCCAGAGUACUCGACGACAAUCCCCUCCAUGUGGGGAUUGGAUGGCUAUACUAUUCCAAACGCAGACUGUGAGCUAGAUCUAUCCUCUCCAAGUGAGGAUGCCCUACAUCUAGGGUCAACAACUCAAUCAAGUCCUCUCCAAGCGAGGAUGCUCUACAAUAGAGUCUAUACCCAAUCGAAUCCUCUCCAAGUGAGGGAGCACUAUCACUGGGGUCAACAACCCAAUCAAAAUCCUCUCCAAGUGAGGAAGCCCUACCACUAGGGUCAAAGUCUCAAUCGACUCAUCGACAACCUCUCCACGUGAGGCUACUUAGGUUUACUAAGUUCUUUAUCCAUAAGGCAUUUUCUAAGGGAUCCACCUAUCCCUAGGUUCUCAAACCUCUAGUGUUAUUUACACUACAUUAAUGCCACUCGUCAUCAUUUAAUGUUUGGAUGCCACUCGUUUGUUCUUUAACAUUAACACUACUUUCUAUGUCAUCAAUACCCCCAUCGGGUUCACCUCUUUUCUUUCGCAUUAUAGGAUCCACGUUCCGACCCAAUCCUCACCUAUCUAAGUCACCAAGCGUUCCAAGUACACUAGGUUAUCAUUUAGAAAGCAUAAAGAAUAGAGUUACUAUGCAAUCCUACAAUGCAACAUGAAGAGAUGAGGUUAAAUGCAAUCUAAGACAUAGAAAAGAGUCCGAAAGCUUCGGGAUGGCACCCCCCCACCUUUAAUCGAUGUAGAGACUUCGGAAAUCCUUCUCAGCGAACUUUAAGAUAAGGCUUUAGCCUUCCUUGCCCAAAUCAACACUAACCCGGCCCUAUUUUGUCGAGAACUUCAUGCCGGCUCACCGAAUACCAAAACCGACUUCGCCCCCACGUUUUGUGACCUAACAAUAGGGUUUCCAAGGCUUCAAAUGAGAUCAAUCUCAUCUUUUCACAAAAAUUCCCAUUUUGGAGCCCUAGGUUUGCACCUAUAGCAAACCAUCCAAUAAAUCCCUAAAUUUAUGGGAUUGAUUUACUUAGAAGCAUGCUUAGGGUCCAUUUGACCCAUUCCAAAGCAUAAAAACCCAAAACCCUAAUAUUCUAGAAGCUAGGGUUCAAGAGCCUACCUCUUGUGUUACACCAAAGAGAAGAGGAGAGGGAGAUGAAGGUGCCCAAAGCCUUCCUCUUGAUCUCCUUCUUCUUCUCCUUCUUGUUCUUCCUCUUCUUUUCCUUCCUCUCCUUCUUGUUCUUCUUCUUCUCCUUUCCUUUCUAGAGAGAGAGAGAGCAAGAGAGCAAUGAGAGAGAGAGAGAGGGAGAAAAUGAGAGUGUGAGGGAGAGAGAGGGCUCAGCCCACUCUAAUAAAGGCCAUUUUGCAUAAAAACCCCUCAACUUUCCAUCCACUGCACAGCCCUCACUGGGCAGAGUUUGCGCGGAGGGACCGGUCUCCCCGACUUAGGAUCGGUCCCCGAGGGCCUCCCUCGGGCGCACGCGUUCGGGAACCGGUCUCUCCCCGGGAGACCGAUCCUAGGGAGACCGGUCCUCGCCUAUGUCACGCCCCGGGACCGAUACCAAUUUGGCCCGACCCGAGCACGUCAAACAGACGCCGAACGGACAGAGUUUCCCCUGUCCGCCCAAGGCUCAUCACAUGUACAUUUUCAUCAAUAGAGAAAAGCACUAGCGGAAACAUACACAAACGGCUUACACGAGGGUAAGCAAUAGCCAUUAGUGAAAGAAAGGAAAACUAAACAUUCACAAGUACUAUGAUUCAUUUUGAUCAAAUACAUUGCAUCCAUUUACAUUCAUGAUUCUUUGUACUUCAUUACACGUGGCAUCAUUUCCUUCUUACAUCACAUUUACCUCAAAAUACAUAUUACAUUCUUUUCUUUACAUUACUAGUCAUUAUAUACAAAAGAUGAACAUAGGGUACUUUACUACAAAAUGAAAUCCAACUUUGGUGGCCUCUGACUAAGGCGCGAUACCUUUACCUCGGUCGCUCGCCGGCUCGCUCGGUCCCGGCUCUGUGGAAAUAGUGGGGUGAGAACUACAACAAAGUUCCCAGUGGGUUCAGCCUCAACAUCACCGACUUUCCCACUAGGACUAACUCAGGCAUAAUAGAAAGAAUAAGCUGUAUAGUAACCAAUCUAUAACAUGAUGCUAAUAUGCCUGAACAAUAAGCAAGAAGUAUGCUCAACAUCAAAUAAAUGCAGAUUAUGCAAACUCAUUCGUUCUUUGACUUUACUUUGUACUUUGUUCUUUAUUCUUUGCUCUUUGUUCUUUGUUCUUUAAUCUCAAGGCUAACCCGGAGGUUUCGCCACAUUAGCUUGCUUCACAUUAAGUCUAUCAUCGCAGGAACUCACCCGCUAGGACCGUCCUUUGGGUUUACUCCAACCCGUGAUGCAUAACUCCGGAGCGCAUCGCCCGAGGGGGAGCGACCGCCCUCGAGCACAGAACUCAUAGCAAGUAUGAUCAUAUCCUUAACUCAAAGGAUUAUAAGUUCAAUCUUGACUUUACACUAGCUCUAGUGUUCAUUACAUCACUUUAUGUUGCAAACUCAUGCAAUCACGUUCUUUACAUUAUCCUUUACUUUUGCUGACUCUAGCAAUUAUAUUCUUUACAUUCUUUACUUUUGGCUAUCUCUAGCAUUUCACGUUCUUUACUUCCCACAUUGCGUUAACUUUAAGCAUUGUCAUUUUCAGCAUUCUUUACAUUACAUUGGUUCUUUACCUCACACUAUCUCUAGUGUCAAUUCACAUUAGCUUUAUCGAAUGCCACUCGAUCUAUGUUAUUGUGUCACUCAGUUCUUUUGCUCACUUUGGGUGCUCACUUUCUCUCAUGCAUACAUAGGGUUUUGACAUUCAUUUGGUUCUCUACCAUCAUUAUAAGCAAGUUGCACUCACAAUCAUGCUAUCAUCACAUUCUUAUCAUUACUUCACCCUAAUAUGCAUGCAACAAUAUAUAUAACACAUGCUCAAAUGAAUGACACAUUNCGACCUUGUCUGCGAUCGACGUCGAGGUGCCAUUGCUUCCUGAAAAGAAGCAACUCACAUUAGUCACUUGACCAACAUUACUUGACCAUACCCAAUUAGGCGAAAGCAACAUGCACAUUCAUCCUUGCCUCAAGCGUCAUGUCGUCGGCCGCCUGACACAACACUAGAAGUAGAGGAUAAACGAAAAUUAAACUUAGCCUCUAAUCACAUUAGAGACGUUCCAACUUAACCCAAUCACAUGCUUUCGCUAACUUUGAUCCCACGUCACUCACGUUUCCUAGAUCCUUAAGGCCUUCCAAUCCUAUAGGUCUCUAGGUCCAUUCCUAUUCUUUCACUCUUGUCUCUGAUACCAACUUAUCUGUCACGCUCCGGGACCGAUACCAAUUUGGCCCGACCCGAGCACGUCAAACAGACGCCGAACGGACAGAGUUUCCCCUAUCCGCCCAAGGCUCAUCACAUGUACAAAAUUCAAACAAGAAUUGCACUAACGGAAACAUACACAAAAGGCUUACACGAGGGUAAGCAAUAGCCAUUAGUGAAAGAAAGGAAAACUAAACAUCUACACAAGUAAUAUGAUUCAUUUUAGAUCACAUACAUUGCAUCCAUUUCUUACAUUUAGGAUUCUUUGCAUUCGUUACAUCAUUGCAUCAUUUCUUUCGUACAUCACAUUUACCUCAAAAUGCACAUUACAUUCUUUUCUUUACAUCACUAAUCAUCAUGUACAAAAGAUGAACAUAGGGUACUUUACUACAAAAUAAAACCCAACUUUGGUGGCCUCUGACUAAGGCGCGAUACCUUUACCUCGGUCGCUCGCCGGCUCGCUUGGUCCCGGCCCUGUGGAAAUAGUGGGGUGAGAACUACAACAAAGUUUCCAGUGGAUUCGGCCUCAACAUCACCGACUUUCCCACUAGGACUAACUCAGGCAUAAUAGAAAGAAUAAGCUGUAUAGUAACCAAUCUAUAACACGAUGCUAAUAUGCCUGAACAAUAAGCAAGAAGUAUGCUCAACAUUAAAUAAAUGCAGAUUAUGCAAACUCAUUCGUUCUUUGACUUUACUUUGUACUUUGUUCUUUAUUCUUUGCUCUUUGUUCUUUGUUCUUUAAUCUCAAGGCUAACCCGGAGGUUUCGCCACAUUAGCUUGCUUCACAUUAAGUCCAUCAUCGCAGGAACUCACCCGCUAGGACCGUCCUUCGGGUUUACUCCAACCCGUGAUGCAUAACUCCGGAGCGCAUCGCCCGAGGGGGAGCGACCGCCCUCGAGCACGGAACUCAUAGCAAGUAUGAUCAUAUCCUUAACUCAAAGGAUUAUAAGUUCAAUCUUGACUUUACACUAACUCUAGUGUUCAUUACAUCACUUUAUGUUGCAAACUCAUGCAAUCACGUUCUUUACAUUGUCCUUUACUUUUGCUAACUCUAGCAACUCACGUUCUUUACUUCCCACAUUGCGUUAACUUUAAGCAUUGUCAUUUUCAGCAUUCUUUACAUUACAUUGGUUCUUUACCUCACACUAUCUCUAGUGUCAAUUCACAUUAGCUUUAUCGAAUGCCACUCGAUCUAUGUUAUUGUGUCACUCUGUUAUUUUGCUCACUUUGGGUGCUCACUUUCUCUCAUGCAUACAUAGGGUUUUGACAUUCAUUUGGUUCUCUACCAUCAUUAUGAGCAAGUUGCACUCACAAUCAUACUAUCAUCACAUUCUUAUCAUUACUUUACCCUAAUAUGCAUGCAACAAUGUAUAUAACACAUGCUCAAAUGAAUGACACAUUAGGCAUAGAGAGAAGUUCAAUGAGUUUGAGAAGCACCACCCACCUCGUAGGCUUUCAAAGGUGCUCCGACGAUUUUCUUGGGAUUUUUUAGAUGCUUCGUUCUUUACCUGCGACAAAACGAACCCUUAUUAGGCCAUUUUGCCCAUAUCUUUACUUUGGCUUUUCGUAACGUUAAUCCGAGCGCACCAACGCGUCGGAAAUACCCCCAAUUAGGUUUCUAGAGGGUUAAUUGCACUUAGAAACCCCCAUGAGCAAAAGCCCCAAUUUGGGUGCCCUAGCUCCAAUACACAUAUCAAACCUAGGGUUUGAUCUCAUUCGGAAGCAAAAGUAGCUUCAUUAUACUCUAAAUAGUCCAUUAGAACCAUUCUUAGCUCACUCCAAACCCUAGUUUGGAUUUCACCAUUAGAGGUGGGUUGAAGCUCACCUUGAGCUCAACCAUGGUUUUGAUCUUUAAAGAAGCAAAAAGAAAGCUUCAAAUACUCCAAAGGUUCCAUAAAAACCAUCUUCAUUCUAAUCCAAACCCUAGUUUGGAAUUAAACAUGAGAAGGGGCAAAGCUUACCUCUAGGCUUGCUCCUUUCUUGCUCUAGAGAGGAAGAAGAUGAAGCCUCUUUGCUCCUUGAUCUUCUUCUUCACUUUCUUCUCCGUCUUUUCCUUCUUUUCUUCCUUUCUUCUUCUUCUCCUUUGUCUUCUAGAGAGAGAGAGGAGAGAGUGUGGGAAGGUGUGGAAUGAGAGAAAAGCCCUCAUAUCCCCCAUACAUAACCAUUGGGCUGCAAAAAUGCAAAUAAACCCCUCAACUUUUAUCUCUGUGCACUGCCUGGACUGGGCAGUUUUCGCGGGCAGAGACCGGUCUCCCCGAGCAGGGACCGGUCCCCGAAGGUCCACCCUACGCAGCCAGAGCUUUCGCGCGCAAUGCAUCCGGUCCCUCCCGGGUGGGACCAGUCUCUGGGGGACCGGUCUCUCAGACAGAGACCGGUUCCCGAGAGCUGUCCUUCCAGGACUUAGCCGAUUUUUCGGCUGUCUCAUUCUGCACGCGUUCGGGGACCGGUCUCUCCCACCAGGGACCGGUCCCCGAGAGCUCAAAAUCUGCAGUUUUGCAGAAGUUGAUUCUUUAGCUCUCGAAAACCUCCCGUAACUCACUUUUGAUGACUUUAACACCUUCGGACUUUCCGAAGUGUACCAUCCUCGCACUUUGGUCAAUUUGACUAAAGUUCGAUAUUUAUUUUCCGAAUUUUCGGUAUAUUACAUGAACAACCCUAGGCUCAAACAUUAACCAUCAUAAGCAAAGGGGCAAAAACUCACCUAUAGAGUAAAAUUCCCUCUCAAGCUCUAAAAGAGAGCUAGAACCCCUCCAAUCCAACCAAGAGAAAUGUUCUAAACCAAGAGAUUUAGCUCAAAAAGACCUAAAUCCAAAAUGCCCAAAACAAACCCCAAGUUUCCAUUCUAGGGUUUCAUUUAGUUUAAAGCAUCAAAAUUAGAAUCUAGAGGAAAGAAACUUACUACUAACCUCUUAGAAGCUUCAAUCCAAGCUCAAAGUUUACAAGGUGUGGAGAUCUCCCUCCUCCCAAGCUCCCAACCCAAGGUCCAAGCUUCUCCCAAGGUGAAAUUUGCUCCAAAAAGGAAAAAGAGGAAUUAAACCAUAAUAAUCCAAGAAAAAGAAAAGAUAAAUACCAAAGAGAGGCAAGGAGAAGCUCCCCCUACCUUGUCUCCACAGAUCCCAGCUCAGGGGAGGCCCUAAGGGGCGUGGGGUAUGUAUAGAGUUGCUACAAAAGCAAAUACACCCCUCAAAAGCCGUCAAAUUGCAGUCUGGCAAAGUGUACCGGUACAUGAAAAAGUGUACCGGUACAAAUCUUGCGAAACGUCAAACCCGAGCCUCGGGUUAGAAAUUCGUCACAAGUGUACCGGUACAACCACCAAGGUGUACCGGUACAAAAUCUGUACCGCUACAACCAUCAAGGUGUACUGGUACACAGCCCUGCAGAAAGCAAUCCGAGAGCAGCCUAAGUCCAUCGCUUUGGUGACCUUAGCGCUACAUAAAGCACCACAAUUCUCGGGAUACGAGCCAUAGGUCGGAACACUGUCAACGACCCACCAGAAAAUCUGCAAAAACUCAGAAUACUGAUCAAACACUCGAACCUCGCGAUUUGUAAAUGUCCACUGUGUUACAUGAACAUAGAAGUCCUAAUAAGACUAUCAAAGCGAGUAUAAUAAAAUCACUAAAGUUCUAGCAUAAAGGGAUCCACCAAAAAGAUACAAGAAUAUACAACUAAAUUCAGAAUCUAUCAUAAAGCUCUAAACAAUUACAUAAUACAUCUUUUUCAAAGGUACAAAAAGAAAAGAUGACAUUGGAUCCAACUAAAAUAACUCCGUAGGACUCUAGCUAGCCGCCAACCACUUGUCUCGAUCCCUAGCCACUCCCAAUGCGGAUGGCUCUAAAAACAACCACAAAAUAGAGGGGCUGAGAACUAUCAAAAAUAGUUCCCAGUGGACAAUUACUGAUCUCAGCGAAAUGCUCCACUAGGCUGACGUAAGCACGCUAUAAGUGUUAAUUCAUAAGCAGAUAUGAAAGCAGGUAUUUAAACAAGUUUCUAUCAAAGUCAUGUUUCUACUAGAAGGAUUAAUAAAUUAUCAUGCAUAUAAAGUUCUAUUGUCAUUUGAUCAACUAUAUAUCAAUGUCGGUUUACAUGCAUAAUCAAUUAUAUGCUAAUGUUCUAUUAUAUGCACAUUCAACAAUAUGCCAAUACUAGUUUACAUGCAUGUCCAUGAUAUUCAUAAUGCUACAAUAAGUGACGAUACAUCUCAUUACUAUUCUAACCAUACAUUAUGCCAAUCAAUAUAAGUGUAACAUACUACCACUAGAGUGUCAAUGCUAACAAUGACUAACAUAAGGUCCACAUAUGCACUAUCAUGCGUGUCCACUAUUCCAAUUGAUAUACAUCAUCUAGUAGUAGUUUUCACAUUACACUUUAGGUUUCAUAGUUCAAUCCUCGUCAUGGAUCUACACGUGUGUAGUCGGGCUGGUGCCGUGCCAAAAAUAGUCCCGUAGCAGUCAACAUUCCCACUGUAGGAAUGAGCCUCCCCCACGGCAUCCCAUUUCGACGCCCAAUCCCGCACGGUCGAGCCUGUGUCGCGUAGGCUAUCUCCGGAGCGCCGGCUUGUGGGGAACGACCCUCACAAGCAUGUGCAAAUGAGCACAAAGGCAAGCAAGCGUGAUCAAUAGUAUCCAGCUCUCGGUAAUCAUGUUUAAAAUAUGGAAUAAGUGGCAACGACCCCAAAGGUCCCAUAUGUUAGAAAAUUGCGUAUGGUAAAACACAGCGGAAAAAGAAAUCAAACAAAUUUGAUUUUGAAAACUCUCGAGAUCCAAUCUCAAAAACCACGCAAUUUGGAUCCCUCAUGUUCUUUAAGAUUAAAGGAGAAAAGUAAGAUCGAAUCUUUAUCUUUUUCGCGGAUAGAUCUUGUCAAGCCCCGGGGCCCAGCGGGAGCCCGCCCGGCACGUGUCCAGACCCGCCAUAUGUCUAAAACAUAUAAGGCGUGUACGAUACAGCAAUAAAUAAAAUUAAAUAAUACAAAGAGAUCUAGUGAUAUCAGAGCAAGGUACUACUAGAAUCUACAACAGGAGAGUAUAAUAAGAGCUAAAAUCCACAAAAAUAAAUCAUGAAGUAGAACGACAGAAUUCCGAGUACAAAUGCUAUAAGUGGUACAAUGGUGGUCUCUAUACAUGGUAACAAAACUCUCUCUCUCACCAAAUACCCAAAAAGAGAGUAGACCACCUAGGAGUAAAGGCAGGCUCCGCACUAACUAGCUACGCGACUCCCUCGCCGUGAUCCCGUGCCUCCGCCGGUGCUGAAGGCUCUGAAAAAAAGUAUCAAACAGAGGGCAUGAGAACUAUUAAAUAAUAGUUCCCAGUGGGCAAUUACUGACUUCAGUGAAAUGCACCACUAGGCCCAAAACUAANCCCUCCUUCCUCUCCUUCUCCUUCUUCCUCUUCUUCUCUAUCAAGGGUGUAGAGAGGGUUGAGAGAAGCGAAAUGGGGAGAAGAGAGGGUGGAGGGGUCAUAUAGACCCUCUAAUGUAACAAAAUCCCAAGAGACCCCUCAAAAAUCCAAUAUUGGAUCAGCCCGGUCUGGACAGUUUUCGCCCAGAGGGACCGGUCUCUCCCCAGCAGGGACCGGUCUCUCGCUGCGAACCCGAAAAACCAACGUUCGGGAACCGGUCUCUCCCUGCGCGGGACCGGUCUCUCUCUCUGCGAAGGCGCGCUCGGGGACCAGUCUCGCCCGCCAGGGACCGGUUGCCUCAGGGCUGCCGCAACACUGCUGAUUGGGGGACCGGUCUCUCCUUCCAGGGACCGGUCCCCGAGAGUGAAAACUCUCAGGACCAAACCAAAACUCAGGUUUUCGAACUUUUUAGGUCGGAAAACAUUCUACAACCCUCCACCAAGUGUGGAAAAGCUCGAAAUACACCCAAACACUCGAACCUCGCAAUUUGCAAAGGUCAAGUGCGUCACAGCAACAUCAUCCUCGUGAUGUCCCCACCUAGCACCACUAUCCGUUGGAGGUACGACCUCAACUCCAAUAUCAAACAGUACUACUGUAACAUACCACAUCCCUCGUAAAUCGUGCCGAGUUUCGUCGAAACGAGCGGAACGCGGAGUGGGUCGAGUGGUUAUAGGCCCUAAGUGCGUUGGAGCCUAUAUAUAUGGUGCAAAGGGACCCGAGAGAGUGAGAUUUCAAAAUCUGGCUAAGUCUCAGAUUUUGUGCUCCUGGGGACCGGUCCCUGAAGGAGAGACUGGUCCCCGUACGCGUAGCCUGCUAGGAAAUCUUGAGGCAUCCGGUCCCUGGUGGUGAGACCGGUCCUCGGGAGACCGGUCCCUGAGGGAAAGACCGGUCCCUCGUUGCGCAGCAGCUGAAAAAGCCCGAAAAUCGGCUAAGUCCUGGAACCCCUCGGGCAAAUCGGCUAAGUACUGAACCCCUCGGGCAGUCCGACUGGAUGUGGCCCUCUUGACCACACAAGUAACACUUGCCCUGCCUCUAAGAGCACUGUCGUGGGUAAUGACGACUACCGCAGAUCACGCAACUCAGAGUCUGGCGAUGCUCAGAUCCUCCACGCUGUGCAGAUGAGCCACAUCCUCGCGAUUGGCUCCUGUUCCUGGCAUAUCUCGGCGGCCUCCCAGAGUGCGUCUGACUCGCACCCUCAGCCGCAAGCCUCUUGCCUUUCCUUUGUCCGAGCCUCCUCGAUGCUCCUGCAAGUCCACCGCGCCGCUCUUCAUGAUGAGCGCACGGUUCACCACAUCUCAGUAAGUCUGAAGAUUGGAGGAUUACACCAACCGAAAGAUUAACGACUAAAGUCCUCCCUCGAAGAUGCGAGCCUUAUUCUCGUCGUCCUGCACAACAAAGGGCACAUAGUGUAGUAGCCGAGAAAACUCCCUCUCGCACUCGGCCACGGUUCGAUCUCCUUGGUGCACCUCGCACAGAUCCUGCUCCAUCUUCUCUUAACACUAACGGAAAAGUAGUGCUCCAAUAAGAGUUCCUUGAACCUCUUCCAAGAAAUGGCUGCUAGGUCAGUGUUGGGAUUAUCUUGGAUUCCCAACCACCAGCUAUAGGCCUCGCCGUCCAAAUGGUGAGUAGCGAGCCCAAACUCUGUCUCUCUUCUCCAUGAAAGUGUCGCGGAACAACUUCUCCAUGUGCAUAAGCCACUUUUCAACGAUCCAGUGGUCGGCUUUCGCUCUAUUAAAGAUCCUGGGAUCGCACCUCCUGAACUCGUUGAGGCGAUCUAUGAGCCGCUGCCGCUCCGCUUCCUCAACCAUCAAGGGGAAAACCGCCGCUGCUAUAGGCACCUGAGCUGGUGGUGCCGCAAAUACCUCCUCCCGAGGUGCUACCGCAGGUGCCGUCCGCGAAGUGUCGAGUGCAGGGGACGACCUCCUGGGUGCAACCCCCUCUACCAGCGCGGGUGGUACAGGGACCUAAGCCUCCCUGGCAGCCGCUUGCUGUAGUAGAAGAUUCUUCAGGCGCUGCAUCCGUGCCUCCUGUCGGCGCGCCGCAUCUGCAUGCUGUCGAGCCCCCGCCCCGCCUGCUGCGUCACCAAGUCAGUGAGGGCCGCAAUGUCACGCCCCGGGACCGGUAGAGGCCUUCCCGGUGGCGUGCCCAGACCCGCCAUAUGUCUACACAUAUAAGGCGUCUACAAUAAAAGCGGAAGUAAAAGCAAGAAAUAGAACAAAUAGAAUAAAUAGCAACUAAUGAUAUCAGAGCGAGUAAAGUUCUAUCAUCUAAACCAGAGUAAAAGAAACAUAACUAGACAAUAAAAGUAGCCAUAAGGUGGUACAGUAUCUGUCCCAAAGGUACACAAAAAGGGUAGUCUCUAGUACACUGGUACAGCUCUCAACCUCUCCAAAAUAAAAAUAUCGAGAGGUAGACCACCUAGCUACUCGUCUCUCGCAGAAGAGCUAGCUCGAAGCCACGCCCUUCCCUCGGUCCCUAGCCUCUCCCGGCAGGGAAGGCUCUGAAAGAAAACAUAAAACAGAGGGCGUGAGAACUAUAUUUUAUAGUUCCCAGUGGGCAAUUACUGACCUCAGCUCAAUGCACCACUAGGCCCCAAAGGAAAAGGGUAAGUAACAACAAUAAUGAUAAAAAUAAAGAGCGAGUAUAAGAACUGCUGAAAGAAAGCAUAAAUGAAAUGCUAUACUACCAUGUCCCAAGUAAGCAUGAUGUCAUGGUGAUGUACAUCUACGCUAUCACAAGAUAAUAUGUCCAAUGCAUACUAAUAGGCCAUAACAUAAUAAACAAGUAAACCUCACGAUGCAAUAUGUCAAUGCAAAAGGAGUAAGCUCUAUCAAAGCAACCCAGUAUGCUAAGAUGCGAUGAAUGAAACAGGCAAGUAUACUAUAUAUCCCAAUGCUAGGUCAUGAGCAUGUCAAGUAAUCCAACUACUAAGCCUAUCUAGUAGUGAUUAGUCAAUCUCAACACUGUGUCGAUUUCCAUUUCCAAUUAAGGACCUACCAAAGGUACUCCAGCUUGUGCCGCCUAAGUGCCUGUGGUAGCCCAACAUCCUUACUCUUGGAAUGUGUUUGUCCCACUCGACCCCGUAGGCUUCUCAAUACCGCACGAGCGAGCAUAAGUCGCGUAGGCUAUCUCCGGAGUGCCGGCUUGUGGGGAGCGACCCUCAUAAGCAUGUGCGAAAGAGCACAAAUGGCAAGCAAGCAUAGUCCAAGUCUCAAGCAUCCAAUCCUCAUGUCUCUAACAUGGUAUCGUCACUAGCAUCCCGAAGAUCUAGUUUACGUCACAAGGCGAGGUUCCAAACACUCACAACGCCUAGUGCCCCUUGAUGACACUUAGGCAAUUUAAUGUUCAACAUAAGCCAAAUCCCGCAAUGGCUCUAACCAGUAGGUUCACACAUGUCCCGAGCUCAAUGCCGCUUAAUGACAUUAGCUCUCUAAUUCACAUACAUUCUAGUUCAAUACCUCUAUAUGGCAAUUUUGUCACCUUUCAUGUCACAAAUAAACUUAAGUUUAAAUGCAUGUGCCAAUUCUCCUUUACACUAUAGAAGCAUGAAACCAAGUCUCAUAUAGAAUGCUAAAUGCAACCAUAGAUCUCUCAAGCAACUCUCUACUACAUAGAGGUCCAAAAUUUCACCACAUGCAACAUAGGCAUUUUAACCCUUCUAAAAAUCAUAAUAAAUGCAUCUAGCAUGGAAAUGCAUGCAUAAACAUUUAACAGUACUCAAAUCAACACAAAUGAGAUUUUCUCAUUGUGUGGCUAGGCCAAACCCACCGAUCCGUCGCGUAGGGCCUCGUUUCGCCGAACGGAGUUGUCCACGAGUCUCAAAAUACCCUAAAAGUAUUGAGCGAAGAGAUACACGGGCAUUACGAUCAACUAUAAGAUCAAACAUUAACCUAGAAGCAAAAGGGCCAAAACUCACCUCAAGAGUAGAAAUCCUCUCCUAAGCUCCAAAGGAGAGCUAGAAUCCUUCCAAUCCAAGCCCAAGGAAGGUUCUAAUUCAAGAAAUUUAGCCUCAAAAGCCCUAGAUCAAAAAGCCCCAAAAAUCAACCCUAAUAUACAUUCUAGGGUUCCAUAUGGUAAAACCUACCAAAUCAAGGAUCAAAGGGUAGAAUCCAAGUAGUAACCUCCCAAGAUGCCUCCAAACAAGCUCCAAAUCUUCUAGGGUUGAAGAUUGGUCCACCACCAAGCUCUACAAGCAAGCUCCAAGCCUUGCAAAGGUGGAAAGGGGGAAAAGGGUUGAGCUCCAAGCUCCCUCAACCAAGCUCCUCUUCUUCUUCUCCUCUUUCUUCUUCUUCUCUCUCUAGAAGGUGUAGGGAGUGGGUGAGAAUGAGGGAAUGAGAGAGGGAUGAGAGAGAAAUGGCUAAUAAGCCCAUCUAGUGUAACAAAUCCAGUGAGGCCCCUCAAAAAUCCAAUAUUGCAACAGCCUGGUCUGGGCAGUUUUCGCCUAGAGGGACCGGUCUCUCCCCAGCAGGGACCGGUCUCUCGCUGCGAACCCGAAAAACCAACGUUCGGAAACCGGUAUCUCCCUGCGCGGGAUCGGUUGCCUCGCCGGCUGCGCAGCACUGUUCACUGGGGGACCGGUCUCUCCUUUCAGGGAUCGGUCCCCGAGAGUGAAAACUCUCAGGACUCGCCCAAAACUGGGGUUUUCGAACUUUUUAGGUCGGAAAACAUUCUACGACCCUCCACCAAGUGUGGAAAAGCUCGAACCACAACCAAGAACUCGAACCUCGCAAUUUGCAAAGGGCCAGUGUGUUACACGCAAGCUGGCUCCUCAACUCACGGACCUCGCCGGAUCCGAAGGUAGCGGAUGUCUCCGCUUCCUCAAGGUUUGCAACGUCAUCCGCUCCAACAGACUUAGAGCGUGUAGUUGGCAGCGAUAUUACAACGUCAUAAAAGCACGAGUUAACAAAACCCACGCUAUCGAAUCCCCGCUCAAAACGAAUACCCAAAUCAUGCGAAAGUAAGGAAGUGUUAUCCACAACUAACUCCCGAUGUUACGUUGUCGGCCUCCAACGUAACCCUCCGCGAAGUUAGAAGUCAUACACUCCGAUCCAACUCCAACUUUUUAGAGUUAUCGUAAAACCCAAUUGAAAUACUUUCGCUUACAAGUCAAAUAGACCUCGUCUCUCAUGAGCCUAUUUUCUAUAGUCCAAUCGGCCUAAGAUUCACUAGGUCCACUAAGACUCAACCCUAGGCUCUGAUACCAAAAUAAUAUGUCACUCCACGGGGCCGAGCGGGAGCCCGCCCGGCACGUGUCCAGACCCGCCAUAUGUCUAAAAUAUAUAAGGCGUCUACGAUACAAAAAUAAAUAACAUUAAAUAAUACAAAGAGAUCUAGCGAUAUAAGAGCAAGUUACUACUAUAAUCUACAACAGGAGAGUAUAACAAGAGCUAAAAUCCACAAAAUAAAUCAUGAAGUAGAACGACAGAAUUCUGAGUACAAAUGCUAUAAGUGGUACAAUGGCGGUCUCUAUACAUGGUAACAAAACUCUCUCUCUCACCAAAAAUACAAAAAGAGAGUAGACCACCUAGGAGUAAAGGCAGGCUCCGCACUAACUAGCUAUGCGACUCCCUCGCCGCGAUCCCGUGCCUUCGCCGGUGCUGAAGGCUCUGAAAAGAAAGUAUCAAACAGAGGGCGUGAGAACUAUUAAAUAAUAGUUCCCAGUGGGCAAUUACUGAUUUCAGUGAAAUGCACCACUAGGCCCAAAACUAAGCAAGGGAGGUAAGAAUAAUAUGAAUAAAUAAAUCACAGAAAUAAAAGCUCACUAUAGCAUGAUGUCACUACUUUCAUCAGUAAUAAUCUACCACAUGAUCUCUACUUAGCAUGAAUUUGCAUAAGUAAUAAACUACCACAUGAUCUCUACUUAGUAUGAAUUUGCAUAAGUAAUAAGCCACCACACGAUCUCUACUUAGCAUGAAUUUGCAUAAGUAAUAAGCUACCAUGGCAUAAUUGCACAAGUAUAAGCCUAUCACAAUAAUCACAAGCUAGAAUGGUAAUGUGUCAUUAUCCACUAUUCUAGUCAAUGUCCAAAAGGUACAAUAUGUCGCCAGUAACCCAAUCAUGUGGAAGCUACCCGUAGGCAGUCCGGCCUACGCCGUGCAAACAAUGGCCCCGUCGUAGUCAACAUCCCCACUCCAGAAAUGAGCCUCCCCCACGGCAUCCUAUUUUGGCGCCCAAUCACGCACGGGCGAGCAUGUAUCGCGCUGGCUAUCUCCGAAGUGCCGACUUGUAGGGAGCGACCCUUAUAAGUAUGUGCGAAUGAGCAGAAUGACAUGCAAUCGAAUAAGUCCGUCUCAGGUCCCAGUGGUUCUGUAAUCUUAGCAUGAAUUUGCAUAAGUAAUAAGCUACCACAUGAUCUCUACUUAGCAUGAUUUUGCAUAAGUAAUAAGCUACCAUUGCAUAAUUGCACAAGUAUAAGCCCAUCACAAUAAUCACAAGCUAGAAUGGUAAUGUGUCAUUAUCCACUAUUCUAGUCAAUGUCCAAAAGGUACAAUAUGUCACCAGUAACCCAAUCCUGUGGAAGCUACCUGUAGGUAGUCCGGCCUGCACCGUGCCAACAAUGGCCCCGUGGUAGUCAACAUCCCCACUCUAGGAAUGAGCCUCCCCCACGGCAUCCCAUUUUGGCACCCAAUCCCGCACGGGCGAGCAUGUGUAGCGAUGGCUAUCUCCGGAGUGCCGACUUGUAGGGAGUGACCCUCACAAGUAUGUGCGAAUGAGCACAAUGGCAUGCAAGCGAAUAAGUCCGUCUCAGGUCCCAGUGAUUUAUCACUGUUUCAUCGGAUCUAAAACCCGGAAUACAGCACACAUCCCAAAGGCCUGCCUCUAUGUCAUCGCGUCUAAAACACGGAAUAUAGUAAUUGUCUCAAUGGCGUAUCUCUAUGUCAUCAUGUCUAAAACAUGGAAUAUAGUAACUGUCUCAAUGGCCUAUCUCUAUGUCAUCAUGUCUAAAAUAUAGAAUUUAGUAGAUUUCCAAUGGCCUAUCAUCAUGUCUCUAAGUUGUAGUUCAAUAAUUUUCUAGUUCAAGUGCCCCUUUAUGACACUUUUGCUUACUAUGUCCCAAUAUGAAUAAUAAGUCUAAAAGCUUGUCAUUUUAAUCAUUUUUCACACAAGAAACAUGAUCUUACAUCAUUCAUUAGAACAUUAAACUCAUGCAUACUAACAAUGCAUAUGCUUCUCUCUACAAUAUAGAGUCAGUUUUUCAUGAUGCAUAACAUAGGCGUCUUAAGCGUUCUAAAGUUCACAUAAGUUUCAUUUAACAUGAAUAUGCAUGUAUUUAUAGAAUACGAAAACAUUCAACCACAUAGGAGGCAUUUCCUCCCAUUUCAAUGAAGUCAAACCCACCAAGUCCUCUUGAAGCCCAUCGUUUCGCCGAAGGGAGGUGCCCACUAUCCUCCUAGCUCCCUAUAGGUAAAACUAGGGGAGUUACACGAACGAAACGAACUACAACAAGCUAAAACAAUAACAAACUCAAGAUAAGGGCGUAACUCACCUAUAGUGAAGCAAACCCUUCCGAAGCUCCAAAUGGGAGCUAGAACCCUUCCAAUCCAACCUAGAGGAUGAUUCUAAACCAAUCAAUUGAGCUCCAAAAGCCCUAGAUCAAAAAUCCCCAAAUCAAGCCCUAAAUCUUCAUUUCUAGGGUUUCAUCACAAAGAGACCAAUAAAACAUGAGUCAAAAGGGGAGAACAAGUUUCUAACCUCUUGAAAAGCUUCAACCCAAGCUGAAAGUCCUCUAGGUUCAAGGAUUUUUCCUCAAACAAGCCUAAAGUCCAAGCUCCAAGCUUCAACAAUGGUGGAAAUUGCUCCAAAAUGCAAAAAGAGAAGUAAAUCCACCAAAAUCCAAACUAAAAGGAGAUCAAAACCAAAGAAAUGGUAAAGAGGGCUCCCUUACCUCCUUCUCCUCCUUCCUCAGCUCAGGGAAAGCCCCAAGGGGCGUGGGUGAUAUAUGGAAUAUCUACAAUUGUAAAAACACCCCUGCAGUUCGACCAUUCAAAAUCUGUCACUGCGUACCAGUAUACGGGCCUCGGGUUUGACAGAUGCCAAACCCGAGCCUCGGGUUGGCUGGGAAGCUGCCUGUGUACCGGUACACGAGCCCGUACCGGUACAACCAUCAACCCUGUACCGGUACAGCCAUCAACCCUGUAUCGGUACGUAGUCUGCUGAAGGCUAUCCGAGAGCACACUAAUAAUCCAACUUUUUGGGUUUUGGUGCCAAGUUUUAAACCUCAAUUCUCGGGACUCGAACCAUAGGUCGGAACACUGUCUACGACCCUCCACAAAGUGUGGAACAGCUCGGAACACAAAUCAAACACUUGAGCCUCGCAAUUUGCAAAGGUCCAGUGUGUUACAGAUCUUCACCUCAAUUUGAUAAUCGUGGAAUUCGGUUCUCUUGAAGCCGCACACGCGUCCGGCCACUAUAGGUAUCCACACGAGGUUCUUGAUUUGAUCGAUGUCCUCACCGGGGUGCUAGCUCCCUUGCAAAGGACGUCUUUCUUGUUAGAAUAUGGAAGAGAGAAUAAGAGAGAUGACGGCUGGGGUUUUCUAAAAACUCUCGUAUAUUAUAUAUAGGAAUAUAAUCCUAUUCCUAAUAAUAUAAUGACAAUUAAGGAUAAGUAUAAAUCUAGAUUUAAAUUUAUCUUUUCCUUAAUUGGUUAGAUCGAUCAAAUUCUAAUUUGAUUCGACUUGAAUUUUAUAUUAAUUUGAUCUUAUCAAAUUAAUAAUGCAACAUUUGCACACAAGUCCUCUUAUAAUUUACUAACUAUUAGUAAGUCCUCUUUUGUAACAUUUACACUUUAAUACCACUAAUUUGUAACAAUUACAAAUUAGUCCAAUUAUCAACAUAUUGACAAUUAGGUCCUCCUGCGAUUCAAUAAUCGCGAUCUAGCAUCCGAUCAAUCACAACCUCUUAUGUGUGUGACCCUAUAAGUUCUAUUCUAUCUGGUAGUGAGAUAUAUUUUGAUCACUAUCAACAAUAUCACGGAAACUCCUUUCAGUAAAUCAGAACAAUUCCAACUCUGCCCAAUGAGAAUUAUCGAUCAUAUAGAUAAUUCUCAUGAGUCUCACAAUCCACCAGUGACGCCUAGCAGCAUGUAGUGGCAUUCCAGUAUAAUGGAAUACUGAACCUCUUGGUGCAAUUACCGUGUGAUACAAUCCUUCUAUCAUGAGUCCCGACAAGACGGAGGUUAUGGAAUAACUCGUCAAAGCCCAUCGCCUGUCAUAUAUUAAAUUUAUUCGACUCGAGUUUCUAAUAUCGGAAACCUUUUUUCGCUAUUAACUCUGCCCUGGCCAAGGUCUUCUGAACUCGGUCUCAUAAAUCACAUCGGACUAACACCCCUAUCUACCAAGUGAGAUAGAUUUUAUCUAAGUGUCACCCUAUUCCUACAAUAAACCUACUGUAGCCAACAUGCAUCGCAAGGACCCGAAUGGCUAGGGACCAAGUGUAUGUACAAUCAAACUACAGUAAUCUCAUUGUGAAUAGCCGAGGCACCGCAGGUCAAAGUACCAGUCACACUACUGCAACAUUGAGUAAGUCACUGACGAGUGAGAAGACAUCCAAGUGACUUCUCGUGAUGGUCACGCUCGGUACCCUUGUUCUCUAACAACCACCUGCAUAUUCGCUUCAGUGUCCCUACACUAUCGACUCGAGACCCGUCUACCCAAAAGAAAAGCGACCUAUGCACCAAUCUCACCGGAUCAAUCACCGCCCCCGUGAUGAUCCAUUGAUUGGGAGUAUUUAGGAAUUAACCACCAAUAACACAUGUCUCAAAUUCUCAACUCUUGAGAAUAUAUGUCAUCAUCUUAUUAAUUCCUUGGACGAUUCACGGACACAUACACAACAUGAAUAGAAAUAAAAAUUCAAAUUUAUUUAUAAUAUUUUAAAGUCAAAUACAAAUUUAUGUCCUAGAAAGAAUACAUGUGUCAACCUGGUUGACUUCUAGGGCAUACAUCUAACAAUCUCCCACUUGUACUAAAGCCAAUCAGCCAUAUACUGUAAUAUACUGAACUUCUAAAAUAUUGAAGUUACGGUGUACAUUUGGUUGAAAAGCCAUUUGAAUGGUCCCGGUGAAGUUCGGUGAAGUUCUGGAGCAAUCGGGCGUUUCGAUGCGCGUAGGUGCGAAAACGGAACCCGAAAGGUUAUGUUGGACCAUGAGCUAAAUCCAGCAUUAACGUGGAUGAAACGAUGAUGAAAAUACGCUCGAAAACAUGUUUGGAGAGUCUCGGUUCGAUUUGAAACGAAUCGGAUGUCAAACGAGCGAAAACGAGCGAAAACGGUGAAAAAAAGUUGAAAAUUUGGCUAAGUCCUAAAUGCUGGAAUUCUGGACCCUACGGGGACCGGUCCCUCAAGUCCAAGGACCGGUCCCUGAGCCCGAAAAAUGCCCAGAAUGAGCAGUGGCAGUUUGGUAAUUAGGGGAAAGUUGGCAUAUAUGAAGGGCUUUGCCCCUACUCCUUCUUCCUCCUCAUUCCAACACACACACACACAUAUACUGGUAGAGAGAGAUGCUCUCUCCUCUCUCUCUAGGAGCUCUCCCUCUCUCUCUAAGAGUGGAUUUAGGAGAAGAAGGUCGAGAUUGGAGCUUGGAGAAGGACCAACAUCAUCUUCUUCAUCUUCUUGCUAGCUAGUUGAGGUAAGCUCUUUGAGUCUCUCAUGGUAAAUGGCUAGAGCAUGGCUUAGACCUCUUUGAACUUAGCUAGAUGAUGUUUAUUGGUGCUCUAAGAGUAGUUGAUCUCAUUUAUUGUGAGAUUAGUAGCUUGUAUGAAGCUAAUUGCAACAAUGGUGAUUUAGGGCUCCAAAAAGAGGGCUUUUGCUUGUGAGGGGUUUUGAUCUCAAUUGACCCUAUACAAACCUAAUUGGGGGUAUGACGAACGCGUUGGUGCACUCGGUUCGACAAUCUGACCAGUGUACGAGAAGUUAUUGACGAAACAGUCUGUUUUGGUACAGAGAGUCGCAGCACGCGGGAUAAGCCUCCAAAAAUCAUGAAAAUGGAUCGAGAGCAUUGUGGCGUCGGGGAAUAAACUCCCGAACAGACGGAUCACGGAUUGGUGGCCGUUCGGGUGGUCGCACAAAAGUUCGGGCCAAACCGGGUCACCGGUGCCGCGGGAGACCGAUUGCAAGUGACUACAAGCAAUUGGAACGCGGUAAAAGGUGUGUUGUGCUUACCGAAGCGACUAGGUCGCCUUCAUGCCAAAGUAUAAUGUAUUUCACUUUUGAUGCAUGGUGGUGAUAAGAAUGCUAUAUAAGAAUGCAUGAUAAGAAUGCUAUGUAAGAAUGCAUGAUAAGAAUGCUAUGUAAGAAUGCAUGAUAAGACUGCUAAGAAAUGAAUGCAUGUGAUAGAUGUUAAGUAAUGCAUGUAAUAUGUGCCAAGUAACGAAUCAUAUGAGAUGUAUGCUAAAGAAUGCAUGUUGACAUAUUAUAGAAAUGCUAGAUGAAGCAUGUGUUAAAUGUUAAAGGCAUGUAUGAGAUGUAUGUUAAAUAAACAUAUGAGCUAGAUGAUGUAUAAAUGCAUGAUUUCAUAAUGUAAGAAUAUGUUAGAAUGAUAUGAGGGUUGAACUUGAGUCAAUGAACACUAAGUAAAGUAAAGAACUCGACAAGUGUCAUAUGUAAAGAAUCCUAAGUAUAAAUAACUAGGAUGACGAGUGGCAUUGAACCUAGUGUCAUUGAACAUAGGUUAUUCACGAGUGGCAUGUCAAGUAUGGUUCCUAGGUGUGGACAACUAGGAUAACAAGAACAUGAGUGGCAUUAAACCUAGAGUCAAGUAAACCUAGGUUGUGAAUGUAGUGACAUGAAACCUAGAGUCAAGUGAACCUAGGUGAUUAAGAAUAUUGAACCUAGUGUUAAUGAACCUAGGCUAAGAAGGUAAUGACAUUGAACCUAAUGUAUUAACUUAGGUUGAGUAAAGGCUUGGACCUAGAUAGGUCGAUAACAUAGGGUGAGACCAACCCUCGAGUAAUGUGAAGUGGAUUCCGGAAUCCCUGCUGCUAGUGCAGCGGCUGCUAGUGCAGCAUACAAGCUCGAUAGUUCUUGGCCGCGGGUGCAUGUGGCAUGUUCCUCUCCCACCGGAAGAACUUCGAGGCUUGUUAAUGAGCAAGAACAAUGAGCGCUAGGGUGCAUGUGGCAUGUUCCUCUCCCUAUCGGGGAUCUCGGCUGCGGGUGUAUGCGGCAUGUUCCUCUCCCAUCGGGGGAUCCCUGACCACGGGUAUACGCAGCUCUGGGCGACCCGUUGGGCGAUGUGGUUUGUGGAUUGAUGGCUGAGGUGCAUGUGAUAGUCCCUUCAUCUCGAGCCUGACAGAGCGCGGAUUAUCCGCAUAUGAUUGACUCAAGACCGAGUCGGGCGGCAAAGUUGGCUAAGGUAAAGAAACUUUAGGAAAGAAUGGCAAUGUGUAUAAUAUGGCUAAGGUGUGAGUACCCUUAGAAUAAAGAAUAAAUAAAAAAAAAGGGCUAACGCUAAAGAAUGGCAAGUAAUAAAGAAUAAAGAAAGACAAAUGCUAAAGAAUAGCUAGUAAAAUAAAGAAUGACUAAAAGUAAAGAAUGGAUAAGAAUAAAGUGUAAAAGCAAUUAAUCUACUAUAUGAGUUGCAUAAUUUACAUAUUGCAUGUUGUGAGGCAAAAGCAUGGUAAUGUUAGUUGCAUGAUUUACGAUUUCAUAUCUAUCUAUUGGACUAACAUGUUGUCUGCCUCCUUUGGACCUGACGGUCGAGCUCUUCCCUUGGGUGGCCGUACCCACUGGGAACCAUGGAGUUGGUUCUCACCCCACGUUGUUUUGGGGUGUUACAGGUUCACACGUGAGCGGCGUGGCGGCGCGAGGCAAAGGCGUAGCUCCGUAGUUAGCGCCCUAGCACUGAGACCAGAUAGCAGCACCCUGAGUCGACUUCUUAGGGGUAUAAAUUGCAAAGAACCAAGAGUAUGAUGAUUGUAAGAACAAUGUUGUAAUGACUAUAUUAAAACUAAAUUAUAUUUGGAAGUAAGAAUCAAGGAAUCAAAUAUGAUGUAAUCUAAGAAUGCAAAAUGUAAUAUGUGAGAUGAAUGCUUGUAAUAGCAAGUAGAUUUAUGUUUUUGAUACUUCCUUAUGCAAUCCUUGGUUGAAAUGUGUUCCUGGUUGGAACUUCGUAUAUUGUAUUGAUUGCGACGCCUUGAAUGUACAGGGGAGACUCUGUCCGCGGUACAGGGAAAAUCCUGUCCGUUCGGCGGUCUGUUGGCGUGUCCGAAACGGACCAAAUAGUCGGGCUCGGGGCGUGACAGAUAAGAUGGUAUCAGAGCAUAAAAAGAACAUAGAAAGAACAUAAAAAGAACAUAAAAGAGUAUAAAGAAAAUAGUUUAGCUUGACCUAAGGAUAGUAAACCAUAGGAUAUUAAGGCUUGUGUGAGACGAGGACUUGUGACUUGUGGUGAAAGGAUAAUGGAUUGGGUUACGUCGUAAACCUCUAAAAGGGAGAUUAGAGGUAGAUUCAAGGUGUGGUUUAUUCUCAACCAAGUGUGUUCAUGUUGGGCGUACGACAACAUGAAACCGAGUGAUGAGGAUAGAUGCCCUUGUAUGACUUUCGCCCGAUUUGAGUCAAUAUUAAAUGUUUCAUACUCGACCUCGAAGGUUGAGAAUUAAUCGAGUUGUCAUGUUUUAGGGAACGAUGGCACCGCGUAGACGAUCAUCGGCUAGAUCGACGCAGGAUGGGGCAAGUGAUGUCCCUGAGCAACCCAGAGCAAGUGGAGACUCGGAGCUCCGCGCACAGUUGGGAAUGUUGGUGGGCAUAGUGCAGCGUCAGCAGGAGGCUGCCAUGCGCCAGGAAGAACGGAUCAAGAGACUUCAGAAGACCGUGGAGCAGCUAGUUGCUGCGCCAGUUGCAGCUCGUCGAGGACUGGCAGGGCUUGCCGCAGAGAUGGUUCCGUCGGGGUCGGGCGAUCCAACUCCCGAAAGUGCAUUGGCGGAGGCGGAGAAAGAGCGGGCUAUGGCAGCCCUCAUGACCUUCGUAAAGUUUGAUCCGCCUACCUUCGAUGGAGAGAAUGUUGAUCCCUGGAUUGUGGAUAUGUGGAUUGACUCUAUGGAGACGCUCUUUGAGGAGCUGUACAUAUUGGAGCGGGACAAGGUGCCCCUAGCUAUGCAUUGCUUGAAGCGAUUGGCGGCCCUCAUGACCUUCGUAAAGUUUGAUCCGCCUACCUUCGAUGGAGAGAAUGUUGAUCCCUGGAUUGUGGAUAUGUGGAUUGACUCUAUGGAGACGCUCUUUGAGGAGCUGUACAUAUUGGAGCGGGACAAGGUGCCCCUAGCUAUGCAUUGCUUGAAGCGAUUGGCGAAGGUGUGGUGGAAAGGCAUUCGGCGGAAUCGAUCGCCUAGUCUUCCUCCCAUGACUUGGGAAGAGUUUCGGGGAUUGUUAUUUUCUACGUAGUUCCCCGAUAGUGAAAAGAGAAAGCUUCAGGACAAGUUCAGGAAGCUGCGGCAAGGAGACCGCUCGUUGCGUCCCGGAUGUGGUACGGGAUGACAAGGAUAUGGCCGAUUGGUUCUUACGUGGACUUCGACCAGAUAUUUACGAGAAGGUGCAAAUCCUCAAGCUCACAACCUUCGCGGAGGUGUUAGACCGAGCCUUGUGGGCGAGCAUGGCGAGGCUUUCGUGCAUGAGGAGCGCGAGUCUCAUAAGCAUGAGCGGGGAGGGGUGAGGCCACUGUCGAACAGUUCGGGUAGGCAGUCAAGUUCUAGGCGCCACUCGAAGCCGUCCUCUACUCGAUCCUCCCUAGGUUGUGUGAUUUGUGGUGGUACCCACCAGGCGCGGCGGUGUGCGUUGCGUGAUGGAAGAUGUAUCCGUUGUGGGCAGCCAGGCCAUAUGCGGGACCAGUGUCCGCAAGGUGAUAGCCGAGCCUUGGCAUUGGCGACGGCUUUUUCCUCUCCGGGACAGCCGGCGGGUGUGCCACCUGCGGCACGAUCGGGAGAGCGAGCGAUGACGGUGAUGCAACUGAGGGGUCCGCGGCGGGCGCCAAGUGGCUAUGGACACGCGACCCAGGUUGAGGGACCUACUGCUGACGGCGUCAUGGCAGGUAUGGUUUAGUUAAUGCAGUUAUGUGUUUCUGCAUGAUGUAAAGUGGUGCAUUGCAUGCAUUGAGCAUAUAGUCACUUACUACUAUAUGUAGUAGUAUAGUAGGGACCAAGUGGACGGGUAAAUGUAGAUACCCGGGCAUGCUCGUGUUGUGAGAGCGUAGUACCUACUAGUGCAGGUAGCGAGCUAUGUAGCACUAGCGAGUUGCUAGUGAUGGUCUGAUGAUGAGACUCGUAGUAGAGAUGGAAAUGAUGGACCGACUCGCAAAGCAAUGUGUGUAGCAGAUUGUGUGAGUUGAGUUACGAUGCUGGUGGAUACUCGAGCAGUUCGAGUAUUCCAGAUGUUGUUUCGGUAGAUCGAACAGUGAAAGUGAAUCACUGUUGAGUGAGUGGUUAGUUAGUACCCAAGUUUGGCCUGUGGGCCUAGUUGUACCUCAAUGUGAGGUAGGAGAAUGUGCUUGGUAGACGAUGUGCGGCGGCAAGAUUGUCCAAAGCCGAGACUUAGUGUAGAAUGCCAUCGUAGAGUACGACGCCCGAGUACAGGUACUCGCGGAGUGCGAAUAUGGAUCAGCCGAGUGAGUUUGUUGGCAGUAGCACUUGGGCAUUGCGAAGUGUGAAGCGUGCCUUGUGUAACAUAUGGCAUCCUGGAGCUGCGAUGUAAACUUUGAUCUAUUGGAUCAAAGUGAGAAUUGAGCUGGUUGGACGUCAUCCCCGAGUGACUUUGGACGCGUGAGAAUGAAUUCCGAUGAUAAGUAAGUGUUUCGGCGCAAAGUGGGCGCGAAACNGGUAUACCAUUUGGGUUCAUGUAUCAUCUAUUUCGAUGUACAGAGACAUGUAAAUGAAUGUAUUAUAAAGCAUGUAACUAGCUAAAUGUUUCAGUUAUACAGUUCAGUUUGAAAGUUUUAAGUUACAGUGAAUUUCAUUGUACAGUUAGUUUACUAUCACUUGUGUUUGUUGCUUGCCUUCGUGCAAGCCAUGUAUAUUGAAAUGUGAUCCUGGGAAUUAUUUAUUUCUUUAUACAUGUACUCGUUGUUGUUGAGCCUUGGGCGAACAGGGGAGGUGCUGUUCGUUCGGCGUCUGUGCGCGGGCCCAGAUCGACCAAAUUGGCGACCGCGGGACGUGACACCUUGGAUCACUCGUGGGGCUGGUGGCUCACACUAGGUGCAUAGGAGCCGAUAGUGGUACGUAUUGCUCGAUAGAGCAUGUAGUGCGAUUGACAGUAUGCUGAGAGUACGAAUUGUGACCCAACCCGAGAAUUUAAUGCUCUUUGGGGUCUUGGUUGCUCCUGGUUGGAGUGUGUGCGAAUUUCCAAGUGAGAAUUUCGCCCCAAUUAUGAUUGGGUCUACGCUUGCGAGCGAGAGGCGCUGCGCAUACGUUAAGACAGGUUUAGGCGGUAGGCCUAUGUAGUAUUGGUGGCCCUUGGUCUACCAAGGAAAAUCGAGGAAAGUGAUUUGGCGAGUAGCCUUAUCGGGGAGUUUGACUUGAGUUCACGAACGACGUGUUCAUGUGAGUCGUUGUGAAAGUGGUAUGAUGUUGACCGUGGCAUAUGGUAUUAGGUAAUGAGGUGCUCCUGGUGAGGCCUUGAGCUAAUGGCCAGCCACGUAGAGUUCGAGAAUUGGAAUUGGGAUGCGCCGAGGUGGGCCAUCUCACGUCAAAGUUAAAGGUUAGUGCGGAAUUAGAGCACUUACGAUGAAGCGAUGCACCGAUGAUAUUGCUUUUAGGCAAUGUCGGUGAUUGAUUUGGAACGCAUUCCCUGAAGGGAAAGUAAAUGCAAAGAAGGUUUCUUGCAUGCCAAGUGACAAGUGGGGUUGGAGCGCAUAGAGUCGUCGAGUUUCGACUUGCGUUACCACCUAGAGUGACGGAGACCGUAAUGCACUUUGUGAGAUGUGCCUUGCAAAGUUGGAUGCGUUUGGUGUUAUGAACUUCGUAGUAGUCCUCUUGGAUAGUUCCAAAAAGUGUAAAGCCAUUCCGAAGUGAAAAAGUGCUUUGGUGCCCUCAAUUGCUCGAGGAGCUAAAUUGAGGUGUGUUUUGAAUUUCGCGGACGAAAUUCUUUUAAAGGAGGGGAGAAUGUAACAUACCGAACAUCUAAAACUUUGAAGUUACGGUGUACAUUUGGUUGAAAAGCCAUUUGCAUGGUUCCGGUGAAGUUCGGUGAAGUUCUAGAGAAAUCGGGCGUUUCGGUGCGCGUAGGUGCGAAAACGGAACCCGAAAGGUUAUGUUGGACCAUGAGCUAAAUUCGGCAUUAGCGUGGAUGAAAAGAUGAUGAAAAUACGCUCGAAAACAUGUUUGGAGAGUCUCGGUUUGAUUUGAAAUGAAUCGGAUGUCAAACGAGCGAAAACGAGCGAAAACGGAGCGAAAACGGUGAAAAAAAGCUGAAAAUUUGGCUAAGUCCUAAAUGCUAGAAUUCUGGACCCUACGGGAAUCGGUCCCUUAAGUCCAAGGACCCGUCCCUGAGCCCGAAAAAUGCCCAGAAUAAGUAGUGGCAGGUUGGUAAUUAGGGGGAAGUUGGCAUAUAUGAAGGGCUUUGCCCCAACUCCUUCUUCCUCCUCAUUCCAACACACACACACACACACAUAUUGGUAGAGAGAGAUGCUCUCUCCUCUCUCUCUAGGAGCUCUCCCUCUUUCUCUCUAAGAGUGGAUUUAGGAGGAGAAGGUGGAGAUUGGAGCUUGGAGAAGGACCAACAUCAUCUUCUUCAUCUUCUUACUAGCUAGUUGAGGUAAGCUCUUUGAGUCUCUCAUGGUGAAUGGCUAGAGCAUGGCUUAGACCUCUUUGAACUUAGCUAGAUGAUGUUUAUUGGUGCUCUAAGAGUAGUUGAUCUCAUUUAUUGUGAGAUUAGUAGCUUGUAUGAAGCUAAUUGCAACAAUGGUGAUUUUGGGCUCCAAAAAGAGGGCUUUUGCAUGUAAGGGCUUUUGAUCUCAAUUGACCCUAUACAAACCUAAUUAGGGGUAUGACGAACGCGUUGGUGCGCUCGGUUCGACAAUCCGAUGAGUGUACGCGAAGUUAUUGACGAAACAGUUUGUUUUGGUAUAGAUAGCCGCAGCACGCGGGAUAAGCCUCCAAAAAUCAUGAAAAUGGAUUGGGAGCAUCGUGGUGUCGGGGAAUAAACUCCCGAACAGACGGAUCACGGAUUGGUGGUCGUUCGGGUGGUCGCACAAGAGUUCGGGCCAAACCGGUUCACGGGUGCCGCGGGAAGCCGAUUACAAGUGACUACAAGCAAUCGGAACGCGUUAAAAGGUUGGUUGUGCUUACCGAAGCGACUAGGUCGCCUUCAUGCCAAAGUAUAAUGUAUUUCACUAUUGAUGCAUGGUGGUAAUAAGAAUGCUAUGUAAGAAUGCAUGAUAAGAAUGCUAUGUAAGAAUGCAUGAUAAGAAUGCUAAGAAAUGAAUGCAUGAUAAGAAUGCUAAGAAAUGAAUGCAUGUGAUAGAUGUUAAGUAAUACAUGUAAUAUGUGCCAAGUAACGAAUCAUAUGAGAUGUAUGCUAAAGAAUGUAUGUUGACAUAUUAUAGAAAUGCUAGAUGAAGCAAGAGUUAAAUGUUAAAGGCAUGUAUGAGAUGUAUGUUAAAUAAACAUAUGAGCUAGAUGAUGUAUAAAUGCAUGAUUUCAUAAUGUAAGAAUAUGUUAGAAUGAUAUGAGGGUUGAACUUGAGUUAAUGAAUACUAAGUAAAGUAAAGAACUCGACAUGUGUCAUAUGUAAAGAAUCCUAAGUAUAAAUAACUAGGAUGACGAGUGGCAUUGAACCUAGUGUCAUUGAACAUAGGUUAUUCACGAGUGGCAUGUCAAGUAUGGUUCCUAGGUGUGGACAACUAGGAUAACAAGAACAUGAGUGGCAUUAAACCUAGAGUCAAGUAAACCUAGGUUGUGAAUGUAGUGACAUGAAACCUAGAGUCAAGUGAACCUAGGUGAUUAAGAAUAUUGAACCUAGUGUUAAUGAACCUAGGCUAAGAAGGUAAUGACAUUGAACCUAAUGUAUUAACUUAGGUUGAGUAAAGGCUUGGACCUAGAUAGGUCGAUAACAUAGGGUUGAGACCGACCCUUGAGUUAUGUAAAGUGAAUUCCGGAAUCCCUGCUGCGAGUGCAGCGGCUGCUAGUGCAACAUACAAGCUCGAUAGUUCUUGGCCGCGGGUGCAUGUGGCAUGUUCCUCUCCCACCGGAAGAACUUCGAGGCUUGUUAUUGAGCAAGAAUCAUGAGUGCUAGGGUGCAUGUGGCAUGUUCCUCUCCCUAUCGGGGAUCUUGACUGCGGGUGUAUGCGGCAUGUUCCUCUCCCACCGGGGGAUCCCUGACCACGGGUAUACGCAGCUCUGGGCGACCCGUUGGGCGAUGUGGUUUGUGGAUUGAUGGCUGAGGUGCAUGUGAUAGUUCCUUCAUCUCGAGCCUGAUAGAGCGCGGAUUAUCCGCAUAUGAUUGACUCAAGACCGAGUCGGGCGGCAAAGUUGUCUAAGGUAAAGUAACCUUAGGAAAGAAUGGCAAUAUGUAUAAUAUGGCUAAGGUGUGAGUACCCUUAGAAUAAAGAAUAAAUAAAAAAAAAGGGCUAACGCUAAAGAAUGGCAAGUAAUAAAGAAUAAAGAAAGGCAAAUGCUAAAGAAUAGCUAGUAAAGUAAAGAAUGACUAAAAAUAAAGAAUGGAUAAGAAUAAAAUGUAGAAGCAAUUAAUCUACUAUAUGAGUUGCAUAAUUUACAUAUUGCAUGUUGUGAGGUAAAAGUAUGGUAAUGUUAGUUGCAUGAUUUACGAUUUCAUAUCUAUUUAUUGGACUAACAUGUUGUUUGCUCUCCUUUGGAGCUUACUUGUCAGGUAAGCUUUGAUGGUCUUUGGUGGUCGUUCUUUGUAGUUUGGAUUUUAAGCUUCAAGAAUGGAGUUGGUUCUCACCCCACGUUGUUUUGGGGUGUUACAGGUUCACACGUGAGCGGCGUGGCGGCGCGAGGCAAGGGCGUAGCUCCGUAGUUAGCGCCCUACCACUGAGACCAGAUAGCAGCACCCUGAGUCGACUUCUUAGGGGUAUAAAAUGCAAAGAACCAAGAGUAUGAUGAUUGUAAGAACAAUGUUGUAAUGACUAUGUUAAAACUAAAUUGUAUUUGGAAGUAAAAAUCAAGGAAUCAAAUGUGAUGUAAUCUAAGAAUGCAAAAAUAUAAUAUGUGAGAUGAAUGCUUGUAAUAGCAAGUAGAUUUAUGUUUUUGAUACUUCCUUAUGCAAUCCUUGGUUGAAAUCUGUUCCUGGUUGGAACUUCGUAUAUUGUAUUGAUUGCGACGCCUUGAAUGUACAGGGGAGACUCUGUCCGCGGUACAGGGGAAACCCUGUCCGUUCGCCGGUCUAUUGGCGUGCCCGAAACCGACCAAAUAGGCGGGCUCGGGGCGUGACAUAUACCUAAGGCCCAUCUUCUCAAGGUGGACUUCAGUCUUCUGCUGGCUAAGUGGUUUAGUCAAUGGGUCUGCCAUGUUAUCCGUGGAGUCUACUCUCUACAUCUUGAUAUAUUUCUGUCGAGGUAGUCGCGUAUAAUAUGUAACCGCCGCUCUAUAUGCAUGAACUUCUGAUGAGACCUUGGCUCCUUAGCUAGGGCUAUUGCAUAGUUGUCACAAUAGAGUGGUAUAGCAUCUGAUGACAUCACACUUAAUUCCGCGACAAACUUCUUGAAUCAGAAGGCCUACAUUAAAUGCGGCAAUAUACUCAGCUUUCAUGGUAGGGUGGUUGUUUGGAACUAUUCUAAUACACCAAGCCACUAUAGCAUAAGAACACACAUCCUGACGUAGACUUUCUAUCGUGAACAUCAGACAUGAAGUCUGAAUCAGUAUAUCCUUAUAUUUUCAACUCUCCUCCUCCAAAGACCAAGAACAUAUCCUUAGUCCUUCUUAAGUACUUGAGUAUGUUCUUGACAGCAGUCCAGUGCUCCUCUCCUGGAUUAGAUUGAUAUCUACUUGUGACACUCACAGCAAGAGCGAUAUCAAGUCGUGUACAUAGCAUGGCGUACAUAAGACUCCCUAUUGCUGAGGCAUAAGGGAUCUUACUCAUACGUUGAAUCUCUUCAAAUGUAUUGGGGUAUAUUUUCUUAGAAAGAUAAAUUCCAUGUCUAAGAAGUAAGUCCCCUUUUGGAGUUUUCCAUGCCAAACUUUUUCAGCACCUUUUCUAUGUACAUUUUCUGUGAGAGGCCUAGCAUCCUUUUAGAUCUAUCUCUAUUGACCUUUAUCCCCAAAAUAUAGGAUGCUUCUCCUAGAUCUUUCAUGGAGAAUUCUUUAGACAAUCAUAUUUUAAUUGAAGUCAGCAUUGGAAUGUCAUUCCCAAUUAGGAGAAUGUCAUCCACGUACAAUACGAUGAAUAUGACAGCUCUCCCACUGACCUUCUUAUAAACACAUGGUUCCUCCUCAUUCUUAACGAAAUCAAACGAUUUAAUCACGUUGUUAAAACGAGUAUUCCAAGUCCUAGAUGCUUGCUUAAGUCCAUAAAUGGAUCGUUGCAACUUGCAUACUUUGUGACUUUCGUCACCGGAAGUAAAACCCAGAGACUGCUCCAUAUAGAUAUCUUCUUCAAGAUAUCCAUUUAGGAAGGCAGUUUUCACAUCCAUUUGCCAGAUCUCAUAAUCAUAGUAUGCUGCAAGGGCAAGCAGUGUUCGAAUUGAUUUAAGCAUGGCCACAGGUGAAAAGGUCUCUUGAUAGUCAAUGCCUUCGCGUUGACUAUAAGCUUUCGCAACCAGCCUUGAUUUAUAGGUCUCCAUAUUUUCAUCCGAACAUAUCUUUCUUUUGUAGAUCUAUUUACACCCGAUAGGUACUAUGCCUUCUGGUGGGUCUACCAAAAUCCAAACCUGGUUGGAGUGCAUUGAGUCAAUUUCUGACUUCAUGGCAUCCAGCCAUUUCUCGGAAUCGAUGUCAGACAUCGCCUCUUUGUAGGUUUUGGGAUCAUCACCAUGUUCCCUAUCUCCCAUGAGGAACAUUUCCUCUACAUCCUCUGUAACGAUACCUAAAUAUCGUUUAGUAGGAUGGGAGAUUCUACUCGACCUACGAGGUAGAGGAGGUACUACAUGUACUGGAUCAACUUGAAUAGGUUCUGUAGGUUUGAGGACUCGUUGCUCUUCAGAGACUCUCUCUUCAAGCUUAAUUUUUCUCCCACUAGCUUCUUCUUGAAUAAACUGUUUUUUCAAGAAAAUAGCAUGUUUGCUUACAACAACAUUGUGAUUCUCUGGGAUAUAAAAAUAGUAAUCUAAAGAUUCUUUAGGAUAUCCAAUAAAACGAGCCCUCUCAGACCUAGCCUCUAACUUGUCCACUUGUAGUCGCUUAACAUAGGCCGGACAUCCCCAAAUCUUGAUAUGACCAAGGCUUGGUUUCUUACCAUGCCACAUCUCAAACGGCGUGGUAGGAACGGAUUUAGAGGAAACUCUAUUUAACAAGUAAGCUGCGAUAAGCAAAGCAUGUCCCCAAAGCAAUAAAGGAAGAUCAGUGAAGCUCAUCAUAGAUCGAACCAUAUCCAAUAAGGUUCAGUUUCUCCGUUCUGACACCCCGUUGAGUUGAGGUGUUCUUGGAGGGGUCCAUUGUGAGACUAUGCCGUUUUCUUUGAGAUAAUUUAGAAACUCUCCACUAAAAUAUUCUCCUCUUCGAUCUGAUCGAAGAACCUUGAUGGAUUUUUCAGUUUGCUUUUCUACUUCAUAUCUGAAUUCUUUGAACUUUUCAAAAGUCUCAGAUUUGUGUUUCAUAAGAUACACAUACCCAUACCGUGAAUAAUCAUCGGUAAAGGUUAUGAAGUAGAGAUAACCACCCCUAACAUGCACAUCAAAUGGCCCACACACGUCAGUAUGUACCAGAAAAAGUAUCUCAGUGGCCCUUACACCUUGUCCUACAAUGGGUAAUUUAGUCAAUUUUUCUUGAAGAUAAGAUUCACAAACUAGAUAAGACUCUGAAGUUAAUAAGCCGAAAAGCCCAUCUUUAUCCAAUUUAUUUAUCCUUUCUUCUCCAAUAUGACCAAGCCUGAGGUGGCACAUAUACUUUAAGUUCAUCUCAUUUCUAGGUCUUUUAGACCCAACAGCAUUCACUACUUGCUCAGAAAUAUUUACAGAUACAUCCAUAUGUAAAUGAUAGAGACUGUCAAUCAUAAAACCACGGGCAAUAAUUUUAUUUCUAAAAUAAAUUAUGCAGUAGUUUUUGUCAAAAAUAAACCAUCCUGUGCAGAAAUCAAAUUUCUGUUAGCAGGAGGUACAUAAUAGCAGUCUUUAAGUAAUAAAACAUAUCCUGACGGUAGUCGCAAUGGAUAGGUGCCAGCAGCCACAGCAGCAACUCUUGCUCUGUUGCCUACCCGUAGGGUCACUUCACCUUCCCUAAGCCCUCUACUUUCCCUUACUGGAAGUAGAGGAAACCGUAAGGUUAGUUUCUAUUACGAGCAAGUCUGAUAUACCUUCCGAAGGUGUGUCUUCCUCUUAUUCUUCAAGCUCUCCAAGUAGACAGGAUAGUUCCUCUUCCAAUGACUGUCAACAUUGCAGUGGAAACAUUUUCCUCUGUUAGCGGCUUUUGUCUUAGGAGCUUUUCUCUUGGACUUGUUCUCCGUCUUUUAUUUCUUUGCGGGUUUUUUUUUCCAAUUAGAUGUUCUUUUGGAAGAGGAAGCCCACUCCACAGCGAGAACCGUGCCCUUUGAACUUUUCAAAGUCCUCUCUAUUAUUAUCAACAUGUUCAAUAACUCCGCAUUAGUGCAGUCAAUUUUAUUCAUAUGGUAGUUUACAAUAAACUGUCCAUACGAUACAGGAAGGGAUUGCAGGAUCAGAUCAACUUGCAAUUCCAUAUCCAUUUUCACACCGAGCUUCUCAAGCUCUUCGAGGUCUUUGAUCAUUGUCAAACAACGAAAAGACUGCCCUUUGGCUAGUUAUUGGACGGUUUGGUAAUAUGAGGUUUUCCUGGUCGAGAACAAUGCAGAGCUUCUUGGAAUUUAAAACUAUUUUAAAUUCCUUAGCCAGACUUUAUAAUUACAUUCAGUUAAGGUUUGGUGUCGAGAAGAUGAGAGAGAUAAUUGGAAGCAGAUAUUUGCUUUGCAAAGAGUAAAGAUUCAAGUUAGAUAUUUGUAUUUGUUUUGAAAAUUUAUUUUAGGAAUUUUAAAAAUAAAUUUAGCCUCCCACUAUUUUCUCGAGUCUCUUACACUCCUCGGGUAGAGAAAUGGAAACCCAACGCGACAAAAGGUUUCAAGUGGGUACUGCGGUCCCACCAAUUUAACGUACCACCACACCUAACAAUUAUUGGUGAUAUGUAAACCGAUGAGUGGACAACUCUUGUCCAAUGCUUCUCAAGAAAAUUGCAGUGAUCGCUCUCUAAGUCCUGUAGGCCCCACCUAACAGUUAUUGACCCCAUUCCUUAGUUAAGUCAGGCCUACCGUUCAAACAUGUAAGCAAAGCCGUCAUUGGGUCCCUCACCGGACAGUUAUUGGGCCCAACCCCAUCUUUACUCCGUAGCAUCUCCUGCUAAUAGAGUGGUUGCGCCUUCCCGAUGCAACUGACCACUGUAACCAGCCGUGCCAAUCAACACCAGAAAAACGCUCGCACUUCUACAACGGCAGAAGACCGCUCGGUUUAAUAUUUGUGUGGAGAUUAAUAUUUAGGUCUCAAAAAAUAUUUUAUUUAUUUACAUCUAAUGCAAAUAAAAAAACAAUCCGCGCAUAAAAAUAAUUAAACUGGUGAUGAUCAUGGAUCUUAGAAGUGGAUUCGGACUCGAGCCACUGAGUCGGAAUCGGGGUCUUAGGGUCAUAAAUUACAAGCACACACACGUCAUCGGUUUGAUCAUCUUCAACUUCUUGAUCCGAUCUGGAGCUUCAACUUGAUUUGAUCCUUAUCAACACCUUGAUCCGACCGCCAUCAAGUAUUCGUCUCUAUCCGGGCCUUGCGAACUUUUAGGCUUGCAACCGAUCAACCAAUGACGUGCAACCAUACAUUAUACAACCCAACAAUACAAAUGAAAUGAAAAUUAAUUACAUUUGAUAACUUUUAUCUCUAAUCUAUUGAGACACGCAGAUAUCCAAAUAAAUCGGCUUGUGCACGCAGACACAAAUAUAGCCAUCUCUAAUACAAAAUUCUUAAUUUAAACAAAUUUAAAAUUACAGGAUUCUGCAUACAUAUCAUACAUCACAUGUCGAAAUAUAAAUAGGUCGCUAUCCAUGAUCAUCACCGAUAUGUAUCUCAUACAUCACAUAUAUAAAAAAUAACUUUGGGUAUUCUAAUUAACCGUUCAACGAUAAUUCGAAAAAUAGUGUCUAAAUUAUUAAAAGCAAUCAAUCUUAUUGACCGUUCAUAAUUUUGAUCAACAACUUAAUCUUCAAAAAUAACAACUUGAUCUUAUCAAGAUUUGAUCUAAUCAAAUUAGAUCUUUCUCUUCCUUAAUAAUAUGUUAAUAUCUUUUAAAUUGAUCUAAUCAAUUUAAAAAUUUAAAAUUUUUUAAAAAAAAUAAAAAAAAAAUGUCAUUUGUUUCCGUACGGAUGCUACAGUAAAUAUUUUUUUUUUUUGCUAGAAAAUAAGAAAUCAUCGAUUAAGUUGUUUAAUCAAUUCGGACUUUUCGAAUUAGCCAAAAACGAUCUAUAAAUCGCUCUACCGGCGAAAAAUAGUUUAAAAUACCCAAAACUAUAAUUUUAAUCUUAAAAACAUGAGGAUGGCUCUGAUACCACUGUUAGAAAAUUGCGUACAGUAAAACGCAGCGAAAAAAGAGACAAAUUUGAUUUUGAAAACUCUCGAGAUCCAAUCUCAAAAACCACACAAUUUGGAUCCCUCAUAUUCUUUAAGAUUAAAGAAGAAAAGUAAGAUCGAAUCUUUAUCUUUUUCGCGGAUAGAUCUUCACCUGAAUUUAAUGAUCGUGGAAUUCGGUUCUCUUGAAGCCGCACACGCGUCCGGCCACCAUAGAUAUCCACACGAGGUUCUUGAUUUGAUAGAUGUCCUCACCGGGGUGCUAGCAGUAGUACACUGGACCUUUGCAAAUUGCGAGGUUCGAGUGUUCGAGCUGUGUUCUGAGUCCUUCCAAACUUUCUGGUGGGUCGUUGACAGUGCUCCGACCUAUGGCUCGUAUCCCGAGAAUUGUGGUUUAAAGCUGUGUACCAAAACCCGAAAAAAGGGGAUUUGGCGAACUCUCGGGUAGCAAUCUGGAGGUCUUGUACCGGUAUAAGAUUGGUGGUUGUACCGGUACAAGGUUGAUGGUUGUACCGGAACAGCCACCGGGCUUGUACCGGUACAGAGCCGUUGAACCCCGCCAACCCGAGCCUCGGGUUUGUGAUUUUCGUGGGGCUUGUACCGGUACAAGGGCCCGUGUACCGGUACAAGGUGGCAGAAUUUGAGCAGUUUGAACUGCAGGGGUGUUUUUGCGAUUGUGGGUCUCUUAUAUCAACAUCCACGCCCCUAGGGCUCUCCUUUGAGCUCACCACUGCAGGGAGAAAGGUAAGGCACCUCUCCCCUUCACCCCCUUUGGAUUUGAUCUUUUUUUAGCUUGGGAUUUAAGUGUUAAUCCCUCUCCUUUUCCUUUUGGUGCAAUUUCACCAUUGUUGAAGCUUGGAGCUUAGAUUUGGAGCUUUGUUGAGGGGAGAUCUUGGCAUUUAGAGAGUUUAGAGUUUGGAUUGAAGCUUCUAAGAGGUAAUCUACUUGUCCUCUCCCUCUAGAUUGGAUUUUUAUUGGUGGUUUUGAGAUGAAACCCUAGAAUGAGGUUUUAGGGCUUAUUUUGGGCAUUUUGAAUCUAGGACUUUUGGAGCUAAAUUAAUUGGAUUAGAAUCUACCUUUGGGUUGGAUCGAAAGGAUUCUAGCUCUCUUUAGGAGCUUGAGGGAGAUUUUUUACACAUUAGGUGAGUUUUAGCCCUUUUGUCUUGUUGGUUAAUGUUUGAUUUUAUAGUUGAUCGUAAUGCCCGUGUAUCUCUUCACUCAAUACUUUUAGGGUAUUUUGAGACUCGUGGACAAUUUCGUUCGGCGAAACGAGACACUACGCAACGGUUCGGUGAGUUUGACCUAGCCACACAAUGAGAAAAUCUCAUUUGUGAAGAUUUGUGUAAUAUACCGAAAAUUCGGAAAAAUAAAUAUCGAACUUUAGUCAAAUUGACCAAAGUGCGAGGAUGGUAUACUUCGGAAAGUCCGAAGGUGUUAAAACGAUCAAAAGUGCGUUGUGGAAGGUUUUCGAGAGCUAAAGAAUCAAAUCCUGCGAAACUGUAGAUUUUCAGCUCUCAGGGACCGGUCCCUAGUGGGAGAGACCGGUCCCCGAACGCGUAUGAAAUGAGACAGCCGAAAAAUCGGCUAAGUCCUGAGAAAGUAGCUCUCGGGAACCGGUCCCUGUCCGAGAGACCGGUCCCCGAGAGACCGGUCCCCCAAAGAGAGACCGGUUGCCCUGCGCGCAGCAGCCCUGGCUGCGCGGGGAGAGCCUUCGGGAACCGGUCCCUGAAGGAGAGACCAGUCCCCGCCUGCGCGAACAGCCCAGUCCAGGCUGUGUGAAAGAGUAAAGGUUGAGGGGUUUAGCUGCAAUUUUGCAACCCAAUAGGCUAUGUAUGAGGGCAAAUGAGAUAUUUCUCUCAUUUCUUCACCCUCUCACACUCUCUUCUCUCCCUCUCUCUCUCUAGAAGACAAAGAAGAAGAAGAAGAAGGAAAGAAAAGAAGGAAAAGAAGGAGAAGAAGAAGAGGAAGUGAAGAAACUCCCUCUCCCUCAUCUCUAGCUUGGAAAAGGAGAGCUUACAAGGUAAGCCUUGAACCCUAAUUAUGGUAGAACCUAAUUUAGGGUUUGGAUUAAGCUUGAAAUGGGUUUUGUGGAACCAUUUGAGUAUUUGAAGCUUUUCUUUUGCUUCUUUUGAGAUCAAGACCAUAGAAAUGGUGAAGCUUGAGGAGAGCUUCAUCACCUCUCAUGGUGGAACCCUAAGUAGGGUUUUGAUUUGUCUAAAGAUGGUUCUAAUGGACUAUUUAGAGUAUAAUGAAGCUACUUUUGCUUCUCUUUGAGAUCAAACCCUAGGUUUACACAUACAAUGGAGCUAGGGCACCCAAAUUGGGGCUUUUGCUCAUGGGGAUUUCUAAGUGAAAUUGACCCUUCAAAAACCUAAUUGGGGGUAUUUCCGCCGCGUUGGUGCGCUCGGAUUAACGUUACGAAAAGUCAAAGUAAAGUUAUGGGCAAAAUAGCCUAAUAAGGGUUCGUUUUGCCGCAGAUAAAGAACGAAGCAUCUAAAAAUCCCAAGAAAAUCAUCGGAGCACCUUUGAAAGCCUACGAGGUGGGUGGUGCUUCUCAAACUCAUUGAAUUUCUCUCUAUGCCUAAUGUGUCAUUCAUUUGAACAUGUAUAUAUAUAUUGUUUCAUGCAUUUUAGGGUAAAGUAAUGAUGAAAAUGUGAUGAUGUAUGAUUGUGGGUACAACUUGCAUAAUAUGAUGAAUGAGAACUAUGUGAAUGUUGAAAACCCUAUAUGUAUGCAUGAGAGAAAAGUGAGCACCCAAAGUGAGCAAAAGAACAGAGUGACACAAUGACAUAGAUCGAGUGGCAUUCGAUAAAGUUAAAGUGAAAUGACACUAGAGAUAGUGUGAGGUAAAGAACCAAUGUAAUGUAAAGAAUGAUGAAAAUGACAAUGUUAAAGUUAAAGUAAUGUGGGGAGUAAAGAACAUGAAGUGCUAGAGGUAGCCAAAAGUAAAGAAUGUAAAGAAUAUGAUUGCUAGAGUUAGCAAGAGUAAUGAAUGGUAAAGAACAAUGAUUGCUAGAGUGGCAACAAAAAGUGAUGAAAGAACACUAGAGCUAGUGUAAAGUCAAGAUUGAACUUAUAAAUCCUUUGAGUUAAGGAUAUGAUCAUACUUGCUAUGAGUUCCGUGCUCGAGGGCGGUCGCUCCCCCUCGGGCGAUGCGCUCCGGAGUUAUGCAUCACGGGUUGGAGUAAACCCGAAGGACGGUCCUAGCGGGUGAGUUCCUGCGAUGAUGGACUUAAUGUGAAGCAAGUUAAUGUGGCGAUACCCCCGGGUUAGCCUUGAGAUUAAAGAACAAAGAGCAAAGAACAAAGUGCAAAGAACAAAGAACAAAGAACAAAGAGUAAAGUGAAAAGAACAAAGAAUUUGCAUAAUCUGCAUUUAUUUAAUGUUGAGCAUAUUUCUGCUUAUUGUUCAGGCAUAUUAGCAUCAUGUAUAGUUUGGUUACUGUUUACAGCCUAUUCUUUCUAUUAUGCCUGAGUUAGUCCUAGUGGGAAAGUCGGUGAUGUUGAGGCCGAACCCACUGGGAACUUUGUUGUAGUUCUCACCCCACUAUUUCCACAGAGCCGGGACCGAGCGAGCCGGCGAGCGACCGAGGUAAAGGUAUCGCGCCUUAGACAGAGGCCACGAGAGUUGAGUUGGGUUUACAUUUUGAUAGUGGCUACCCUAUGUUCAUCUUUUGUACAUGAUGAUUAGUAAUGUAAAGAAAAGAAUGUAAUGUGUAUUUUGAGGUAAAUGUGAUGUAAGAAAGAAAUGAUGAAAUAAUGUAAUGAAAUGUAAAGAAUCCUAAAUGUAAGAAAUGGAUGCAAUGUAUAUGAUCUAAAAUGAAUCAUAUUACUUGUGUAGAUGUUUAGUUUUCCUUUCUUUCACUAAUGGCUAUUGCUUACCCUCGUGUAAGCCGUUUGUGUAUGUUUCCGCUAGUGCAUUUCUUGUUUGAAUUUGUACAUGUGAUGAGCCUUGUGCGGAUAGGGGAAACUCUAUCCGUUCGGCGUCUUUUUGACGUGCUCGGGUCGAGCCAAAUUGGCAUCGGUCCCGGGGCGUGACAAUUUGAGUAUCGUUAAUUGAAAAAGUAUGCAUAUUUAUGUUAGAUAUAUUUAUUAUGAAUUUUAGAAUGCUUAACAUGCAUACGUUAUGUAUAGUAAAUUUUGGACCUCUAUGUGGUUGGGUGCAUGCAUUUGGGAUGUAGCAUUCUAGUGGAAACUUGGGACCAUGAUUCCUAUUAUGAAAAUGAACAUUGCUUUCUUGCAUUUAACCUUAUGCCUAAUUGCGACAUUAGGGACUUUGGAAGCCUAGAGAGGCUUGGGGACUCAGGCUAUUUGAGGUAUUGGGCCGAUGUCAUAAAGAGGCAUUGGGCCCCCGGCUAUAGUGAAUAUUGGUAUUGACGUCAUAUUUGAAACAUAGAACAUGAAUUGAGCUUUACUAGUUGUGAUGCUUAAGUGUCAUAAAGAGGCACUAAGCAAGUGAGUGUUGGGUUAUCAUAUUGUGACAUAGAGCUAGACCGUUGGGUUACUAGUAGCUAUUGCCAUGUUUGAGACAUGAGGGUUGGAUACUUGAGCCUUUGACUACGCUUGCUUGCCAUUUGUGCUCAUUCGCACAUGCUUGUGAGGGUCGCUCCCUACAAGCCGGCACUCCGGAGUUAGCAUACGCGACUUAUGUUCGCUCGUGCGGUAUUGAGAAGCCUACGGGGUCGAGUGGGACAGACACAUUCCAAGAGUAGGGAUGUUGGGCUACCACAGGCACUUAGGCGGCACAAGCUGGACUACCUUGGGUAGGUCCUUAAUUGGAAAUGGAAAUCGACACGGUGUUGAGUGUGUUAUAAUCACUACCAGAUAGAGAGUAGUAGUUGGAUUACUUGGACUUGCUUUUAGCAUAGUUUUGGACACUUGAGUAUACAUACAUACAUGUAGUAUGCUAGGAGAUGUUGCUUAUUGCAUCCAUAUAUACAUUAUUGCCAUGAUAAAGCAUGAUCUUUAUAACUUCAUAAAGUAGACCGUGACAUUUACCUGUGGCUAUGUUGAAACAUAUUACUUACGCAUUGAACAUUCUUCUUUAUAAAAGAGUAAAUGUAAAACAUUGACAUCGUAAUGUUUAUGGUAUAGUAAGCUUAGUAAACAUGCAUACUUUCAUACCGCAGUUAUCAUUAUUAUUAUUGCUGUUUACCGUACUUACCCUUUUCUUUUGGGGCCUAGUGGUGCAUUGAGCUGAGGUUAGUAAUUGCCCACUGGGAACUAUAAAUUAUAGUUCUCACGCCCUCUGUUUUAUAUUUUCUUUCAAAGCCUUCAACGCCGGGAGAGGCUAGGGACCGUGGGAAGGGCGUUGCUUCGAGCUAGCUCUUCAGCGAGUGACGAGUUGCUAGGUGGUCUACCUCUCGAUAUAUUUUAUUUUGGAAAGGUUGAGAGCUGUACCAGUGUACUAGAGACCACCCUUUUGUGUACUUUUUUUUUGGACAGAUAUUGUAUUACUUUAUAUUUCACUCUUAUUGUUAUAGUAUUAUCCUUUUUCCUAAUUGUAGAUGAUAGAUCUAUUUAUGCUCUGAUAUCUCUAGAUGUUGUUUUUCUUUGGUUUAUUUUCCGCUGUUGUUGUAGACGCCUUAUAUGUGUUGACAUAUAGCGGGUCUGGGCACGCUACCGGGAGGGCCCCUGUCGGUCCCGGGGUAUGACAGAUUAGUUUUGUAUUAGAGCCUAGGGUUGAGUCUUUAUGGACCUAGCAAACCUUAGGCCGGUUGGACUAUAGGAAUUAGGUUCGUGAGAGACGAUGUCUAAUCGAUUUGUGAGCGAAAGUAUUAUGAUUGGGUUUUAUGACAACUCUAAAAAGUUAGAGUUUGAUCGGAGUGUAUGGCUACUAACUUCGCGGAGGGUUACGUUGGCGGCCGACAACGUAACAUCGGGAGUUAGUAGUGAAAGACACUUCCUUACUUUCGCAUGAGUUGGGUUUUAUCUAUUUGAGUGGGGAUGCGAUAGCGUGGGUUACUAACUUGCACUUUUAUGUUUUGUAGUGACGAUGCCGGUUACACGCUCCCAUUCUGCUGGGGCGGAUGAUGCGGCACACCUCGAGGAGGCCGAGACCUCCGCUACUUCCGAAUCUAGUGAGGUCCGUGACUUUUGGACCCAGCUUGCGGUCCUCACUGAUCUGUUGGCGCAGCAGACGGCAGCGGCGCAACGACAGGCUAAGGUGGCUCAGCGGCAGGAGAUGUGGAUGAAGCAUAUUGAGGACCUCCUACUUCAGCAGGCGGCAGCUUCGAGGGAGACCCAGGUUCCCACACCGCCAGCACCCGUGGUGGACGUCGCACCGAGGGCGCAGUCCCGCGCUCCCAGUUCUUCACGUGCGGCGCCGGCGAUCACACCUCGGGAGGAGGUGGCUGCGGCACUCCCAGUUCAGAGACCGGCCACGAGGGCAGCUUUCCCCGUGAGGGCCGAGGGAGCCGAGCGGGAUCGGCUCAUGGAUCGCCUCAGUGAUUUUAGAAGGUGCAGCCCGAGGACGUUUGAUGGCGAGAACGUCGACCACUGGAUUGUUGAGAAGUGGUUGAUGCACAUGGAGAAGCUUUUUCGAGACACUUUUGUGGAGGAGCGGGACAGAGUUUGGCUCGCCACUCACUUUCUCGACGGCGAGGCCUACCGUUGGUGGUUGGAUAUCCAGGACAACCCCAACACUGACUUGGCGGCGAUUACUUGGACGAGGUUCAAGGAGCUCCUUCUGGCGCACUACUUUCCGACCAGCGUCAAGAGGAAGAUGGAGCAGGAUUUGCGCGGCUUGCGCCAGGACGAGCGGUCAGUGGCCGAGUACGAGAGGGAGUUCUCCCGGCUACGUCACUGUGUACCGUUUGUUGUGAGGGAUGACAGGGACAAGGCCAGCAUUUUUUAGCGCGGAUUACGGCCUUCUAUCUUCCGGUUGGUGCAGUCUUCCAACCUCCAGAUCUAUCGGGAGGUUGUGGAUCGAGCAUUGAUUGUAGAGGCUGGAGCGGCAGAUCUUCAGGAGCGUCGCGAGAGCUCGGAGAAGGGGAAGGGAAAGAGGCCCGCGGCUGAGAGUGCGAGUCAAACGCACUCACGAAGGCCGCCGAGGCACCCCAGGAGCCAGAGGCAGUCGCAGGGACGUGGCUCGUCUACUCAGCGAGGAGGACCCGACCGUCGCCAGGCCCCCCGCUGCGUGAUCUGUGGCGGUCCUCAUUAUACGCAGCACUGUUCACGUAGCCGGAGCAGGUGCUUCUUGUGUGGCCAGGAGGGCCACUUUCAGUCGGACUGCCUGAGGAGUCCAUCGCCAGCGCCAUCUUCGGCAUCUGCACCAGCAUCGCCAGGUCCCAGCCAGGGGACAUCUUCUGCGCAUCACCAGGCCGGUCGGCCACCUGUCCAGCGGCAGACGGAGGGGUCACGACAGGCCCCGAGCGGGCGCAUGUACGCGGCCCAGACUGAGGAGGCGGCGGCAGCCGAGAAUGUGGUCGCAGGUAUCAUUUUACUUCAUGGUAUUCGAGUUAGAGCUUUGUUUGAUACCGGUGCAUCGCAUUCAUUCAUAGACCGGCUGUUUGCCGAGUUGCAUGGCAUCCCACUUGUAUCCUUGUUGCAUCCUGGACGAGUUGUUGUACCCGACCAUUCUUUGGACAUCCAAGAGUUUUGCCCCAGUUGCCCUGUUCGGGUUGGAAAUUGGAUCAUGCCCGUAGACUUGCUAGCUUUGCAUAAACUCGGGGAGUUUGAUGUUGUGCUGGGCAUGGAUUGGUUGACCAAGUACUACGCCACCAUUGAUUGCAAGAAUCGAACGGUGACGUUUAGAGAGCCGGGGCAGGCGGAGGUUGUGUACCGAGGAUGCCAGAGUUCGCUGUUUGCGAUGACGAUUAGCUCUUCUCGAGCUCGGCAGUUGAUUAGUAGAGGCUGCGUAGCCUACUUGGCUACUGUUGUGUUGCGGGGUGAGGAUGACACCCCUAGGAUUGAGGAUAUCCCCGUAGUGCGGGAGUUUGGAGAUAUGUUCCCAGCGGAGCUUCCAAGCAUGCCACCUGAUAGGGAGAUUGAGUUUGUGGUAGAUCUCGUUCCCGGGACUACUCCAAUCUCAAAGGCACCCUAUAGGAUGGCACCAGCAGAAUUGAAGGAGCUGAAGGCACAGUUAUAGGAUCUUCUGGACAAGGGUUUUGUGCGACCGAGUGUGUCACUUUGGGGAGCACCGGUUUUGUUUGUGAAGAAGAAGGAUGGAUCACUACGCUUGUGCGUGGACUAUCGUGAACUUAAUAAAGUCACGAUCAAGAACAAGUAUCCAUUACCGAGGAUUGAUGAUCUAUUUGAUUAGCUCCAGGGAUCUUGUGUAUAUUCCUAGAUUGAUUUGCAGUCGGGAUACCACCAGUUGAUGAUCAAACCUGAGGAUGUGUCGAAUACGACUUUUAGAACACGGUAUGGAUAUUAUGAGUUUACCGUUAUGCCGUUUGGGCUUACUAAUGCUCCGGCAGCUUUUAUGGAUUUAAUGAACCGUGUUUUCAAGCCUUAUUUAGACAGGUUUGUCAUGGUGUUCAUCGACGACAUUUUGGUCUAUUCCCGAAGUGAUGUGGAUCACGAGGAACACUUGAGACUUGUACUUCAAGUGCUUCGGAAAAAGAAGCUCUAUGCCAAGUUGACAAAGUGUGAGUUUUGGCUUAGAGAGGUGGCGUUUUUGGGCCAUGUGAUUUCAGGAUCAGGGAUAGUUGUGGAUCCAAGGAAAAUUGAAGCUGUCAAGAAUUGGCCGAGGCCGACGAGUGUGACCGAGAUACGGAGCUUCAUUGGUUUAGCCGGCUACUACAGGCGGUUCGUUGAGGGAUUUGCAAAGUUAUCUACCCCCCUCACGAGGCUCACGCAUAAAGGCACCAAGUUCAUUUGGAAUGAUGCGUGUGAAAGGAGCUUCCAAGAGUUGAAGCAGAGACUGACUACCGCCCCGAUCCUAACCUUGCCGACUGCCGGAGCAGGGUAUGUGAUUUAUAGUGAUGCUUCUUUUAACGGAUUGGGCUGUGUUUUGAUGCAGGACGGGAAAGUGAUCGCGUAUGCAUCUCGCCAAUUGAAGGAUUAUGAAAGGAAUUACCCCACUCACGACUUGGAGUUGGCGGCCGUGGUUUUUGCAUUAAAGCUAUGGCGCCAUUAUUUAUAGGGCGAGCGGUGCGAAGUAUAUACGAAUCACAAGAGCUUAAAGUAUUUAUUCACUCAGAAAGAGUUGAACUUGAGGCAGCGCAGAUGGUUGGAGCUACUCAAGGAUUACGACCUGACGAUUCUUUACCACCCGGGCAAGGCUAACGUGGUGGCGGAUGCGCUAAGUCGGAAAUCGACGGAGAACUUAGCGAUGCUUGUGGUUACUCAACUGCCGUUGAUCAAGCAGAUGAAGCGGCUGGAGUUGGAGGUGGUGGCUCCUGAUACACCUUUGAGACUUAUGACUUUGGUGGUGCAAUCUACACUUAUAGAAAAAAUUAAAGAAAAGCAAGUCUCCGAUGUUGAGUUGCAAAGGAUUCAAGCUAAGAUGGUUGAUGGUUGCACCGGUGAUUUCACUUUAGACGGUGAUGGAUUGAUGCGUUUCCGCGGACGACUUUGUGUACCGGCGGUGUCACGACCCGCGACCACCCGCCUAUUUGGCCGAGGUCGCGACGUCGACAGCGCAGAACGAACAGGGUUUCCCCUGUACUGCGGACAGAGUCUCCCCUGUACGUUCAAGGCAUCGCAAUCAAUACAAUACAAAGGUUCCAAACAGGAACAAUAUCAAUCAAGAUUGCAAGUGGAAGGUAUCAUACAACAUAAACACAUCCUAAGUUAUUACAUUCAUUCACUUUCAUAGUUUUUACUCACAAUUUCUAUUCUUUUUCAUCCAAAUGCAAUCUAAGUUAUUACAACAUUUACUUACUACAAGUUUGAUACAUUGUAUUCUUUUCAUUUCCCAUACCUCUAAGCUAUAUCGACAGGGUACUGCUAGCUCUGGUCUCCGGGUAGGGCGCUAUCUAUGGAUCUACGCCCUUUCCUCGCGCCGCUGCGCCGCUCUCGUGCGAACCUGUAACCCCCAAAACAACGUGGGGUGAGAACCAACUCCAUGGUUCCCAGUGGGUACGGCCACCCAAGGGAAAAGCUCGACCAAAAGGUCCAAGGAGGCACUGCAAUCAUGUUAGUCCAAAAACAUCUAUAGAUAUAUAAAUCAUAAUGUUAAUAAGCAACUAACAGAUAACAUGCCUCACAACGUGCAAUAUGAAUAUUAUGCAGUUCUAUGCAAUCAAGCAACCAUUCAGUAGAUCUAUUGAUUCUACAUUCAGCUUUACUAACUUUAGCUCAUGUCAUUUAGCCUCUAAGGUUCUACUACCUUAGCUCACAACUCAAGUUCACAUUGCCUCUAAGGUCUCUAUUACCUUAGUUCUUACCAUUAUCACUAGCUUAUAAGGUUUCUAUUAACCUAAUCGAGCUAACCACCCGACUCGGCCUCGAGUCAAUCAUCCACGGAUAGUCCGCGCACUGGCCGCACUCUGUGACUUAACCAGCUGGCGGCGAAGUCAUCGCACACGCCGAACACUGGUUCAAGUCCCUCAACUUGGCCACCUGGUGGCAAACGAAUCGCACCUCACCCAACAAUGGCUCAAGUCGAUCUGGCGGCAUAAUCCACAAACUGGCUUAACCAUUCGGCGGCGAAAUCGUUGCACACGCCACGUCAAUGGUUCAAGCCCCGGGCGGUGAUCUCAGUGCACUCACCUCCCAAUCCAUCCUUGGUAUCAACCUCGACGGCGAAAUUGUCGCACACGCCCUAGCCUUGAUACCAAGGUUAUCAAAGAUUCUGGGAUUCCGGAAUCCACUUUUCACAAGUCGAGGGUCCAUAGCCAACCCUAUACCGUCGACCUAGCUCAUCCUAGUGGCUAUACCACUCUACUCAUCAAACUAGGUUUCAAACACUCUAGGUUCUAUGUCCAUGUCACUUAACCUAGUUAUAAAUGCUAGGUUCAUGUCCUCGUAGCCUAGAUGUCCAUUUCUAGGUUUACUAGUUCGACCUAGGUUUACUAACACUAGGUUCGAUGCCACACACCUAGAUUAUUCAAUUCUAGGUUUACGUAUUUAACCUAUGUCCUUUAACACUAGGUUAGAUGCCACUCGAUCUACCUGACAACCUAGUUGUCCACUUAAGCAUUCUACAUUACCAUUUUCCGUUGUCGAGUUUUCUACUCAUUCUAGAUUAUCAAUUCCCUUCAUAUGCAUAUCCUCACAAUGCUACUCAUGUAUUUAUGCAGCUAUCUAGCAUUACAUAGCAUGCAUUAUAUGAUCUAUAUCAUUUAUAUGGACCUACUUAGCAUUUGCAUCAUAUUAUUAACAUGCAUCACUUAGCAUUAGCUACAUGCGCCAUUCACAUGCCUCGUUCACAUUUAUAUGCAUCAACAUGGGUUCUUAAUCAUCUUAGACAUAAAGGUGACCUAGUCGCUUCGGUAAGCACAACCCACCUUAACUCGCGUUCCGAUUGCUCGUCGACACUUGCAAUCGGCCUCCCGCGGCCUCCCGCGGCACUCGGCACUCGUUUGGGCCCGAUCUCACAGUUGCUCUCCAAGAGCGCGCCGCUUCGCCGUCUCAAGUGCUAACGGUCUUCGCCUUGCUGCUACGGUGCUCGGGAUCCAAUCCCAUGAUUUUACGACGUCGCCUCGGCCCUCCCGGCAGACCCGAAGCUUAAACGUCUAUUUCUUUAAUAACUUUGUAACGGCUCGUCAGAUUGCCGAACCGUCUUCGCCAACGCGUUUUGUUACCUAGCAAUUAGGUUUACAGAGGGUUGAAUGAGAUCAAACCCUCAUAUUUGCCAAAACCCCAUUUCGGAGCCCUAGAUUCCAAUUAGGUAAAAACCUAUCUUUAAAUCUCUAGAUUCUAGCAUUAAACAUCUAUUAAGCUUGCUAGGAAUCCAAUUAAACCAUUUCUAGAGAUCAAAACCCUACAUCUAGGGAUUUACCAUGAGAGGGCUAAGGGCUUACCUCUCAAGAUGCUCCAAUAGCAAGGAGGGAGAGAAGAAGGUGGAGUUGAUCUCCUCCUUGAUCUUCUUCUCCUUCUUCUCCUUCCUCUUCUUCUUCUCUUCUUUCUCCCCUUCUUCUUUUUCUUUUGUUUAGAGAGAGAGAGAGAGAAACGUGAGAGAGAGUGAGGGAAUGAGAGAAAGAGAGAGAGAGUCCUCUCUUAACCCCCUCUCAUAUUGUAACAUUUCCAAAUAAGCCCCCCAACUCUUCUAACCUCGCAGUAGCCCGAACUGGGCAUUUUUCGCGUUCGGGGACUGGUCCUUGCGGUGAGGGACCGGUCCCUGAGAGACCGGUCCCCGAAGGUCCAGAAUUCAGCCUCAAGGACUUAGCCAAAUUUUCAGCAUUUUCGCCCGUUUUUGUCCGUUUUAGCUCGUUUGACCUCCGAUUCACUUCAAAUCGAACCGAGACUCUCCAUACAUGUUUUCAAGCAUGUUUUCAUCAUCUUUUCAUCCACGCUAAUGCCGGAUUUAGCUCACGGCCCAACAUAGCCUUUCGGGCUCCGUUUUCGCGCCUAUGCGCACCGAAACGCCCGAAUGCUUCCGAACUUCACCGAACUUCACCGGAACUAUUCGAAUGGCUUUCUAACCAAACGUACACCGUAACUUCAUGAUUUUAGAAGUCCAGUACCUUACAGGCUGACUUGGGUAUUAAAGAGGAUAUUCUUCAAGAAGCACACCGAGCAUCGUAUGCUAUACAUUCGGGAGGCACCAAGAUGUACAAGAACUUGAAGUUGCUUUACUGGUGGCCCGGGAUGAAAAAGGAUGUUGGUGAGUUUGUUGCCAGAUGCUUAACUUGCCAACAGGUGAAAGCUGAGCACCGAGUUCCCAUGAAAAAACUUCAGAGCCUACCGAUUCCAGUGUGGAAGUGGGAAAAGAUUACCAUGGAUUUCGUGAUGGGAUUGCCUCGCUCACAGGCCGGGCAUGACGCUAUUUGGGUGAUCGUGGAUAGGCUGACGAAAUCGGCCCAUUUCAUACCUAUCCACACUAUUUAGACUGGUGAGAGACUCAGAUAGGUUUAUUUGGAUGAGAUUGUGCGAUUGCACGGGGUACCUACUUCUAUAGUAUCGGAUCGAGACCCCCGUUUUGUAUCCCACUUUUGGAGAAGCUUAUAGGAUGAUUUGGGUACGCGCUUGGACUUCAGCACUGCUUUCCACCCCCAGAGUGACGGGCAGUCGGAGCGUACUAUACAGACUCUUGAGGACAUGCUUCGAGCCUGCGUGAUUGACUUCCAGGGAGAAUGGUUGCAGCAUCUACAGAUGGCAGAGUUUGCUUAUAACAAUAGUUAUCAAGCAAGCAUCAAGAUGGCACCUUUCGAGGCACGUUAUGGAUGGAAGUGUAGAUCGCCACUUCAUUGGAGUGAAGUUGGCGAGAGAUUGGCUUUAGGCCCAGAUGUGCUCCAGAAGGCCGAGAACAAGGUUCGCAUUGCGCGGGAGCGACUGUUGACAGCCCAGAGUAGGCAGAAGAGCUAUGCUGAUCGGCGUCGACAAGACUUGAAGUUUCAAGUUGGAGAACACAUCUUCUUGAAAGUCUCGCUGACUCGAGGGAUUAGAAGAUUUGGAACCCGGGGUAAGUUGAGCCCCCGAUACUUUGGACCGUAUGAGGUUUCGGAGCGUGUAGGCCCGGUAGCGUAUAGACUUGCUCUACCGCCGAACCUAUCGGGUGUGCACAAUGUAUUCCAUAUAUCGGUCCUUCGGAAGUACAUCCACGACCCGGCUCAUGUUUUAGACGCUACGCUUUUGGAGCUGAGAGAGGACUUGAGCUUCGAGAAACAACCUUUAAGGAUUUUGGCUCGCGAAGUGAAAAGAUUGCGGAACCGGGAAAUUCCCUACGUGAAGGUGCUUUGGAGCAACCACGACGAGCGCGAGGCCACUUGGGAGUUGGAGAACGCACUGCGGGGCGCUACCCCAUCUUUUUCAGAUGGAGGCUUGAGGUACUUUGUCUUUUUCGAGUUUCGUGGACGAAACUCCUUUUUAUGAGGGGUGAAUGUAGUACACUGGACCUUUGCAAAUUGCGAGGUUCGAGUGUUCGAGCUGUGUUCUGAGUCCUUCCAGACUUUCUGGUGGGUCGUUGACAGUGCUCCGACCUAUGGCUCGUAUUCCGAGAAUUGUGGUUUAAAGCUGUGUACCAAAACCCAAAAAAAGGGGAUUUGGCCAACUCUCGGAUAGCAAUCUGGAGGUCUUGUACCGGUACAAGGUUGGUGGUUGUACCGGUACAAGGUUGAUGGUUGUACCGGUACAGCCACCGGGCUUUUACCGAUACAGAGCGAUUGAACCCCGCCAACCCGAGCCUUGGGUUUGUGAUUUUCAUGGGACUUGUACCGGUACAAGGGCCCGUGUACCGGUACAAGGUGGCAGAAUUUGAGCAGUUUGAACUGCAGGGGUGUUUUUGCGAUUGUGGGUCUCUUAUAUCAACACCCACGCCCCUAGGGCUCUCCUUUGAGCUCACCACUGCAGGGAGAAAGGUAGGGCACCUCUCCCCUUCACCCCCUUUGGAUUUGAUCUCUUUUUAGCUUGGGAUUUAAGUGUUAAUCCAUCUCUUUUCCCUUUUGGUGCAAUUCCACCAUUGUUGAAGCUUGGAGCUUGGAUUUGGAGCUUUGUUGAGGGGAGAUCUUGGCAUUUAGAGAGUUUAGAGCUUGGAUUGAAGCUUCUAAGAGGUAAUCUACUUGUUCUCUCCCUCUAGAUUGGAUUUUUAUUGGUGGUUUUGAGAUGAAACCCUAGAAUGGGGUUUUAGGGCUUAUUUUGGGCAUUUUGAAUUUAGGACUUUUGGAGCUAAAUUAAUUGGAUUAGAAUCUUCCUUUGGGUUGGAUCGGAAGGAUUCUAGCUCUCUUUAGGAGCUUGAGGGAGAUUUUCUACACAUUAGGUGAGUUUUAUCCCUUUUGCCUUGUUGGUUAUGUUUAAUUUUAUAGUUGAUCGUAAUGCCCGUGUAUCUCUUCGCUCAAUACUUUUAGGGUAUUUUGAGACUUGUGGAUAACUUCGUUUGGCGAAACGAGACACUACGCGACGGUUCGGUGGGUUUGACCUAGCCACACAAUGAGAAAAUCUCAUUUGUGAAGAUUUGAGUAUUGUUAAUUGAAAAAGCAUGCAUAUUCAUAUUAGAUAUAUUUAUUAUGAAUUUUAGAAUGCUUAACAUGCAUACGUUAUGUAUAGUAAAUUUUGGACCUCUAUGUGGUUGGGUGCAUGCAUGUGGAAUGUAGCAUUCUAGUGGAAACUUGGGACCAUGAUUCCUAUUAUGAAAAUGAACAUUGCUUUCUUGCAUUUAACCUUAUGCCUAAUUGUGACAUUAGGGACUUUGGAAGCCUAGAGAGGCUUGGGGACUGAGGCUAUUUGAGGUUUUGGGCCGAUGUCAUAAAGAGGCAUUGGGCCCCGGGCUAUAGUGAAUAUUGGUAUUAACGUCAUAUUUGGAACAUAGAACAUGAAUUGAGCUUUACUAGUUGUGAUGCUUAAGUGUCAUAAAGAGGCACUAAGCAAGUGAGUGUUGAGAUAUCAUAUUGUGACAUAGAGCUAGACCGUUGGGUUACUAGUAGCUAUUGCCAUGUUUGAGACAUGAGGGUUGGAUACUUGAGCCUUUGACUACGCUUGCUUGCCAUUUGUGCUCAUUCGCACAUGCUUGUGAGGGUCGCUCCCUACAAGCCGGCACUCCGGAGUUAGCCUACGCGACUUAUGUUCGCUCGUGCGGUAUUUGAGUGGCUACACGGUGAGUGGAAAAGACAUUCCAGAUAGGGAUGUUUGUACCAAGUACUAGCGCCAGUAGAACUAACUUGUAGGUCCCUAAGUUGGAAAAUGGAAAUUGAAUCUGUUGUUGUGGUAAUAUAAGAUAGAGGUCGAGUUGAUUCUGGUUGCUUCUAGCAUAGUUUUGAACCUUGAGUAUACUACAUACCAUGUAUCUAGGAGUAUGUGACUUAUUCUCCCAUAUUACAGUGUUCAUAAUACAUAUCUUAUAAAUUCAUAAAGAAACCGUGAAAUUUAACUGUGGAUGUUGGACAUAUAUUACGCAUUGAACAUUCUCUUAAUAAACAGUAAAUUUAACAUUGACAUCGUAAUGUUUAUGGUAUAGGUAAAACUAGAUAAACAUGCAUAUUUCAUACGCUUAUUUAUUUGAUGUUUACCGUACUUAUUCUUUGGCCUAGUGUGCAUUGACUUGAGGUAGUAAUUGCCACUGAAUAAUAAAUUUAGUUCUCAACCCUCUGUUUAUGUUUUCUUUACGAGCAUUCCAACGCAGGAGAGCUAGGGAGUGAAGGCGUUGUUUGACUAGCUCUAGCGGAGUGCGAGUUGCUAGGUUACUUGAAUAUUUUAUUUUGAAGGUGAGAGUGUACCAUUGUAUAGGAUGACCCUUUUGUUACUUUUUUUGGACAAUAUUUAUCUUAUUAUUUCAUUUUGUUAUAGUAUACUUUUCCUAGUGUAUGAAAUUAAUUUUGCUCUGAUAUUCUAGAUGUUGUUUUUCUUUGGUUAUUUUUCGGCUGUGUUGAGACGCCUUAUAUGUGGUUACUAUGGGGGUCUGGGCACCUACGGAGGCCCUGCGGUCCGGCGUGACAGGUCUAGCUCCCUUACCAAAGGGAUGUCUUCUUGCUAAGAAUAUGGAAGAGAGAAAGAGACGUUGAGGUUGGGUUAAAAACUCUGAAUUAUAUAUAGGAAUAAAAUCUAUUCUAAAUAAUAUAAUGAAUAGGAUAAGUAUAUAUCUAAGAUUUAAUUUUCCUUUCGCUAAGGUUAAUCGAUCACAUCUAAUUUGAUUCGACUUGAAUUUUAAUAUUAAUUUGACUUAUUUCAUUAAUGAAUGCACAUUUGCCCAUCUCUAUAAUAUUACUAAAUUAUAAGCUCUCGCUUAUAACUUAUACACUUUAAUACCACUAAUUUGUAACAAUUACAAAUUACUCCAAUUAUCAACAUAUUGACAAUUAGGUCCUACUGCGAUUCAAUAAUCGCGAUCUAGCUAUCCGAUCAAUCACAACCAUUUAUGUGUGUGACCCCAUAGGUUCUAUUCUAACUGGUAGUGAGAUAUAUUUUGAUCACUAUCAACAAUAUCACGGAAACUCCUUUCGGUAGAUCGGAACAAUUCCAACUCUGCCCAAUGAGAAUUAUCGAUCAUCUAGAUAAUUCUCAUGAGUCUCACAAUCCACCAGUGACGCCUAGCAGCAUGUAGUGGCAUUCCAGUAGAAUGAAAUACUGAACCUCUUGGUGCAGUUAUCGUGUGAUACAAUCCUUCUAUCAUGAGUCCCGACAAGACGGAGGUUAUGGAAUAACUCGUCAAACCCCAUCGCCUAUCAUAUAUUAAAUUCAUUCGACUCGAGUUUCUAAUAUCAGAAACCUUUUUCCGCUAUUAACUCUGCCCUGGUCAAGGUCUUCUAAACUCGGUCUCAUAAAUCAUAUAGGACUAACACCCCUAUCUACCAAGUGAGAUAGAUUCCAUCUAAGUGUGCACCCUAUUCCUACAAUAAACCUACUGUAGCCAACAUGCACCGCAAGGACCCGAAUGGCUAGGGACCAAGUGUAUGUACAGUCAAACUACAGUAACCUCAUUGUGAAUAGCCGAGGCACCGCAGGUCAAAGUACUAGUCACAUUACUGCAACAUUGAAUAAGUCACUGACGAGUGAGUAGACAUCCAAGUGACUUCUCGGGAUGGUCACGCUCGGUACCCUUGUUCUCUAACAACCACCUGCAUAUUCGCUUCAGUGUCCCUACAUUGUCGACUCGAGACCCGUCUACCCAAAAAGGAAGCGACCUAUGCACCAAUCUCACCGGAUCAAUCACCGCCCCCGUGAUGGUCCAUUGAUUAGGAGCAUUUAGGAAUUAACCACCAAUGACACAUGUCUCAAAUUCUCAACUCUUGAGAAUAUAUGUCAUCAUCUUAUUAAUUCCUUGGACGAUUCACGGACACAUACACAACAUGAAUGGAAAUAAAAACCCAAAUUUAUUCAUAAUAUUUUAAAGUCAAAUACAAAUUUAUAUCCUAGAAAGAAUACAUGUGUCAGCCUGGUUGGCUUCUAGGGCAUACAUCUAACACCAUAUAGUAUUACGAUGUCAAGGUUUAUCAUUUAUUAACCCAAAUGUCACUACAUGACGUUCAUGAUUACUAUGUCAAGUAACAGUUACUAGUUCAAAUGCACACAACCAUUGCCAUUAUCCUAUCUAGGAUAGUUCACUUUUGUCCAAGUCUCAAUGAGAGUUCACACUUAGUCUAUUCCACUAAAGCUAAGGAAGCCACUUUCUUAUGGUGUAUGCAUAGUUACCACAAAUUAUUUAUAAUGCUCAUGAUGCAAGCCAUGCACAUAUAUCUUCCUACCCAUACAUCCACCUUAUGGAGUAAUAACAAUUAUGCGAGUGCUUUCAUUCAAUAAUGCCAUAUGCAAAUAUUCAACUAGAAUGAAUGUUCCAACUUGGUUUCUUAUAGAUCUUACAUGUACUACGUUACCAUGUCCCAACUACUUGCCUACAACAAGUGUGAUAUUGUCAUGCAAAUAUAUGCAAAUGAAUGUUCCAACUUGGUUUUCUCUCUUUUGUGUUUUGUUGAGAGAGAGAGAGAUUUUGUAUCCAUGUAUAGAGACCACCUCUGUAUUACAUUCAGUUUUUGUACUCGGGUUUUGUUAUUGUACUACCUUAUGGUUUUAUUUAGUGGAUCUAGCUCUUUACUUAUUUUCUUUUCCUUGUCAUAGAUACUAGAUGUUGUAUACUCUGAUAUCUCUAGAUCUCUUCGUGCUGUUGCUUUAUUUAUUACCUUAUUGUAGACGCCUUAUAUAUUUUAGACGUAUGGCGGGUCUGGACACGCGCCGGGCGGGCUUCCGCUGGGUCCCGGGGCGUGACAGAUCAUGUCCAUGAUGUUCAUAAUGCUACAAUAAGUGACGAUACAUCUCAUUACUAUUCUAACCAUACAUUAUGCCAAUCAAUAUAAGUGUAACAUACUACCACUAGGGUGUCAAUGCUAACAAUGACUAACAUAAGGUCCACAUAUGCACUAUCAUGCAUGUCCACUAGUCCAACUGAUAUACAUCAUCUAGUAGUAGUUUUCACAUUACACUUUAGGUUUCAUAGUUCAAUCCUCAUCAUGGAUCUACACGUGUGUAGUCCGGCUUGUGCCGUGCCAAAAAUGGCCCCAUAGUAGUCAAUAUUCCCACUCUAGGAAUGAGCCUCCCCCACGGCAUCCCAUUUCGGCGCCCAAUCCUGCACGGGCGAGCUUGUGUCACAUAGGCUAUCUCCGGAGUGCCAGCUUGUGGGGAGCGACCCUUACAAGAAUGUGUGAAUGAGCACAAAGGCAAGCAAGCGUGAUCAAUAGUAUCCAGCUCUCGGUCAUCAUGUCUAAAAUAUGGAAUACGUGGCAACGACCCCAAAGGUCCCAUAUAGUAUUACGAUGUCAAGGUUUAUCAUUUAUUAACCCAAAUGUCACUACAUGACGUUCAUGAUUACUAUGUCAAGUAACAGUCACUAGUUCAAAUGCACACAACCAUUGCCAUUAUCCUAUCUAGGGUAGUUCACUUUUGUCCAAGUCUCAAAGAGAGUUCACACUUAGUCUAUUCCACUAAAGCUAAGGAAGUCACUUUCUUAUGGUAUAUGCAUAGUUACCACAAAUUAUUUAUAAUGCUCAUGAUGCAAGCCAUAAACAUAUAUCUUUCUACCCAUACCUCCACCUUAUGGAGUAAUAACAAUUAUGCGAGUGCUUUCAUUCAAUAAUGCCACAUGCAUAUAUUCAACUAGAAUGAAUGUUUCAACUUGGUUUCUUAUAGAUCUUACAUGUACUACGUUACCAUGUCCCAACUACUUGCCUACAACAAGUGUGGUAUUAUCAUGCAAAUAUAUGCUAAGUCUCAUUCAUGCACAUGUCCAAGUCAUAUAGUUAUGCUAUCGAUCUCAAGAUCAACACCUUGUUAGUUACUAGGUCACAAUGCCCUAUUUCCUUGUCUACACAAGUAUAUUAUUUGUAACAUACCAGAUUUUGGUAUAAAAAAAAAUAAAAAUAAAUAAAAAUAGUGUGAGAAACUAUUUUUAUUGGAUUUAUAGAAGUAAAAUAUAAGUUAGAAGUGACUUGUGCUGAAAUCGAAAUGAAAAUAGAAGAUCUAGAAUUUUCUGUUGGAAACGAGACAGAUAAAUUAGCAGAAAAUGCAGUCUCAGAAAAUUAUGAAAAUUGGAGGAUAAGUCAGAAAUAUUUUUAUGAGGCUAGAUUUAAGGUUUCAUAUUUUUCUGACACCCGUAGAGUGAGAAAUAAAAUCCAACAGCUAUCUGAUAAAGAUUACGGUUCGGUACAGUUUUCAGUGACCAAACGAGGUCGAAACUGAAAACAUAAGAUAUAUUCUCACUCAGUACGUUAAACCGAGGUUGUCUGUCAAAUUUGAGCCCAAACGAACAUUCAGAAGGGCUCCAACUGUUCCGAACUACUAAACUGCACUGGAAUGAAUAACGUUGUGGUGUUGACAAAAGAGGAGUGUUGACUCUUCUUCUUUUCCUUCAGCCGCACACACGCCACACACACACACGCGCGCAUGGAGGGGGAGAGGGAAACCCUCCCUUCUCUCUCUAAAUAUCUCUCUCAUCUCUCUAAAUCUCUCUCUAAAAAUUGGAGGGUUGGCAGAGAGCGAGCUUGCGAACGCGUUGGAGGCGACGGAUCGAGCUUUCGUACGCCCGUUGGAGCGGCGUGGUUUCGUCGCGGCGUUCACAUUUUGGUAAGCUUUUGGAAUUUUGUUUAAAUCCUUCAUGAAUGAUGUUCUAGUAGUAUCUAGAGUGUUCUAAACAUGCUCUCUCUAUUUAAUUUGGAUUAUUUAGAGGUUAAUUACAUGUUAGGGCUCCGAAUGGGGUUUUGUAAAAUAUAAGGGUUUGAUCUAAUUUGACCCUCCGUAAACCUAAUUGCUAGGUAAACGAACGCGUUGGCCAAGACGGUUCGGCGAUUCGUCCAGCCGUUGCAAAGUUAUUAAAGAAACGGAUGUUUAGGCUUCAUUUCCGCCUGGAGUGUAAGGAAGUGGAUUCUCGAAAUCCGAGAAUUGUACUUCAUACAGGAUCGACUAACCCUAUCGAGAGAAUGCCCUUUGUGGGAGUUAAGAAUGUCCAAAACACAAGAGGUGCUUUGGAGUUGAGUCCACGAGAGCGAAUGAUGCAAACUGCAUCAUUGGGCAGAUGUUACUCUCGGGGACCGGUCUCUAGAGGUGAGAGACCGGUUCCCUUGGCUGGGUGUAGCGGGGUUGCUUGAUGCAACUGGUCCCUGGCAGGGAGGGACCGGUUCCUGAACGUGGUCCCAGCGAGAAAUGCCGAAAUUUGGCUAAGUCCUGAAAAUCGAGCUCUCGGGGACCGGUCUCUCGGGCCAGGACCGGUCUUCCGAGGACCGGUCUCCCGGGGAGAGACCGGUUCCCGAACGCGUGCGCCCGAGGGAGGCCCUCGGGGACCGAUCCCAAGUCGGGGAGACCGGUCCCUCCGCGCGAACUCUGCCCAGUAAGGGCUGUGCAGUGGAUAGAAAGUUGAGGGGUUUUUAUACAAAAUGGCCUUUAUUAGAGUGGGUUGGGCCCUCUCUCUCCCUCACACUCAUCUCAUUUCCCUCUCUCACACUCUCUUUCUCUCUUGCUCUCUCUCUCUAGAAAGGAAAGGAGAAGAAGAAGAACAAGAAGGAGAGGAAGGAAAAGAAGAGGAAGAACAAGAAGGAGAAGAAGGAGGAGAUCAAGAGUAAGGCUUUGGACACCUUCAUCUCCCUCUCCUCUUCUCUUUGGUGUAGCACAAGAGGUAGGCUCUUGAGCCCUAGCUUCUAAACUUUGGAGUUUUGGGUUUUCAUGCUUUGGAAUGGGUCAAAUAGACCCUAAGCAUGCUUCUAAAUAGAUCAAUCCCAUGAUUCUAGAGAUUUAUUGGUGGUUUGCUAUAGGUGCAAACCUAGGGCACCAAAAUGGAGUUUUUGUAAAAGUAUGAGAUUGAUCUCAUUUGAAGCCUUGGAAACCCUAUUGUUAGGUCACAAAACGUGGGGGCGAAGUCGGUUUUGGCAUUCGGCGAACCGGCGUGAAGUUCUCGGCAAAAUAGGGCCGGGCUAGUGUUGACUUGGGCAAGGAAGGCUAAAGCCUUUUCGUAAAGUUCGCCGAGAAGAAUUUCCGAGGCCUCUACAUCGAUUAAAGGUGGGGGGUGCGAUCCCGAAGCUUUCAGACUCCUUUCUAUGUCUUAGAUUGCAUUUAAUAUCAGCUCUUACAUGUUGCAUUGUAGGAUUGCAUAGUAGCUCAUUCCUUAUGCUUUCUAAAUAAUAACCUAGUGUACUUGGAACGCUUGGUGACGUAGAUAGGUGAGGAUUGGGUCGGAACGUGGAUCCUAUGAUGCGAAAGACAAGAGGUGAACCCGAUAGGGGUAUUGAUGACAUAGAAAAUAGUGCUAAUGUUAAAGAACAAACGAGUGACAUCCAAAUGUUAAAUGAUAACGAGUGGCAUUAAUGUAGUGUAAACAACACUAGAGGUUUGAGAACCUAGGGAUAGGUGGAUCCCUUAGAAAAUGCCUUGUGGAUAAAGAACUUAGUAAACCUAAGUAGCCUCACAUGGAGAGGUUGUCGAUGAGUCGAUUGAGACAUUGACCCUAGUGUUAGGGCUUCCUCACUUGGAGCGGAUUGGGAUUGGGUUGUGGACCCUAGUGAUAGUGCUCCGUCACUUGGAGAGGAUUCGAUUGGGUAUAGACUCUAUUUGUAGAGCAUCCUCACUUGGAGAGGACUCGAUUGAGUUGUUGACCCUAGACGUUGGGCAUUCUCACUUGGAGAGGAUAGAUCUAGCUCACAGUCUGCAUUUGCGGUAGUAUAGCCAUCCAAUCCCCAUAUGGAGGGGAUUGUCGUCAAGUACUCCGGAGUGUCGCGCGACUAGGACUACUUGGAGGUCCGGACCACAUGGAGGUCCGCAGACGGUCCCGGGCUUGGGUGCACUUGGAGCUCCCUCCCCACUUUGGGAUUGAAGGGUGAGUUAUAGGCGAGCCCUAGGGCCUCGCCAUAGAUUGGGUAAAUGAAAAGGUUAAAGGUUUAAUAAUGUCAUUGAACAUUGCUAUUCGAACAUGGGUCGAAUUUGUUAGCAUGGUAGCAAACCUUUAUUAUAUGAUGCAUGCAUUCAUAUUCAUGAUUAUGGGCAUAGUAGCAUAGUUUUCCUACUAUCGCAUUUACAGCUUUCAGAUACAUAUCUAUCUAUAUAUCUGUUGUUACUUGUGCCCACUUGGACCUAGUGGGGAGAUCGGCAAAGUCGGCGGCCGAGCCCACUGGGAACUAUGGAAGAUAGUUCUCACCCCACUCUAUUUCCAGUGGUAGAUACAGGACUACCGAGNAGGGAGGACCGCGGCAAGGGCAUCGCGCCCGAUCAGUGAGACCGUGGCAGUUAGUAGCUUUCAUUUUUGCAUUAGUUCACCAAUGUAUUGAGAGAGAAUCAUUGUAGGUGAGGACAUGGAGAGCUAUGCACUUUGAGAUGAAAAAUGUAUUCAUUUAAAGAGAAUGAUGUAAAUGGAAAUGAUGAAACUAUUGUAAUAGUUAGUAAAAUACUCUCUUUAUUUCACAUGCUAUAUCUUGAGGAUUACUUGCUCUUUAUAUUGUUGGCACUGUUCGUGCCCUUGUGAAUAUGUAUGUUUAGAAUUUAAUUUUCUGGGUAAAUUCUUGUACACAUUCUUGUUGUUGAGCCUUGGGCAGACAGGGGAGGUGCUGUCCAUUCGGCAAUCUGCCGCCGCGGCCGAAUCGUGCCAAAUUAGUAGUGGUUUCGGGGCGGGGUGUGACAGUUCUUUGUGGUAUCAGAGCAACAAGAGCAAGUAAAGAGAGAAAGUCUAGGAUGACCUAGGAGACCCUAGGUUGAUAAGCCCUAAGGUUAUAGGUGCGUGAGCGGAACGUGAACCUAUAGCGAUGGCGGAAGUUAAGUCGAUUGGGUUGAAGUUGGCAAUAUGUCUCUAGUUGUGAUUAGAGACGGACUCAAGUUGUAGGAGUUCUUGUCUUGAGGUGGUUGUGUUGGCGGUCGAUGACAUGAUGCCAAGAGAUUAGAACAAGUGCACUUGUGUGCUUCCGCCCGAUUUUUGUUGUUGAGUCGUCAAGUGACAUAAUUGUGACGAGGCAAUUGGUUAAGAUAACUGACCGAGUAUCUGCAUUUCAGGGACUAAUGUCUCCAAGACGCUACACGCGUAGAUCUGCCCCAGCACCGAUUCCUGAGGUGCCCGAGAAGAAGGAACCGAACGUGAUCGAUCGGUUGCAAGCGCAGGUGGCCGCACUGACCAACGUGGUGCAACACCAGGAGACCCGAUUCGAGCGGCUCUGGGAUCUUUUGGAGCAGCAGAUUGCAGUGGCGGCCGCGAUGGUGAAUGAGGGCGGUGGUCCGCCCACACCCUCGACUCAUAUACCCGUGGCGGCAGAGGGUGAGGGCAUAGCGGCGGUUCCGGUGACGGCACGCCCACCGCCAGCGAUCGUACCACAGGCGGCAUCGGGAUCGGCUACACCCGAUGUGGCAGCCGAAGACGUGGAGGGAGAGCGCGCAUUGGCGGCUCUUAUCAAGUUCAACAAGUUCCAUCCGCCAACCUUCGAGGGCGAGAAGGUGGAACCGGAGAUGGUCGAGUCUUGGAUUGACUCGAUGGAAACCUUCUUCGAUGAUUUACGUACCUUAGAGAGGGACAAGGUGUACCUCGCCACCCAUUGCUUGGAGAAGGCGGCGAAGGUUUGGUAGAAGCGCGUCAAACGGGAUCGGCUUCCCGGCCUUCCGCCAAUGUUGUGGGAGGAGUUCAAGCAGGAGAUGUUUGCUAACUAUUUUCCCGACACACUGAAGCCGAAGCUCAAGGAGAAAUUCCGCAAGUUGGAGCAAGGGGACCGCUCAGUGGCGGAGUAUGAACAAGAAUUCUCCCAUAUCAUUGAUUGUGUCCCGGAUGUUGCAAAGGAUGACCGGGACUGGGCUGAGUGGUUCUUACGAGGACUUCAGCCGGGAAUUUACAAGGCCGUGCAAAUACUCAAGCUCACAACCUUUGCGGAGGUCUUUGAUCGAGCCCUAUGGGCGGAGCACGGAGACGCCCACGUUCGGGAGAAGCGUGAGCUUUUGGCGGAGUCCAAGGACAAGGGCAAGAAACGCCAAGGUGGCGGUAGUUCGGGGGGACAAACACGUUACAAGAAACCCCUGAAGUAUCCGCGCACUCAACAGAAGGGCGGUGGAGCGCGGCGUUGCAUCGUGUGCGGCGGAGACCACCCGGUCUCGCGCUGAGCAAGGCCGAGGCAAGUGCUACAAGUGUGGGCAACUGGGGCACUUCAUUCGGGACUGCCAGGGAGGAGGAGCCUCACCUGCCCCAUCAAUUGCAUCGGUGCCGGCGAUUCCGGCUCACUAUGGAGGAGCUCCACCCACGGCCGCGUCGACUGGACGCGCGAUGAUGCCGCGUCAACAUGAAGCAACGCGAUCGGCCCCGAGUGGACGGGUGUUCGCCGCUCAGGUCCAAGCUGAGGAACCUGCGGAGGCGGAGGAGCAUCGCCUUGUGGCAGGUAUGGUUUUAAUUAACGGAGUUCGCUCCAGGGCUUUAUUUGAUACAGGAGCCACGCAUUCAUUCAUAAGUAGAUCAUUCGCACGCAUGCAUGGCAUACAUAUAGAAGCGAGUGACAAGUGGCGAGUGGAGGCCCUGGGUCGACGUUUAACACUUACUCGGAGUAUGCGUCGUGUCCCGUACAAAGAGGCGACUGGAUUAUGCCUAUCCGGACACUGGAACUCGCAAAGCUUGAGGCUUAUGACGUCAUUCUGGGUAUAGACUGGCUCUCGAAAUAUCACGCAAUGAUCGACUGCAAGAGUAGGGUGAUCACAUUCUGUGAGCCAGGACAGGAAGAAUUCAUCUAUCGGACUUGUCAGAGCUCGUGCUUCGUCGCGACGGUGUCGGCGACGAGAGCAAGGAAGUUGGUCAACAGCGGUUGCACGGCAUUCUUGGCAACUAUUGUGGAGGUGGAGCGAGUAGCCCCAAUGUUAGAGGAGUUAUCCGUGGUGUGGGAGUUCCCGGAUGUGUUUCCUACGAAGUUGCCGGGGAUACCACCGGAUCGGGAGAUCGAGUUCGUCAUAGACUUGGUUUCCGGUACCGCACCGAUCUCGAAGGCUCCGUACCGAAUGGCGCCGGCGGAAUUGAAGGAGUUGAGGAGUCAAUUGCAAGACCUCCUCGACAAGCAAUUUAUCCGGCCAAGUGUAUCACCGUGGGGAGCCCUGGUGUUAUUCGUGAGGAAGAAAGAUGGAUCGUUUCGACUCUGCGUGGAUUAUCGAGAGUUGAACAGAGUCACGAUCAAGAACAAGUACCCACUACCCCGAAUCAACGACCUGUUCGAUCAGUUGCAAGGGUCGUGUGUGUACUCGAAGAUAGAUUUGCAAUCCGGCUAUCACCAGCUGAAAAUCAAGCCGAAGGAUGUGCAGAAAAUCGCGUUCCGCACGCGGUAUGGACAUUACGAAUUCACGGUCAUGCCAUUUGGACUCACAAAUGCUCCAGCGGCAUUUAUGGAUUUAAUGAAUCGUGUCUUCAGAGAGUAUUUGGAUCGGUUUGUCGUGGUCUUCAUAGACGACAUAUUGGUCUAUUCUCGUAGUGACGAGGAACAUGCCGAGCAUUUGAGAAUAGUGCUUCAAGUCCUUCGGGAGGAGAAGCUAUAUGCUAAACUGAAGAAGUGUGACUUCUGGCUCCGCGAGGUCGCCUUCAUAGGGCAUGUGAUUUCCGUAGGUGGAGUUUCAGUAGACCUGAGGAAAGUUGAGGCAAUCAAGGAUUGGCCGCGCCCGACGAAUGUCACGGAGGUUCGAAGCUUCGUGGGCUUGGCGGGCUACUAUAGGCGGUUUGUGUAAGGCUUUUCCAAGAUAGUGAUUCCACUUACCCGCCUGACUCAAAAAGGCACCAAGUUUGUUUGGAGUGAAGAGUGCGACCGGAGUUUUAAAGAGUAGAAGCAGAGAUUGACUUCGACUUCGGUGCUCGCUCUACCGGUGCAGGGCGAAGACUUCGUGGUCUACAGUGAUGCCUCCUAUCUUGGAUUGGGGUGUGUAUUAAUGCAAAGCGGGAAAGUGAGUGCGUAUGCAUCCCGUCAGUUGAAGAGCUAUGAAAAGAACUACCCCAUUCACGAUUUGGUGCUAGCGGCGGUGAUUUUCGCCUUGAAGCUGUGGAGCCACUACUUAUAUGGUGCCCAUUGUGAGAUCUAUACCGACCACAAGAGCUUGAAGUACCUGUUUACACAGAAGGAGCUCAAUAUGCGUCAGCGGCGGUGGUUGGAGCUAUUAAAGGAUUAUGAUGUUGAUAUCCUCUACCACCCCGGGAAGGCAAAUGUGGUCGCGGAUGCGCUGAGUAGGAAGUCGGCGAAGAACCUCGCUUUCGAUGUUACCCAGCAAACACCCCUGUGGCUGGAUAUGGAGCAAUUGGGCCUUGAGGUGGUCGCUCCCGAGGUCCCGACUCAGCUGAUGGCACUCGUUGUCCAACCGACCUUGUUAGAGAGGAUUAAAGAUCUGCAACCCGCAGACCCAGAGCUCCAAAAGGUGCGGCGAAACAUCGAGGAAGGGCAUGGCGGCGAUUUCAAGGUAGACGUCGAUGGUACGCUUCGGUUUCGAAACUGAUGGUGUGUGCCGAAAGAUGGAGAGCUUCGCGAAUUGAUAUUACAAGAAGCACACUGAUCUCCAUAUGCCGAUCACCCAGGCGGCACCAAAAUAUAUCAGGGACUAAGAAUGUAAUAUACCGAAAAUUCGAAAAAUAAAUAUCGAACUUUAGUCAAAUUGACCAAAGUGCGAGGACGGUACACUUCGGAAAGUCCGAAGGUGUUAAAAUGAUCAAAAGUGAGUUACGGAAGGUUUUCGAGAGCUAAAGAAUCAAAUUCUGCAAACUGCAGCUUUUGAGCUCUCGGGGACCGGUCCCUGGUGGGAGAGACUGGUCCCCGAACGCGUAUGAAAUGUGACAGCCGAAAAAUCGGCUAAGUCCUGGAAGGACAGCUCUCGGGAACCGGUCUCUGUCUGAGAUACCGGUCCCCCAGAGACCGGUCCCCCAAGGAGGGACCGGAUGCAUUGCGCGCGGCAGCUCUGGCUGCGCAGGGUAGACCUUCGGGGACCGGUCCCUGCUCGGGGAGACCGGUCUCUGCCUGCGAAAACUGCCCAGUUCAGGCUGUGUGAAAUAGAUGAAAGUUGAGGGGUUUGUUAGCAAUUAUGCAACCCAAUAGCUAUGUUAUGAGGGUAAAUGAGAAAUUUCUCUCAUUUCACCCCCUCUCACUCUCUUCUCUCCCUCUCUCUCUCUAGAAGACAAAGGAGAAGAAGAAGAAAGAAAGAAGAGAAGGAGAAGAAGGAAAAGAAGGUGAAGAAGAAGAUCAAGGAGCAAAGGAGCUUCAUCUUCUUCCUCUCUAGUGCAAGAAAAGGAAGCUUACAAGGUAAGCUUUGAACCCUAAUGUAGUAAAACCCUAGAAAUGGGUUUGGAUGACCUAGAAAUGAGUUUUAGUGAAAUGUUUAAAGAGUUUUGAAGCUUUCUUUUGCUUCUAAAGAGAUCAAAACCUUGAUUUGCAUUAGAGGUGAGCUUGGACCACCUCUCAUGGUGAAAUCCAAACUAGGGAUUUGGAAAGGUUAAGAAUGGUUCUAAUGGACUAUUUAGAGUAUAAUGAAGCUACUUUUGCUUCUCUUAGAGAUCAAACCCUAGGUUUUGAUAUACAUUGGAGCUAGGGCACCCAAAUUGGGGCUUUUGCUCAUGAGAGUUUCUAAGUGCAAUUGACCUUUUAAAAACCUAAUUGGGGGUAUUUCCGACGCGUUGGUGCGCUCGGAUAAACGUUACGAAAAGUCAAAGUAAAGUUAUGGGCAAAAUGGCCUAAUAAGGGUUCGUUUUGCCGCAGGUAAAGAACGAAGCAUCUAAAAAUCCCAAGAAAAUCAUCGGAGCACCUUUGAAAGCCUACGAGGUGGGUGGUGCUUUUCAAACUCAUUGAAAUUCUCUCUAUGCCUAAUGUGUCAUUCUUUGAGCAAAUGUUCUAUAUAUUGUUGCAUGCAUUUUAGGGUAAAGUAAUGAUGAAAUGUGAUGAUUGCAUGAUUGUGAGCACAACUUGCAUAAUGAGAUGGUUGAGAACCUAAUAAUGUCAAAACCCUAGAUGUAUGCAUGAGAGAAAAUGUGAGUACCAAAGUGAGCAACAAAACAGAGUGGCACAAUGACAUAGAUCGAGUGGCAUUUGAAAAUGAAAAGUAAAGAGACACUAGAGAUAGUGUGAGGUAAAGAACCAAUGUAAUGUAAAAGAUGCUGAAAAUGAUAAUGCUUAAAGUUAACGCAAUGUGGGAAGUAAAAGAACGUGAAAAUGCUAGAGGUACCAAAAGUAAGAAUGUAAGAAAUAUAAUUGCUAGAGUUAGCAAAAGUAAAGGACAAUGUAAAGAAUGUGAUUGCAUGAGUUGCAACAUAAAGUGAUAUAAUGAACACUAGAGCUAGUGUAAAGUCAAGAUUGAACUUAUAUAUCGAUCCUUUGAGUUAAGGAUAUGAUACAUGCUUGCUAUGAGUUCCGUGCUCGAGCGCGUCGCUCCGCCCUCGGCGAUGCGCUCCGGAGUUAUGCAUCCGGGUUGGAGUAAGCGUAAGGCGGUCCAGCGGGUGAGUUCCUGCGAUGAUGGACUUAAUGUGAAGCAAUUAAUGUGGCGAAGCCCCCGGUUAGCCUUAACGAUUAAGAAAAGAAGAACAAAGAGCACAGAAAUAAGGAACAAAGCACAAAGUAAGUCAAAGAAUUGAAGAUUUGCAUAAUCUGCAUUUAUUUACAUGUUGAGCAUACUUCUUGCUUAUUUCAUGCAUAUUAGAUCAUGUUAUAGAUUGUUACUAUACAGCUUAUUCUUCCUACUAUGGCCUGAGUUAGUCUAGUGGAAAGUCGGUGAUGUUGAGCCGAACCCACUGGGCCGAACUUUGUUGUAGUUCUCACCCCACUAUUUCACACGAGGCCGACCUGAGAGCCGGCGAGCGACCGAGUAAAGUAUCGCCGCCUUAGUAAGAGGCCACCAAAGUUGGGUACAUUUUGUUAGCAAACACCCUUUUGUCAUCUUUGUAUUUGAUGAUUAGCAAUGUGAAGAAAGAAUGUAAAGCUUAUUUUGAAGGUAAAUGUGAUGUAAGAAGGAAAUGAAUGGAAUUAUGUAAUGAAAUGUAAAGAAUCCUAAAUGUAACAGAUGGAUGCAAUGUAUAAUGAUCUAAUAUGAAUCAUACUACUGUGUAGAAGUUUAGUUUUCUAUCUUUCACUAAUGCUACUGCUUACCUCCGCGUAAGCACAUUUGUGUAUGUUUCCGCUAGUGCAAUUCUUGUUUGAAUUUUGUACAUUGAUGAGCCUUGGCGCACAGGGGAAACUCUGUCCGUUCGGCGUCUGUUUGACGUGCUCGGGUCGGGCAAAUUGGCAUCGGUCUCGGGCGUGACAAAGAAUGCACUAUUGGUCGCCGGAAUGGAAGGGUGAUAUUGGAGCGCUUUGUGGCAAAAGUGCUUAACAUGCCAACAAUGAAGGCCGAGCGUCGAUUUCCAGCGGGAAAGCUUCAAAGCCUACCAAUCCCCGUUUGGAAAUGGGAGGAUAUAUCGAUGGACUUCGUGGUCGGCUUGCCUCGCUCAACAGACGGCCACGAUGCAAUUUGGGUAAUUGUGGACCGGUUGACAAAGCCGGCUCACUUCUUGCCGAUCCACACCAUGUGGUCGGGUGACAAGUUAGCGCAGGUAUAUCUUGACGAGAUAGUGAGACUGCAUGGGGUGCCGAAAUCGAUCGUGUCGGAUCGUGACCUCCGGUUCACUUCACACUUCUGGAAGAGCCUGCAGGGAGCCCUUGGCACACGGCUCGACUUUAGCACUGCAUUUCAUCCCCAGACUGAUGGGCAAACAGAGAGAACUAUUCAAACUCUGGAGGACAUGUUGCGAGCGUGUGUCAUUGACUAUAAGGGAAGUUGGUGUGAUCACCUACCUAUGGCCGAGUUUGCCUACAACAACAGUUAUCAUGCUAGUGUGGAGAUGGCACCGUUUGAGGCUCUUUACGGGCGGACGUGUCGGUCUCCUAUACACUGGAGCGAUGUGGGUGAGCGUACAGAGUUCGGCCCCGAUGUUCUGCGAGAAGCGGAGGAGAAAGUCCGCCUUGCUCGCAAGAGAUUGCUCACGGCGCAGUCGAGACAACAAAGCUAUGCGGAUAGGCGCCGUCGAGAUAUAGAAUUCGCGGUAGGCGACCGGGUAUUCUUGAAAGUUUCACCGAUGCGGGUUGUGAAGCGGUUUGGAGUGCGGGGGAAACUAAGUCCUCGAUACAUUAGACCAUAUGAGAUAUUGGAGCGAGUCGGCACGGUGGCCUACUGACUUGCUUUGCCGCCGAAGCUUGCGAAUGUACAUAAUGUAUUCCAUGUCUCCAUUCUCUGCAAGUAUAUUCACGACCCCGAGCACGCGAUGCUAUAUGAACCGCCGGAACUUCAAGGAGAUUUGAGCUAUGAAGAGUUUCUGGUAGGGAUUAUCGCCCGAGAGGUGCGAAAGUCAAGAAAUCGAGAAAUUCCCUAUGUGAAGGUUAGGUGGAGCAAUCAAGAGGAUCGCGAAGCCACCUCGGAACUCGAGGAUCUGAUGAGAAAGCACCACCCUCAUCUAUUUGAGGAGUGAGGUAUGAAUUUAAGUUAAAGUAAUGAAAUGAGUUCGUUUCGAGGACGAAACUCCUUUUAAGGAGGGGAGGAUGUAAGAAAGUGGAUUCUCGAAAUCUGAGGAUUGUACUUCAUCCAGGAUCGACUAACCCUGUCAAGAGAAUGCCCUUUGUGGGAGUUAAGAAUGUCCAAAACACAAAAAGGUGCUUUGGAGUUGAGUCCACAAGAGCGAAUGAUGCAAACUGCAUCAUUGGGCUGAUGUUACUCUCGGGGACCGGUCUCUGGAGGUGAGAGACCGGUUCCCUUGGCUGGGUGUAGUGGGGUUGCUUGAUGCAACCGGUGCCUGGCAGGGAGGGACCGGUUCCCGAACGUGGUCCUAGCGAGAAAUGCCGAAAUUUGGCUAAGUCCUGAAAAUCGAGCUCUCGGGGACCGGUCUCUCGGGCGAGGACUAGUCUCCCGAGGACCGGUCUCCCGGGAAGAGACCGGUUCCUGAAUGCGUGCGCCCGAGGGAGGCCCUCUGGGACCGGUCCCAAGUCGGGGAGACCGGUCCCUCCGCGCGAACUCUGCCCAGUAAGGGCUGUGCAGUGGAUGGAAAGUUGAGGGGUUUUUAUGCAAAAUGGCCUUUAUUAGAGUGGGUUGGGCCCUCUCUCUCCCUCACACUCAUCUCUUUUCUUUCUCUCACACUCUCUUUCUCUCUUGCUCUCUCUCUAGAAAGGAAAGGAGAAGAAGAAGAACAAGAAGGAGAGGAAGGAAAAGAAGAGGAAGAACAAGAAAGAGAAGAAGAAGGAGAUCAAGAGGAAGGCUUUGGACACCUUCAUCUCCCUCUCCUCUUCCUUUUGGUGUAGCACAAGAGGUAGGCUCUUCAACCCUAGCUCCUAGACUUUGGACUUUUGGGUUUUCAUGCUUUGGAAUGGGUCAAAUGGACCCUAAGCAUGCUUCUAAAUAGAUCAAUCCCAUGAUUCUAGGGAUUUAUUGGUGGUUUGCUAUAGGUGCAAACCUAGGGCACCAAAAUGGGGUUUUUGUGAAAGUAUGAGAUUGAUCUCAUUUGAAGUCUUGGAAACCCUAUUGUUAGGUCACAAAACGUGGGGGCGAAGUCGGUUUUGGCAUUUGGCGAACCGGCGUGAAGUUCUCGGCAAAAUAGGGCCGGGCUAGUGUUGACUUGGGCAAGGAAGGCUAAAGCCUUUUCGUAAAGUUCGCCGAGAAGAAUUUCCGAGGCCUCUACAUCAAUUAAAGGUGGUGGGUGCCAUCCCGAAGCUUUCGAACUCCUUUCUAUGUCUUAGAUUCUAUUUAAUCUCAUCUCUUACAUGUUGCAUUGUAGGAUUGCAUAGUAACUCCUUCCUUAUGCUUUCUAAAUGAUAACCUAGUGUACUUGGAACGCUUGGUGACUUCGAUAGGUGAGGAUUGGUUCGGAACGUGGAUCCUAUGAUGCAAAAGACAAGAGGUGAACCCGAUGGGGAUAUUGAUGACAUAGAAAGUAGUGCUAAUGUUAAAGAACAAACGAGUGGCAUCCAAACGUUAAAUGAUAACGAGUGGCAUUAAUGUAGUGUAAACAACACUAAAGGUUUGAGACCUAGGGAUAGGUGAAUCCCUUAGAAAAUGCCUUGUGGAUAAAGAACUUAGUAAACCUAAGUAACCUCACAUGGAGAGGUUGUCGAUGAGUCGAUUGAGACAUUGACCCUAGUGUUAGGGCUUCCUCACUUGGAGAGGAUUGUGAUUGGGUUGUGGACCCUAGUGAUAUUGCUCCCUUACUUGGAGAGGAUUCGAUUGGGUAUAGACUCUAUUUGUAGAGCAUCCUCACUUGGAGAGGACUUGAUUGAGUUGUUGACCCUAGACGUAGGGCGUCCUCACUUGGAGAUGAUUGAUCUAGCUCACAGUCUGCGUUUGGGGUAGUAUAGCCAUCCAAUCCCCACAUGGAGGAGAUUAUCGACAAGUACUCCGGAGUGUCGCGCGACUAGGACCACUUGGAGGUCCGGACCACAUGGAGGUCCGCAGACGGUCCCGGGCUUGGGUGCACUUGGAGCUCCCUCCCCACUUUGGGAUUGAAGGGUGAGUUAUAGGCGAGCCCUAGGGCCUCGCCACAGAUUGGGUAAAUGGAAAGGUUAAAGGUUUAAUAAUGUCAUUGAACAUUGCUAUUCGAAUAUGAAUCGAAUUAGCAUGGUAGCAAACCUUUAUUAUAUGAUGCAUGCAUUCAUAUUCAUGAUUAUGGGCAUAGUAGCAUAGUUUUCCUACUAUCGCAUUUACAGCUUUCAGAUACAUAUCUAUCUAUCUAUCUGUUGUUACUUGUGCCCACUUGGACCAAGUAGGGUGAUCGGCAGAGUCGGCGGCUGAGCCCACUGGGAACUAAGGAAGAUAGUUCUCACCCCACUCUAUUUCCAGUGGUAGGUACAGGGCUGCCGAGGGAGGACCGCGGCAAGGGCAUCGCGCCCGAUCAGUGAGACCGUGGUAGUUAGUAGCUUUCCUUUUUGCAUUAGUUCACUAAUGUAUUGAGAGAGAAUCAUUGUAGGUGAGGACAUGGAGAGCUAUGCAUUUUGAGAUGAAAAAUGUAUUCAUUUAAAGAGAAUGAUGUAAAUGGAAAUGAUGAAACUAUUGUAAUAGUUAGUAAAAUACUCUCUUUAUUUUACAUGCUAUAUCUUGUGGAUUACUUGCUUUUUGUAUUGUUGGCAUUGUUCGUGUCCUUGUGAAUGUGUAUGUUUAGAAUUUAAUUUCCUGGGUAAAUUCUUGUACACAUUCUUGUUGUUGAGCCUUGGGCGGACAGGGGAGGUGCUGUCCGUUUGGCAAUCCGCCGCCGCGGCCGAAUCGUGCCAAAUUGGUAGUGGUUUCGGGGCGUGGCGUGACAUGGAGGGCCGAGGCGAUAUCGUAAACUCAUGAAAAUGGAUUUGAAGCACCGUGGCACAUAACCGAAGACCUUAACUUUCGGAUUGUGGAUUGGAGGCCGUUCGGAUAGUCGCGCGAGAGAUCGGGCCAAACCGGGUGCCGGGUGCGCGGGAGGCCGAUUGAAAGUGUUGACAAGCAAUCGGAAAGCGAUUUGAGGUGGGUUGUGUUUACCUAAGCGACUAAGUCGCCCUUUAUGUCUAAGAAACAUAUGAAUUCAUAUUGAUGCAUGUUAAUAAAAUGACAUAGCUAAUGCGUGUGGACAAUGUGAUGCAAACUGCUAAGUAGAUGCAUAUAAAAUGAUGUAAUAUAGAAAUGCUUAUUGACAUAAUGACAUAGUCUAGAAAUGCUAAAUGUAAUGUGCAUGUUAAUAUGAUAAGAAACCAUGCUAGUGAUAUUUGCAUGAUAAUGCAUUGAUAGUACAUGCUAGUAAGUAAAUGCAUAUUAAUACAUAUGUGUAUAAUGAGCAUGUUGGAUAAGAUUCGUGUACAUGUAGACUCGAGAUGACAAUAGGAUGUCAAGUAGAUCGAGUGGCACUUAACCUAGUGUUAAAGAACAUAGGUUGUGAAUUAAUCUAGAGUCAUGUGAACUAGAUCGAGUGGCACUUAACCUAGUGUUAAAAAACAUAGGUUGUGAAUGAAUCUAGAGUCAUGUGAACUAGAUCGAGUGGCAUCUAACCUAGUGUUAAAGAACAUAGGUUGUGAAUGAAUCUAGAGUCAUGUGAACUAGAUCGAGUGGCAUAUAACCUAGUGUUAAAGAACAUAGGUUGAGAAUGAACCUAGAGUUAAUCGAAUCUAGGUGUGUGGUAUUAACCUAGUGUCGAGAACAUAGGUUGAGAAUUGAGCCUAGAGUUAAAGUAAACCUAGGAUACGUGAUAAAGGCAUUGAACCUAGAGUCAGUUGGACCUAGGGUGAAAAGGACACUGGAUAUAACACACUGGACCUGUGCAAAUUGCGAGGUUCGAGUGAUUGGAUGUGUUUCGAGCUUUUCCACACUUGGUGAAGGGUUAUGGAAUAUUUUUCGAUCCAAAAAGUCCGAAAACUUGAGUUCUGGAUGAGUCCUGAGAGUUUUUACUCUCGGGGACCGGUCCCUGAUAGGAGAGACCGGUCCCCCAGUGAGCAGUGUUGCGCUGUCGGCGAGGCAACCGGUCCCUGGCGGGCGAGAUCGGUCCCCGAGCACGUCUUCACAGUGAGAGACCGAUCCCGCGCGGGGAGAGACCGGUUCCCGAACGAUGGUUUCUCGAGUUCGACACGAGAGACCGGUCCCUUGCAGGGAGAGACCGGUCCCUCUGGGCGAAAUCUGCCCAGACCGGGCUGAUGCAAUUUUGGCUUUUUGAGGGACCUCCUUGGAUUUUGUUACUUUGGAGGGCCUAAAUAGCCAUUCCACCCUCUCCUUUCCUCAUUUCCUUAUUCUCACCCUCUCCCUACACCUUCUAGAGAGAGAAGAAGGAGGAGGAGAAGAAGAAGAAGAGGAGCUUACUUAAGGGAGCUUGGAGCUCAACCACCUUUCUCUCCUUUCCACCUUUGCAAGGCUUGGAGCUUACUUGUAGGGCUUGUUAGUGGACCAAUCCUCAACCCUAGAAGAUUUGGAGCUUGUUUGGAGGCGUCUUGAGAGGUUAGUACUUCGAUUCUACCCUUUGAUCCUUGUUUUGGUAGAUUUUUCUAUAUGGAACCCUAGAAUGGGAUUUUAAGGUUGAUUUUGGAGCUUUUUGAUCUAGGGCUUUUGAGGCUAGAUUUCUUGAGUUAGAACCCUCCUUUGGGUUAGAUUGGAAGGAUCCUAGCCUUCUUUUGGAGCUUGAGAGAGAAUUUCUACUCCCUAGGUGAGUUUUUGCCCUUUUCUUGUGGUUGUUAAUUUAUGAGCCUAGAGUUGCUCGUAACGCUCGUGUCUCUUCGCUCAUUACUUUCAGGGUAUUUUGAGACUCGUGGACAACUUCUUUCGGCGAAACGAAGGACACCGCGACGGUUCGGUGGGUUUGACCUAGCCUGGCAUAUGAGAAAUUCUCAUAUGCUAUGUUUUAUGCUUGUAGAGUAAAAAAUUCAUGCAUUUCUAUGUUAAAUGUAUUUAUUGUGAAUUUUAGGAUGCUUAACAUGCCUAUAUUAUGUGUAAGAAAUUUCGGGCCCCUAUAUAGUAGAGGGCUACCAUGUGGGACUUGUACAUGAUUGGCAUCCUAUUGAGACUUGGAAUCAUAUUUCCUAGUGUGAAAAUGAGCAUUACCUUCAUGCAUUUUAAGCUAUUCCUACUUGAGACUUAAAGGAUCUUAGUAAGCCAUAAAGAGGCAUAUGAUAAGAUUGACAUGUGAGAUCGUGAGCUAAUGUCAUAAAGCGGCAUUGAGCUCGGGUUGUGUGGGAACCUAGUGGAUAGGGCCAUUGAGAGAAUUGGAAUAUAUUUGUACAUCGAAAUGUCUAAGUGUCAUAAAGAGGCAUUAGACUUAGUGAAUGAUAGGAGCUUCACAUUGUGAUCUAGAGCUAGAUCAUUGAGAUGCUAGUGACUAUUACCAUGUUAGAAACAUGAUGAUUGGGUACUUGAGACGAUGAUUACGCUUGCUUGCAAUAUGUGCUCAUUCGCACAUGCUUGUGAGGGUCGCUCCCUACAAACCGGCACUCCGGAGUUGGCCUACGCGACUUAUGUUCGCUCGUGCAGUAUCGAGAAACCUACGGGGUUGGGAGGGAUAGACUCAUUCCUAGAGUGGGAAUGCUGGAGCUACCACCGACACUUAGUGUAAUAUACCGAAAAUUCGGAAAAUAAAGAUGUCGAAUUUUAGUCAAAUUGACCAAAGUGCGAGGACGGUGCACUUCGGAAAGUCCGAAGGUGUUAAAAUGAUUAAAAGCGAGUUACGGGAGGUUUUCGAGAGCUAAAGAAUCAAAUUCUGCAAAACUGCAGAUUUUGAGCUCUCGGGGACCGGUCCCUGGUGGGAGAGACCGGUCCUCGAACGCGUGAGAAAUGAGACAGCCGAAAAAUCGGCUAAGUCCUGAGAAACUAGCUCUCGGGAACCGGUCCCUGCCUGAGAGACCGGUCCCCGAGAGACCGGUCCCCCAAAGAGAGACCGGUUGCCCUGCGCGCAGCAACUCUGGCUGCGCGGGGAGAGCCUUCGGGAACCGGUCCCUGAAGGAGAGACCGGUCCCCACCUGCGCGAACAGCCCAGUCCAGGCAGUGUACAGAGAUAAAAGUUGAGAGGUUUAUUUGCAUUUUUGCAACCCAAUAGCUAUGUAUGAGGGCAAAUGAGAUAUUUCUCUCAUUUCCUCACCCUCUUACACUCUCUUCUCUCCCUCUCCCUCUCUAGAAGACAAAGGAGAAGAGGAAGACAAGGGAAAGGAAGGAAAAGAAGGAAAAAAGGUGAAGAAGAAGAUCAAGAGGUGAAGCAACUUCAUCUUCUUCCUCUCUAGUGCAAGAAAUGAAAGCUUAUAAGAUGAGCUUUGAACCCUAUUGUAGUAAAACCCUAAAAUGGGCUUUGAAUAAACCUAGAAAUGGUUUUAAUGGAUUGUUUAGAGUCUUUGAAGCUUUCUUUUUGCUUCUUUAGAGAUCAAAGCCAUGGUUUAGCUUGAGGUGAGCUUUGGCCACCUCUAAUGGUGAAAUCCAAACUAGGGUUUGGAAUGAGCUAGGAAUGGUUUAGAUGAACUCUUUAGAGUAUAUUGAAGCUACUUUUGCUUCCCAAUGAGAUCAAACCCUAGGUUUGAUAUAUGUAUUGGAGCUAGGGCACCAAAUUGGGGCUUUUGCUCAUGGGUUAUUUUAGUAGAGAUUUUGGGCGUCUGUGUGCCGGGCAGGGAAGAACGAGGAUCCUUAAAAUUCAAAAAAAUCGCGAAGUCACCUAUGAAAGCCCUACGAGUGUGGUGGUGGUGGCUUUCAACUCGUGAACUUCUCUCUAUGGCCUUAAUGUUGCAUUUCAAUUUGGAGCCAUUAUUGUACAGCUUUGUUUGCAUUUGCUAUUUUUAGGGUAAAAGAGAUAAUGAGAGAUUUGUUGUUGUGCAUUUUAUUUUGGAUACAAACUUGCGCUAAUAUGAUUGGAGUAAUCCUAUAUAAAUCGAAAAACCCUAUGCUGUAGUCAUAGAAGAAAAGUAGCAUCGUCCAAAGUGAGCAUAAAAAGCAGAGUGCACUUGUGACAUAGAUGCGAGUGGCAUUUGAAACUAAAGUAAAUGACAUCUAGAUUAGUGUAGCCCAAAGAACCAAAGUGAUGUACAAAGAAUGAUGCAUAAUGACAAUGUGAAAGUUAAAGUAAAGUGAGGCACAUAAGAAUAAGAAUGUAAAGAACAAGAAUCUAAAGUUAGCAAAAGUAAGGAAAUGAUAAAGACACGCAAUCGACUGGCUAGAGUAGCAAACACGUGAAGUGACGUAAAGAACGACUAGAGUUAGUGGUAAAGUCAAGAUUGAACUAAUUCUUUGAGCUAAGGAAUUCGAUCAUCACUUGCAUGAGUUCCGUGCUCGAGGGCGUCGGCUCUCCCCUCGGCGGUGCGCUCCCGGAAGUUAUGCAUCCGGUUGGAGUAAACACGACGAAGGACGGUCCUAAGCGGUGAGUUCCUGCGAUGAAAUGGAUUUAAAUUGAAGCAAGCAAUGUGCGAACCCCGCGGCUUAGCCUUCGAGAUCAAAGAAUAAAGAAUAAAGAACAAAGAUCAAAGAACAAAAGAACAAUAGUAAAAGAUAAAGAACGAAAGAACUGCAUAAUCCUGCAUAUUUAAUGUUGAGCAUAUUCCUUGCUUAUUGUCAGGCAAAUAUUAGCAUCAUGUGUACAUUGUUACAAUAUUUCAGGCUUAUUCCUUUCUAUUAUCAGUUGAGUUAGUCCUAUGCUGGGGAAUCAGUCGUGGAUGUGUGGCGCGACACCCACUGGUAACUUUGUGUUGUGUUUCCACCCCACUAUUUCCACAGAGCCGGGACCGAGGCGAGCCGCGAGCGUACCGAGGUAAGAGAUAUCGCCGCCUUAUCAAGAUCAGCCACCAAAGUGGUUUCAUUUUGUAGUUAAAGUACCUCUAUGCAUGCCCUCUUGUACAAUGAUGGUAAAUGUGUAAAGGAAAAAAUGUAAUGGUAUUANNNNNNNNNNNNNNNNNNNNNNNNNUUCUAAGUGCAUGAAUUACCCUCAGAAACAGCUAAUUGGGGGUAUUUCCGACGCCGUUGGUGCGCUCGGUUAAGUUACGAAGAGUUUAUAGGAAAGAUAGUUGGGCAAAAGUGGCUAGUUGGCUUCGGUUUUGCCGCAGGUGAAGAACGAGAGCCAUACACUCUCAAGAAAAUCGUCGAAGGACCUUUGAAAGCCUAACGAGGUGGGUGGUGCUUUCCCAACUCCGUGAACUUCUCUCUAUGCUAAUGUGUCAAUUCAAUUGAGGCAUGAUGUACAUAUUUUUUUUUUUUUUUUUUUUUUUUUUUUUUUUUUUUUUUUUUUUUUUUUUUUUUUUUUUUUUUUUUUUUUUUUUUUUUUUUUUUUUUUUUUUUUUUUUUUUUUUUUUUUUUUUUUUUUUUGUUGCAAUCAUUUUAGGGUAAAGAGAUGAUGAGAAUGUGAGUUGCUUAUUGUGAGUUAAACUUUCCUAAUAUGAUGGUGAGAACCUAUAAAUGUAAAAACCCUAUGUGUAUGCAUGAGAGAAAAGUGAGCAUCGUCCAAAGUGAGCAAAGAACAGAGUGACACUUUGACAUAGAUCGAGUGGCAUUUGAAUACGUAAAGUAAAGUGACACUAGUUAGUGUGAGCCAAAGAACCAAAGUGAUGUAAAGAAUGAUGUAAUGACAAUGUGUAAAGUUAAAGUAAAGUGGGCAAUAAGAAUAAGAAAUGUAAAGAACAAGAAUCUAAAGUUAGCAAAAGUAAGGAAAUGUAAAGAACCAAUGAUGCUAGAGUAGCAACAUGAAGUGACGUAAAGAAACUAGAGUUAGUGGUAAAGUCAAGAUUGAACAUAUUAACCUUUGAGUUAAGAUUCGAUCAUACUUGCUAUGAGUUCCGUGCUCGGAGGGCGGUCGCGUCUCCCUCGGGCGAUGCGCUCCGGAGUUAUGCAUCACGGUUGGAGUAAACCACGAGGACGGUCCUAGCGUGAGUUCCUGCGAUGAUGGAUUAAAUGUGAAGCAAGUCAAUGUGCGAAACCCCGCGGGUUAGCCUUGAGAUUAAAGAAUAAAGAAUAAAAAACAAAGACAAAGAACAAAAGAACAAGUUAAAGAUAAAGAACGAAAGAACUUGCAUAAUCUGCAUAUUGUUAAUGUUGAGCAUAUCCUUGCUUAUUGUUCAGGCAUAUUAGCAUCAUGUUGUAGAUUGGUUACAUAUUUUCAGGCUUAUCCUUUCUAUUAUGCCGUGAGUUAGUCCUAUGGGGAAAAGUCGGUGAUGUUGGGCCCGAACCACUGGAACUGUUGUUGUGGUUUCUCACCCCACUAUUUCACAGAGCCGGGACCGAGCGAGCCGCGAGCGACCGAGGUAAGAGAUAUCGCGCCUUAGUCAGAAGCCACCAAAGUUGGGUUUCAUUUUGUAGUAAAGUACCUCUAUGCAUCAUCUUGUACAUGAGUGGUAAAUGUGUAAAGAAAAAGAAUGUAAUGUGUAUUGAGGUAAAUGCGAUGUAAGAAAGAAAUGAUGAAAUGAAAUUGAAGGAAUUCGAAAAUGAACAAGAUGAAUGCAUGUAUAUGAUCAAAAAUGAAUCAUAGUCAAGUAAAAUGUUUAGUUCCUUUCUGUUCACUCGUGGCUAUUGCUUACCCUCGUGUAAGCCGUUUGUGUAUUUUCCGCUAGUAGCUUUUCUCUAUUGAUGAAAAUGUACAUGUGUGAGCCUUGGGCGAUAGGGGAACUCUGUCCGUUCGGCGUCUGUUUGACGUGCUCGGUCGGCCAAAUUGGUAUCGGUCGGGCGUGACAACUGUAGGUGGCACAAGCUGGACUACAAUAUUGGGUCCUCGAAACAUGUUGGAAAUAAUGACAUUUGAUCGAGAGAUGAUAAUCACUACUAGAUAGGUUUAGUAGUUGGAUUACUAUGACAUGCUUUAGCAUAGUGUUGAGACGUAGUAUACUCGAUAGUUUAUUUAUUGCCAGCAUCAGUACACUUGCUACGAUGAUAGAGCAUAUUCAUCAUACAUUGACAUUGUGAUCAUGUUACUACCUGUUCGUUCUGUUUGGACAUAUUAGUCAUGUUUGGACUUACUUCAUUGGGAUAAAGUAGAUUACACACUUUUCGACAUCAUGUAUACUUUUGAUAUAGUAGCUUUAGCAAUUAUUUAUGCUUUCAUAAUGCAACUAUUUCGUUGCUAUUGCCUUGUCGACUUACCUUUUCUUUGGCCUAGUGGCUGCAUUGAAGCUGAGGCAGAGUAAUUGGCCCCUGGGGAACAUAUAAAUAUAGUUCUCACGCGUAUUUUGAGGUAAAUGUGAUGUAAGAAAGAAAUGAUGAAAUGAAAUUUAAGGAAUUCGAAAAUGAACAAGAUGAAUGCAUGUAUAUGAUCAAAAAUGAAUCAUAGUACAAGUGAAUGUUUAGUUUCCUUUUCCUUUCACUCGUGGCUAUUGCUUACCCUCGUGUAAGCCGUUUGUGUAUGUUUCCGCUAGUGCUUUUCUCUAUUGAUGAAAAUGUACAUGUGAUGAGCCUUGGGCGGAUAGGGGAAACUCUGUCCGUUCGGCGUCUGUUUGACGUGCUCGGGUCGGGCCAAAUUGGUAUCGGUCCCGGGGCGUGACACUUAGGUGGCACAAGCUGGACUACAAUAUGUGGGUCCUAGAACAUGUUGGAAAUAAUGACAUUUGAUCGAGAGAUGAUAAUCACUACUAGAUAGGUUUAGUAGUUGGAUUACUAUGACAUGCUUAUAGCAUAGUGUUGAGACGUAGUAUACUCGAUAGUUUAUUUAUUGCAGCAUAGUACACUUGCUACCAUGAUAGAGCAUAUUCAUCAUACAUUGACAUUGUGGAUCAUGUUACUUACCUGUUCGUUGUGUUUGGACAUAUUAGUCAUGUUUGGACUUACUUCAUUGGGAUAAAGUAGAUGUACACACUUUCGACAUCAUGUAUACUUGUGAUAUAGUAGCUUAGCAAUUAUUUAUGCUUUCAUAAUGCAACUAUUUCGUUGCUAUUGCCUUGUCGACUUACCUUUUCUUUUGGGGCCUAGUGGUGCAUUAAGCUGAGGUCAGUAAUUGGCCACUGGGAACUAUAAAUUAUAGUUCUCACGCCCUCUAUUUUAUGUCUUCUUUUAGAGCCUUCCACGCCGGGAGAGGCUAUGGACCACGGGAAGGGCGUUGCUUCGAGCUAGCUCUUCUGCAAGGGACGAGUGGAUAGGUGGUCUACCUCUCGAUGUUUUUAUUUUGGAGAGGUUGAGAGCUGUACCAGUGUACUAGAGACCCCCCCUUUGUGUACUAUUUUGGGAGACGUUAUUGUACUACUUUAUGUUCUACUCUUAUUAUUUUUGUAUACCUCUUUUACCUUGUUAUAAACUAUAGAUCUAUCUGUGCUCUGAUAUCUCUAGAUGUAGGUUACUUUUGGUUUAUUUUUCUGCUGUUGUUGUAGACGCCUUAUAUGUGUGGACAUAUGGCGGGUCUGGGCACGCCACCGGGAGGGCCUCUGCCGGUCCCGGGGCGUGACAGAUUAUUUUGGUAUCAGAGCCUAGGGUUGAGUCUUAGUGGACCUAGCAAACCUUAGGCCGGUUGGCCUAUAGGAAAUAGGCUCGUGAGAGACGAGGUCUAUUCGACUUGUGAGCGAAAGUAUUAUUGUAACACACUCGACCUGUGCAAAUUGCGAGGUUCGAGUGUUCGAUUUGUAUUUCGAACUUUUCCACACUUGGUGGAGGGCCGUCGAUGGUAUACCGGUCUAAAAGUUCGAUCUCGAGAGUUUUGGCAGAGUCCUAAGAGUUUUUACUCUCGGGGACCGGUCCCUGAUAGGAGAGACCGGUCCCCCAGUGAACAGUGCUGCGUGGCCGGCAAGGCAACCGGUCCCUGGCAGUCGAGACCGGUCCCCGAGCGCGUCUGCGCGGGGAGAGACCGGUCCCGCGCAGGGAGAGACCGGUUCCCGAACGUUGGAUUUUCGGGGGCAGGCUGAGAGACCGGUCCCAGGUCGGGGAGACCGGUCCCUCUGGGCGAAAACUGCCCAGACCGGGCUGAUGUAAAUUUGAGUUUUUGAGGGGCCUAUGUGGAUUUUGUUACUUUAGAGGCUAUAAGCAGCCUCUCCUCCCCUCUCACUCUCAUUUUCUCUCCCUCACACUCUUCCUACACUUCUAGAGAGAGAAAGGGAAGGAGAAGAAGGAGAAGGAGAGGAGAAGAGCUUGCUUGGAGGCCUUGGAGCACCAUCUUCUUCCUCAUUUCCCACCUUUGGAGGCUUGGAGCUUGCGGUUGGAGCUUUGUGGAGGAUCAAACUUCAACCCUACUUGGUUUUGAGCUUGGAUUGGGGCUUCUCUUGAGGUUGGUAGCUUGUAAUCCCCAUUUGUUACAUGCUUUCCUAGGUUUUACUAGAUGAAACCCUAGAUUUUGGGAUUUAGGGUUUAUUUUGGGGGUUUUUGAAUUUGGGGGCUUUGGAACCAAAUUGAUGGGUUUAGAACCUUUGUUUAGGUUAGAUUGGAAGGACUCUAACUCCCAUUUGGAGAUCGUGAGAGCCUUCUUCGCAAUCGGUAAGUUUUCUCCAACCCUAGCUUGAGGAGCUUAAUGAUUGAGCUAUUUGCUCUUCGUUUCGUUUGGGUGACCCUAUUUUUGAUGUUUCUAGGGUACUAGGGAGCUUGUGGAUACCUUCGUUCGGCGAAACGAAGAAGUCGAUUUUGGUGGGUUUGACUUCAUGAAAAUAGGGCAAAAUGGCCCCUAUGCCUUCUAAACUUUUCGUAAAGUAUUUUUGAAUGCAAAUUCAUGCUAAAUAUGAUUUAUGUGAAUUUUAGAACACUUAACAUGCAUGCCUCAUAUAUCGUAAAAUUUGUACUCCAUAUAGUAGAGCUAUAUGUGUAGAUUGCAUGCAUUGUGAAUAGUGCUUGGUUUUACAAGUUGAGAACAUGUCUCCAUGCUAGAGUUGAGUGAAUUUAAGCGUCAUGAACAUAUUAAUGCCAUGCUUGGAACUCGUUGAACCAAAGUGUCAUCAAGGGGCACUUGAAACUAGUAAACUAUUAAACUGCAACCUAGGGACAUGUUGAUAGGCCACUAUAUAUCUGCUACAUUCCAUGUUAGAGACAUGAUGACAUAGAGAUAGGCCAUUGAGAUACUUGACAUAUUCCAUAUUUUUAGACAUGAGGACUUGGUACUUGAGACAGAUCAUUGCUUGCUUGCCAUUUGUGCUCAUUCGCACAUGCUUGUGAGGGUCGCUCCCUACAAGCCGGCACUCCGGAGAUAGCCAUCGCGACACAUGCUCGCCGUGCGGGAUUGGGCGCCGAAGUGGAUUGCCGUGGGGGAGGCUCAUCCCUAGAGUGGGGAUGUUGACUACCACGGGGCCAUUAGGCACGGCGCAGGCCAGACAGCCUUCGGGUGGGUCUUAUAUGAUUGGGACUUAGUGACAGAACGUGCUAUGUGAACUUUAAAACUAUUAAAGUAGACUUGGACUAGAAUAGUAAACAAUGGCAUCUUUACUAUUUUUGCAUUGAGGACAUCGGAUUGGUUGUAUUUCUAUGAUGAUGCAUGUCAUACACAUCCAUAUACAUUCAUGAUAUCGUUGCUUCAUUACUUGUACAAAUCAUGCUAAAUAGAAAGUCUAUGUUAUAGUGAGUUACAUUUUACUUACCUGUCGCUUUACUACAUUGUUAGUCACUGACCUCUUUUUGUAGCUUUGGGCCUUGUGGUGCAUUCACUGAAGUCAGUAAUUGCCCACUGGGAACUAUUUUUAAUAGUUCUCACGCCCCUGUUUCAUUGUUUACUUUUCAGAGCCUUCGGCACCGGCGGAGCGUGAGAUUGGCCUAGGUGGUUUGCUCUUUCUUUUGUAGUUGGGAGAGUGAGAGAUUUUGUAUCCAUGUGUAGAGACCACCUAUGUACCUACUUUUAGCACUUGUAUUUGGGAUUUCCUAUUGUAUUUACUUUAUGUCUUAUUUAGUGAAUUUACUGUUUUAUCCCUUGUUGUAGCAUUUAGACACUUACUAUGCUCUGAUACUUCUAGAUGUCUUCUGUUAUUGCUUUUAUUAUUGUUGUUAGUAGACGCCUUAUAUGUUUUAGACGUAUGGCGGGUCUGGGCACGUGCCGGGCGGGCUUCCGCUGGGCCCCGGGGCGUGACAAUUAUGAUUGGGUCUUAUGACAACUCUAAAAAGUUGGAGUUUAAUCGGAGUGCAUGACUUCUAGCUUCGCGGAGGGUUUCGUUAGCGGCCGACAACCUAACAUUGGGAGUUAGUUGUGGAUGACACUUCCUUAUUUUCGCAUGAUUUGGGUACUGUUAUUUGAGUGGGGAUUCGAUAGCGCGGGUUACUAAUUUGCGCUUUUAUGUUCUGUAGUGACGAUGCCGAUUACAUGCUCUCAAUCUGCGGGAGCGGACAAUGCAGUGCAGUUUGAGGAGGCUGAGACCUCCGCUACCUCCGGAUCCGGCGAGGUCCGUGAGUUGAGGGGCCAGCUGGCAGCCCUCACUGAUUUGGUGACGCGACAGGCAGACACGGCGCUUCCACAGGAGGCGCGGAUGAAGUGCCUAGAGGACCUUCUGCUGCAGCAGGCGACGGCCAGGAAAACUCAGAUCCCUACACCUCCCGCACCAGUAGAAGUGGUUGCGCCCAGGGUGUCGUCCCCUGCACUCGACGCUUCUAGGACGGCACCAGCGGCGGCACCUCGGGGAGAGGACAUCGCGGCACCACCAGCGCGAGCAUCUGUAGCGGGGGCGGUUUUCCCCGUGAUGGUUGAGGGAGCUGAGCGGGAUCGGCUCAUGGAAUGACUCAGCGAGUUUAGGAGAUGCAGUCCCCGGACCAUUGACGGGGAGAACGUGGACCAUUGGAUUGUAGAGAAAUGGCUCAUGCAUAUGGAGAAGCUAUUUCGGGACACCUUCGUCGAAGAGAGGGAUAGAGUGUGGCUCGCCACACAUCAUUUGUACGGCGAGACCUAUAGAUGGUGGUUGGACAUCCAGGAGAACCCCAGCAUGGAUCUGACGGCGAUUACUUGGAGGAGGUUCAAGGAACUCCUACUGGAGCAUUACUUUCCGGACAGUGUCAAGAGGAAGAUGGAGCAGAAUCUACGCAACCUUCGCCAGGGAGACAGGACGGUGGCCGAGUACGAGAGAGAGUUCUCCUGGCUUCUUCAUUGCGUGCCCUUCGUUGUUCGGGACGACGAGGACAAGGCCCGCAUCUUUGAGCGGGGAUUGCAGCCUUCGAUCUUCCGAUUUGUUCAGUCUUCCAACCUCCAAACCUACCGGGAGGUUGUAAACCGCGCACUCAUCGUGGAGAGUGGAGCAGCGGAUCUGCAGGAGUGGCGAGAGGCCUUGGAUAAAGGUAAAGGCAAGAGGCCUGCGGCUGAUGGCACGAGUCAGGCGCACUAAGGGAGGCCGCCGAGACAUCCGCGACACCGGAGCCAGUCGUGAAGACGUGGCCAAUCUACUCAGCGAGGAGGACCUGAUCGACGCCAGGCUCCGCGCUGCGUGAUCUGCGAUGGUCCCUAUUUUUCACGGCAGUGUUCACGCAGUCGGGGCAGGUGCUACCUUUGUGGCCAGGAGGGCCACUUCCAGUCAGACUGCCCGAGAGGUCCAGCCCCAGCGCCAUCUUCGGCAUCUGCACCAGCUUUACCGGGUCCCAGCCAGGGGACACCUUCUGUGCAUCACCAGACUGGACGGCCGCCAGUGCAGCGGCAGGCAGAGGGGUCACGACAGGCCCCAAGUGGGCGCAUGUACGCGGCCCAGACUGAGGAGGCGGCGGCAGCCGAGAAUGUGAUCGCAGGUAUCAUUUUACUUUAUGGUAUUCGAGUUCGAGCAUUGUUCAAUACCAGUGCAUCGCAUUCAUUCAUAGACCGGCUGUUUGCCGAGUUGCAUGGCAUUCCUUUGACAUCUUUGUUGCAUCCGGGACGAGUCGUGGUACCCGAUCACUCUUUAGAUGUUCGAGAGUUUUGCCCCAAUUGCCCUGUUCGAAUUGGAGAUUGGGUUAUACCCAUAGACCUUUUAGCUUUGCAUAAACUCGGAGAGUUUGAUGUUGUUUUGGGCAUGGAUUGGUUGACCAAGUACUACGCCACUAUUGAUUGCAAGAAUCGAACUGUGACGUUUAGAAAGCCGAGGCAGGCGGAGGUUGUGUACCGAGGAUGCGCCAGAGUUCGCUGUUUGCGAUGACGAUUAGCUCCUCUCGAGCUAGGCAGCUGAUUAGCAGAGGCUGUGUAGCCUAUUUGGCUACUAUUGUGUUGAGGGGUGAUGCUGACGCCCCUAGGAUUGAGGACAUCCCCGUCGUACGGGAGUUUGGAGAUGUGUUUCCAAUAGAGUUACCAGGCAUGCCACCUGACAGGAAAAUUGAGUUUGUGGUAGAUCUCGUUCCCGGGACUACUCCAAUCUCAAAAGCGCCCUAUAGGAUGGCACCGGCGGAGUUGAAGGAGUUGAAGGAGCUGAAGGCACAGCUGCAGGACCUCCUGGACAAGGGUUUUGUGCGACCGAGUGUGUCACCUUGGGGAGCACCGGUCCUAUUUGUCAAGAAGAAGGAUGGAUCGCUUCGCUUGUGCGUGGAUUACCGUGAGCUCAACAAGGUCACGAUCAAGAACAAGUAUCCAUUGCCGAGGAUCGACGAUCUAUUUGAUAAGUUGCAGGGAUCCAGUGUGUAUUCCAAGAUCGACCUGCAGUCGGGAUAUCACCAGUUGAAGAUCAAACCUGAGGAUGUGUCAAAGACGGCUUUUAGAACACGGUAUGGACAUUAUGAGUUUACUGUGAUGCCGUUUGGGCUUACUAAUGCCCCGGCAGUUUUUAUGGAUUUAAUGAACCGUGUUUUCAAGCCUUAUUUAGACAGGUUCGUCGUAGUAUUCAUCGACGACAUUUUGAUCUAUUCCCGAAUUGAUGCGGAUCAUGAGGAACACUUGAGACUUGUACUUCAAGUGCUUCGGGAAAAGAAGCUCUACGCCAAAUUGAAGAAGUGUGAGUUUUGGCUUAGAGAGGUGGCGUUUUUGGGCCACAUGAUUUCGGGAUCAGGUAUAGCCGUGGACCCGAGAAAAAUUGAAGCUAUCAAGGAUUGGCCGAGGCCGACGAGCGUGACCGAGAUACGGAGCUUCAUUGGUUUGGCCGGCUACUACCGACGGUUUGUUGAGGGAUUUGCGAAGUUAUCUACCCCUCUCACGAGGCUCACGCAUAAGGGCACCAAAUUUGUUUGGAAUGAUGCGUGCGAAAGGAGCUUUCAAGAGUUGAAACAGAGAUUGACGACCGCCCCAAUCCUAACCUUGCCAACUGCUGGAGCAGAGUAUGUGAUUUACAAUGAUGCUUCCUUUAAUGGAUUGGGUUGUGUCUUGAUGCAGGAUGGGAAAGUGAUCGCGUAUGUAUCUCGCCAGUUGAAAGAUUAUGAAAGAAACUAUCCUACUCAUGAUUUGGAGUUGGCGGUCGUGGUCUUUGCAUUGAAGCUAUGGCGCCUUUAUUUGUACGGCGAGCGAUGCGAAGUAUAUACUGAAAGUUUUGAGGAACCCAAGGAUCUAUCUAGNAAAAACGAUCAAAAACAGAGAUCUAUGUAUGAACUUGAAAUUUUUCGAAAAAUAAACAUGAACGCGAUGAAACGAUUAAAUCCAAGCUAAAUACUCACAAAUUUCAGAGGGAAAUCGUGUAGAUCUGCAAGAGGAAGGCACCAGGGAUUUUUAGAGAGAGAAAGAACGAAUUUUGGUUUUGAUUUGAGAGAGAAAUAAACCCUAUAUCCGGUUAUAUAAGUCGCAGCUACAGUGCGCGUACCCGUACGGGAUCGUGUACCGGUACACGAUCUCAGAUUUCGAAAAUUUGAUUUGAAAAUCCAUCACAUUUAAAUUAAUUUCAUAUAAAUUAAGGCUUUUACUCCAAAAAUCAUUACAAUGAAAAUAAUAUAUUAUACAAUUUCAAAACACAUCGAAACAUCAAAAUUUCAAUAUCAAAAAUAAUUUAAUGAUUCAAAAUCAUCAAGAUGUAAGUUGAUGAAAAAUGAUUUUUAGAAAUUCAACAAAAUUGACACCAAUUUAUCGCAAUAUGUUCAAAAUAGAGAUUUAACUAAUAUGGCACCGGGGGUGGCUCUUUGAGCAUCUUUUCAACUUACCAUCUUAUAACUCCGAAAAGUCUAAAAUAUUCAAUUUUUUUUCAACCUCUUUCGGUUAAUCAAUUCAUUCUUCAUGUGGUAGCUUCACACACUUGCCGGACGACCGGGGUGGUAGCUCUUUCCUACAUGUGGUGGUAGUUUUCACACUCCUUUAGGAUGUAACUCUUUCUACAUCUUUUAAACAUAGAAGUUUCUUUUUCUCCAUUUUUUUUUAAAAAAUAAUUUCGAACUCCCCCUAAAUUAGACAAUCUCACAAUUGAAAAUAAUUUUGACGAAUUUUAGUCAAUUAGAGAAUAUCCAUUCAUCAUAUCCAACACUCACAACCAAGAUGAAUUAAUCACCAAAAAAUCAAAUUUGAUUUCAAAAUUUUGAUGAAUAUAUGCAUUAAGAAAUCAUAUAUUAAAUUAUCAUCAAAAUAAUAAACAGUGGAGUAAAAACGAUAAUUAAUAUGAAUUUAACUUAAUAUGAUUGUGAAGUUAAAUACCAUUUAAACAAAUUUAAAAAAAACUUCUCCUCAAAAUAAUGAUUCUCGAUCAUUUCCUUUCUCAAAGAGUUUGAAAUUUCCAAAUACCUUUCCUCAAACCGAUUUAUACACCAAUAAAUUCAAGCACCAAAAAUCAUGUAAACAUGUAAUGCAAUGAAUAAAAUUAAACAACAAGCACCAAUCAAAGCAUACUAAAGAUCAAAAAUGACUAAGACGAGGAGCUAGGAAAGAUAUCACCUUUCCGGAUCCAAACUUGUCGAAUCGUUGGUUUUCUCAACUUGUCGACGUUAGGUGCCGUUUGUUUAGACUUUUGAUCAACCGUUGGUGUUUUCUUCGGUUGAGGCUUAGGUUGAAUUUGUCGUUGAGGUUUAUGCACCCGGUUUGCAUGAACUUGACGUUGUGCAUUAGAAAUCCGAUUCUUUUGAGGUACUCGACUAACUUGAUUUUGCUUUUGAUUCCGUGGGGAAUGUCGAAUAGUAGAUGAAGCCGAUGGAUGUUUUGAAGUUGCUGAUUGUGACUUGCCAUUUUUGUUCGGGCAAUUCCUUUUAAUGUGUCCUUUGAUGCCACAUCGAUAACAUACUUUCUCUUUCAAAGUUGUUGAGACUUUAGAAGUUGAUUUUGAAUCCUUCUCAACGUAUGUUCGUUCAUAUCCAAGGCCCAAUUUGCUCGUUUGACCCAAUCCUAGCAUUUUAUCCAACUUCUUUGAUCCCGAAGAAAAUUGUUGAAGAUCGGAUUGGAGUUGACGAACUUGGUUGGUCAAGACUUGAUUGGACUUGUGCGAUUCAUGAAAUUGAUGCUCCAAAAAUCUAAUCUUAUCGUUAGAAGAUUUGAUCGUUGAUUCCGCUUCAUUAAGCUUCUCUUGGAGGUCCGAAUUAAUCUUCAAGUUUGAAUCCCUUUCCUCCUCAAGAACCUUAUUCAAAUUCUUUACGUUGUUGUUUUCCUCCUCAAGUUCCAACAAACGACGUCUCAACUUCUUGUUGAGUUUAGCCAUCUUCUUUGAUUCAAUGAGAAGUUGAUUGUACGCUUUCGCUAUGUCGUCGUCGUUUGAUUCCUCCUCACUUUCGCCAUUGUUGCUCGAAGAAUCAUGUGAAGAAAGAGAAAUGUUGGAAUUAGUAGCAAAAGAGGAUAAACACACAACAUUCGACGAAGGUAGAGAAGUGGUAGUAAAUAAGGCAAUUUGAUCAUUCUUUCCUUCGUCACUUGACGAUGAUUCACUUGAUGUUGAAUCAUCCCACGUCUUUGCUUGCAUAGCCUUUUGUCUAUACGUCUUCUUUGAAGGACAAUCCGUUGCAAUGUGGCCGUAGCCUUUACAUUUGUAGCAUUGGAUCUCUCCUUCAAAUUCAUCCUUUUCCUUUGAAGACUUUGCACGGUUUGUAUCCUUAGACUUUGACGAUGAAGAUGAUUUAGACAAAGAUUGUCGCUUAGACGAUGAAGCCUUUUUCGACGAAACUUCUUCGUAAGAAGCGCCAAUUGUUGUUCAAAGUCCGCAAUUGAUAAAUCAUCAUCGGAACUCGAGUCUUCGUCCUUCUCCUUUGUAGAUUUCAAUGCAACACCUGUGCUUUUAGAAGAAGACUUGACAAAAGAUUGAUUAGUAGGAAAAGUCAUCUCAUAAGUUUGCAAAGCACCUACUAAUUCUUCGACUUUCAUCUCGUCCGGAUGCUUAACCGUUUCGAUCGCGGCAACCUUUGCCCGAAAGCGUUCCGGAAGAGUUCGAAGAAUCUUUCUAAUAACCUUAGAAUCCGGGAUUUUCUCUCCCAAGUUAGCACAUGUAUUCACAACGUCUUGUAGACGUGUAUAGUACUCGGUAAAUGUCUUAUUUUCAUCCAUAGAAAUAGAAUCAAACUUGCUUGUUAGCAUUUGCAAUUUUUGGACCUUUACUAAGCUCGUUCUUUCAUGCGUAACUUGUAAAGUAUCCUAAAUUUCCUUUGCCGUUUCGCAAGCCGAAACACGAGUAAACUCCGUUUGAGACAAUGUAUUAAAUAAAGCGUUUAUGCCCUUGCCGUUAAACGAAGAUGUCUCGUUUUCUUCUUUCGUCCAUUUGUUCCGUGGUUUUGGCUUUUCAACAUUAUCGACCUUUUCUAUCGGAUGUUUCCACCCAAAUUCAAUUGAUUGCCAAACCCGCUCAUCGAUAGCAAUUAGAAAAGCUCUCAUGCGAACUUUUCAAUAAGCAUAAUUCGUGCCGUCGGAGAGCGGAGGUCGAUUAAUGUUACCACCUUCGGCCAUUAGAUAACAAUUUAUCUAGAUCCCUCUUUGAUACCAAUUGAAAGUUUUGAGGAGCCCAAGGAUCUAUCCAGAUUGUAUCUAUCACCUAGAGGGGGAUGAAUAGGUGAACGACCAAAAACCACAAAUCUCGAUGCAAUAAAAAUAAAUGCGGAAAAUAAAAAGCACACCGAGAUUUACGUGGGAAAACUCCAACUUGGAGAAAAACCCACGGGACCAACACGCGAAAAAACAAUUCACUAAGAGAAAAGAUUGCAAGGUGAUUACCGACUCCACGGACUCAACCUCUCUUAACCUCCUAUGAAUCUUCGCGCUACCCUCCAGGUUGUCCACGCCCUCACGUUCGAGUCCACGAACGCCUCCACUUCGAAUCCACGAAGCUUCAAUCACGCCGAAUCCACGACGCCACUCGAAUCCACAAGCCAACGAUCCGAAUCCACGAACCACCUUUGUUCACGCCGAAUCCACAACGCCGUUCAUGAAGAGCAUCAUGAUUAUGGUGAUCCUUCGCUUAAGAGUAUCGUAGAAAACCAGGGAAUAGAACUCCAAGCGAAGCGGAGAUCAAAUCGACAUAUAGAGAAUGCGAAGAACAAUAUCUCGAUUUGAUCUAAAGAGGCUAAUUUGUAGAAAAUAGGUUUAGAAUGAAAUCCGAGCCUCUAGGGUUUCUCAAACAUGUAUUCUUAUGAUGCUUGAUAUGUUAGAGAACCCCAAUAGCUUAUUUAUAGACUUUAGAAUCAAUUGGAGUCGGAUUAGAAAGUUUUCACGAUUUUACACUGUGUACUGGUACACGAAAGGCUGUCACCGGUACAUAAUGACGGAACGAAAAUUCAUUGCCAAUGUUGAUGGCUGUACCGGUACGUGGCGCUUGCUGUACCGGUACACAAUGCAUUUUUUCAGAUUUUGCAUUGUUUCGGGUUUUCAACGUUCCGAGGCACUUUCUAAUCCAUUAAACUUUGAGUUUAUGAUUCUAAUGCCUAUAACUAAGUAUGAAUCACUAUAACAUGAAUUAAAACUCAACCUUUACGUCGUGAUUCAUAUUGUGAGCAAAUUUCCAAAAUCUUUGAAAUCUUGAAUUCUUCAAUCUUCAUCAAUCCGCUUCGAUCCUUCAAGACUCCGAUUUACUUCACGAAACUUGCCAAUACAAAGUCCUUAACAUAUACGGAUCACAAAAGCUUAAAGUAUUUAUUCACGCAGAAAGAGUUGAACUUGAGGCAGCGCCGAUGAUUGGAGCUACUCGAGAAUUAUGAUUUGACUAUACUUUACCACCCUUGCAAGGAUAACGUGGUGGCGGAUGCGCUAAGUAGGAAAUCAACGGAAAACUUAGCGAUGCUUGUGGUUACUCAACCGCCGUUGAUCGAGCAGAUGAAGUGGUUGGGGUUGGAAGUGGUGGCUCUUGAUACACCUUUGAGACUGAUGUCUUUGGUGGUGCAACCUAUACUUGUGGAAAGAAUUAAAGAAAAGCAAGUCUCCGAUGUGAAGUUGCAAAGGUUCGAGCUAAGAUGAUUGAUGGUUACACCGGUGACUUUUCAGAGGACGGUGUUGGAUUGAUGCGUUUCCGUGGACGGAUCUGUGUACCGGCGGAAUCAGCACUUAGAGAAGAGAUUCUUCAAGAGGCACACCGAGCACCGUAUGCAAUACAUCCGGGAGGCACCAAGAUGUACAAGGACUUAAAGUUGCUUUAUUGGUGGCCGAGGAUGAAAAAGGACGUUGGUGAGUUUGUUGCUAGAUGUUUAACUUGCAAACAGGUUAAAGUUGAGCACCGAGUUCCUGCGGGGAAGUUGCAGACCCUACCGGUACCAGUUUGGAAAUGGGAGAAGAUCACCAUGGACUUUGUGAUGGGUUUGCCCCGCUCGUAGGCUGGGCAUGAUGCUAUCUGGGUGAUCGUGGAUAGGUUGACGAAAUCGGCACAUUCAUACCUAUUCACACUACAUGGACUGGUGAGAGACUCGCACAGGUAUACUUAGAUGAGAUUCUGCGAUUGUACGGGGUACCUACAUUUAUUGUAUCAGGCCGAGACCCCUGAUUUGUAUCUCACUUUUGGCGGAGCUUACAGGAUGCCUUGGGUACGCGCUUAGACUUCAGUACAGCUUUCCACCCCCAGAGUUACGGGCAGUCAGAGCGUACGAUACAGACUCUCGAGGACAUGCUUCGAGCCUGUGUGAUUGACUUCCAGGGAGGAUGGUCGCAGCAUCUACCGAUGGCAGAAUUUGCUUAUAACAACAGUUAUCAAGUAAGCAUCAAGAUGGCACCUUUCGAGGCACUAUGGACGGAAGUGUAGAUCGCCACUUCAUUGGAGGGAAGUUCGCGAGAGAUUGGCUUUAGGCCCAGAUAUGCUCCAGGAAGCAGAGAACAAGGUUCGCAUUGCUAGGGAGCGGUUGUUGAUAGCCCAGAGUAGGCAAAGGAGUUAUGCUGACAGGUGUCGACGAGACUUGGAGUUCCAGAUUGGUGACCAUGUCUUCUUGAAAGUCUCGCCGACCAGAGGAAUAAGAAGAUUUGAAAUUUGGGGUAAGCUGAGCCCCCGAUACAUCGAACCGUAUGAAGUUUUAGAGCGUGUAGGCCCGGUAGCGUAUCGACUUGCGUUACCUCCGAACCUAUCGGGUGUAUACAAUGUUUUUCAUGUAUCGGUCCUUCGGAAGUACAUCCAUGAUCCGGCUCACGUGUUGGACGCCACACCUUUGGAGCUGAGUGAUGAUUUGAGCUUUGAAGAGCAACCUUUGAGGAUUUUGGCUCGCGAAGUAAAGAGGCUGCGGAACCGUGAGAUUCUCUACGUGAAGGUGCUUUGGAGCAAUCACGACGAGUGCGAGGCCACUUGGGAGUUGGAGAGCGCCCUACGGGAGCGCUAUCCCCAUCUUUUUUAGAUGGAGGCUUGAGGUACUUUACUUUUGAGUUUCGCGGACGAAACUCCUUUUAGAAGGGGUGAAUGUAACACAUUGGACCUGUGCAAAUUGCGAGGUUCGAGUGAUUGGAUGUGUUUCGAGCUUUUCCACACUUGGUGGAGGGUCGUGGAAUGUUUUUUGAUCCAAAAAGUCCGAAAACUUGAGUUUUGGAUGAGUCCUGAGAGUUUUUACUCUCGGGGACCGGUCCCUGAUAGGAGAGACCGGUCCCCCAGUGAGCAGUGUUGCGCUGUCGGCGAGGCAACCGGUCCCUGGCGGGCGAGACCGAUCCCCGAGCGCGUCUUCACAGUGAGAGACCGAUCCCGCGCGGGGAGAGACCGGUUCCCAAAGGAUGGUUUCUCGGGUUCGACACGAGAGACCGGUCCCUUGCAGGGAGAGACCGGUCCCUCUGGGCGAAAUCUGCCCAGACCGGGCUGAUACGAUUUUGGCUUUUUGAGGGACCUCCUGGGAUUUUGUUACUUUGGAGGGCCUAAAUAGCCAUUCCACCCUCUCUUUUCAUCAUUUCCUCAUUCUCACCCUCUCCCUACACCUUCUAGAGAGAGAAGAAGAAGAAGAAGGAGAAGAAGAAGAAGAGCUUGCUUGAGGGAGCUUGGAGCUCCUCGAGGGAUCUUGGAGCUCAACCCCCUUGCUCUCCUUUCCACCCUUGCAAGGCUUGGAGCUUGCUUGUAGGGCUUGGUAGUGGACCAAUCCUCAACCCUAGAAGAUUUGGAGCUUGUUUGGAGGCGUCUUGAGAGGUUAGUACUUCGAUUCUACCCUUUGAUCCUUGUUUUGGUAGAUUUUACCAUAUGGAACCCUAGAAUGGNUUUCAUAAUGCAACUAUUUCGUUACUAUUGCCUUGUUGACUUACCUUUUCUUUGGGGGCCUAGUGGUGCAUUGAGCUGAGGUCAGUAAUUGCCCACUGGGAACUAUAAAUUAUAGUUCUCACGCCCUCUGUUUUAUGUCUUCUUUCAGAGCCUUCCACGCCGGGAGAGGCUAGGGACCAUGAGAAGGGCGUUGCUUCGAGCUAGCUCUUCUCCGAGGGACGAGUGGAUAGGUGGUCUACCUCUCGAUGUUUUUAUUUUGGAGAGGUUGAGAGCUGUACCAGUGUACUAGAGACCACCCCUUUGUGUACUAUUUUGGGAGAUGUUAUUGUACUACUUUAUGUUCUACUCUUAUUGUUUUUGUAUACCUCUUUUACCUUGUUAUAGACUAUAGAUCUAUCUAUGCUCUGAUAUCUCUAGAUGUAGGUUACUUUUGGUUUAUUUUUCCACUGUUGUUGUAGACGCCUUAUAUGUGUGGACAUAUGGCGGGUCUGGGCACGCCACCGGGAGGGCCUCUGCCGGUCCCGGGGCGUGACACUGGACCUAGAUAGGUCAAUACUAUAGGGUUUGAGACCAACACUUGAGUCGUGAAAUGGAUUCCGGAAUCCCUAGUGAAGUGGCCGCAAAGGAAGCNGCAGGGAGAGACCGGUCCCUCUGGGCGAAAUCUGCCCAGACCGGGCUGAUACGAUUUUGGCUUUUUGAGGGACCUCCUGGGAUUUUGUUACUUUGGAGGGCCUAAAUAGCCAUUCCACCCUCUCUUUUCAUCAUUUCCUCAUUCUCACCCUCUCCCUACACCUUCUAGAGAGAGAAGAAGAAGAAGAAGGAGAAGAAGAAGAAGAGCUUGCUUGAGGGAGCUUGGAGCUCCUCGAGGGAUCUUGGAGCUCAACCCCCUUGCUCUCCUUUCCACCCUUGCAAGGCUUGGAGCUUGCUUGUAGGGCUUGGUAGUGGACCAAUCCUCAACCCUAGAAGAUUUGGAGCUUGUUUGGAGGCGUCUUGAGAGGUUAGUACUUCGAUUCUACCCUUUGAUCCUUGUUUUGGUAGAUUUUACCAUAUGGAACCCUAGAAUGGAAUUUUAGGGUUGAUUUUGGGCCUUUUUGAUUUAGGGCUUUUGAGGCUAGAUUUCUUGGAUUAGAACCCUCCUUUGGGUUAGAUUGGAAGAUCUUAGCCUUCUUUUGGAACUUGAGAGAGAAUUUCUACUCCCUAGGUGAGUUUUUGCCCUUUUCUUAUGGUUGUUAAUUUAUGAGCCUAGAGUUGCUCGUAACGCUCGUGUAUCUCUUCACUCAUUACUUUUAGGGUAUUUUGAGACUCGUAGACAACUUCUUUCGGCGAAACGAAGGACACUGCGACGGUUCGAUGGGUUUGACCUAGCCUGGCAUAUGAGAAAUUCUCAUAUCCCAUGUUUUAUGCUUGUAGAGUAAAAAAUUCAUGAAUUUCUAUGUUAAAUGUAUUUAUUGUGAAUUUUAGGAUGCUUAACAUGCCUAUAUUAUGUGUAAGAAAUUUCGGGCCCCUAUAUAGUAGAGGGCUACCAUGUGGGACUUGUACAUGAUUGACAUCCUAUUGAGACUUGGAAUCAUAUUUACUGGUGUGAAAAUGAGCAUUACCUUCAUGCAUUUUAAGCUAUUCCUACUUGAGACUUAAAGGAUCUUAGUAAGCCAUAAAGAGGCAUAUGACAAUAUUGAUAUGUGAGAUCGUGAGCUAAUGUCAUAAAGCGGCAUUGAGCUCGGGUUGUGUGGGAACCUAGUGGAUAGGGCCAUUGAGAGAAUUGGAACAUGUUUGUACAUUGAAAUGUCUAAGUGUCAUAAAGGGGCACUAGACUUAGUGAAUGAUAGGAGCUUCACAUUGUGACCUAGAGUUAGACCAUUGAGAUGCUAGUGACUAUUACCAUGUUAGAGACAUGAUGAUUGGGUACUUGAGACGAUGAUUACGCUUGCUUGCCAUAUGUGCUCAUUCGCACAUGCUUGUGAGAGUCGCUCCCUACAAGUCGGCACUCCGGAGUUGGCCUACGCGACUUAUGUUCGCUCGUGCGGUAUCGAGAAACCUACGGGGUCGGGAGCGAUAGACUCAUUCCUAGAGUGGGAAUGCUGGAGCUAUCACCGAUACUUAGGUGGCACAAGCUGGACUACAAUAUGUGAGUCCUAGAACAUGUUGGAAAUAAUGACAUUUGAUCGAGAGAUGAUAAUCACUACUAGAUAGGUUUAGUAGUUGGAUUACUAUGAUAUGCUUAUAGCAUAGUGUUGAGACACGUAGAUAUACUCGAUGUUUAUUUAUUGCAGAUAGUACACUUGCUACCAUGAUAGAGCAUAUUCAUCAUACAUUGACAUUGUGGAUCAUGUUACUACCUGUUCGUUGUGUUUGGACAUAUUAGUAUGUUUGAUUACUUCAUUGGAGAUAAGUAGAUGUAGACACUUUCGCAUAUGUUUACUUGUGAUAUAGUAGCUUAGCAAUUAUUUAUGCUUUAUAAUGCAACUAUUUCGUUACUAUUGCCUUGUUGAUUACCUUUCUUUUGGGCUAGGUGGUGCAUUGAGUCGAGUCAGUAAUUGCCCGUGGGAACUAUAAAUUAUAGUUCUCCGCGCUCUGUUUUAUGUUUCUUUCAAGCCUUCCACGCGGGAGAGGUUAGGGACCGUGAGAAGAGCGUUGCUUCGAAGCUAGUUCUCGAGGGACGCGUGGAUAGGUUACCUUCGUGAUUUUUAUUUUGGAGAGGUGAGAGCUUGUACAGUGUACUAGAGACCACCCUUUGAUGUACUAUUUUGGGAGAUGUUAUUGUACUACUUUAUGUUCACUCUUAUUGUUUUUGUAUACUCUUUUACUUUGUUAUAAGACUAUAGAUCUAUCUAUGCUUUGAUAUCUCUAGAUGUAGGUUACUUUGGUUUAUUUUUCACUGUUGUUGGUAGACGCCUUAUAUGUGUGGACAAUUGGGGUCUGGGCACGCCACCGUGAGGCCUCUGCCGUCCGGGGCAUGAACUGGACCUAGAUAGGUCAAUAUAUUAGGGUUUGAGACAAACUUGAGUCGUGAAAUGGAUUCGGAAUCCUAGUGAAGUGGCGCAAAGGAAGCGGUGGCACUUGUCGGUAAAAGAGAUGGCAAGCGAAUCAUAACUGCAAGGUAGUGUUGGUUCUCCCAAGGCUCUGCAGUGAUUCAACGGUAGUGUGUGGUUUCUUCGCCCGGGAUGCCAUGAGAAUAAGAUGAAAUUUGGUAUGUGUGGUUUCCGCGCCAUUAGUUAUCAGAGAUGCGCUAGAUUGACUUAACCAUGUGGUGUGAGGCGAGUGGCCACUGCCAGAUGACUAAGCCAAGAUUUGAGCAUUGUUGGGCGUGUGAUGCCGAUGGAGUGUCGCCGCCAGGUGGCUAAGUCAUGACUUGAGUCAUUGUUGGGUCGAUGCGAUGAAUUCGCUGCCAGAUGGUUAAGUCAUAGGUGCGGUAGGCUGUGACGGCAGCCAGGCUGAGAUGCAGCCAGUGCGCGGACUAUCUGCGGAUGAUUGACUCGAGGCCGAGUCGGGUGGUUAGCUUGAUUAGGUUAAUAGAAACCUUAUAAGCUAGUGAUAAAGGUAAGAGCUAAAGUUAGCAAAGUAAAUGUAGAAUUAACAUAUCUACUAGUUGUUUAUACAGUUGCAUAGUUGCAUAAUAUUCCUGUUGCAUAUUGUGAGGCAAAGCAUGAUAUAUGUUAGUUGCAUUUAAAUUAUGAUUUCAUAUCUAUCUUUUGAACUAACGUGUUGUUGCCUCCUUUGGACCUAUUGGUCGAGCUUUUCCCUUGGGUGGCCGUACCCACUGGGAACGAUGGAGUUGGUUCUCACCCCACAUUAUUUUGGGGUGUUACAAGUUCACACGUGAGCGCGCGGCGGCGCGAGGCAAGGGCGUAGCAUCAUAGUUAGCGCCCUACCACCGAGACCAGAGAUAGCGGUACCUCGAGUCGGUUACUUAGGGAUGUAAAGAAUGAAAAGAAUCAAGUUGCAAUAAUCAUGUUAAAUCAGAUUGUAUUUGGAAGUUAAGUGAAAGCUAAUGUAAGAAUCUAAUGAGAUUUGUGAUGUAAACAUGUAUGAAUGUGAAUGCAUGUAAUAACAUAGGAUGUAUUAUAUUGUUUGAUACCUUCCAUUAUGCAAUCUUGAUUGAAAUGUGUUCCUGGUUGGAACUUCGCACAUUGUAUUGAUUGCUAUGGCUUGAACGUACAGGGGAGACUCUGUCCGCAGUACAGGGGAAACCCUGUCCGUUCGACAGUCUGUUGCGGCGCUGCGACCAGGCCAAAUAGGCAGGCGGUCGCAGGGCAUGACAUUAUUUAGCAUGUAAGAUGAUCACUUUACUAAACCAAUAAGUCGAGAUCCCCUAAGGGCCAUAUCAUCAUUCAUACUCUAACAUGCUUUCUAAGAUUGCAUAAAAGAGAAUUCACCAAAUAGGGCUAAUUCAUGCACAAGUUCACAUAAGAGCUUCUACUACAUAGAGCAUCAAAUUGUCCUUACAUAGCAUAUAUGUAAUGUUUCUCAUAAAUUCUUGCAUGUCAUUUUGAGUAUGAAAAAGCAUUUAAUUGGAUCUUAAAACUAAAAGGAGGUUUAAGGGGGAGUUUACCCAUUUCGGUGAGAUCAAACCUACCGGAAACACUUCGAACUCUUUCGUAACGCCGAACGAAGUUGUCCCCCAAGAUUCUAGCACCCUAAGAAAAAAUCUAAAGGGGUUAAAAGCUACAAAACAACUUCUUCGAAAAUUACACAUACAAGGUGUAAAAUGUACCUGUAACACACUGGACCUUUGCAAAUUGUAAGGUUUGAGUGUUUGCUCUGUGUUCCGAGCUUUUUCAAAUAUUCUGAAGGGUCGUUGACAGUGUUCCGACCUAUGGCUCAUAUCUCGAGAAUUGUAGUAUUUGAAGUAGCGCUAAGGCCACCAGAGAGGAGGAUUUAGGCUGCUCUCGGGUUGCAUUCUGUAGGGCUGUGUACCGGUACACCUUGAUGGUUGUACCGGUAUAGGAUUUAUACCGGUACACCUUGAUGGUUGUACCGGUAUAGGAUUUAUACCGGUACACCUUGAUGGUUGUACCGGUACACUUGUGGUGAACAGCCAACCCGAGGCUCGGGUUUGCUGUCUCGCAGGAUUUGUACCGGUACACUUUUACGUGUACCGGUAUACAGUACAGUGCGAGCAGUUUUUGUAGAGGGGUAUUUUUGCAAUUAUUGCAAAUCCUAUUUAUACUACCCCAGCCCCUUAGAGAGCUCUUUUGAGCCCUAACCAGUGGAAAAUACAGGUAAGACCCUCUCCCCUUGGUUUUUCUCCAUUUUGCUUGGUUUUUAGCUAGUUUUGAUCUCCUCCUCUUUACUUUUUCUUGCUUCUUGUUGGUUUCUAUCAUGAGAGAAGCUUAGAGUUCGGGAUUGGAGCUUUGUGGAGGGAGGAUCUUCAACCCUAGCUGAUUUUGGUCCUUAGUUGAGGCUUCUAAAAAGGUUAGUAACAUGUAUUCCUCAUUUAAUACAUGUUUUGAUGGAUUUUGCAUGUUGGAACCCUAGAUUUGGAAAUUAGGGUUAGAAAUGGAGAUUUUUGAUUAGAGAGUUUUGGAACCAAAUUGAUGGGUUUAGAACCUUUGUUUAGGUUGGAGUGGAAGGACUCUAACUUCCUUUUGGAGAUCCACUACAACAAAACUAGGUUAUAGGGACACUUUCUUGGGACACUUUAGUAUAAGUGUUCCAAAUAUAUUCAAAAAUUUUUAAAAUUUUAAAAAAAAUUUGCAAGGCCCAAAUAAAGACCUCAAUUACAAAAAAAAAAAAAAAGAAAAAGAAAAAGAAAAAGAAAAAAGGAUCGGUCCUCACCAAACCCGUUACCCUGGGUCGUAUUACCCUAAGUCGUAUUCCUCUUUCUCCCCUCACGUAUUACCCUGAGUCGUAUCCCUCUUUCUCCCCUCACCACCUCUUCUCCCCUCACCAAACCCGUCGAAACCCUAGAAAUCGGCCCUCGCGCUCCUCCUCCUCCGCCGUAGCACCCGAAGAGAUAAGGUACGAGACGCCACGGUCGCCGGGAGAGUUGGCACCAAACGUCGAGGCGGCGGCGGCGUUGGGGGAGGAGUCCGGCGAUCACUUCCUGGCUAUGCUCGCGGCGCGUUGAAGGUGCGGAACGAGGAGAAGGAGAAGGUAAGCUCGAUCGAUACUAAGGUUUCUUAUCAUGAGGAUUUAGGGUGUAAUCUCUUGUGAGAAUCUCUUCGUUCGUGAAUUGCUUGCUUGUUUGUGCAUGAAUCGAAUCUGAUCUUCGAUCGAUACUAGGGUUUCUUAUCAUGAGGAUUCAUACGCUUUUAGAAAGCUUCCAAAAUUGCUCAUGUAGAUCAUUUCAUGAAGAUCAAAAUAUUUCGAGUAGAUUUGCUCAUGUAAAGAAUUCGGUUUCUAUCAAAUAGGGCAUGUUGAGCGUAAUCUACUGGAGAAGUGCGAUAAUUUAGUAGUUUGAAGUUCUUGUACUUUGUCGAGUUGGGGAUGUAAAUAGUAAAUAAUAGUAGGUUGUGGAAUUCAUGGUGGACAUGACAAGGAUCUCAUGCUGGAAAUAUCUUAUGUGAAUGUUCCCAAGAGAGUUGGCAAAGUACUUAUUAUAGAUUCUGCUAUAGUUGAUGCCUAGUUGUACUUCACAUCCUUAUUCAAACUAAUAGUAGUGUUUUGAUAUAACAUUUGCCAUCACUAAAGCAAUGUUUCCUUAGUAAACUGGGCAAUCAUGGUUCAGAGUAGAAUGUGAGACAAUUGGAGCAACUCUUUAAGUUACCUACGAAUUGCAAGAAGAUAAGGAGCUAGGAGACUGACUGAACCAUUUAAUUCUUUUACCAUUUGGCUCUAUGCAUUUGAUAAAAUCUUUGUGAUCCUUUUGGCUUAGCUUUUCGUCUGUUUUUUUCUCAUAGUAACUAGGGAACAUGAGACUCUUGGGAAUUCUCAGAAACUCCAUUCAUUGAGGCAGGCCAUCACCAUGCAAGGAAGAUAAACAUGGGAACUUUUUUAAUGAUUAAGAAAUUGCUCUCAAAACAAAAAAAUAAAAAAAUAAAAACAAAAUAAAAGAAAAGAAAGAAAAGGGAUUAAGAUAUUGCUCAAAUGAUUCACAACUGAGAUCUCAUGUGAUUUGCGUAGAGUUAGUUAUGCAAUUACUGUCUUGAAAUUUGUUUUGGUCGUCCUUGAGCUUCUGUUAUCUGGUAUUGGUAAUCUUCUAUGUAAGCUUUUGAGUCAUCACAAGUUCUCUGUAGUUUGUUACCUGCAUUUCUUAUGGUCCAUUGGAUUCUUUUUAGUUAAAUAAUUCUCUACUUCAACUUUGGAGAACCUCAAGAGCUCGGAUUGAGCGCAUGAUCAGCUUCUAAUCCCAAUCUAGGGUUUUUGUUCUUAAGAUCUUACAGUGGAAGAGCACUUAAUUUGAUAUGUGAUUAUAUUUUUUAGAUUAAUUCCUUCUGAUUCUGAUCCAUAGUUUCUACCAACUGUAGUAUUUUGUUAUCAAAUUUAGUUGUACUCUACAGGCUAUCAUUAAUAAUUAGUAUAAUUCUGAACCAUUAAUCAGUUGAUUUCCUAACAAUGCAAAACAAAAGCAAAUGAGAUAUCUAGUUUCCUACAAUGGUAGCUUAGAGGGAGUUGGAUUAUUAGAAUGUAUAGAUUUGAUGUAGGAAAUUCACACUGUAAGGCAAUGUGGCUUGUUCAUGAAACAAUUUAGGAAUUUGCAUUUCAUUUUCCAGCUACCUGCUAGAUAAGCCUCGUAUCAAACCCAUAACUAAAGAUCUAGAGUUUGAGAAAAAUCGCCUCGCUGUAUUAUUUGAAAGGAUCCAAGACCCUGAUAAGUAACAUAUUAAUGUCUUUGGAUUGAAUUUCUCGAUACUAGUUAUUUCUAUCAUAAAGGGGAAAAGCCCUAAAGAAAUGAAUUUGGGGAUUUUUUCUUUAAAGUUUAGAUUAGGCUUUUUAGAACUUGAUUUGAAUUUGUUUAGAGUCCGUUUAAGUGCUACAUAUUAACUACUUUCACAGCUGGGCCAUAAUUUUUAGAGGAUUUGACACUAUAUGGUGAAAGCUCAAUUUUGUCGUUGAUGUGGGAUUCAAUUAUGGGUCCUUGGAUUGACACUUGAGGAGUCAAUUAGGUUCGUCGGGAGAGACCAAGGCCACAGGGCAUUGUGUGUUGGCAAGCAAACAACUUAAGGACAUUUGGUCAUCAUCUAUAGAUUAUUUUAUACGUGAUUAUCAUUCUAUACGUGAUUAAAUUUUCUUAGUCUUGACAUGUAUAAUUUUGGUAUUAACAGGUACCCAAACAUAAGUCUUGAUGCAAUUCAGGGGCUCUGCAGAAUAAGCGAUCAUUUCUUUUCAAUUGAGGUAACCUACUACCACAGCCUUAAUAUACUUUUCAAUUGAUUCUGCUAUUUUUGAGAAUUGCUUAUGUUAUACUUGGAUAUGUCAAUAACCCCUUAAUUAUUUAUUAUGUUCUGUUGGUUUAAUUUCAUUUACAUGUAAGCAUGUAGAUGAUCCAUCAGAAUCUGCACUCUUCGGUGGAUAUAGAUGUAACACACUGGACCUUUGCAAAUUGCGAGGUUCGAGUGUUUGGAUGUAUUUCGAGCUUUUCCACACUUGGUGGAGGGUUGUAGAAUGUUUUCCGACCUAAAAGUUCGAAAAUCAGGAAUUCUGGAUAAGUCCUGAGAGUUUUUACUCUCNUAAACUUGCGGUAUAGAUAUAUUUGGCACUCUCAUCUCUGUUAAGUUUUGCGGUGUAACAACAAUGUUUGGAUCAGACCACCCAUUUUCUGAUUUAUGGCGUAAUAGAUUGUUGUCUAUUCUCUGUCAUUUUUUCCAAUGCAUAAUAGACCAUCCGUUCUCUAUUAGUUUUUAUCAAGAUCGACACAGGUAAAGCAUUAGAUAAUUAUAAUCUGCUGCCACAAAUGAUAUUGAUGAAGACUAAGAUAAAGAGUGCAGCAAUUUUCGUGAUUCUAUCUACUUCCCUGGUAGUGUUACCUUUCUUAUGGUUUUAAUUUUGUCAUAAUUUUGUUGCUCAACUUUGUACUUUGAUUUAAAUACUAAUAUGCACAACUUUUGAUGUUUGUUGAUUGCGGAAAAGAAAGGUUUGGUUAGAUCAUUCCUUCACUUUUAGUAGUUCAAACAUGAAACAUAGGAUCUUUCUACUCUUUGAUCAGAAUAAAUGCAUGUGGUCCUCAUUAAUGGAGCUUCGAGUGAAGGGUAAGGAGCUAUAUGCUUGAAUAUUAUAGCUUCGAACAGAUGAUCUCAAAAUUUUUUGUACUUUGAUUUAUCUUAUUGCUUAUCUUAUAGCUAUAAGAUAAGCUAUAAGAUAAGCUCACUAUUUUUUGUAUUUUUGAUGAGCUAUAAGAUGUUUUGCUGAGCGAGUGAAAUUACCUAGUACCUGGUCUUUUAUUGAACUGUGUGAUCAAUUUAAAUUGUAAAAAUUUGUUAGAGUGUACUUUAAUAAUUUGGUUUAUUUUAUUCAUCUCAGUAAGGCUGCGUUCUCUGUGGGAAUAGAUGGAAACUAAGAUGAUAUGAGUAGGUCAUGCAUUUUCGUGGGUCGGUUAGAAAAAUUACUAGGGUAGCUCAUCAAAAAUAGGAAGUGCAAAAUGUGUUGGAAGUGUAUUUUAUCUUUCGAUGUUAAUUUAUUAGGCUAGAGCAAUAGGGGAGACUCCCUCAGUUUCUCUCUCCUGUUAUUAUUAUUAUUAUUAAUUAUGAGUUUGGUUGGCCUCUCUAAUCGUAAGACCCCUCUAGAAGGGGUAAAGAUAGGACCCUAUGAGCCAUUCUCUAUUUUUCUAAGAAAUGCAUGAACCAUCUUUAGAGCUGCAAUUUUUCUCUAGUUAAUGGUGAAUGCAUGACUAAUGAGUAGCUUUUUGCAUUUCUUGCGGAAUCUUCUAAAUUCAGGAGGAAAAGUAGUACUCUCUCUCUCAUAAGUUUAUUUUUUUGGGAUAAUAUCUAGGUAUAAUAUUUAAGCAUAUCCUUCACUAUUGUACUUUGAUUUAAAUACUAAUAUGCACAACUUUUGAUGUUUGUUGAUUGCAUAAAAGAAAGGUUUGGUCAGAUCAUUCCUUCACUUUUGUUUCUGAACGAAGUUCACAGUGGCAUACAUGAUUUAUAUUGUUCGUAAUUCCUGUGAGUAAUUUCUGCUUUUUUCUUUGUCGCGCCUUACAUGAUUUAUAUUGUUGUAUUAUUAGUCAUCAAUUGAUUCUACUAAGAUUGUUUUGUUAUUGUCUAUGGCAGGGUCUGGUAGUUAGCAAAUUUAUGUAAAGGCUUAAUUGCAUUCUAUUACACUGUACUUUGCUCUUCUUUUUUUUUUAUUUCAUUUGUUGUACUGCACUAUUUGCUCUUUGAAAGACACUACUAAAAGCUGCCAUUUUCUUAUGAAUUUCUAUACUGUUGUUUUGCAUGCUUUUGGCCUCACCCCUACAUUAGCUUUUCUACUCUAAGAAGCUGAAACCAAGAAGCUAAAAGAAAUUCGGAGCUUCUGGCUGGAGCAGGAAGCUAAACUGGGCUUUCGAACCCCAAAGCAAAAGCUAUAUGGUGGAGCUUAUGUUUCUGGUUUUGAAGCUGCUCCUGGAUGGAGCUUUUAGCAGACUUGUUUGAAGAUGCCAUCUCAGUUCUUUUCAUAAAUACCCUUUUCCAAUUUAAUCUAUUGUUUUGGAUGAAAGCUAAUUUUCGUUUCCUACUUUAGCGAGAAGCUCUAGGUUUUUUUAUUUGUGCUAGUGAAAAUAUUGCGAAAAUUGGUUGAAACGGGGAUUUUUUGCAGAAUCUUCUGCUUCACAGCAGAAAUAAGUUGCUUCUAUCAGACAUAAUAAGAAAUGUUUCUUGCAGCUUUACCCAAACACCCAUGAGAAAUGUGCUUUUUCUGGGAGUCGGUUGUCUUGUAUUCCUAAUGCAAAUUUAAAUUAUGUUAUCUAUCAGGUUCAUUCAACAAAAAUUAGGCGGUCCGUCAAUAUCUGAAUAUGAAAAACUACAAGCUGAGAAAUUGGACCUGCAGUUAAGGUACGAUGAACUCUUCGCAGCUCACCAAGAAACAUGCAGACAAGUAACUAACUCUUAGUUUGGUAUGUUAUUUAAAACUUACUUUCAGUUUCUUUUAAAACUAUGCUGAUUUAUGCUGAUAUUAUUAGUAUCAAUUAGUGGAUGCUUUUCUGAAUGAAAUCAAGCAACAUAUUUCUAGUGUUAGUUCGAUUGUACAAACUCAAAAAGUUACGCCCUUUGAUGUAGGAGCUCCGACUAUAACGAAUAAGCUUAAUUAUAUUCUUCUUUCAUGUAAAUGCAUGCUCAGGGAUGAUGACAACGUUUCUGAACUAUAAUUGGAUUAUUAAUGUCUCGAUACUAAUUUUGACGGAAAAUGAUUUGUUUUAAUUUCUUGCGGAAUUCUGCUGCAUUUUAUUGUUAUAAAACAUAGGCAAUACACUUCUUUUUUAAUGUUUGGCAAAUCAAGGAUGUUGCACAAAUUUGAACUAAUUCAAAUGUUAUUCAAUGUGCAGGUUCAAGUAUAUAGUCGUGGAGCCGAUCAGAAUUCGUUUAUGCAUUUUUUUAUUUUUGUUAUCAAACAAUUUUUGAUUUUUUGUAUUUUUUUUUCAGUUAAAGAGUUUAAUUUGUUAUAAUUACUACAACAUAUGAGUGGAUAUUAUUGUUGUGACGUAUGAUUUUAGUUUUAUCAUUUUAACGAGAAUUUAAGAAACUUUGUUAAUUGCUUUUUUUUUUAGUUUCAUCGAUUUAAUGUACAUGAGAUUAGCUUAACUAAAGUUUAAUACUACACUAGUUAUUUAAAUAAAAUAUUAUACUUUGAAUGACAAUGGGACAUUUAUAAAAUGUCACUAUAUAAAAAAAAUAUUACUUUUUUAAAAAAAAUUAGGGACACUUAUGGGUGUCACUAAAACCCAACAAAUAGUGUCACUAAACUGCAGCACUUAUUUUGGGAUAUACUGACACUUUAUUAUGUAUCGCUAUAUACCCUAGGGACUGCACAUAUAGCGACACUAUUUUUAGUGUCGGUAUUUUUGCCAGCAACACUUUUUUUAGGUUUUAAGGACACUUAAAAGUGUCGCUAUAGCUUAGUUUUGUUGUAGUGAUCGAGAGAGUUUCCUUCGCAUUCGGUGAGUUUUCUUCACCUUUACUUGAGUUGCUUAAUGUUUGAACUAUGGGUUGUUCGUAAUGUUCGUGUAUCUCUCUUUUCUAUAUCUUUAGGGUGCUAGGAGAGUAGUGGGCACCUUCGUUCGGCGAAACGAAGAGUUACGAGAGUCACGGUGGGUUUGAAUUCAUGAAUCAUGAGAGAAAUGUCUCCUAUGUGUUCUAUAUUUGUCGUAUCAUCGAAAUGUAUGUAUAUUCAUGCUAGAUAGAAUUUUUAUGAAUUUUAGAAUACUUAAAAUGUAGGGGUUAUGUAUCAUGAAAAUUCAACUCUAUAUAGUAAAGCACUAAGUGUAUUCCGUAUGCAUGUGAAAAGUAUUUUUUCUAGCAAUUUGGGAACAUGUCUUCUAUGAUGAAAAUGACUCGAAUCUAGUACUCUUGAACACUAUACUCAUGUUUGGACUUAGUGGAUGAAAGUGCCAUAAAGGGGCACUCGACUUAGUAAACUGUGAAAUUGCAACAUAGAGACAUAGUGAUAGGCCAUUGGACAUCGACUAUAUUCUAUAUUUUAGACAUAAUGAUAUAGUGAUAGGCCAUUGAGACAUAUGCUAUAUUCCAUAUAUUAGACAUGAUGACUUGGGACUUGAGACGGAUAUUACGCUUGCUUGCCAUUGUGCCAUUCGCACAUGCUUGUUAGGAUCACUCCCCAUAAGCGGGUACUCCGGAGAUAGCGAUCACAACACAUGCUCGCCCGUGUGGGAUUGGGCGCCGAAAUGGGAUGCCGUGGGGGGAGGCUCAUUCCUAGAGUGGGGAUGUUGACUACCACGGGGCCAUUAGGCACGGCACAGGCCGAACUACCCACGGGUAGGUCCUACAGGAUUGGAACAUUGGUGACUUAGUAUACCAAGUGGACAUUGACUAGAAUAGUAAACAUUGACAUUUUACUAUAUAGCUUGUGGACAUUAUGUUAGUUAUACUCUUGUACAUUCAUGUUAGAGUAGCUUUCAUACUUAUGCAAAUUUCAAACUAAGUAGAGAUAUCCUGUUGUAGUAAGCUUUUAUUUUGUUGCUUAAUGUUUCGUUUUGCCUCUACAUGCACUUACCCCUUUUAGCUUUGGGCCUAGUGGCGCAUUUCACUGAAGUCAGUAAUUGCUCACUGGAAACUAUUAUUUAAUAAUUCUCACGCCCUCUGUUUUGUGCUUUCUUUACAGAGCCCUCUACACCGGUGGAGGCACGGGAUCGUGGCAAGGGAGUUACCUAGCUAGAUAGGGAGGAGGUUACUUGUCACGCCCCGCCCCGAAACCAAUACCAAUUUGGCACGAUUCGGCUGCGGCGACGGACCGCCGAACGGACAGCACCUCCCUUGUCCGCCCAAGGCUCAACGACAGGAAUGUGUACAAGAAUUUACCCAGGACUUUAAAUUCUAAACAUACACAUUCAACGAGGGCACAAACAGUGCCAACAACAAGAAGAGCAAGUAAUCCACAAGAUAUACGAGUGAAAUAAAGAGAGUACUUUACUAACUAUUACAAUAGUUGCAUUCUUUACAUUUACAUCAUUUUCCCAAAAUGAAUACACUUGAUCCUCGAAAUACAUAGCUUUUCAACCUCACCUACAUGAAUCUCUCUCUAUACAUAGGUGUGCUAAUGCAAAAGGAAAGCUACUAUACUAUCACGGCCUCACUGAUCAGGCGCGACGCCCUUGCCGCGGUCCUCUCUCUGCAGCCCUGAACCUACCACUGGAAAUAGAGUGGGGUGAGAACUAUCUUCCAUAGUUCCCAGUGGGCUCGGCCGCCGACUCUGCCGAUCUCCCCACUAGGUCCAAGUGGGCACAAGUAACAACAGAUAGAUAGAUAGAUAGAUAUGUAUCUGAAAGCUGUAAAUGCAGUAGUAGGAAAACUAUGCUACUAUGCCCAUAAUCAUGAAUAUGAAUGCAUGCAUCAUAUAAUAAAGGUUUGCUACCAUGCUAACAAAUUCGAUCCAUGUUCGAAUAGCAAUGUUCAAUGACAUUAAUAAACCUUUAACCUUUUCAUUUACCCAAUCUGUGGCGAGGCCCUAGGGCUCGCCCAUGACUCACCUUCAAAUCCCAAAGUGGGGAGGGAGCUCCAAGUGCACCCAAGCCCGAGACCGUCUGCGGACGUCCAUGUGGUCCGGACCUCCAAGUGGUCCUAGUCGCGCGACACUCCGGAGUACUCGACGACAAUCCCCUCCAUGUGGGGAUUGGAUGGCUAUACCAUCCUAAACGCAGACUGUGAGCUAGAUCUAUCCUCUCCAAGUGAGGAUACACUGUAACUAGGGUCUACACCCAAUCCAAUCCUCUCCAAGUGAGGAGGCUCUACAACUAGAGUCAAUAACCCAAUCGAAUCCUCUCCAAGUGAGGACGCCCUACACUAGGGUCAACGACUAUCGCGGAAUCAUCGGUUCCCGACAUUCAUGUAAUGCUAUUUAGUUUUCUAAAUUCAUUGUUCACAAGGCAUUUUCUAAGGGAUCCACUUAUCCCUAGGUCCAUCGACCUCUAGUGUUAUUUACACUACAUUAAUGCCACUCGUUAUCAUUCAAUGUUUGGAUGCCACUCGUUUGUUCUUUAACAAUAACACUACUUUCUAUGUCAUCAACACUCCUAUCGGGUUCAUCUCUAUCUUUAGCAUCAUAGGAUCCACCUUCCGACCCAAUCCUCACCUAUCUAGUUACCAAGCGUUCCAAGUACACUAAGUCAUCAAUUAGAAAGCAUAAGGAAUGGAGCUACUAAGCAAUCCUACAAUGCAACAUGAAGAGAUGAGAUUAAAUGCAAUCUAAGACAUAGAAAGGAGUUCGAAAGUUUCGGAUGACACCCCCCACCUUUAAUCGAUGUAGAGGCUUGGAAAAUCCUUCUCGGCGAGCUCUACGAAAAGGCUUUAGCCUUCCUCGCCCGAAUCAACACUAGCCCGGCCCGAUUUUGCCGAGAACUUCACGUCGGUUCGCCGAAUGCCGAAAUCGACUUCGCCCCCGCGUUUUGUGACCUAUCAAUAGGGUUUCCAAGGCUUCAAAUGAGACCAAUCUCAUACUUAUACAAAAACCCCAUUUUGGAGCCCUAGGUUUGCACCUAUAGCAAACCACCCAAUAAAUCCCUAGAUUCUUGGGAUUGAUCUAUUUAGAAGCUAGCUUAGGGUCCAUUUGACCCAAUCCAAGGCAUAAAAUCCAAAAACUCUAAGUUUACAAAGCUAGGGUUUAGUAGCUUACCUCAAGAGCUACACCAAUGGGAAGAGGAGAGGGAGAUGGAGGUGCUCAAAGCCUUCCUCUUGAUCUCCUUCUUCUUCUCCUUCCUUAUCUUCCUUUUUUUUUCCUUCCUCUCCUUCUUAUUCUUCUUCUCCUUCUUUCCUUUCUAGAGAGAGAGAGAGGGAGCAAGAGAGAAAUGAGAGUGAGGGAGAGUGGAAUGAGAGAGUGUGAGGGAGAGAGAGGGCUCAGCCCACUCAAAUAAAAGCCAUUUUGCAUAAAAGCCCCUCAACUUUCCCUCCUGUGCACUGCCCUCACUAGGCAGUUUUCGCGCGGAGGGACCGGUCUCCCCGACUUGGGACCGGUCCCCGAGAGCUUCCCUCGGGCGCACGCGUUCGGGAACCGGUCUCUCCCCGGGAGACCGGUCCUCGGGAGACCGGUCCUCACCUGAGAGACCGGUCCCCAAGAGCUUGAUUUUCAGGACUUAGCCAAUUUUUGGCAUCUCUCGCUGGGACCACGUUCGGGAACCGGUCCCCCCCUACCAGGGACCGGUUGCGUCAUGCAACCCCGCUACAACAAGCCAGGGGAACCGGUCUCUUACUUGCAGAGACCGGUCCCCGAGAGCAACAUCAGCCCAAUGAUGCAAUUUGCCUCAUUUGCUCUCGCGGACUCAACUCCAAGGCACUUUUUGUGCUUUGGACAUUCCCAACUCCCACAAAGGGUAUACUUUUGACAAUUAGUCGAUCCUGGAUGAAGUACAAUCCUCAUAUUUCGAGAAUUCACUUCCUUACAUUACUUUUGUUUAGGUAGUUUUCUCUCUUUUGUGUUUUGUUGAGAGAGAGAGAGAUUUUGUAUCCAUGUAUAAAGACCACCUCUGUAUUACCUUCAGUUUAUGUACUCGGGUUUUGUUAUUGUACUACCUUAUGGUUUUAUUUAGUGGAUCUAGCUCUUUACUUAUUUUCUUUUCCUUGUCAUAGAUACUAGAUGUUGUAUACUCUGAUAUCUCUAGAUCUCUUCGUGUUGUUGCUUUAUUUAUUACCUUAUUGUAGACGCCUUAUAUAUUUUAGACGUAUGGCGGGUCUGGACACGCGCCGGGCGGGCUUCCGCUGUGUCCCGGGGCGUGACAGAUCAUGUCUAUGAUGUUCAUAAUGCUACAAUAAGUGACGAUACAUCUCAUUACUAUUCUAACCAUACAUUAUGCCAAUCAAUAUAAGUGUAACAUACUACCACUAGGGUGUCAAUGCUAACAAUGACUAACAUAAGGUCCACAUAUGCACUAUCAUGCAUAUCCACUAGUCCAACUGAUAUAAAUCAUCUAGUAGUAGUUUUCACAUUACACUUUAGGUUUCGUAGUUCAAUCCUCAUCAUGGAUCUACACAUGUGUAGUCCGGCUUGUGCCGUGCCAAAAAUGGCCCCGUAGUAGUCAACAUUCCCACUCUAGGAAUGAGCCUCCCCCACGGCAUCCCAUUUCAGCGCCCAAUCCCGCACGGGCGAGCUUGUGUCACAUAGGCUAUCUCCGGAGUGCCACCUUGUGGGGAGCGACCCUCACAAGAAUGUGUGAAUGAGCACAAAGGCAAGCAAGCGUGAUCAAUAGUAUCCAACUCUCGGUCAUCAUGUCUAAAAUAUGGAAUAAGUGGCAAUGACCCUAAAGGUCCCAUAUAGUAUUACGAUGUCAAGGUUUAUCAUUUAUUAACCCAAAUGUCACUACAUGACGUUCAUGAUUACUAUGUCAAGUAACAGUCACUAGUUCAAAUGCACACAACCAUUGCCAUUAUCCUAUCUAGGGUAGUUCACUUUUGUCCAAGUCUCAAUGAGAGUUCACACUUAGUCUAUUCCACUAAAGCUAAGGAAGUCACUUUCUUAUGGUGUAUGCAUAGUUACCACUAAUUAUUUAUAAUGCUCAUGAUGCAAGCCAUGCACAUAUAUCUUCCUACCCAUACCUCCACCUUAUGGAGUAAUAACAAUUAUGCGAGUGCUUUCAUUCAAUAAUGCCAUAUGCAAAUAUUCAACUAGAAUGAAUGUUCCAACUUGGUUUCUUAUAGAUCUUACAUGUACUACGUUACCAUGCCCCAACUACUUGCCUACAACAAGUGUGAUAUUGUCAUGCAAAUAUAUGCUAAGUCUCAUUCAUGCACAUGUCUAAGUCAUGUAGUUAUGCUAUCAAUCUCAAGGUCAACACCGUGUUAGUUACUAGGUCACAAUACCCUAUUUUCUUGUCUACACAAGUAUAUUAUUUAAUAUGUAAGAUGAUCACUUUACUAAACCGAUAAGUCGAGAUCCCCUAAGGGUCAUACCAUCAUUCAUGCUCUAACAUGCUUUCUAAGGUUGCAUAAAAGAGAAUUCACCAAAUAGGGCUAAUUCAUGCACAAGCUCACAUAAGAGAUUCUACUACAUAGAGCAUCAAAUUGUCUUUACAUAGCAUAUAUGUAAUGUUUCUCAUAAAUUAUCGCAUGUCAUUUUGAGUAUAAAAAACCAUUUAAUUGGAUCUUAAAACUAAAAGGAGGUUUAGGGGGGAGUUCACCUAUUUUGGUGAGAUCAAACCCAUCGGAAAUACUUCGAACUCUUUCGUAACGCCGAACGAAGUUGUCCCCUAAGAUUCUAGCACCCUAAGAAAAAUUCCAAAGGGGUUAAAAGUUACAAAACAACUACUUCAAAAAUUACACAUACAAGGUGUAAAAUAUACCUUGAGUCAAGAAGAACUUGAUCAAAGCCGAAAUCGAAGCUUGAAAAUUUCAAAUCCAAACUAUAAGAGUGUUCUACACUCAUCAAUUCCAACCCUAAAGCCUCAAAUCAAGAAACCCAAAAUAAAAUUCUAGAUUUCUCAUUUCUAGGUUUUAUCUCAAAAAUUCCACUAAAUCAAGAAUCAAAAUAGGGAAACAUGUUUCUAACCUAUCUAAAAGCUUCAAACAAGACUUGGAAUGAGCUAGGGUUGAAGAUCUCUCCUCCAACAAGCUUUUUACCAAGCUCCAAGCCUUCUCCAAAGGUGCAAAGUCCCCAAAAUGCAAAAUAGAGCAAAGAGGGGAGAUCAAAACCUAAAAUCCCAAGCAAAAAGGGAAGAAAAACUAAGGGAAAAAUAGAGUGGAGCUCACCUCUCCCUUUUCUAGUCGCAGCCCAAAAGCCCUUGUCCAAGGGGUGAGGGUGUAUAUAAGUUAUUGCGACAAAAGCGAAAAGAUCCUUCAAAAACUGCCAGACUGCAGUUUACACUGUGUACCGGUUCACGAAAAAGUGUAUCGUUACAAACUACUGUGCGCGCAAACCCGAGCCUCGGGUUGGCGGAAAACAACCCAUCUAUACCGGUACAAUCAUUAAGGUGUAUCGGUACAAAACCCGUUCCGGUACAACCAUUAAGGUGUACCGGUACACUUUCCUGCAGAGACAAACCCGAGAGCAACCCAAUAAUCUUCACUUUGGAGAUAUUAGUGCUAAGUUUAAACCUCGAUUCUCGAAAUACGAGCCAUAGGUCGGAACACUGUCGACGACCCUCCAGAAAGUCUGGAAAAAACUCAGAUCACAAAUCAAACACUCGAACCUCGCAAUUUGCAAAAGUUUAGUGUGUUACAAUUUGGCUAAAGUCCGGAUUACUUUACCGAAGUUUCGGUAUGUUACAUUCUCCACCCCUUAAAAUUAGUUUCGUCCGCGAAACUAACUUAAUUAACAUCUAGAUUUAUACCUUAAUCCAGAUUCUCGAAGAGAUGGGAAUAAUGCUCUCUUAUUGCACUCUCGAGCUCCCAAGUAGCUUCCCGAUCAUCGUGGUUCUUCCAACAAACUUUAACAUAUGAAAUCUCACGGAUUCCUAGUUUUCUUACUUCUCGAUCGAUGAUGUACGUCGGGAACUCUUCAUAAGUCAUAUCCUCUUGAAUCUCGGACGGUUCAAAUGAGAGAAUAUGCUUGGGAUCGUGAAUAUACUUGCGGAGAUUCGAUACAUGAAACACAUCGUGCACUCCCGCAAGCCUCGGUGGUACUGCUAACUUGUAUGCCACCGUGUCAACACGCUCCAAUAUCUCGAACGGUCCAACGUACCGGGGACUUAGUUUUCCACGGACUCCAAACCGUUUAACUCCCCACAUUGGGAUAUUUUUAGGAGUACGCUGUCUCCAACUGCAAACUCUAUAUCCUUUUUUCGCUUGUUGGCAUAGCUCUUUUGCAAGAAUGCGCCGUAGCAAGCCGUUGGCGGGCAAGGCGAACUUUCUUCUCCGCCUCCCGCACCAUAUCUGGGCCAAGAGUAACUCUCUCGCCCACAUCGCUCCAAUGAAUUUGAGAGCGACACUUCUUUCCAUAAAGGGCCUCGAAUGGCGCCAUCGCGAUAUUUCCUUGAUAACUAUUAUUGUACGCGAACUCCGCCAUCGGUAAAUGAUCAUGCCAUCCGCCCUUGUAGUCAAGUACACACGCUCGAAAUAUGUCCUCAAGUAUUUGUAUCAUCCUCUCCGAUCGACCAUCACUUUGAGGAUGAAAUGCCGUACUAAAAUCGAGCCGUGUGCCCAACGCAUCCUGUAGGCUCCUCCAGAAGUGAGAUAUGACCCUCGGGUCUCGAUCCGAUAUAAUAGACACGGGAACCCCAUGAAGUCUCACUACCUCGUCGAGAUAGACUUGAGCCAUCUUAUCUCCCGACCAUGUAGUAUGAAUCUAUAAAAAGUGCGCCGACUUCGUCAAUCGGUCUACUAUCACCCAAAUUGCAUCGUGUCCGCCUUGAGAUCGAGGCAAUCCGGUCACGAAAUCCAUUGUGAUAUUUUUUCAUUUCCAAACGGGUAUAGGUAGGCUUUGCAACUUUCCUACCGGAAACCGGCGCUCCGCCUUGACUUGUUGGCACGUAAGACAUUCUGCUACAAAUUCCCCAAAGUCUUUCUUCAUGCCCGGCCACUAAUAGUAUACUUUCAAAUCUUGAUACAUCUUGGUGCCGCCGGGGUGAAUACUAUAAGGAGAUUGGUGCGCUUCUUGUAUAAUCGCCUUGCGAAUGUCCUCAUUUUUAGGCACACACCAACGAUUUCUAAACCGGAGUGCGCCGUCGGUCCCAAUGCCAAAAUCAUCUACACUACCGCUCUCAACAUCACCCUGCAUCUUUUGGACAUAAGGAUCAGUAGCUUGUAGAUCUUUAAUCUUCUCCAACAAGGUGGGUUGAACCACCAAUGCCGCAAGUGUUGCUGGCAUUCCUGAAGCUACUACCUCAAGACCAAGUCGUUACAUCUCUUUUUGCAAUAAUGGUUGAGGUGUAAUUGCUGAAGCCAAGUUUUCUCACGAUUUUCUACUAAGUGCAUCGACCACGACAUUUGCCUUCCCGGUUGGUAUAAAAUAGUAACGUUGUAAUCCUUUAAUAGCUCUAACCACCGCCGUUGUCGCAUAUUUAACUCCUUUUGGGUGAACAAGUAUUUAAGGCUCUUGUGAUCCGUAUAGAUCUCACAAUGUUCACCGUACAAGUAAUGCCUCCAUAACUUUAGCGCGAAAAUAACCGCCGCUAGCUCAAGGUCAUGAAUCAGGUAGUUCUUUUCAUAAUUCUUCAAUUGGUGCGAAGCAUAAGCUAUAACUCGCCUAUUUUGCAUCAAGACACACCUGAGACCAACAUAGGAAGCAUCACUGUAUACCACAAUACUCUCCCCCGGCGUCGGUAAGGCAAGCACCUGGGUCGAUGUCAAUCUCUUCUUUAAUUCCUCGAAGCUCCGAUCGUAAUCAUCGCUCCAAACAUACUUAACUCCCUUGUGCGUGAGGCGCGUUAGUGGAGUGGUUAUUUUGGCAAACCCCCCCAUGAACCACCGAUAGUAACCCGCAAGUCCAAGAAAGCUACGGACCUCCGCAACACUUGUCGGGCGAGGCCAAUCUUUAAUUGCCUCUACUUUUUUCGGAUCCACCAAAAUGCCAUCACCCGAAAUCACGUGGCCUAGGAAAGUGACUUAUGAAAGCGAAAACUUGCACUUCUUUAAUUUUGCAUAUAGCUUCUAUUUUCGGAGUAUUUCCAACAUGGUCCUCAAAUGCUCCUCGUGUUCUUCCUCACUCCGUGAAUAAACUAACACGUCGUCAAUAAACACCACGACGCACCGGUCUAGCAACGGUCGAAUGACCCGAUUCAUCAAGUCUAUAAAUGCUGCCGGGGCAUUAGUAAGCCCAAACGGCAUAACCAUGAACUCAUAGUGGCCAUACCGCGUACGGUACGCCGUUUUGUGCACGUCCUGGGGCCGUAUCUUCAACUUAUGAUACCCCGACUGUAAGUCGAUCUUUGAGUACACCCUCGACCCUUGCAAUUGAUCGAACAAAUCAUCAAUCCUCGACAACGGGUACUUAUUUUUAAUUGUCACUUUAUUCAACUCGCUGUAAUCCACGCAGAGUCGUCACUUUAUUCAACUCGCGGUAAUCCACGCAGAGUCGAAAUGUGCAAUCCUUCUUCUUUCCAAAUAGCACCAAAGCUCCCCACGGUGACACGCUCGGCCUCACAAAGCUUUUAUCGAGCAAGUCUUGCAAUUGUGCCUUUAGCUCUCUUAGCUCUGUCGGAGCCAUUCUAUACGGAGCCUUCGAAAUUGGCGCCGCCCCGGGAAUCAAAUCAAUAACGAAUUUGAUCUCCCGGUCCGGUGGCAAUCCCGAUAACUCCGCCGAAAAUACAUCCGAAAACUCGCACGACAACUGAAUAUCACUAAGUUCCGGGUGCUCCUUUUGGGCUUCUACCAUUGUCACCAAAUAGGCUUCACAUCCACCCUUAAUCAUUUUUCUCGCCCUCGUCACCGAUACGGUCACCGCGAAGCGUGAGCUUUUACAUGCCUAAUAUACCAACUCUUCCUGAUUAGGCUCACGAAAUGUGAUCACCUUGCUUUUACAAUCUAUCACGGCAUAAUACUUGGAGAGCCAGUUGAUCCCUAAGAUUACAUCGAAUCCCUACAUUCGCUCUAGCACUAGUAGAUCUAUCAGCAUAAUCCAAUCACCGAUCUGUACUGGACAAGCCAAGCACUCAUCAUGAAUAUGAAACGAAUGCUCUGGAGCAUUUACCCACCAAUAAUCCUGAUUAUACGUGAUCUCCAUGCCAUGAGUUUUUGCAAAUGAUGCACCUAUGAACGAAUGUAAUGCACCUGUGUCGAAUAAAGCUCUAGCUCUAGUGCCUUUAAUCAAAAUUAUACCUGCCACGACAUCAUCUGGUGCUACAGGUUGCUCCUCCAUCUGAGUGGCAAAACCCGCCCACUCGGUGCUCUAGAUGUCUCCGGUUGACGCGAUGCAGAUGAGCGUCCAGCCGACAUCGCUGGGGGCAACCCCGCAAGCUAUCUCAGGGUGGAAGGAACUAAUGCCGCUGUCGGUGCAAACGAUCCCCAACUAGGGCACUCCUAGGCCAUAUGCCCCGGUUGAUCGCACUUGUAACACUUUCCUUCACGCUGCGGGCAGGUCGGCGGUCGAUGCUCACCGCCGCAAAUGAGUAGCGUGUGAGGUGGGUUAAUCAUCGGUUUGACUCCUAUGGGUUAUAUAGUCGACAUGUAUUCGGCACGUGUUUUUGCCUAUCGUAAUUGCUCUAUUCAUUGUUCAGCAUGAUUGAAAUAUGAAUUGGAGCUUAGUAUAUUGACUGUAGAUUCAUACAUAUUGGACUUGGAUAUAACAUAGGAGAAAACCAGUGAUUUGGACCUGUCACCUGCUUAACUACCGGAUUUAGCUUUAGGAGCCAUUGUUAUUUUGUAUCGCCGUAGUAUCAGCGUGGUAGAUACCCCAGAUAGUUUAGAUUACUAUUAUGCUCGUGAUGGGAUGCCAAGCCUAUUUUUACAGUAGUGUUUAGACUAUUCCGGAUUGUUGGAUGCUGUCGAGAUUGACGGUGGACCCAGAUUGCCAUUUUAGUAUCAGAUUAUGCUGAAGGCACGUGACUUGUUAGUUGGUAGACUAGUUGGACCCUGUGUACUUGACUAUAGCCUGCGAGAGCCUGAUUGAGCUCGACAGAGAUACGCUUGCAUACUCGGUUGGGUAGCGCCCAUGAGUGCCACUCCGGAGUCGGGCUUAGUGCUUCUGCGUUGAUGUCGAGGUGUCCUGUUUGGACUUGCUAUCCACUGACUGCUUAGUGUGGAGGUAGCUUUAGCUUCGACAGGAGAGACGGGCGUGUUCACAGUCCCUGGGACGGGUAUGAUUACAGUCCCGAGUGAGAUUGGGUCAGGUAUGACAUCUUCUACAGACUGUUAGUGUUAGAGCAUGAUAGUAUAGUGAUUUUUAGUUGUAGAGUUGUUCCAGCAUUAUUUAGUAUCCCACCUACCUUCUGUAGACUUAGUGGGUGGACCGAUGAUGUUGAGGGUGGCACCCACUAAGGACUACAUGUCUUUACAAUAGUUCUCACGCCCAGUUGCUAUUUGCUUUUGCAGAGCCUUCGGUUCCGGCUGCUGCAUCGUCCGAGAUAGAGCGUGGUAAGGGCGUUGCGAGUUAGAGCCCUACCAAACGAGCCGCCGAGUAGCACCAGCUACAGGUAGUUGUAGUUUUUGACUUCCUAUACAUACUGUUGUUGUAUCUCGCUUGGCGAGCUUUUGUUUACCGGAUGUUGUAUGUAUAGUGAACUUUAUUUUUCUAUCUGGUUAUACUUUGGCUAGCAGCUCUGUAGUGUUCCUGAGCUUUGGAUAGGAUUGGCUUCAAUAUUAGUGACUGGUCGACAUCUCUGGAGAGUGUCGAACUAAGUCGGAGUCAAUUCCGCACGAAUUGGAUGCAGAAUUGGACUCGACGCACUCAAUUAAGCAAAACUGGAGUUUUGCCAGUUUCGGGCGCCCAGAACAUUUUUAGGGUCGCCCAGAAACGAGUGUUGAAUUUAACUGAAACUGGAGGCCAAUUCGGAUCCCAUGUUCCGGGUGCCCAGAUGUGGGUCCGGAAAUUCGACAUCGUGAAUAUCGCUUGCUUCGAUGCGUGGCAGGCGGCAGGUGAGUUCCGCCGGAGCCAUUUACGGGCGCAGCACACCGUGAGCAGAGAGUCCGAGGAGCCCGUUUUGUGCAAGCUGGAUGUUCUGGUCGCCCAAAACAUGGUUCCGGGCGCCCAGAAACGCCCGUUUCUGCAGGGACACUGGAUAGCAGCUUCAGUUCCUGAGGCUUUUUGGAUCAUUCUAACUCACUAUAAAUACUUGGUAAACACCCCUUUGCUGCUCUUUUCCCCCCUUCUUCACAGAGAAGUCUCUUUUAGCAUCUCUACCCUCGGAUUUGCCUCAAAUUGCAUUAAACUUCCAUUGAUCCAGCUUGAUGGAGUGCUGAUUCUGUAGUUCUUCAGCGACGACCUCCAGUGUUUUGGCUCGUGCGCGAUGUAGGAAGGUCGGAUUUCGACGAAACUUGGUUUGCUGGAUUCUAGACUUCCAGAGGAAUCUACGAAGCCCUGAAUGGUAGAUUUUGGUUGAGGUUAGCUUGGUCGAACUGAGGUUUUUCUAGACUACUGUUGGCUUUGAGCUGAAAAUAGAAUUUUUGAGCUUUUCUUGAUGCUAUCUUUGUUGGCAGUGGAAUUUUGGACCUGAGUUUGAUCACCCCUCAGUAUUUGCUGAUUUUGGAACUGUUCUCACCUGAUUUGGAGAUCAUUAGGUGAGUUUUGACAUUGGAAUUGAGAAAUCCUAAGCUUAAGGCUAAAAUUGAUGAAUUUUAUUGGAUUUUGGAUGAAUUGUUAUAUCCAGAUCUUGAUGGGCUUUGUUGCUGGUUUGGAGGAGUUUCCAGCAGUGUUGCUUGUGAUCCGAGACCCUCUUGCUGCCAGGAGUUUCACUAGAGGUGGGUUAUCAUCGGUUUCGCUCCUAAGUGCAUGUUUAGUCGACGUGUAUAGUUCGAUUUUUGUAUAUCAUGCUUUAAUUCAUCGAUUAGCAUCUUGAAUGUAAUAUGAAUGUAGAAGCAUGCUGAAAUGAAUAUUUAUAUUAUACAUGUUGGACUUGAAAUUUGACUUAGGAGAAAACCUGCGUUUUGACCCGUCAUAUGUUUAAACUACCAGAUUUAGCUCUAGGAGCCGAGAUUCGAUUGUAUCGUUGCAGUAUUAGUGCGAUGGAUAUCUGGGGUAGUUUAGAAGGCAUUUACGCUCGUGCUGGGAUGCCGAGCUUAUUUUUCAGCAGAGUUUAGGCUGUUUCGGGUCGUUGGGUGCCGUUCGGGUUAGCGGUGGACCCAGAUUCUUGUUUUGGUCACAGAUUGUGCCGAGGGCACGUGGGUUUGGUUUGUAGGCCUGUUUUUACCCUGUUCACUUGACUUUGGCUAAUUGGAGCCUGUUUGAGCUCGACAUAGAUACGCUGCAUACUCGGUUGGGUAGCGCCCACGAGUGCCACUCCGGAGUUAGGCUUUGUGCUUUCGCGUUGGUGUCGCUCAUGCCGGUUGGACUUACUCUCCACGGACCAGUUAGUGUGGAUAGAGCUGGAUAGUCGCAACUCGGCAGGGACGGGUGUGUUCACAGUCCCAGGGACGGGUAUGUCUACAGUCCCGAUUGGAUUGGGUCAGAUUGGACAUUUCCUACAGUUGGUUAGUGUAGAGCAUGAUAGUGUAGUGUUUGAUAGCGGUAGAUUUUAUUCCUGCAUUUACUACUAUUCUUGCUCCCUUCUAUAGACUUAGUGAGUGGACCGAUGUUGUUUUGGGCGGUACCCACUGAGGACUACUUGUUUUUACAGUAGUUCUCACGCCCUGUUGUUACUUCAUUUUUGCAGAGCCAUCGUCUUCGGCUGCUGCUAUUGCUGAUAAGGAUCGAGGCAAGGGCGUCGCGAGUUAGAGCCCUACCCGACGAGCCGAGCUAGGGGUGCCCUACUACAGGUAGUAGUUUUGUUGGAGUUCAUGUACUUACCUACCUUUAACUCGCCAGUGCGAGUAGUUUUUGUGUAUCUUGGAUUUUGGGGUAUGUAUAUGGAACUCAGUUGGUUUUCUCCGUUUCUCCUAACCAGCUCUAUACUACUGUUUGUAGUAUUGUUUGAUUUACAGAUACAGCUAUCGCUUCGUAUACAGGAAAAAUUCCUUUGUAUACGGCGGAUUUGUCGGCGCGCCCGGGGAACGUGUAAUCCGGGGCGUGACAAGCUCUAUACUACUGGUUGUAGGAUUGUAUAUUUUACAGGUACAACUAUCGCUUUGUAUACAGGAGAAAUUUCUUUGUAUACGGCGGAUUUGUCGGCGUGCCCGGAAAAUGAGUAAUCCGGGGCGUGACAAUAUAUAUAUAUAGUAAAGGUACUAUGCUAUCGGAAGUAUAAAUUAGUUGGUACUUUCGAUUUUUUAGCCCUUGGAUCAAAAAUUAUACGGUUGGGAUGAUAGCAGUCCCCUUAGAGUUGAGUGGUCCCCCUAGGGUUGAGCGGUCCUCAUUGGUCAAUAAUAUUAAUCCAAUGGUUAGAAUAAUCAAUGGAGUUGAUCUAAGGGCUAAAAAAUCAGAAGCACCAACUAGUUUAUAUUUUCGAUAGCUUAGUAGCUCUUCUAUAUAUAAAUAUAUAUAUAUAUAGAGAGAGAGAGAGAGAGAGAGAGAGAGUUGAGCUAGAUCUCUAAAGCACAUGAAGGUAGGUGCUUUUGAAAGAGAUAUUUAGUUCAAUAAUAUAUAUAUUUAUUAUAUACUUAUACUUUAUAUAUAUAUAUAUAUAUAUAUACUAUAGUCGUCUCCGAUACUUUCGAACAAGUACGGGAGGCCCGGUGCUUGUAAGUUGUUUUCGAUGACUAGGACCGUUCCGAUUCGCACGAUCGCUCGUUAGGCUCAUGAUCUUCCUAUUGAGAACUAUCUAGAAUCAAUUUAGAUUUUUUUGACAGUAUUUACUAGCCGAUCAAAGAGUCUAAAAUGAUUUUACGGCGUGUGGAAUUUUUAAUGUGUCAACGGCUUGUUAGAGAGUAUCCAAUAUUACAUGAAUUUAAUAAAAAUUUACUUAAUCAAAGUAGCCGAUAUCAUUUCGAUGUAAAUUUGAAUCUUUUAUCACUUUUUUAUGAGAUUUGUUCAUUUUCUAGCGUUCAUUUUUGGUAACUGUUCCUAGACGCACAAACCGAAAUCAAAAAUAUAUGAAUUUGGUUUUCUAGUAGUUCGCUCCAUGGAUGUAAGUUUUAACAACUGAUCGCUGAAUCGAGAACUGUCCACAUUCAACAAGAUUAACAGAACGGGCCACAGCCCAUCCGCGUUACUUUCGACGCAUAGGAGCCUAGCUCUGUUAUUCUCUAUCUUUCUCUCUCUUAUAUUAUAUAUAUAUAUAUACUAGUUAUAGUCAUGUGCAAUGCCCGUCACAUUUAAUUAAAUUAAAGUUAUAUUUAUAUUUUAAAUUUAAAUAAUUAUUGAUAGUAUUAGUCUAUUUAUCAAUUAAUUUUUUUCUAACUUAAAUUUUUUUAAUUUGUAUCCAAAUUUAAAAAUUUGAAGUAAUUCUAAAUUUUAAAUUAAUGAAUUCAUAUUUAAAUUUAUGAACAAAACUCAAAAUUUGAAGUUAAUUUUGAGUCCAUAUUUGAAUAUAAAUGGUUAUAGAGACAUUGAUUUAUUUAACAUCCCAUCUAUUUUUCAAAUUUGAUAUAUUUUUAAGUUAAUUAAUUAUUUUCAAUUUGAAAUACUAUUUACACACCCAAAUAUUGAAAUUUGAAUUAAUUUCAAAUUUUGAAUAAUUUAAAAUUUAAAGUUGAUUUGAUAAACUUAUUUAAAUCAUUCUAUUUUUCAAACUUAAUUUUCUUUUAGUUAGUUAAUUGAGAGAUAGUGAAUACUAAAUAUUUUCAAUGUGAGUUGCGUAGAAUUUUUUUUUGAUGAGUAUGGAAUAUUUUUUUAUGGGGCACUUGUGAAAAAUAUUCAACAGUAGAUAUUUUUAGAUUGACAUAAAGUUGGAUAAGUAUGAAUUUUUUUUAUAUUCUCGUAAAUGAAAUGCAAUAUUUUUUCCUAUUAAAAAAAGGUCUGUCAACAGCUAUUUUAUUAAUAAUCCCAAAUCAAUAUAAAUUUGUGAAUCACAUUUAUUUACAAAUUUAAAAUUUUAAAUUAUAAAUUCUUAUAUUAUAUUUUAUUAAAAAAUAUCUCAUAUUUUAAAUAUUAGUAGAUAAAAUUUAGAUAAUUUUUAUAUAUUCACCUUUAAAAAAAUAUAAUUAAAUAUUAUAUAUGCGGAAGGUAUUAUGUGAUAGGAUAUUAUGUAGGCCGUAUUACGUGUGAGAAAGAAAAUAUUUAAAAAAUUCUUAAAUUGCAAAUAUUAUUUAUGAUAAAAAAUAGAUAUUACGUGGGCUACGGUUAUUAGAAGAUAAGGUGCGCAUAUAAAAUGUAAAAUUCAAUAUGCACUUUUUGAGGGCAAUUCAGAUAAAAAAAGUGACAGAUACUUAAAUCGUCAACUAUUGGAUUAAAUUCGAAGACUAAGAAUUAAUAUAUUUUAUGAUAAUUUAAAAAUAAAAUAUAAAUUGUACGGUUAUGAUUUAUUCUAUUAAACUUGAAUGAAUGAUAUUGCUAGUAUGCGAUUGGAAUUAUAUUAAUAGGGAGCGAUAUUUUGGGAAAGAAAAAAAUUUUAAAACUUGCUCUUUUAUAAGUAGUAUAUAUAUAUAUAAUAUUUACUAAGGAUCUAGGAUACUUUUACAAGCUAUCCAUCCCCAUCUUAUUGCUAUUCAACUUUUUAGCCAUUGGAGUCUACUUUUGUUUACAAAUAGCCCUUGGAUCAAACACUAUUCCACCUACCACCACCCUACCACCUACCUACCACCCAUCUAUCCAACCUUUCACAUCUUCUCCAUCCAAGGCUAAAAACACACAAGUACCACUGGCUGAUACUUGUAACAAGUAUUCUACCCUACUCAUAACUAUAUAUAUAUAUAUACUGCUCUAUAUAUAAUAUGACUACAUACUACGGUAUACUAUGAUAUAUAUAUAUAUAUCAUAUAUAUAUAUAUAUAUAUUAAUUACUAUAUUAUAGAUCACAGUGGGUUUAACGGAGCCCGAUCCGACGAUUUCGAAGUCGCAAGAUCGAAACGAGCCUGGAGCACGGAAGGCUCCAGUGCUUCCGAUCAUAUAUGGUCUCCGUGCUUCCGAUAAUAAUACUAGAUGUAGGUCUACUAUACCUUAUCGUAAGCACGGAGCCUUUCCGUGCGUUCCAGCUCGUUUCGCAUCUUGCGACUUUCCAAUCCGUCCGAUCGGCCUCCCUUACACACUUUGAUCUAGACGUAUUGAAGUACCCUACGAAAUAAAUUUACUGACUUUCUACGAUAUAUUUGCUUACGUGAACGCAAGGGCGCUCAAAAUCAACGGCUACAAAUAAAAAUCCUUACAUAAAAUGUAAUAUGAUGACACUUAAACAUUUUAACAAAGAGGGUCAUUGAUCUUCGUUCUAUACCUACUGUCAAAAAAUUUUUCUAUCAAAAUUUCACGCCGACUUCUGGAUAUCUUUUAACACCCGUUAAAACUUGCAAACGGCUCACCGCGCCAUGCUACAAUUUGUUGAUUUGAGUCCCAUUCGCAUCACUACGGCAAAUGAUCAAUCCGAAAGAAUAAUAAAUUUAUUUUCUAGUACUCCCAAACUACUCUAAAUCAAGCUUUAACGAGCCGAUCCCGACGAAUUCGAAAGUCGCAAGAUCGACAACCGAGCCGCGAAGCACGUAAGGCUCCGUCGCUUCCGAUUAGCAAUAGUAGCCUCACUCUAUACUAUAUACUAUUAUAUAUAUAUAUAUAUAUAUAGUAUUCUAGCCUAUCAAUCUCAACCCAUACCCGCUAGUGCUCGCGGAUUACACGCAAAUUUGCGGGUAUAGACACCAAUUUUUUCAACCUAAAAAAUUACAGAUAAAAAAUUAUGAAACUAUAUUCGUUUAGUGUCAAAUGAAUCCUCUACCAUUUUAGUAGCAAUAGGAAAUUAAUUUGAAAUACACACAAAUAUCCUCGAAGCCCCUAUGGUGGGCAAAACCCAAGCUUUGCUCGACGCGGUACUCAACCACCACCCACCCUCCUUCCCUCUCCUUUUUCCCCGAGUCCAACAAACGUUUUAAAUGUCCCAAUCAAUUCAUCUCUCUCUCUCUCUCCCUCCAUUACCCCGUCCCACCUCUCAUUUCUCCGCUCCAAAAGUUAAUCAUACUCCACACACCUCCAAAAUAAGAACCAUCCACCUCCUACCCCCUUAAUUCCCCUAUAUUUUUAAAGUUCGUCAAGAACCAUCCACCUCCUACCCCCUUAAUUCCCCUAUAUUUUUAAAGUUCGUCUCUCUCUCUCUCUCUCUCUCUCUCUCUCUCUCUCUCUCACUCUAAUUACUUCUUGCGUUAUAAUACGUUAUGCUUGAGUGAGACUAACUCUUUCUUGGCUCCCAUCUUGCUCUCUCCUUUCUCUUUGUGGACUCUUGUACGUAGUGGUUGUGAGCUCCCCCACCAAACAAGCCAAAUAAUCCCGAUCGAGAAGGCACCCAACUCACUACGUACCUCCUCUUCACUUGGGAAGAAGAAAGAGGGGGAGGGGGAGGGGGAGGGAGAGGAGACGGAUCAAGGUGGAAAUGGGCGGCGAGAGGAAGAAUUCGCUUCUUACUCUCGCCGGGCGGGUGCUGAAUUGUGCGGUGAGCUUUGUCGUGUUCUCCGUACUCGACGUUCUCGAUAUAAUCCUCUGCAUUGUCUACAAGCUCAUCGAUUAUGCCGUUGAGGCCGAGUGGAAGCCGUGCUACUGCUCGGCCUCCAAGGACAUGGUUGCCGGCAGCGGCAGCGGCAGCGGAGGCGGGCCAAAGGUGGUGCGGCUCUGCUCGUCGAAGCUCCAGCUGGAGGACGUCUCCGACACGCUGUACGCGCGUCCUUCAGUCGUCAUGGACGCUGCGAGGAAGGCGGGAACCACCGGCAGCGGCGCAUCAGUUGUCGUGAGCCCGGCACCGGCUGCGCCGACGUUCCGGGUCAGCACUGGUGUUGCGGAGAUGAUCCGAGGGAAGAUCGACCGGCAGCGGCCUACGCGGCCGGUGCCCUGCUGGUCCGACUGCUGCUGUAAGAUCUGCAAUUCGUGGAGCACCGCCGCGACCCCUUCCCAGCUUUACGUUCACGUGGAGGGCCCAAGAGGUAAAUGCUGCAUGCCCGAUCGAGUUAGGAUCCGGCCGGUAAAACGCAAACGGUAGUGUAAAUUUUAAAAACCUUACUUUUACCAACUAUAUAUAUAGUCGAUCGGUUUAGAAAUGAAAAAAAAUGCAUAUUGGUACGUAGUUAAUGAUCAAUGAAUUUGUGAUAUAUAUAUAUAUAUAUAUAUAUAUAUAUAUAUUGAAUCGAGAAAUGUGCACGCACAGUAUUGUCAUGCAUCUUUUUAAGUUUUUAAACACGUACUACUAGUCUGUAUAAUUUAAUAUAUUUAUCAAAAAAGAUUAUUGUUCUCAUUUUUAUCGGGCGAAAUAGCUAGUAGAUAAUAAUUUUUAAAAACAUUUUUAAAAGUGAAAAAUUUUAAUUAUUUUUUAAUUUCAUUUCUUAUUGCGAGAUGUAGUAUUUUGGAUGAAAAAAUCAAGCGUCUUAUCUAAAAGUUUACCAGGAGGUCGAACACGGGCAGCGUGCGUAAUGCAUGUGCUUAAUCCAACUAAACUAAAUGACGUCAAUGUUAUACGUACGUACAUUUUAAUUUGAAGAUUAUGUCGUCAUUAAAAUAUUUAUUUGGUGUUCCGGAGGGAAUAUAUAUAUAUAUAUAUAUAUAUAUAUAUGCUACAGAAAUUUUGCUCAUUAAUUAAUUUGCACAGAUGGUACGCAAUCUCGUAAUAUUAUUAUUUUGCGACUAUUAAUUAAAAUUGCCGAUCGACUGAUGAGUGGGCGUGCAUUAACGAAAUUGAGCAGACGGGGCGGCGGUGCCGGCGACGGAGGACGUGGUGUUCAUCCACGGAUUCAUCUCGUCGUCGACGUUCUGGACGGAGACGGUGUUUCCGGCAUUCAGCGAGCUGACAAAGUCGAGGUACCGCCUCUUCGCGAUCGACCUGCUGGGGUUCGGGCGCAGCCCGAAGCCGACGGACUCGCUGUACACUCUGCGGGAGCACCUGGAGAUGAUCGAGAAGUCGGUGCUGAAGCGGUUCGAGAUCGGGAGAUUCCACCUGGUGGCGCACUCGCUGGGGUCGAUCCUGGCCCUGGCGCUGGCGGUGAAGCACCCGGAGGCGGUGCGGUCGCUGACGCUGGUGGCGCCGCCCUACUUCCCGGUGCCCAAGGGGGAGGAGAGGGCGGCCGGGCAGUAUGUGAUGCGGCAGGUGGCGCCGCGGAGGGUGUGGCCGGCCAUCGCGUUCGGGGCGUCGAUGGCGUGCUGGUACGAGCACGUCAGCAGGACCAUCUGCCUGACCAUCUGCAAGCACCACCGCCUGUGGGAUCUGCUCUUCCGACUGCUCACCCGCAACAGGUAUGUAUGUGUGCUCUCAGCCAAUUACACACACCUAGCUAGCACUUAAUUAGCACUUGCCUUGCCUAAUUCCCUUUCCCUUUCCCUUUCCGUUUCCGUUUCCCUUCCUCUAGCUGUGCGUUGUGUUUGCUCUUUCUUCCGUCUCCAACCGUUUCGGUGGCUCCGCUUUUAUUAUUCUCGCCUCGUAUUUAUUCCUUCCCACGUUAUUGGCUUCUCACCCUCUAUUUUGCGCUCCACGUGCCCGGUCCCACAUAAAUAACAACCUGUUUAAUUCGUCCAACACUAGUGCUGCAGGUACACACAAUAUCGACGGAAGAAAAAUGCUACUAGCUAGCUAGCUAUAUAAGGUUAGAAUCAAAUCAAAUCAAAUCAAAUCAAAUCAAAUCAAAUUCGCAUGGUUGGAUUAAUGUGAUCCCUCUUAUUAAUUAAUAUUUAUUUAUUUUAUUUAUUUAUUUAUCACCUCUUUAAAUAUAAAAAUAUAAUAUAAUUAAAUUCAGCAAUACAACAAUUAACGACGUUUUAAUUAAGAGAGAUAUUGCGGAAAAAUCCAAAGCAUUUUUUCCUUUGUCUCGACGAAUAUUAAUUUAUAUAGAAGAUUCCAAAAUAUUAUUUUUCUAAACUGUUGAUGGGCAAGUUGAGAUGCAUGGUAUAUAAGAUUUUGUUUAAUGUAUACAUGCAAUUUUAAUAUAUAUGCUGUAUAUAUAUAUAUAUAUAUAUAUAUAUAUAUAUAUGAUGUUAGCAGAUAUAUAGCAAUGCGGCAAUAUAUAUAUAUGGUUCCCUUUUCCUGAUUCAAAAGUUAAACGGUGAUAUAUCGAUUGCAUGUCGCUAAUUAAAAACUAGCUAGCUAGCUAGUAUAAUAUAGUUAGUUUAAAUCACCGGCCGAUCGAAUUAGUAAAAUUUUGAAUCAUGUACAUUUUAAGCACCUGUCGACUUUGGCUUUAACAAUCAUCGUAUGAUAUGAUUUUUUGUAGUUAUUGCCAAAUCGAUCAUACUUGUGAGCCGCCCGCUCCGUUUGAAUUAAAUGGUAGACAGCACCAAAUAAUUAAGAAGUUAUUGGAAUUCAUUUGAUAUUUUAUUCUCUCACCCACACAGUAGCAAAUUCGGUUUUCCCCGUGGGGCCACUGAGUAUAUAUAAGGUCUGCUUUAUCUGUUUUGCCUCUGGUUUCAAUGGCAACAAUAAUUACCGUGCUUGAUAAAAAAUAAUUAAAAAUUCUGCUGUAGACAGAAAAUUUUGAGCCUCCAAACAAGAAAUUCCGACUGAUACUUUCGAUUAUAUAUACGCGACACUAACUGAAUGUAAUAGUUAUAUGUAUAUAUUAUUAUAUAUAUAUAUAUAUAUAUAUAUAUAUAUAUAUAUAUAUAUAUAUAUGAAAUAUAAUAGGAAUAAAUCUUUUAAUCAGGUUAUAGCAUUUUAGGUGAUUGUUACGCCCAAAUGGUUAAGAAAAAUUAAACGUGCUAGGGUUAGAAUAAUCAUAGAAUGUGUGACGCCCUAGAAAAUGGGGUAUUACAGUGGGUAUUAGAGCCAAUUACCAGCCGAAAAUAUUAGAUAAAUGUCGGCUGAGCCAAAAUUAUAUAGCGAGCUCAUCGGCAGAUCAUAGUUGUGGGUGGAGCACGACUCCCCACAAGGUCAAACGAGACCCCACAAGGUCAAAUGAGAUGAGUCUCAAAUCGCCUAUUGCUUGUGAAUAUGUUUAAGCCUAUCGAGAACGUCGAUAUAAUAGCACUGAAAUAGUUUUAUAUAUGAGAUAUAAUAAAAUAAGAUCAUUUUACCCGAAUAUAGCAUUUUAGGAGUGGCUAGCUAGGUUAAUUUAAGAGAUUAGGAGAUUUAAGCAUGCUAGGACUAAAUGGGCGACUCAUUGGAAAGUGGGGCAUAAUAGUUGAGGAUUGUGGAUCUAAAGUUUCAAUUUUGUUUGUGUCCAAAAGUUAUAAUUUUUUUCCUUAGAAUUUAUUUUAUUUUAUUUUUUGAGUUUUAAUAUUAAAGAAUAUUUUGGAUGAAGUUAAAAUUAAUAUGUGAUAACAGAUCAAGAACUUUGUAGCAAGAAACAGUUGGAAAGUUCCCUAUUAAAAUUUUAUUAAUUAGUUUUUUAGUUUCCCCCGCCCUUAUUUUGAACGGCAGCUUACGAGCUGUCAGAGCCGCGAAGAAAUCGAUGGCCUGACAUAUAUGGUAGGAGUACGUUACGUUUACUUUGCGUAACGACCUCUGAGGUCCUGCCGUGGGAGUGCGGGACGUCGGGUACGAAAUGCGGGAAACAGCUUCGGGUUUCGUACCACCGCGAUCGAGUAGGAAAACCAAGUCAAAUUUUCCACAUAUAUAUCAGGUAGGUUAAUUUCUAAUUGGGAGACGUUAGAUCGAGGAAAAAUUCUAGAAUGCAACGGGUAUAUUAGUGACGUGGCGUAACAAACCAAUCAAAUUAAUUCUUUUAAAAAUAUAUGUCCCAUCAUGAUUGUAAAAAAGUAUUUUUAUUGUAUUUUUGUUUGAAAAGAAGGAAUGUGAUUGGCUUGUUAUUGAUGACGUGGUGCAAGUGUGACAGUGUAGAAUUCCUCUAGAUCGAGACACGUAAAAAUAAGUAAUAACCGAAAGUAAUGUCAGUGGAAACAUAUAUAUAUAUAUAUAUAUGUAUAUAUAUAUAUAUACACAUAUAUAUAUAUAUACAUAUAUAUAUAUAUAUAUAUAUAUAUAUGAUAUAUAUAUAUAAUAUAGAGUGGGCAUAUAUAUUAUAUAUAGAGUGAAGUGAGGCUACUAUGCUAUCAGAAGUCGGAGCCUUCCGUGCUUCCAGCUAGUUUUUGAUCGUUGCACUUCGAAUUGUCGAUCGGUCUCCGUUAAACUUGAAUUCUAUGAGUAUUUGGGAGUACCUACAAUAAUGCGAUAUGGUGCGUUUGCUUCGUUUAACGGAUAGAAGAGCUUCAAAUCAACUAAAAUUUUUUGUUUAAAAAAUCUUUUUAAACUUUUAAAAUAAAAACGAUCUAGACUCUAGAUCCAAAUAUAAAAAAUUGUAUUAUCACUUUUUUCAAGGAUAGUUAUUUCCAGCCAUUUAUUUUUCUGUUUCACUUGAUGGACAGAGAACAAUAUCUGAAAAUGUGUGUUGAAAUUUGGAUUUCCAGGAUAGUUUAAGUAGUUUUAUGAUCUGUGUUGUAACAGUGCCGAUCAUCAAUUUGGAAGCCCUAUAUCAAAACAAAUCGGUAGCUAACGGCUCGUUUUACUACGAUAGUUAUUCUAGCAAAACCCUAUAUUAUAUAGUAUAUAUAUAUAUAUAGAUGAGAGGAGAGAGAGAGAGAGAUGAGGAGAGGAGACGAUGAGAGAGAGAGAGAGAGAACGAGAGAGAGAGAGAGAGGGAUGGAGGAGGGGAGGGGAAGUUGAGCUGGGAAUACUAUCGGUAGCAAACGCGGCUCCGUGCACCAUUUGUUUUCGAUGAUGGGAGCCUCCAAAUCGACGAUUAGUGCCGUUAAAAAUGCAUCAGUAUUACACUUGAUAUGGUAUUCUGAGAAUCAAAUUUCAUGCUUUUCCGAAUAUUUUCUCUUGUUCACUCAAGUGGGCGGUAUAAUGAGAUGGCUAAAAAUGAAUAUCAUCUACAAAAGUGAUGAUAGGAAUUGUUCUAAUCAAGGAUCGAGGUAGUGAGAUCUUGUUCUAAAUAGUUUAAAGAAUUUUAAAAUAACGAAAAUAUUCAAUUGAUUGGAUAGGUUACACGUAAACGAGAAAACCCUAUAUUUGACCAUUAAAAUUUACAAAUUUUUGAAACCCUUUGAAUCUAUUAGGUCAGAUGGAUGCGUCGGAGAAAGAUUUUGAAAUUAAUUUCGAGAUACUUCAAAGUGGUAUAGAUCAUGAUUCAACCGCCAGGGCUUACCGAUUAUCGAUUUGGAGGAUCUAAUCAGCUGAAAUUUAAAUGGAUGGCACAGGGGAGCCGUUGCUAUCGAUAGAUUCUACCUCAAACUUCUAUAUAUAUAUAUAAAUAUUAUAUAUUAGUCCGGCUAGGGGGGAUACUAUCGGGGAUAGCGCACAAGGAUUUGGUCAUCAAGUUGUUCUGCCGUUUCUUACAUUUACCUUUUUAUCAUUUUAUCCAUUGAUUAUACUAUUCAACGCAACACCCAUCAACAUAGAAGGACCCCAUCCAUCCUAACUAUACAUUUUUUAAUCCAAAAGGACAGCCAAAACUUAAUGUACCAGAUAUGGUACUAUUAAUAGUAUUCCAGCUAGUUAUUAUAUAUAUAUAUAUAUAUAUAUAUAUAUAUAUUAAUAUUAUAUAUAUAUAUAUAUAUAUAUAUAUAUAUAUAUAUAGGCUUGACGCUAGGAAUACUCUCAGAUAGUAAAAUGAUUGCAUAUUUACUAUCGAGUUGUUUUCGAUCAUAGAGCUUCCAAAUUGACGAUCGGCUCCGUUGAACAUGAUCUAUACCACUUGAAGUGUUUAGAAAUCAAAUUUCAAAUCUUUUCGACAUCAUUUGCCUAAUGAUCAAAGCGUUUCAAAAUUUGUAAUUUUAAUGGUGGAUAAGAAACGUUUUCUCGUUUAAUGGUGUAAAGAUAUCCAAAUCAAUUGAAUUUUUGUUAGAAAAUUCUUUAAACUAUUUAAAACAAGAUCUAUACUCUUGAUCUUGAUUACAAGACUCCUAUCAUCAUUUUUUAAAGAAUAUUCAUUUUCAACCAUUCAUUUUCUGUUCACUAGAUGGAUAAAAGAACAAUGUCGAAAGUGCGUGAAAUUUAAUUUCUCGAUAGUUUAAAUGGUUUAGAUCAUAUUUAACGGAGCCGAUCGUCAAUUUGGAAGCUCUAUCAUCGAAAACAACUCGAUAGUAAAACGCUCCGUUUACUAUCGAGAGUAUUCUAGCUCAACUCUAUAUAUAUAUAUAUAUAUAUAUAUAUAUAUAGAUAUAUAUAUAUGCUCACUCAUGAUUAAAUAUUAAAAUAAUCUUUUGAAUAUUUAGACAGUACUGGUUUAUGCCGCUUCGUUAAUUAGGUGCUAGGUGAUCUUUUCUUUUCUUUUCUUAUCUUUUUUUUGAGAAAAAUCUCUUUAUGAAUUACCAAGAUAUAUAAUUGUGCCAAAAUAUUAGUCGAUUUUGUAUUGCACUAAAGUGACGUACAAGGGUUCAAUUACACCAAUCUCCUAAGGCUCUAUUCGAAAGUGGGUUAUUCGGUAUAAAUAUUUUCUUAUGUGAUUGUAAGAAAGAAAUUUAAUUUCUGCUCCUUGAAAGAUUUUAAUAUCUAUGAUUUGGUAGGAUAACGUAUUUCACUUAUGAGAUAUUUAUCUUAUCCGAAAAAAUAAUUUAAAGGCUGAAUAUAAUAUUUAAUUUUAGACAUUUGAUCAUGCUCCUUAUCUACCAAACAUACAAACUUUUUAAAUAAAUUAUGAAGAUAUACUAAAUAAGAUAUUCGUACAUCCAAAUAAUGCCUAACUGUAUGAAUCUCGCCAAUAGUCCUAUUUACUUCUAAGUAAUAUUAGUAGGCAUAGUAGUACUAUGGGCAUGUUUUAUUUCGGGAUAAAGAGCGAGCAAUUAACUAAAGUUAUCCCCUACUAUUCCAUCACACCUUUUAAAGGAAAAAGAAAAAAAACUGAAUAGUUAUUCUGAUUAAACCAUGGUAUUCUAAAUAAUCCAAAAAUAAUCUCAAAAUAAAUUCUCCACAUUUCCAAUGGUAUAGGGCUAUUCUUAAUUAUGAUCGUCUUAGAUUAUUUCGGACAAUUCAAGUAAGAAAAAUGUAUGCCUAUAUCGUAUAUUACAUAUAUAUUUAAGUAUAUUAAUUAUAGAGAUAAUUUAAUGAAUGUUCCGUUACUAUAAUAUCGUUAUACUCUCCUAAAUUUAAUAUUAUUAUAGUGUCCGGCUACUAUGCUAUCGGUAGCACGGAGCGCUUCGUACUAUCAAGUUGUUUUUGAUGAUACGGCUUCCAAAUCGACGGUCGGCUCCGUUAGACUGAUCUACACUAUUGAAAGUAUUUGAAAACUAAAUUUUCGAUUUUUUCGACAUUAUUUGACUAGUGAUCAAAAGAUCUCAAAAUUGACAAUUUUAAUGGUCGAUGUGGUAUGUUUGUGAGUUUAACGGUGUAAAACAAUCCAAAUGCUAUGAAAAUUUUAUAGAAAAUUCUUUCCACUAUUUAGAGUAAGAUCAGUAUAUCUGAUCUUGAAUUUAAAUCUUUUAUCAUCGUUUUUCAUGAGAUUUUUAUUUUUAGCCGUUCAAUUGUAGACUACUUGAUUGAUAGGUAAAUGAUAUCGAAAAAUUAUGAAAUUUAGUUUCUAAAUACUUUCAAUAGUGUAGAUCAAGUCUAACUGAGCCGAUUGUCGAUUUGGAAGCCGCAUCAUCGAAAACAACUUGGUAGCACGGAGCGCCGUGCUACCGAUAGUAUAGCAGCCUAGUUCUAUUAUUAUAUAUUCCUAUUAAAUGGUCAUGAAUAUCAUGAAUAUUUUCCUAAUAGUUAGUCUCUAUCCAAAAAUACCCUUCAUAAUUUUAAAAUGCCAAGUUUACUCUUUAUCCAUUAUUUAUUUAUGCUCCUUAAAUUUUCUAUCUGUUGAUAUUCAAAACGUUUCAAAAUUACUCUCAAAAUUUUUUGCCGAUAAUUUUCACCAUCAUGUAUAAAUCACACCGAUAAUUUAAAUUUGAAUAUAAAAUUUAAAUUUAAAAUUCAAGAUCUAAGUUUAAAUUUUGAAUUUGAAUUUAAAAUUUCAAGUCUAUUGUGAAUAUAAAUUCUAAUUUGAAAUUCAAAUUCAAAAUAUGUUCAUAUUUUGAAUCUGAAUUUCAAACGGAAAGUUUGAAAUUAAAUCUAAAACUAAUUCAAAAUCUAGAUUUGGAAGUAAAAUUAAGGACACAAUCUCUAUUUGAAUUCAAAAUUGAAAUUGAAUUUAAAUUCAAAUCUAGAAUUAUAAUUUAAAUUUAAAAUUUGAAAAAAUUAGGUUUAAAAUUGAAAUUCAAUUCAAAUCUAGAUUUUCACUUUAGAGAAUCUAAGAUUAAAAUUUAAACUAAAGUUUGAAUUAAAAAACUAACUAUAACUUUUGAGACUAUUUAAGGAUAAAAUUUAUAUUUUAAAACUUAAUUAGCAUUAAUUAAAUUAGUCUCAAACUAAGGUUAGGGUAACACUCCAUAGUGUGAGAUAAUGAGGGACGAUUAUAUUGGAAGGUUAUAUGUGAUAUUGUAACACCGUGUGAUGUAAUGUAUACUAUAACAAAUUGUAUUAUAAUAAAAAGAACAAUAAUCUAAUUAUCAUUAUCAUUACUACUGCUACCACACACCACCACCAUUGUAUUAUUAUUACAUGAUUCUACAAAAAAAAAAUAGCAUUUAUGUUGUAAGAUAUAAUGAUAUGUUACAAUUUAUCUUCAACUGUUUACUAACUACAUAUAUAUUUUUCUAUUAGCCCCCACUAUCCUGGAGGUAAAUACUAAAUACAAUUUAAUUAUACGUAGGAAUAAAUAAAAUUGAAAUACACAUAAUUUUACACGUAUUUCUAUCUAUUAUCGUAGAAUAAUUAAGUUUCUCAAAUAACAAUAUUUCUUAGGAAAUUGUCUUAAAACCAAACAUAGUCUAUAGGAAUAAUGUGAACUGUGAAUAAGAAUCUUAAGGAUCUAUAUAUGGAACCAUUCUUACACAUAUAUUCCUCAAAAUUUAAUAUUAAUUUUAUUGCUAAACUGCUAUUUUUGUAAGUUAAUUACUACUAGAUCUACAAUCCAAACUGGAUUGCAAUAGUACAGUACCCUUAUUUAAAGAUCAAAUUAAUUUUCUCUACUAACCCUAGCCCCUGUGUGGAUCAUUGUUCUCUUCAUUGGGAUUUUAGACAGUGAAAAUGAAUUUCCUUUCUUUCGCAAUUCGCAUCGCAUAGAAAUUAAGCAGUAGGAAACUCAUUUUACACUGAUUAAUUAGCCUCGCGGCCCGUGAAAUUUCUCUAUAUAUGGGUUUACGUAGUGGAGUUUUUUUUUUUUUUUUUUUUUUUUUUUGAGAGAUAGGUACGUAGCACGCUACCCGCUUCGUUUAUUUCAUUUAGAAAUAAACUUAGCUAGAAAUGUGAAUCAACUAGAAUUCGAAGUUGGGUCUCGGAUACCAACCACUAAACUCUUUGCCACUUGCUCUAUAUAUGGGUUUACGUAGUGGAGUUAAUUUGAUGAACUAUUUAUUAAUGUGCUGUACAUGGUACAAAAUUAGUUGCAAUCAAUUCUGGUACCAUAUACAACAAAUUAAAAGUUACCUACCUCUUUUAACGAUUGUUGACAAGUUACUUAAUUAGCGUCUUCGAGUCCAGUGAGGAACUUAAAACUAAUUAUAAGAAUGAGUAAACUUUAAGGAAACUAAUUUUUCAUCGUUUACUUGUUUGUAUAACCUAUAUAUAUACAUAGAAUUGCCCAAACUAUAGAAUAACUAAUUAAUUGCUUAGAAGCUAGCUAGCUAUAUGUUGACGAUCUCUUCACCUAACCGAAUAGUAGUGUAGACCCAAAAUAUGUGAUUAAUUUUACGUACAUAAGCAAACUGAAGAGUGUGGGCAUGAAAGAAGACCGGAAGAAACUAAAUAUUACUACGCAAGGUGAUCGAUCGGGGAGAGCUAUAGCUAGCUAGGUGUGAAACUGCAGGGUGGGUUUAUCAUGAAUUUGCAAUUAAUUAAAUCUUGAGCAAUGCUCAUAUAUAUUCUAAGCACACGUACAAGAAAAAAAAAAAGAAAAGGAGAAGAAAUAAAAAAAAAAAAGAGCAAACGUACGGUAGGAGUAAAAUCUUAAAUCUUACUUAUUUAAGGGCCGGGUCAAUAUUUUUUCACUAGUUUUAUUAUCAUUUUUUAAAUAUUAUAAAUUUAAAAUGCGUGUCCUAGUUAAUUUUUAUGUGGACGAGCGCAUAAACUUAAUGGUGCUCUCCUUCCUUUGGGAUGUACGUAUAAUAUUUCUCUUAAAUUUUAGACCUCUAGCUUUGUAGCUAGCAGGCUGUUGAAAAAAAAAAAAAGAAAAAAAAAAAGAGGUUAGAGAAAAACCCCACCCACAGCUAGCCCACAUAGGUAGAUAAAUUAAAACAGAAACAAUGGUAAUUAAUGAGGGAGGUGAAAAGCAAGGGACUUGCUAAAAAAUUGGCCCAACAUAUGGUAAUGAGUAGUAUUAUUAAUUAGUACAUCCACUUCUACGGAGCCCGUUAAAUUGAGCAAGUACGGCUGAAUUCUGACGCUCAAGGUGAAAAUGGUUGUACAUUUAUCUAUUAAUAUUAACGCAUCUCUCACCGUCAAAACCUUUUCUGUCAAUAAUACAAUAGAUAUAGUUAGUUCCUGUUUUAUACAUAUAUAUAUAUAUAUGGAUCAGUACCUAAUCUAUAGGCUUAUACUAAUUUUAGGGUAUGUUCCGUUCGCCCUUCUUUCAUUCUGGAAUCGGAACGAACAAAUUCGUUUGUCCGUGUUUAGUAUGCGAAAUUUUCAUUCCGAUUUUGAUUUUCGGAUGAAUGAAAAUCUCCCAAAUUACCCUUUUUUUAAUCCGGUCUAGAAGGCCGGAUUGAAAAUUGAAUCGUGGCGGAAUGAAUUUGUUAGGAUUAAAUUUACCCUUUUUAAACUUAUUUUUUUAAUUAAAACAUACAUAAUUUUAAGUUUAAAAUUUAUAUUUACAAAUUUUAAUUUUAACUUAAAUUAAAAAUUAAAAUUCAAUCAACCAUUUCGAAUUUAAUUUAUAAAAUUUAAUUUGAAUCCUAAAGUUUUAUUCAAUUUUUAUUCAAAAUUUAAAUUAAAUUCAUGGAUUCAAAUUGAAAUUUAAAUUAUAAUGUUAAGUUUGAAUUUGAAUAUUUCAAAAUUUAGUUUUAUAUUUUGAAUUCUCCGUUCAGUUUUCAAUUUUAAUUUUUUAAAAAAAAUAUAUUUAAAAUUUUGACAUCAUUUUAAAAUUUUUACAUAAAAUUUUAAUACUUAAUUUUCAGUUUGAAUUUACACUGAUAUAUUAUAAAAAUAAAAUUGAUAUAUUAAUUUAAUUAUGUUUCUGAUAUCUAUCCGAAUCAAGCACCAGCAAUGAUUUAUUCCGAUUCCGAUUCAGACGGCGAUCCAAACAGAAUGAGAUAGUGACUCAUUCCGAUUCCGUCUCCAGCUUAUUUUCCCUCCGACUUCGAUACCGAUUCCGACUUCGAACCAAAUACACCCUUAGAGAAAGAAGUCUAUGUACCGGAGUCAAAUUCACAACUACUGCAGUGGAAAGAUUAGAUUGCCGGCACUAUAGUAAUAUUAAAUAAAAAUAGUAGAUUAAUGGUAUUUUUGUAAUAGUAAAUAAAAAUAGCAGAUAAUAGCUAGGAGUAAACAAAAAAUAUUGUUGUUGUUAAUAAGGGAGGCAAAAGACAACCCAAGUUAAUUAGUUGGCCCAUGCACCAAUCCGAAAGAUAAUCAGAUCUAGACAAACAUGCAUUUUGUCUGAAAAAUUGGGUUCUCAUAAUUCACUUUGUACUGAUUAAAAUUCUCUGUUUGGAUUCGGAUAUAAAAAUUCAGACAAACUGGGCCAAUGGUCCGAGUUUGGACUAACAGCUUAAAUAAUAAACUACCUUGAAUUAUAUUAAACUACUGCUUAGUUAUUUCAAGAGAUAUAUGAAUUAAGUAUCUCUAAGAUUAUAAUAUUAAUUAAAUCUAGCUACUACAAUCCUUAAUUUGUAUUUUUUUUUUCUUUUGCAUGUGAAAUGAUUUUAAUCAAAUAAAAAUCGUUAAAAAAAUUAAAUUAAAUUUUUUCCUAAUUCAAUUUGAGAAUUAUCUAAUAAAAGAUAUAAAUAUCGAUCGAGUUGCUGAUCUUUAUGGCGUUGUUUGACUUUAUUUAGAUUUGAAACUAUUUGACUUCAUUGUGGUAUAAGUAAAUAUGAGAAUUUGUGGUUUAUUAAUUUCUAAUUUUAAAAAAAAAAUUGUCAAAAUGGGCGCAAAAUUAGAAAAAAAAAAAUUACAAUAUAAUUUUAUUUGAUUUUUUUUUCAAAAAAUCAAUUUAUAAUAAUUUCAAUUCUAAUGAAAUAAAAUAAAUAUAUAAACUUUAAAUCAAAAUUAUAAAAGCAUUUAAAGUACGUACAAAAGUAUUUUUAAAAUGCAAAAUAUCGGGUUAUUAUUGAAAAAAAAAAAGAAGUGACAGAACUAUAAAAUAAUUCACUCUUCUAUAUACAGUAUAGAUAUUAUUAUUAUUAUUAUUAUUAUUAUAGAUACUAAUAAUAAUAGGUAUCGAUGGAUGGAUGGAUGGAUAGAUGGAUGGAUAUACGUACGUGGCAUGCAUAUAUACAAGUGGGUCCAGAUCCGGUUUUAAACUGGGUCUGAUCAUUAAUUUGAAUAUAUAUAUAUAUAUAUAUAUAGUGUAUAUAGUGUAUGCGCUAGCUAGCUGUGUGAAAAUUUUUUAUUAUCCCUAGCUAGCUAGUAAUUAUCGGACCCCGGCCGGCUUGAUGGGUACGUGGGUCGGUAGGUGAAUUUUUAUUCUUGCACACAAAUUAAUUUUAAGUGUUGAGGUGCCGCGCGGCCAUUAAUUAGCGACGAAUCAUUAAUCCACGAGUGUCGUAAUCAAUGAACAGCAUGCAUGUAGCUAGCUAGGCACGAGCAUAAUUAAUUUGGAGGGUGGAGAUAGUUAUGUAUGCUGCCUACCUGGAUGUGAUGAAUUUGAUUUAUGACAGCUAAGUUCGUUAGGACGGUGGUGGAUCCGCUCGCGAGUAAUUGCACGCGAAUUAACACCUCCCACGACCCAUUUUUUCACCGAAUCGGCCGUUUCGAUCGCGUGCGUCCAUCGAAAACCUAAUUUCUUUCUGAUUCUAUUAAUUGUUCAUAUAUAAGAGACAUCUAUCUUUAUACAAGGGAGAGAUCGGAUAAUUAAUUCGGUACAUGGUAUAUAUAUACAUGGAGACAUCUCUAUAUAGUAUACAAUUAUUAUACGACGAAAUUUCUUUUCUCCGAUCGAUAAUAGUGAAGAUGUAAAUGAAAAUAUUUAUUUAUAUAUGUUGACGCUCCCGCAAACUCAAGACGGGUCAAGCACCACAAGAGUUUGGGCAAAAAGUACUAAUUUCUUUGAAUAGUGUAAGAUUUGGACAAAUGUACUGAGAUUUGGUGAAAAAAUCGGUAAGCUGUUGAACGGACGAAGCAAAUGGUAAUGCUAUCGUGCCAUUAGUAUAAUAACGGCGAAUGAAAUUGCGACUCAUUUUGAUAUGGUUGGUGGGUUCGUGAAAGACAUGUUAUCCGCAAUUUUAAUCGCACUUUGAUUAUCACAAUAUGGUUGUGUUGGAGCAGAGUAGAGGGCACCGAGGUCAUCAAAGAACUAUCCAAGCCAUAUAAUUUCAGAGGUUGCAGAGGGUGCCAGGUGCAAGGAGAACUAAUGACCAGAUACUAGCACGAUGAAGGGCAACAAGUUCCGUAGUCAUCGCAUCCCGCCAUUCAAUAAUGGAAGCGGUAUACGAUACAUUUGUGGUUCCCAGAUAUCAGAAAUAGCUGCAAGAAAUUAAUGUAUGAUAAUACAAAAAAAUGCAGGUAGAGUCAAUAGAACCGACAAAUUAUUUUGGACGACGAGUUCUCGAUACACAAUGGUGGUCGGAUCAUCCGAUGAGGCGAUACUUGUUGGGUCCUCAUGUGGUCCUCAUGUGGUGGUGCUUGUACAACAAGAAAAUCUAUAGAGAAUAGAGCCGGUAAAGGUGAGAAGAAGUAGCAGUUGAGGAAUCAGUUGGUUAGGAUUCUUCGGGAGAAGAAAUAGUGGCUGAUGAAAUGUUGAAGCGAAAAAAGAUCAACUAUAAGCAUUGAAAUGGAAAUGACGUCAGCACUCAAACUAGAUUGAACAUAAUUGGGUAAAUGUUCGAGAAAAGAAUGAUAUCUUGAGAAAUAUGCAUGUGACGAGCAAUAGGAUCAUAACAUCGUUGUGUUCAAGAUAUAGCCUAAGAAAACACGAAUAUAUAAUUUCAGGGAGAGUUUGGUCAUUCAUGUCAGGGUGGGAGAACAAAACAAGUGUACACACACACACGCGUGCGCACACACACACACACCCCGGGGGAUAUGGCAGAUAAGAGACUACAAGGCAUGAUAUAAACUAGACACAUAUGUAGAGAAAGCAUCAACCCAAAAAUGUUAAGGCGUAGACCCAUCUAUAAGAUGAGAGUAAGCAGUUUUAAAGAUGUCUCAUAUCAGUGCUUACGCUCAGCAAUGUCAUUUUGUUGAUGCACAUACAUGAAAGUUGUGGCAAAGUAUCAUGUUUAGCAAGGAGUAGAGGAAACUCAUUCGAAAAUACUCAUGCAUGCUGAUCUCUCCAUUUUUUUUUUGGUUAACGUCGAACCAAGUGGGCCCAAAGAUAACAAUAACAACAUCGAAUGCUCCACUUGUCUUGUCUAGCACUAUAACUUCUAAAAGAAUUGGAAGGUAUAGAUGAGAAGAAGUAGACACUAAUGCAGGUAGAGAAGUUGUAGGAUCACGAGCAGCGAGGACAAUAAGCAUCGCAGAAAUAGAGGAACUUAGAACUUGAAGGCAUGUCUCUGCAGCAAUUAGUUUCGCCAGAGCUGCAUCAAUGGUGAGGAAUGGAGUUCGAUGGAGAAGUUGACCACGCAAGGCUUCAAACUUAGGUAGCAAGUGCAUAAGGAACUAGAAUAAACAUUGUUGAUUGUGCACUUGCUUUUGCUUGAAAGCACACUGACAAGCUGAGCAAGUGCGGCAUAAGGGUAUCCAUAGUUGCUAUUUGAUGCCAAAGUGCCUGCAUAAAGUCAUAGAAAAUCGAAAUUAUGCGCUCCUCUUGAUGAGCUGUGGAGAUUGUGUCAUGCCUUGAGUCCGACCAAUUGGACCCGCUUGGACAUGUACAAUAGAUCCACUGGACAAGACAAGUUUUCCCCUACCCAUACGAAGCAGAAACAUACAGCAACCUGUACAAUGCCAUAUAUGAAAUAGUUAUAAUAGAGCAUUAGCGUAAUAUUUCUAAAUUAAAACCACUGCAAACGUACUCAUUUAAAGUUUACCAAACUUAAUACAUUCCAAAAUAUUACAAUUUUAUUGUUCAUAUAAAAAGGUACAAUCUAAACCACGUACUCACAUGGUCUAACUACUCCACAACGCCCUUACUAUGGUCCCGCACCUCAAAGAUAAUAAUAGGAUCUGAAAAUAGGUAAACAACAAUGGAAUAAGAACUUGGAAUGAGUUCUGAAUAGGUGCAACCACUGAAAGUGGUAUUCUAUACUCACCAAGUUCCAAACGGGCGUUAGUAAUAAGUAAUAAUAAACAACAUCUAUUACCACAAUAGAAAAGUAAAUAAGUAAGAUAUAUCUAUAAUGCCUCUCUAUAUAUAUAAUAUGCAAAAAUGGUUUGCUAUGUUAUUUACUACACAUUCACCUCAUUUUAUUUUCUUAAUUUUAACAAACUUGUUCAUUUGGUUUACUUUUCAAUCUCAGUACACACCUUAUGGAGAGUCAAGGAUGAUCGAACUUCUCUCCAAUCGGUAGGCACUUGGGAUUGAAGGAGAUCAGAUUUUCUCUAGUAUGGCAUCGGGAGUUGAGAGGAUUAGACUUCUCCCUUUAUGACACUUCCGAAAAUCGCAACAUGUUUCAUUGUUACACCUUAAGUUCGUGACUUCUAGGGUUGUCAUAAGGUUUAUUUCCAUAUUGUUUUAUUUUCUAGUUCUAGUUUUGCCUAGAGAUACCACUAUAUUCACAUCUUAGGUUUCAAAAUAGGUUAAACGCCACACUUGUUUUCAACAUUUUAUGGUUCACAUAAUACUCACAUGUACAUCUCAAGUAUUUUCUUGUAGUAUAAUAAAGGGAUAAAAUCCUAUUUUCCUAGGCCAAAUGGCAAUAUACAAUUUUGACUCUCUAGAUCCCCUAGCAUGCAACUAAAAUAUAUUUCAGCUUAUAUAAAACUCAUAAAAUAUGCAUGCAACAAAAAAAUAAUUUAGACAAAGAGGAAACUAAAUCUAUUUUGAUUAUAUUCUUUACCUUUUCUUAGAUCUUCUCUAAGAGAUGCUCUUGAUCUUUUUAGAAUACCAAGAAAAUCUUAAAAAUUAAUUCUAACCAAGUUAGAAUCUAAAAAUUCUAUGUUUAGGAAAAUUCCCAAAAUAAACCAGAAGAUUCCAACUUACCUCUUCUCUUCCUGGUAUAAGAAAUGCGGGUGAAAUGGACUUCUUCUCCCUCCAAGAGCGUUCUCUUGAUGAAUUUGACCUUCUCCAAGCUUUCAAGGAAAUAGAUCUUUAAGUUUCAACAAUAGAGAUUUUAGGGCUCUUUUACUGUAAAGAAAGAGAGAAGAGGAUAGUGAGAGAGGAAGAAAUAUAAGAGAAAUUAGGGCUAACUAAUUAAAAGGAUACUCAUAGACGUGCUAUAAUAGCACAUAAACCCGCCGACAAUCCAAAUUUAUAAAGCCAUAAACCUCGACCUUUUAACUAGGAUUCGGGCACCCACUUGUCCGGACUUUCAGGUGCCGGUCCAAACUUUUAGGAGCCCAAAAGCCUCGUAGCUCCCUUUGGUCAAUUGUCUAGAUGCCCGGCCAAUCCGCCCUAUCCAUAAUACGGGUGCCCAAAAUGGACAUCAGGUGUCCAAUUAUUUAAUCCAUCACACAUGCGCUCUCAGGUUGAACAUCCAAAAGACAUUCGGAUGCCCGCGAGGGACUGCUUGAAAGAUUUUUCGAGCGCCAGAUUUUGGUCAACCGAAUAUUCAAUCCUUCACCUCCCAAGUUCUCGGGUUGGGAGUCCGAAAGAGGGUCUGGAUCCUCUUAAGUAGGAUUUGAAAGGUUAAUUUGCAGGCACCUAUGGGGCCAUUCGGGCACUCUAAAGUCAUCCUUCAAGUGAGUCCCACUGUCCGAAAUGGUUUCGGGUGCUUGGGAUCCUGUUUCGAGCGCUUGGGAUCCUAUUUCGGGCAUCCGAGAAGUUUGAUACUUCAGUUUUCACUUCUUUGAAAAUCAAUUUCAAUAUAAAUUAGUUUAUAUUCGGUCCAAAUUCAAACUACACUCCUUCAAACCCAUUUUAAUUGUGUCUAGCAUGACUUAAUCCGUACUUUGUUAAUUUAGCCAAAAUUCAGUAUGUUACAGAUUUUCUAUACUUAGAAAAUAACCAUAACUAUACUAUCUAUAUAUUUGUCUCUAUAUAUCGAUCAAAGAUAGACCACAUCUGGUAAAUGGUGGAUAGGCUGAUUAAUUGCAUACAAAUGUCGAUAUCCACUUGUAUAAAUAAGCCCAUGUGCCCGUCAAUCAGCAGCAAAUCAGGCUUUAGUUUUGUUUCAUCAACUGUUAGAUUGGUACCAUCAAUAUGACUGGUAAGAUCAAGAGUAUUCAAAUAAUAAUUGAAUACACAUCGACCAUUCAUAAUAGUUGGGCACGAUGAGCUUAAUAUCAAUUUGCACAAUAGUAGGUUAGAGGUGAGAGAACUAUUUUUCUUUACAGGUCUAAGCUAUUAGAGAAUGAUCCUUUAACUAUUAUGUGCUCAAAACAUUUUGGCAUCUAAUGGCAGAUUUUGGCUAAAAGCCAAAUAUGCAAAUUGCUAAAACUAAAUUAAAGAUUAGUAUCAAAAGAUUUUGGCAGAAAAUUAGUCUCAAAAGAUUCGGAGUCAAGACCUUAUGCUUUGAUAUCAUUUAGGACAUUGUUUUCACUUCCAUAUAUACUCAAUAGGGAUUAUCUUAAAUUCUGUUGAAUUCGCAGGUCCAUUCCAAUUUAUGAUGUGAUCCAAAAUUUUAGCAGUAAAAUUAAAAAUUUCACUACUAGAAAAUUAGUCAUUAGUGACAUUUAUUUACGCUGCUAAAAGAUCAACGAAUGCCACUAAAAAUUUUAGCAGCAUAUGACACUAACUGUUGCAUAUGCCAAUGUUGCUAAAAGUAUUAGCAGUAUUUAUAAUGAAUGCUGCCAAUGUAAAUCAAUUAGUGUUAUUAGGAACAUGCCUCUAAUAUAAAUCAAUUAGUGUCAUUCGGAACAUGCCGCUAAAAGGGAUUAAAUGCUAAUUUUAACUUAUUUAUUAGUGGGACAUAAAUUAAUAUAACGCCACAAAUACAAAUAUCUGAUUUUAGGGACUCAAGUUUUAAAAUUUUAAUUUUACCCGCUUCAGCUGGAAAUGUGAAUCAACUAGGAUUCAAACUUGAGACCUCAGUUACCAACCAUCAAGCACUUUGUCACUUACGCUAGGAACUCUCAGUUAUAUAUAUUUAAUUUUUUUUAAAUUUUAAGCCUUCAAUUUUAAAAUUUUAAAAUUUUAAAUUCUAAAUUCUAAAUUUAGAUACUAAAUUUAAAUUUUUAAUUUUCAAAUAUUAAAUUUUAAGUUUCAAAAUUUACAAUUUUAAAUGUGAAAUUUUAAAUUUAAAAAAAAUGUAUAAAUUUAAAAAUUAAAAAUUAAAAAUUUAAAUUUUAGAAUUUAAAAUAGAAAAUAUAAAAUCUUAAAAUUCAAAUGUUAAAUUAUAAGUUUAAUUUUAAAAAUUAUAAGUUUCAAAUAUUUAAACUUUAAUUUCAAAACUUUUAAUUCUAAGUAAAAAUAGGAUAUAUUAAUAAUUAUAUAUUGAUUAGUAACGAUAUUUAGUAAUAAGUACUGCUACUUUAUUACAUUUAGUGGCGUUCAUUAAUUUACGCUGCUAAUUUAUCCUAUUUUGUAACAUUAAUAAUAAAUUACUGCUAAAUUAUUAAAUCUAGCGGCAAUUAUUAAAUAAUGCUGUUAAAUAUAUUAAUUAGCUUAAUUUAAAUAAAUAUUGUGAAGUAAGUGUUGCAGCAUUUAGCAAUAAGUGCUGCUAUUUUGUUACAUUUAGUGUUAUUUUUUAUAAAAUGUUGGAAACUUCAGCGGCAUUCACUAAUUUAUCAAGUACGAAUAAUUGUAAAUUGCUACUAAUUGUAACUUCAGCGGCAUUCAAUAAGUGCUGGUAAUUUAUCCUAUUUGUAACAUUAAUUGUAAAUUGCUGCUAAAUUAUUAAAUCUAGCGGCAAUUAUCAAGUAAUACUGUUAAAUAUAUUAAUUAGCAUGAUUUAAAUAAAUGUUGUGGAGUAAAUGUCACUAAAUCAUGAAUUUGUUAUAGAAUUUUAUGAAACUCCAUGGUAGUAGCACUAGAAGCCCACUACUUGCUUUGUGAGUGCAAGGGCAGCGCUCCUGCAAAUUGGAAUAGUUAAGUCGGGGCCAAAGUUUUUCUAACCCCUAAACUUUUGAUCUACCAAUUUAGUUAAACUUAGACUAGUAUCGUUAAUUCUUUAGAGAUUUAACCGCUUACAUAUGUUGAUAGACCUUACUCCGUGGAUUUGUGGUAUCAUAGAGAGCAUGACAUCUAUUUUGCAGGUUAGGAUAUUUUGAGAGACGUAUGUUUUGUACUCAGCUUUCGAUUAUAAAAAGUUUUGCUUCAUCUUUGUUCAUGGAUUCAGGUCAGUGGUCAAACAAGAUUAUUUUCUUGUGAUUUUUUUUUCUUCUCUAUUUUUUGAUUCUCCGUUUUCUUUUAUCUGAUUUUUAGUCUUUGUUGUUACGAGAUACUUACCUCCCAAAUGUCUCACCUUGAAGCUGUGAAUGCCACUAUAUAGUUAGUACAUAUAGACGAAUAUAUAAGCAACGAGUUGAUUUAGGUAAAUAAUUAUUUAGCCACCACUCCAUCCUUCUUCUUUUCACUUAAUUGGAAUUGCCUUUUAUACUCAAAUUUUGGCAUGUUACAUACUAAAUGUUGAAAACUGAUGUGGAUAAAAUUAAAUUGUCUUAGAACUUCGAAGUAGAAAUUUUUCUUCACAGUGUGGGCCAUUAUUUCAUAAAUUGGAAGAUAAAUUAUGUUUGGCAGUAUGUUUAGGAUAUGAAAUCAAGUCUGCAGGAAAACUUAAUUUAUGUAUGCUUCUAACGGAUGAUUCCAAACUUAAUUUAUGUAUGCUUCUAACGGAUGAUUCCUUACGUGAUGCAGGAUGAGGACUUUCCUAAUUGAGGGUUUCAUGUGCCACACUCAUAAUGCUGCAUGGCACACUCUACACAACAUUAUUUGUGGGAGUGCUAACAAGAUGGAGAAUUAUCUAGACAUUGUCAAGAAUCAGCUAAAGUGCAAUGUAACUAUAUUUCACGGCCGAAAAGAUGAGCUCCUCCCUGUUGAUUGUAGCUAUGCUGUCGGGUCGAAGAUCCCUAGGGCUCGUGUUAAGAUCUAUGAUGAGAAGGACCAUAUCACGGUUGUCGUUGGCCAAGAAAGGGUUUUCGCAAGAGAGCUUGAAGAGAUAUGGAAAAAUGCUAUGCAUUAAAUAAGGAGGAGGAAGAAAGAAUUUAAACCUAAAUGAAAUAACUUCCCUCUCAAUGCACAGCUCAAAGAAAUGUGAUGCAAACAAGUGAUGCAUGUUUGAGCAAAUAUAUAUAUAUCUUUUGUUUCUCUCUUUCGUUCUUUUUUAAAAAAAUUUCUUUCUAAAGUACUUAUGUUUUACCACUAUAUGUGGUUCUAUAUGGUACCCCUUAUUCAAGUGUGAAAUAUGUAAGAUAGAAAUAUUAUGGGGAAAGAUAUAGAUUUCUCUACUUUUCAUAUAUUCUUCUUAUGAACUAUGUAGUAUUGUUAGUUAAUAACUUCAUUAUUAAAUCAUCAAUCUUACUACAUCGAGAGGGCAACAAAUUAUAUAUCACUCCCCGAGGCUGUUUUGUAAAAUAUUUUCUUUGAAAACGAGUGAAAAACAUGCUUUUUCUGAACUAAAAAACUGCCCUGAACAAGCACUGAUUCGCCAUACGAACAAAAUCUUCCCUAUCCAAAUGGAUAGAGUUUUUUCUGUACGCAUGACAUAUAUAGAGACAUAAAGUACAACAUCCAACCAUCAAACACAAUAGUAGCAACAACAACGACAAUAGAGAGAUAACAACAUACUAAUAAAUGAUCGACUAUUAUGAUGAAUAAAUGACUACUGCAGCCUCCAAUCUUCACAUACAACAAGUCACCUCCUACAACCAAAAUCAAAUAACAAUAUAUACAGGCCAGAAGCAAGAAUUAAUAAUACUGAAAAGUGAAGAAAUACAGAUACUAAAACCGACUACAAGGAAGCCACCCAAACUACUAAGAAGAACAAAUCUACAAAUGCUAAAUAUACAAUAACUAAAUAAUUAGGAGUUUGAAACAAAAGGUAUAAUUACAACUCAAAGUUACUGCCAGAGGGACUCAUCUAUCUAAUAGUACCUCAUGCACAGGCGGAUAUGUCACCUCUAGUGUCACCUGUGGAAACUAGGGAAUGAAAAACAUGUACACAUAUUUUUCAGUGCGUACUGCAAGCCGUCGAAGGCAAGCUGUACUCACUAGUAAAUAAGAGAGAGAGAGCGAUAAGGUAAAUACGAUAGGUAUAAACAGGUAUAAUUGAUAUAGUAAAAGUAAAACAAGAAAGAAAUCAUGCGACUAAAUAUUUGAAAUAAUAGCACUAUUGUAAAAAGAUAAGCAGAUGUAUAUAUGCAUCAAGCAAAUGAAUACUUCAAUACUCAGUCCCAAUCCAAACAAAUAUUGUCAUGUUGGUCUAAAGACCUUAGGCAAUGCCACACCUAUGCUUAGUCACUAGGCAUAUAAUCCUUCACGCCCUAGGGUUCGGCUCAUGUCACGCCCCGGGGUCCCUUUUCAGUUUAAAACAAAGCGGAAAAGCGUCUGAAAUUUUUUUUUUUUUUGAAAACCUGACCCCAGAGUAUGCCAGAUCCGCCACAAAUACAGGGAAUCCACUGUUCACACGGACAGAGUCUCCCCUGUAUUUGCACGGCGUCGCACAAGUACAAGAAGUCACCCAAGCACAACCACAACAAAUGAACAUACAAAUAACCAACCGUUAUAUAUAUUCAUACGCCAUUCACCACAGAUUCACAUGUAUGCAUAAAUCCACACCUAUCAGUUAAAAUAUUUCCAACCACAGAAACAGGUUUUGAAAUACUAAGAUGCAAAAUCCACAGAAAGCUUUUUGAAAACUGUUUCCUACACGGAAACCUUUAUUCUUUAAAAAUGCUACCACGAGGGGUAGAAAAUAUUUUACUUUACAAAAUCCAGAAAUCCGUUUAUUACAUUCACGAAAAUCCAUAUUUUCAAAUGUAAUAAAAAAUACUGAACCAUAUAACUAUCUAAGCUAUAACAACUGAAAUAAUAAGGGUAAUAACUAUACCGAAAUAACCUGGGUCGGAAGCUCUAUCGACCGCUACACACGUACCUCACGUCUCGUCCCACUACUCAUCGCCCGCGAUACCUGAAAAAUGGUGGGGGAGGUGAGAACAUGUAAACAUGUCUCCCCUCCCAGUGGGUACCGCAAGCCGAAGAAGGCGAGGAGUACUCACCGGAUCAGGAAGAACUAUACAACAACAUGGGUCAGUGGAAAUAAACAAGGUAAUGAGCAGAUAUACAAUAGCGAUAAACUGAAAGGAAGUAAGAACUAUACUGAAUAAACGGCUACCGCUACUGUAACUGGAACAGAAAGCAUACAUGAAUAUCUACUAUAGUAGCAAGACAACUAUAAAGUAAGAUCUGUAAGUAUGCAUGCAACGACUGCUACUAUAAACAUAUGCGUCAAUGGGACAAUCAGUCCAAAAGUACCCAAUCUGAAACCAAUGCUCUCUUGGUCAGCACCGCAGACCUCAAGCCAAUGCCCUGGAGGUCCGCACCGCAACACCUCCCGACAGUACCACUGCCGCUCUAACAUGCAUAUAACCCCUCUAGGGCUCACGGGUUGUCACCAUUCAACCACUUUUCCGGAAAAGAACACUCCUUGCGGUGGAUCAGACCGCCAGUGUUCGUGAAAUGCGACGAGUAUCGGGCGAUCAAUGCAAUAUGGUCAAUGAUCAACCGUCGGCAACCAGCCGACAAUCCUGCCCCCCAGGGCCUAUCGACCGCAUAGGUCAUCAACUGUAAAGAAGCACAAGAACCGACCACUCAGGUCAACUAGGAUGGGACAACAUCGACAUCCUCUCAAACAUAUGCAAAUACUGACUAAUCAAGUCAACUGGGAUGGAACAACUCAACAUCCUACCCACAGUAUGUAGAUACUGAUCAAUGAGUCAACUACUGUAUAUAUGCAAGAAUCGGUCAACAAGUCAUCUGAGUAUAUGAUCUAGAACUACCGUCGGCCACUAGUCGACAAUCCUACCCCUCAGGGUACACCGACCUCAAAGGUCAUCAAACAACAAGAGUCAAGGAACAAACCGACUAUAUACAGAUAUAAGAUACAAGAACGAAUCAACUAGGUCACCGAUUUCACAUAAAAUCACGAAACCGCUCUACUCUAAACAUGAUACAGGAUAUGCAGAAUAGCUAAGUAGAGCAACAAAGAAAUAUGGUAUAACUACUCUACUCCUACUCAUGAUAUAAAGAGAACAACCGAGUAGAGUGUAACUGAACAACAUGGUGCUAGGCUCAACACUAUAUAUCAAGAUAUAUAUAUGCUAGAUAAUAACGAAAGAGCAAAGGUAAGAAACCAUCACCGAGCGUGCACCACUGUACCGACGUCGGAUCGAAGUACCCACCUGUACAACUGUCGCGCCUGUCUCCUGACUGCAAAAGAACGUCAACAGGACCUAUGGAGGGUCCACUGGGUUAGUGUCUAACCCACAACUAAGAAAUACUACAUCGUAAUCCCGCUAACAAACCCACGGAGAUCAGUUUCCCAAAACCGACUACCGUAACUCGCCGGAAGUCCCAAAAAUCGCACCGGGACUCCGUCGGGACCCACGAACUGUCCCGAAAUGUUCCAACUCAGGAUACGAGUCACCCGCUGACACAAAACACACCAAUUUGGAUGUCUUGGCAGAAAACACAAGUUAACACAACUACACAAUUAUCGCCGGAUAAUUGUACGAACUCGGGUUCCCGAAAGUGUCAAAUUCGACACCGGAACCCACCGUCGCUCACUCGUCAUUUCUGAACUCUCGAAAUGACGCAAGUGGCCAGAAAACAAGGCUCGGCGACUACACAAUAGCUCACGAAGCACCGUCGGAAUAAUUCCGAACCGAACCCGCGUUCUAUCGGCGGAUUUCGCCGAAAAACGCAUCGAAAAUCACUUUUCGAUUUUCGCAAGGGCUUGGGGCCUUGGACGAUCAGUCCAGAGGUUAUCCUUAGCCCAAACGUGCUGCCAACAGCAUCUACAUCGAAGCAAAAGUCCUAAAAGCCCAUACCGAUACAUGAAAUCGCAUCAUUUCAUGUGAUUUCUAGGCUUUUCUGGACCGUGCACGCAAACCAGAGGUCGAUUAAUCCGACCGUCGCACUCGCUGACAGGUUUCAUCAUGUCGGAGGCCGUGCUCACCUUUCGGAGCACUGCCGACCACUGCGGUGCGCGCACGAGCGACACGAAAUCUGUGAAACAGUGCGCACAGCGCGAAGGUCGCGACUAACUUGCUAACCAGGGCAUCUUUGCCGCUGUCGGAGGUGAGCACGAUGUUCAGCACGAACCCUAGAUCAUCGUGCUCACUUCUCGAGGUGUCGGGGAGUCAUCGGAUCACCAGAAAGGUGGCCGGAAAGCUUAAAUUGCAAUGCUGGAACUCAAAAACAGCAUACCGGAGCAGUGGGAGCUAGGGUUGGUCGCCGGCGGCCGGGAGGCGGGCACUCUGGCCGGGGAUGGGAGCAGCCGGUCCGAGAGGUCCGGGGAGGGUGCUGGCCGGCGGCGGGCGGCAACCGGUGGCGCGGCGGAGGAGAUCGACUCCGCCCAUUCCCUCUCGGGUUCGUGCUUCCCGGCGGCGCGGCGGCGGCCGGAGGAGGUCGGGGCGGCUACGGUGCGGCGCCGGAGGCCGAGGGGAAAGUGGUGUACCCCCCGGUGGGCGGCGGCGGCACUUGGAUGUCGAGCGGGCCCGACCUCGGCCCGCACAGGUCUGGGUAGCUGCAGGAGAUCUCAGCGGCGGCCGGCGGCGCGCGGGGACGGCGGGGGACGCGCGCGCCGGGUUGUCGGAGGUCGCCGGGGCCGACUGGAGGGCGGCACGGCCGAAGUAAGGCGAGGACGCAGAGUUCGAGCUGGCUCGGUCUGGGUUGACCCGAGUUGGCCGCAGGGAGCGGGGGUGGAUCCGGUGGCGCUCGGGGGUGGUCGGGGCCGACGAGGGAGGACGACGGAGAUGGACCUCGGCCAGAGGAUGAUGCUCCAAGGGUGAAAGAAGCUUCCUUCGCAGCUUCGGCGAAGUCGGAGGAGAGGGUGGCCGAGAGAGCAAGAGAAGAGGUCGGGGUGGCUUUUCCGGCGGCCGGGGCAGCUCGCCGGCGGCUGGGGCGUGCGCGCGGGUUGGGCAGGGAGAAGGUGGGGCGGCUAGGGCUCGGUUCGGCUGAGGAGAAAGCCAAAAGCUAGGGUUUCCUCACGAAACCCUAGUGCAACUACUAUUUACAUAUGUACAAUUGCAAGAUAGUCCUCCCAGGGAUAAUAUUCUCAGUCAAGUCCCUCACAGCAUGUGUAUUUUACACAUACGCACCUCCAUGUCCGAUCUCAAGCAAUUCGGCACAUAAAAUAUUAGAUCUUUUCGCGAUUUAACCGUUUUGCCAAUUUGACCUCUUAGCGAUAACUUUGCAAUUACCGGAGAUCCGUCCGUCGGAUUUUCGAUCCGACUGUGCCAUCGCGUUCAGUACAACGGGGGCAUCGAAACUACGAUUUCGUUUCAUCCAAUUUGGUCACGGAUUCGCGACGGAACCCAUCUGCUCUCUAAUUAAUCCAUAUAUCGUACGUAUACCAAUGUGUAAACCCAUUAAACCAACUUUCGUAUUAGAAAUUGACUUCCCUACCACUAGUAGGGACCCGAAACAUUCUUCACCCUACUCCAGGUCACAAGCACGGGGCACGAGAAGCUUUAGAAUGCACAGAAAAGCAAAGAGCGGAAACCCUCUUUUCGGUAAAACUCCUUUUUCUCGAAAAUCGUGCAUCAGAUCUGAAAUCCGUCAGUGCCAUUGGUUCCAGAACAGCUGAACCGAUCGAAACGAGCUAUUGGAUCGCUAUGAACGGAGUCCGAUAAGCGCCGAAAGCCAACUCUACUCCGUGGCUUCACCGAAAAACUGGAGUUACUAUUCACUUAAGUGAAAACUAAUAAUCACGUAACUUCUCCGUUCUAGCUCAUUUUCUCCUGAAACUUGACGAGUGCUUAUGUAAUUAAAUUACACACAUAAAUAUCGUCAACAGAGAGUUUAGUUGCACUGUAAAAAUCUCAAUCCUUACAGCUCAACGUGGGUUUGCCAAUAGAUCUGCCGCAUACACAAGAAGCCUUGUGUAUACGAAGCGAUAGUAGUACUUGUAAAGUAUAAAAGAACAACUAUAAGCAAGUAAUAGGAUUGUAAAAAACUGCUAAAACUAAAACAUGAUCCACUGUACAUACAUAAGAUCUAGGGAGUACAAUAAAGAAAUCCAAAAGUACAAACAUCAUCUCUCGCAAUUGUAAAAUAAUAUAUAUAUAUAUAUAUACGUAUAAUAUAUAUAUAGAACGUUCGGCUACUAUGCUUAUCGUAGCACGAGCGCUCCGUGCUACCAAGUUGUUUUCGAUGAUGCGGCUUUCUGAUCGACGAUCGGCUCCGUUAGACUUGAUCGAACACUAUUGAAAGUAUUUGAAACUAAAUUUCAAAUUUUUUCGACAUCAUUUGACUAGUGAUCAAAAGAUCUCAAAAUUGACAAUUUUAAUGGCCGAUGUGGGUGUGUUUGUGAGUUAACGGUGUAAAAAUAAUCCAAAUGCGAUGAAAAAUUUAUAUAAAAAUUCUUUUCACUAUUUAGAGUAAGAUCAGUAUAUCUUUUUUGAAUUAAUCUUUUUAUAUCAUUUUUCUAUGAGAUUUUUAUUUUCAGCCGUUCAAUUUUAGACCUACUUGUUUGAUAGGUAAAUAAUAUUCCGAAAACACACUUAUGAACACUUAUUUCUAAAUACUUUCCCACAUAGUAUAGAUUCAAGCUCAACCGGAGCCGAUCGGUCGACUUCUGGAAGUAGCAUCAUCGAAAACAACUUGGCAGCACGGAGCGCUCCGUACUAUCGAUAGUAUAGUAGCCUAGCUCAUAUAUAUAUAUAUAUAUGUAUGUAUGUAUAUAUGUAUAGCAUAGUACUAAUAUAAUAAUAUAGAUAUAUCUAUAUAUAUAUAUGUAUACAUAUAUACAUACAUAUAAUAUAGAUAUAUGUAUAUAUAUUAUAUAUGUAUUAUAUAUAUAUAUACAUAUAUAUAUUACUAUAUAGAUAUAUUAUAUAUGUAUAUAGAUAUAUUACAUAUAUGUAUAUAGAUAUAUCACAUAGAUAUAUAUAGAUAUAUAUAUAUAUAUACUAUAUAUAUAUAUAUACUGUAUAUAUAUAUAUAGUAUGUUAUAUGAUUAUAUCUAUAUCUAGAUUGUAGGAUAUACAUAUAUAUAUAUAUAUAUAUAGUAUAUACACAAUAUAACAUAUAUAUAUAUAUAUUACAUAUAACAUAUAUAUGUAUAUCUACAUACAUAUAUACUAUAUGUAUAUCUACAUAUAUAUAUAAUAGUAUAUAUAUUAUUGUAUAUCUAACAAUAUAGAUAUAUAUGUAUAUAUAUAUAUAUAUUAUAUAUAUAUAUACUGUAUGUAUAUAGUAUAUACUAUAGAAAUUUAAAUAUUCUGUAUAUUAUAUAUAUAUACAGGAUAUACAUAUAUAUAUAUAUAUGUAUGUAAUAUAUAGUAAUAUAUAGUAUAUCUAUAUAUAUAUAGGGUAGUUAUACCAGAUAUAUAUAACCUACCUAUAAUCAUGUAUAUAUAUAGGUAAUACAUAGGUAGGUUAAUACAUAUAUAAUAUAGUAGAAGGUGGUAUACAAUAUAUUAGGGGGGGGGUAGGUUAUAUAACCUACCUAUAUAUAUAUAUAUAUAUAUUAGUUUAGUAUUAAUAUUUAUAUAUAUAUAAUAUAUAUAUACUAUAUAUAUUUAUAUAAUUAUAUAUUAUAACCUACAAUCUAUGAUAUAUAUAUAACCUCCUAUAUAUGGUUAUAUAUAUAUAUAAUAUGUAUAUAAUAAUAUACCUAAUCUAUAUAUAUAUAUAACCGAGUUGGGCUGGGGUGCUUUCGGAAAGAAGCACGGAGCGCUUCCGUGCUUCCACUUUGUUUUCCGAUGUUCGGACUUUCGAAUCGACGAUCGGCUCCGUUAGAGUUGAUCUACGAGCUAUUUAAAGUACCAAGAAUUAAAUUUUGCGAAUUUUUCGAUAUCAUUUGCCUUAAGUGAUCCGAAGGGGCUUCAAAAUCAAUAAUUUUAACGGCCGUGGUGAGCCAGUUUGCAAGUUUAACGGUAUAGAAAUAUCCCAAAUCCACGGAAAAUUUUGAUAGAAUUCUUUAUUACCAUAUAAAACAAGAUCAAUACUUUUGUGAUCUAAAUUUUAAUGGUCGAUAUCAUCAUAUUUUGGUGAGAUUUUUAUUUUCAGCCGUUAUUUGAGCCACUUCGAUCACUAGGGCAAAUGAUAUCGAAAAAUCGCAAAAUUUAUUUUCUAGAUACUUCAAAUACCUAGAUCAAGUCAUAAACGGAGCCGAUCGUCGAUUUGAAAGUCCCAACAUCGGAAAACAAAGUGGAAGCACGAGCGCUCCGUGGCUUCUGAAAGCACCCCCAGACGCUACUCAUAUUAACUUACCUAUAUAUGUAUAUAGUAUAUAGGUAGGUUAUAUUAUAAUAUAUAUACAUAUAUAGGUAGGUUAGUAUAGUAUAUACUAUAUAGGAGUUAUAUAUUAUAUAUAUAGUAGGUAGGUUAUACAUAUAUAUAUAGUUAGGUAGGUUAUAUUAUAUAUAAUAUAAGAUAUAUAUAUAGGUAGUUAGGUAGAUGUAUAUAUAGUAUAUAUAUGAACUAUAUAUAUAUAACUAUAUUAUAUAUAUAUAGGUUAAGUUAUGUAUAUAUAUAUUAUAUAUAUAUUAUAUAUAUAUAUAUAUAUAUAUAGUAUAUAUAUAGUUAGUAGUAUAUAUGUAUAUAUAUAUAGGGUAGGUAGAUGUAUGUAUAUAGGUAGGUUAUAUAUAUAGUAUAUAUAUAUAUAUAUAUAUAUAUAUAUAUAUAUAUAUAUAUAUAGAUAUAUAUAUAUAUACAUAUAUUAUAAUAUAUAUAUGUAUAUACAUAGUAUAUAUAUAUCUAGUAUAUAUAUAUAAUAUAUAUAUAUAUAUAUAUAUAUAUAUAGUAUAUACUAUAAUAUAUAUAUACAUAUAAUAUAAUAUAUCUAUAUUAUAUAUAGUAUAUAUAAUAGUAGGUAGGUUAUAUACCUGAUAUAUUUAUAACCAACAUAUAUAUUAUAGGUUGUUAUACAUAUAUAUAUAUAGUCAUAACCUACUAUAUAUAGUAGUUUAUAUACUAUAUAGGUAGAUUAUACAUAUAUAUAUAUAGGGGUAGUUAUAUAUAUAUAUAGAGAGUAGUUAUACAGAGUAUAUAGGUAGGUUAUAACCUACCUAUAUAUGUAUAUAUUAUUAUAACCGUACAUCGUAUGUAUAUUAUAACCCACCUAUAUAUGUUAUAUAUAUAUAUGUAUAUUGUAGGUAACUACGUAUAUAUAUAUAUAGCUAUAUAUAUAUAUAUAGUAUAUAUAUAUUAAGUAUACAUAUAGUAUAUAUAUAUAUAACUACAGUCGUAUAAUUAUAUAACCUACCGUAUAGUAUGUAUAGUAUAUAUAGGUAAUACAGAUAAGUAUAUAUAUAUAUAUAUAUAUAUAUAGUAUAUUAGUAUAUAUAUAUAUAUAGGAUUAUAUAGUAGUAUAUAUAUAUAUAAUACGUAUAUAUAGUUAUAUAUAUCUGUAUAACCUACCUAUAUAUAUAUAUGAUAUAUAUAUAUAUAAAUAUAGAUAUACUAUAUAUGUAUAUAGAUAUAUCUAUAUAUAGCAUAUAUAGAUAUAUCUUAUAUAUAUAUACAUAUAUACAUAUGAUAUAUAAUAUAUAUAUACAGUAUAUAUAUAUAUAGUAUAUAUAUAUAUAUAUAAUCUUAUAUGUAUAUAUGUAUAUAUAUAUAGAUAUAGUCUAUAUAUGUACUAUAGUAUAUAUAUGGAGUCGGUACUAUACUAUCGGUAGCACGGAGCGCUCCGUGCUACCAAGUUGUUUUGAUGAUGCGGCUUCCAAAUCAACGAUCGGCUCCGUUAGACGUUGAUCUACACUAUUGAAAGUAUUUGGAAACUAAAUUUCAAGGUUUUUUUUACAUCAUUGACUAGUGAUCAAAAGAUCUCAAAAUUUGACAAUUUUAAUGGGCCUAUGUGGUGUUUGUGAGUUUAACGGCUGUAAAACAAUCCAAAUGCGGAUGAAAAUUUUAUAGAAUUCUUUUCACUAUAUUAGAGAAAGAUCAGCAUAUCUGAUCUUGGAAUUUAAAUCUUUAUCAUCCAUUUUUUAUGGAGCAUUUUUAUUUCAUGCCGUUCAAUUUGUGAGGGCUACUUGUGUUGGUAGGUUAAAUGGUAUUGAAAAAUUAUAAAAUUUAGUUUUCUAAAUACUUUUUUAAAUGAGUGUAGAUCAAGUCUAACGGAGCCCGGAUCGUCGAUUUGGAACCGCAUCAUCGAAAACAACUGGUAGCACGAGCCGCUCCGUUGCUACCGAUAGUAUAGUCAGCCUAGCUUAUAUAUAGUAUAUAUAGGUAUAUAUAUAGUAUAAGUAUAGUAAGUAUAUAUAUAUAUACAUAUAUAUGUAUAUAUAAUAUACAUAUUUAUGUUAUAUAAUAUACAUAUAGUAUGUUAUAUAAUCUAUAUAUGAUACUAUAUGUAGUAUAUUUUGUAUACAUAUAUAUAUGUUAUAUAUGUAUAUACAUAUAAUAUAAUAUAUAUAUGUAUAUUAUAUGUAUAUAUAAUAGUAUAUAUGUAUAUGUAUAUGUAUAUAUAUAUAUAUAUUAUGUAUAGUAUAUAUAUGUAGUAUGUAUAUGUAUAUGGUAUAGCUUAUAUAUAUUAUAUAUAUAGUAUUAUAGUAUAUAUGUAUAUAGAUGGGGUAUACAUUAUAUAUAAUGUAUAUAUAUCAUGAUAUGGUAUGGUACUCCGUGCUGUAUAGUAUAUAUAUAUAUGUAUGGUAUAUAGUAGUAAAUAUAUGUAUGUAUAAUAUAUAUGUAUGUAUAUAUAUAUAUAUGUAUAUAAUAUAUUAUGUAUACAUAACAUAUAUAUAUAGUGGUUAGUACGAGUGUUUGAUUAUUAAGAGUAGAUAGUGUAGAGGUACAUAUGAUUGAUAAUUGUAUAAGAGGGGAUACAGGAUAUAUAUAGUAUGUAUAGUGAUAUAAUAUUNNNNNNNNNNNNNNNNNNNNNNNNNNNNNNNNNNNNNNNNNNNNNNNNNNNNNNNNNNNNNNNNNNNNNNNNNNNNNNNNNNNNNNNNNNNNNNNNNNNNUUAUUUAUAGACUUUAGAAUCAAUCGGAGUCGAAUUAGAAAGUUUUCACGGUUUUACACUGUGUACUGGUACACUUUAAGCUGUUACCGGUUACACGAUGACGGAACGAAAAACCUGACGAAACAGUGAAACCGGUUACAUCCUUGAUGGUCGUACUGGUACACAUUUUGUACCGGUACACUUCUGAUGCUGUACCGGUACACUUUGCAAAUUUCCGCCGUUUCGGGUUUUGCAAAGUCCCAAUGCACUUUCUAAUUCGUUAGACAUUGAUAACAUGAUUCUAAUGUCUACAACUAAGUAUGAAUCACCAUAACAUGAAUUUAUACUUUACCUGAGCAUCGUGAUUCAUAUCGUGAGUUAUUUUCCAACUUUUUCAAAAUCCUGAUUUCUUCGAUCUUCGACGAUAUGCACUGGUUCUUCAAGACUCCGACUCACUUCACGAAACUUGCCAAUACACAAGACUUAACAACCUUAGGCCGGUUGGACUAUAGGAAAUAGGCUCGUGAGAGACGAGGUCUAUUUGACUUGUGAGCGAAAGUAUCAUGAUUGGGUAUCUUGAUAACUCUAUAAAGUUGGAGUUGAUCGAAGUGUAUGACUUCUAACUUCGCGGAGGGUUACGUUGGCGGCCGACAACGUAACAUCGGGAGUUAGUGGUGAAGAACACUUCCUUACUUUCGCAUGAUUUGGGUAUUAUCUUUUGAGCGGGGGUUCGAUAGCGUGGGUUUACUAACUUGCGCUUUUAUGAUGUUGUAGUGACGAUGCCGAUUACACGCUCUCAAUCUACCAGAGCGGAUAAUGCGGCAAACUUGGAGGAGGUCGAGACCUCCGCUACCUCCGGAUCCGGUGAGGUCCGUGAGUUGAGGGGCCAGCUUGCGGCCCUCACUGAUAUGGUGGCACAGCAGACAGAGGCAGCGCGCCGGCAGGAGGCGCGGAUGAAGCGCCUGGAGGACCUUCUUCUGCAACAGGCGGCAGCUUCCAGGGAAACUCAGGCCCCUACACCGCCAGCACCAGUCGUGGACGUCACGCCGAGAGCGCCAUCCCCCGCGCCCAGUUCUUCGUGAGCAGCGCCCAUGGCCGCGCCUCAGGAGGAGGCUAUCGCGGCACCACCUGUGCAGAGGCCCCCAGUUGGAGCAGCUUUCCCUACCUUGGUCGAGGGAGUGGAGCGGGACCGACUCAUGGAGCGCCUCAACGAGUUCAGGAGGUGCAGUCCCCGAAUCUUCGACGGCGAGAAGGUCGACCACUGGAUCGUAGAGAAGUGGUUGAUGCAUAUGGAGAAGCUCUUUCGCGACACCUUCGUGGAGGAGAGGGAUCGGGUUUGGCUCGCCACACACCACCUGGACGGCGAGGCCUAUCGCUGGUGGUUGGAUCUCCAGGAGCACCCCAGCACUGAUUUGGCAGCUAUUACUUGGAAGAGGUUCAAGGAGCUUCUUUUGGCGCAUUACUUCCCGACUAGCGUCAAGAGGAAGAUGGAGCAGGAUUUGCGCAACUUGCGCCAGGGAGACAGGACAGUAGCCGAGUACGAGCGGGAGUUUUCUCGGCUUUUACAUUGCGUGCCUUUCGUCGUGCGGGACGACGAGGACAAGGCCCGCAUCUUCGAGCGAGGGUUGCGACCGUCGAUCUUCCGGUUUGUGCAAUCCUCUAACCUCCAAACCUACCAGGAGGUGGUGGAUCGCGCGCUCAUCGUGGAGAGCGGCACGGCAGAUGUCCAAGAGCGGCGAGAGGCUAUGGACAAGGGUAAGGCCAAGAGGCCUGCGGCUGAGGGUGCGAGCCAGACGCACUCUAGGAGGCCGCCGAAGCAUCCUAGGAGCCAGCAGCGUGGGCGUGGCUCGGCGACUCACCAUGGAGGUUCUGACCGACGCCGACCUCCCCAGUGCGUGAUCUGUGGUGGCCCCCACAUUCCACCGCAGUGCCCGCAGCGAGGAGGGAGGUGUUUCCAGUGUGGCCAGGAGGGCCACUUUCGGACCGAGUGCCCGAGGGGUUCGUCACCGGCACCGUCAUCUGCAUCGGCACCGGCUCUACCAGCCGCCAGCCACGGGACUCCAUCAGCGCAGUACCAGCUCGGGCGGCCACCCGCCCAGCGCCAGAGCGAGGGUUCUCGACAGGCCCCGAGUGGGCGUAUGUAUGCCGCUCAGACCGAGGAGGCGGCAGCAGCCGAGGAUGUGGUCGCAGGUAUCAUUUUUACUUGAUGCAUUAGAGUUCGUGCAUUAUUUGAUACCGGUGCAUCGCAUUCAUUCAUAGAUCGGCUGUUUGCCGAGUUGCAUGGCAUCCCUAUGUUUUCUUUGUUGCAUCCGGGACGUGUAGUUGUCCCUGACCACUCUUUGGAUAUUAGAGAGUAUUGCCCCAGUUGCCCUAUUCGGGUAGGAGAUUGGAUUAUGUCCGUGGACUUGCUAGCCUUGCGCAAGCUGGGGGAGUUUGAUGUGGUCUUAGGCAUGGAUUGGUUGACCAAGUUUUAUGCCACGAUAGAUUGCAAGAAUCGCACGGUUACUUUUAGAGAACCGGGGCAAGUUGAGGUGAUAUUUAGAGGAUGCCAGAGUUCGCUUUUUGCGAUGACGAUCAGCUCGUCUCGAGCUAGGCAACUGAUCAGCAGAGGUUGUGUAGCCUACUUGGCUAGUGUUGUGUUGAGGGGCGAGGGUGAUACCCCGAGGAUUGAGGAUAUUCCGGUGGUACGGGAGUUUUGUGACGUGUUUCCAGCUGAGCUACGGGGCAUGCCACCCGAUAGGGAGAUUGAGUUUGUGGUAGAUCUCAUCCCUGGGACUACUCCAAUCUCGAAAGCGCCCUAUAGGAUGUCACCGGCGGAGCUGAAGGAGCUGAGGGCACAGCUGCAGGAUCUUCUGGAUAAAAGCUUCAUUCGACCGAGCGUCUCGCCUUGGGAAGCACCAGUUUUGUUCGUCAAGAAAAAAGACGGAUCACUUCGCCUAUGCGUGGACUAUCGCGAACUUAAUAAAGUCACGAUUAAGAAUAAGUAUCCGUUGCCGAGGAUCGACGACUUGUUUGAUCAGCUUCAGGGAUCGUGUGUGUAUUCCAAGAUCGAUUUGCAGUCGGGAUACCACCAGUUAAAGAUCAAACCCGAGGAUGUAUCGAAGACGGCUUUUAGAACCCGGUAUGGACAUUAUGAGUUCACUGUUAUGCCGUUCGGGCUUACUAAUGCCCCCGCAGCUUUUAUGGAUCUAAUGAAUCGUGUUUUUAAGCCUUAUCUAGACAGGUUCGUCGUGGUGUUCAUAGACGAUAUUUUGGUUUAUUCCCGAAGUGAUACAGAUCACGAGGAGCAUUUGAGGCUUGUACUUCAAGUACUUCGGGAAAAGGAGCUCUAUGCCAAGCUAAAAAAGUGUGAAUUUUGGCUUCGAGAGGUAGCUUUUCUUGGACAUUUGAUUUCAGGAUAGCUGUGGAUCCUAAGAAGAUUGAAGCAAUCAAGGAUUGGCCGAGACCGACGAGCGUCACGGAGAUACAGAGCUUCCUUGGAUUGGCCGGGUACUACCGGAGAUUUGUUGAGGGGUUCGCCAAGCUGUCUACUCCCCUCACGAGGCUCUUAGGAGAGACCGGUCUCCCAGGGACCGGUCCCUCAGGUGAGGACCGGUUCCCGAACGCGAAAAGUCCCCAGACUGCAGGGAGAGCUCUCGGGGACCGGUCCCUUGUCGGGGAGACCGGUCCCUCUGGGCGAAAACAGCCCAGUGAUAGCAGGUUGAGAGAUGAAAAGUUGAGGGGCUAAAGUAGAUUUUGUUACAAUAGAGGGGCAUAUUAGCCCACUCCCCCUCUCAGCCUCUCAUUUCUCUCUCUCCCUCACUCUCAUUUCUCUCUCGCUCUUUCUCUCUCUAAAAAGGAAAGGAGAAAAAGAAGAACAAGAAGGAGAGGAAGGAAAAGAAGAAGAAGAUAAGGAAGGAGAAGAAGAAGGAGAUCAAGAGGAAGGCUUUGAGCACCUCCAUCUCCCUCUCCUCUUCUCUUUGGUGUAGCUCGUGAGGUAAGCUACUAAACCCUAGCUUCUAGAACUUAGGGUUUUGGGUUUUUAUGCUUUGGAGUGGGUCAAAUGGACCCUAGGCAAGCUUCUAAGUAGAUCAAUCCCUUGAUUCUAGGGUUUUAUCGGUGGGUUGCUAUAUGUGCAACCUAGGGCUCCAAAUGGGGCAUUUUGUAAAGUAUGAGAUUGAUCUCAUUUGAGGCCUUGUAAACCCCAUCGAUAGGUGCCCAAACGCGGGGGCGAAGUCGAUUUCGCGAUUCGUCAAGCGGGCUUAGAGCAAUCGGCGGAUUACGGUCGUUUCGGCGCUAUCUUGGAUUAGGGAAGGCUAAAGCCUUUUCGUAAAGCUCGCCGAGGAGCGUUCUUGAGGCCUCUACGUUGAUAAAAGGUGGGGGGUGUCAUCCCGAAGCUUUCGAACUCCUUUCUAUGUCUUAGAUUGCAUUUAAUCUCAUCUCUUCAUGUUGCAUUGUAGGAUUGCAUAGUAGCUCCAUUCCUUAUGCUUUCUAAAUGAUAACCUAGUGUACUUGGAACGCUUGGUAACUUAGAUAGGUGAGGAUUGGGUCGGAACGUGGAUCCUAUGAUGUAAAAGAAAAGAGGUGAACCCGAUGGGGGUAUUGAUGACAUAGAAGGUAGUGUUAGUGUUAAAGAACACAUGAGUGGCAUCCAAAUGUUAAAUGAUGACGAGUGGCAUUAAUGUAGUGUAUAUGACACUAGAGGUUUGAGAACCUAGGGAUAGGUGGAUCCCUUAGAAAAUGCCUUGUGAACAAUGAAUUUAGAAAACUAAAUAGCAUUGCAUGAAUGUCGGGAACCGAUGAUUCCGCGAUAGUCGUUGACCCUAGUGUAGGGCGUCCUCACUUGGAGAGGAUUCGAUUGGGUUAUUGACUCUAGUUGUAGAGCCUCCUCACUUGGAGAGGAUUGGAUUGGGUGUUGACCCUAGUUACAGUGUAUCCUCACUUGGAGAGGAUAGAUCUAGCUCACAGUCUGCGUUUAGGAUGGUAUAGCCAUCCAAUCCCCACAUGGAGGGGAUUGUCGUCGAGUACUCCGGAGUGUCGCGCGACUAGGACCACUUGGAGGUCCGGACCACAUGGAGGUCCGCAGACGGUCCCGGGCUUGGGUGCACUUGGAGCUCCCUCCCCACUUUGGGAUUGGAAGAUGAGUUAUGGGUGAGCCCUAGGGCCUCGCCACAGAUUGGGUAAAUGAAAGGUUAAAGGUUUAAUAAAUGUCAUUGAACAUAGCUAUUCGAACAUGGAUCGAAUUUGGUAGCAUGGUAGCAAACCUUUAUUAUAUGAUGCAUGCAUUCAUAUUCAUGAUUAUGGGCAUAGUAGCAUAGUUUUCCUACUACUGCAUUUACAGC